rnacentral:lncRNA from 1 species
GGCUGAACAGGUGCGUUGUUUGGUGGAAUAGGCUUUGCAACCCUUCGGCUAUAACCGCCCAUAACCGCCCAGCCCAGCUAGCUCCACUACCACUCAACUAGACCCAACUACUGAACUCUUAGCCUAGCUGAACUGAGCUUCCCGGCAGCUGGACCAACUAGCUUAACUCGGCUGCCCAGCUCGUUUUAGCUCCGCAUAGCUUAUUGAGCUUCUUCCAUCUAUUUUCCCGGUCUUUUCUUUCUUUUUCCUGGCUAAGUCUUAGACCAAUGAACUUAGCCGAUUACUUUGAAACAUGGAUCGAGUCUUUGCUUAGACUCUCACCCCUUGUUUCCCACUUCUCGACCAUGGUCCGACCCGGCGCCUAUUGCGGAUUGGGGACGCUACAGGGCUAGCGACUGCUUCAACCCACAUAGCAUCCAAAUAAUAUUCCUUCCAUAUCUUCUUCAGCCAUACAUCUUCAAAAUAAACCAUCAGCACAUCUCUUGUAGAGAUAUGGUUCAUCCCAAAAAUAAUGUCUUACGUCUCGCAGAAACUUUUUUUCCUAUAUCCAAAAAAUGGUGGUGGUUUAACGUCUGCUGCUAAAUAAUUGGCUAUAUGCCUAAACCAUGGGGUGUUAAAAGCGUCUGACCGUCGCAUAAGUUUCUGCGGUGGUACUGUAUCAGAGUUUACGCGAACCGUAUCCAUUGCAUAGAUGUUUUCUUCAACCAAACUAUCAUUUAGGGGCAAUUUUUCUUCAACAAGAAUUCGUGAAAGAUGAUCUGCAACUCCAUUAUCUGCUCCUUUCCGAUCUUGAAUUUCGAUAUCGAACUCUUGCAGUAGGAGGAUCCAUCUUAUCAACCUCGGUUUGGCGUCUUUCUUAGACAUUAGGUACUUGAUUGCUGCAUGAUUGAUAUGAACUAUGACCUUAGAUCCUACGAGAUAAGAACAAAAAUUUUCAAAGGCAAAACGACAGCUAGAAGUUCUUUCUCCGUUGUUGCAUAAUUGCAUUGAGAUUCGUCUAGAGUCCUACUUGCAUAAUAAAUUAUGUGCAGCAUCUUAUAUUUUCUUUGGCCAAGAACAGUUCCGACUGCAUAGUUACUUGCAUCGCACAUGAUUUCGAACGAUUGUUCCCAAUCAGGUGGUUGCAUGACUGGAGCAGACACAAGGGCUUCUUUUAUUUUCUGAAAAGCGACUAAGCACUCAUACUUUCUUUUAUAAUAUGGAGCUGACACAAGGGCUUCUUCAACCAUGGUUCUUUCUCUCUGUUUUUAUAUUUCCUCGGGAUCCUUUGUAAAUUCCGGCUCUUUGUAAGCUAAACCGCUCCUAAGUGUGAUGGCUUUCACAUGGUCAGAGGGGUUGGUUUCGCUUGAGCUUUUGAAAGAACAUUUAUUUGGCUCCUUCUUGGAAUCAUCAGUGUUCUUAGACUUAUCUUUGAUCAUUAAACUAAUAAUGGUGGAAAGUUUAUCAUUGAAAUCUUCAUGCAACCUUUCAAUUUUGGAAUUAAGAUCAUUGAUGUCCAUAGUCUUAGAUUCCCAGAAGAGGGAAAACUUGAAUAGGGAAUGGAAUCAGAUUGAAUAGCCAGCAUUGGCAGGGAGGAGGCGCGGUCGUAGAGCUCGCGACCGUGGGUGAAAGAGACUUGGUCGCCGUCAGGAUUGACACGACCACGGUGGAAAUAGGCUUGGUCGUGGUCCACAAGAUUGGACCCGCGGUUGUCAGGGACAAAAGGAAAAUCUUGAAUUUGAUAGACUUCUUCAGUGUUGAUCAACUCCUGGUUGUAAAAACUAAUUUGGUUGUUCCAAUCGUCAAAGUUACCCCUAAUGUGUGCCUUGUUCGGUUGUUGCAAUUGAUGCGUGCUCAUGUCAACUACGUGAGGGAACAAGUUUUACCCUUAACAAAACAAAUGAAAGCCGCAAGUGCACAACUAAUCAGUUGUAGUAUUUAGGGAUCGAAUCCACAGAGAUUUGUGUGCCUGGUAUUCUUCUACGGUUUUUAACUUUAUGUCUAGACUAAAUUGGUUUUAAAGGUUGGUUGUUUUUUUUGCGAAUUAAACUAAAACAAAAGAAAGCAAAUAAAUCUAUCCUAAAAAGCAAGUAAAGAAAAUCGAAUGAAAUGUAAAUGGAAGAAGUAAAAUAUCGAACUAAACAAAAAUAAGGCAAGUAAAAUAUCGCAUGAAAGGUAAAUAAAGCAAGUAAAUAACGAACUAAGGAAAUUGAAAUGCAGGUCUAAGAAAGCAAGUAAAAAUCGAUGGAAUUUUAAACUAUGGCUAAAAACGCUGAGCUUUUGGGAACUCUAAGGGAUCAUAAUCGGUUUUAACACUAAGGUAGAUAGAUUGGGAUUGACGGAUAACAAUAUAUGGGUUCUAGAGCUAGAAUACGGCGGUAUGACUACGUCACUGUCGUGAUCAUAACCAACUGUUUCUUGCAACCCUGACCAGUAGGUUUCCACUCUGGCCCUGGAAGGGAGAGAACGCAAGAGCUCCACAAGACUCGUCAAUACUCACGAUCUCGCCGUAGGUAGGUUUCCACUCCUACGGAAAAAUCGCCUGUUUCAUUCUAGGGCUGAUACUUAAUGAAAAUUUUCGCAACACUAACUAUCUAGAUCAGACACUAGGUGAUCAAUCAAACAUACAUGCAAUAAGAACAAGAAUAAACAGAGAACAGGUCGAAAUCCCAGAUCUAUAAACCUAGAUGUCUUAAUCGAUUAUGAGAGCCCCUUUCGGGAACCCUAAGCCCAACUCGAGAUCUACUCAGACAUGGCUGAGUUCGACAUCAUCAUUGGUUUUAAUAAAAGUAAUGAAAAACAGUAAAGAAAAGAGAUAAAGAAGGCUUCUCUAUUGAAGAACUCGGACUUGAACAAUCUUCUACAAAAAUCUCAUAAAAAUGGCUAAAGGAAAAGGGUUUCUGUAAAGUAUGAAUGGCUCUCUCUAAAAACGACCUAAAUGACAUGUAUUUAUAGUCUCAAAUACUCCAUGGUCUCUAGGGUUCCGGAAUUGAGGCUGGGAAUGACUUUGGGCUUCAGAUAAGUGGGCUUUAAGUCGGAGCUUGAAUGCCGCGGUCGGGAGUGUUGUGACCGCGACAAUUGGCUUGUUGGCCGCGGUCGGGAAGCUUCUAACCGCGGCAAAUAGCUUGUUGGCCGCGGUCGCGUGAGUUGCUGGCCGACUCCGCGUGGCUCCGAGGCUAAUGAAAUAUCUUGAGAUCCAACCGUUGGAAUGUCUCCAAACCAAGUGCAUUUGAAAGCUGGUUGAUUCUUCUAUAAGUUGUCCAAUUUUGAGGGUGAUCAGACGGUGAGAAGGUAUUCGUCUCUCCAUGAGAGUUAUGACGGUCUGCAUUUAUCCAAAAGAGUCUUUUUGUUCUAUUUUGUGCCUCUUUAUCCCAAAUUACCUGAAAAGUCUUUUAAAAUCCGGAAACAUAGAAAUCCUUUGAAAACCUUUGAAAAUGGAGUAAAAACACCUGUAAAAGAUAUUAGAAUGAUCCUUAAAAAUGGCCAAAAUCCGGUGUUAUCAGCAAUCCAAGUUGAUUCAUUAUUUGAUGAGUAUUUUCUACCAAGGCAUCAACCAAAAAAGGCUUGGUUACGUAUACUUCAUGCAAGGUUGUUGACUUAAAUACAAGCAUCUUCUGCUGAUCUAGUGGAGAAGUCUCCAUUACUUGCGGUGUCAAAAGAAUGUUGUAAUUCGUGAUCGAUGUCUUGGUAGAAAAUACUCAUCAUUUAUUAUUCAUCGGAAAAUCCGUGGUGUGGACAAUCUCUUUUGUAUUCUCUAAAUCGAUCCUAAGCUCGUAGAGCAUCUCACCCUUCCUUUGCUCAAAAUUUCUUAUCUUGUUCUUUAGGAGGUUGGAACGAGUACUAGUAUAAAAACGAUUCAAGAAAGCAGCUUUACACUAUUCCAAUGUUUUUAUAGACGCAGCUUGCAAAGCUUGUAGACCCUUUUAUGGCUUUGUCUCUCGAAGAGAAUGGGAAAAGGCUACACUUAUGGUAAUCCCUAUUUGAUGUAAUGGUUGCAUAUAAUUCUUCAAACGACUCAAUGUGAUCCAUUGGGUGUUCGGUUAACCAUAGUAUCGAUUUUGUUGAACUAAAGUGAUGUAGGGUACCUUUAUUUCGGUUUUGCCAUCCUUUGGUAAGCUGGUUAAAUAGCUCUUUGAUCUCCCAUGAACUGUUCGAGUGAGUCAAAACCACCAAUUAGCUCAUCAUCAUCCUCGCUGUGUUUUGUUGGUCCGAUCAGCUCCUCCUCAUCAUUGAUCGGGUUGUUAAGCUCAUCAUCUCUCAGGUCAUCUUCCACGAGAGGUAGUGGAUCGCCAAGAGGCUCGGGAACAUGUUCCCAGUCUCCCAUUGAGGAGUAACCUGAAAAGUACAAAAGAAAAAGUAAAAGUAAACAAGUGUUCUAAUGGAUUUAAGCUGGAUUCGCAGCAAAACAAAUCAAAGUCUCCAGCAACGGCGCCAAAAACUUAAUGCAAUUUAGAACGGGGUUGGUUUUACUAAGCUUCAGGUUCUAAAUUUAUAACUCCUAAAUGUCUGCAAGUGCACAGAUGUGCGGUAUAAUACUUAGUUGUUUCAGUACAAAUCCACACUAAUGCUAAAAUCAGAUUAGAACUAAACGAUUUGGGUUUUAGUUUUCGGUGUCACGAAAUCUAAAUUAGAAAGCAUGAAACUAAGGCUGUAAUCUAUGAAAAAAAAAACGCUGGGUUUAAGGGUAUUCACAGAGAUUCAUGGACUAAAUCUAUGAUAAAAAUAAAUGAUAGAGGUAAUCGACUACGGUUUGUUCUAAAACUCGAGCAUGGAUGUAUGACUAUGUCACUCUCAUGAUCAUAACCAACUGUCACCCACGGUCCUGACUAGUAGUUUCCGACUCUGUCCCCAACCACAGGUGUACGUAAUCUUGCACUAGACUCAUCUACAUUCACAACUCACCCAUAGGUAGCUUUCGUCUCUUAUAGCAGAAUUACUUGUUACUCCUUAGAUCAGAUAGAUAAUGAAAUUUUUUUGCAACAUUAAGUAUCUAGAUCGAAUUCUAAGUGGCCAACAGAAAAACACGCAAUAAGAAUAAGAGUAAACAAAGAACACCUAGAAGAUUAUGAACCAUAAAUCUUACAAUUCAUAGAAAAAGACACAUGAAAUUCCUUUUAAAAAAUUCCUUUAAACCCAACUGGAAAACUACUCAAAGAUAUUAGUAUUUGAAUCUGUAGGAAAUUAAAUAGAACAAGGGAAAAGAACGAAAAACAGAGGUGAAGAUGGAGAAUCAAUGGUGCUCUCCUCGGUGGCUCCUCUUCAAAGAUGGCUUCUCCCUAGGGUUUUUUUUGUUAAAAAAAAAAGAAUCGAGCACACCCUCUUAGAAUGACCAAAAAGAGGUUUUUAUAGCUUCUGGAGUUGUCUUCAACGCUUCGAUUUUCAAAAAUAAUGAUGGGAUCGACCUGGGCUUGAUUUAGGUCUCUUGGGCCAUAGAUGAUGUCCAGCCGCGGUCGUGGUGUACGUACCCAAGGGGAACCAUAGUCUGCCGCGGUCGCGGCUCAUGUUCUGCUUCGAGACCGCAUCGGGAAUAUCUGAAGAUCUAACCGUUGGAUUGUCUCCAAAUCAAUUGCAUUAGAAAACUGGUUGCCUCCUAUGUAAUGUCUCAAAUUUUGGGGAUGAUCGGACGGUGAGAAGAUUUUCAUCGCUUGCCAUACUUCUGACGGUCUGCAUUUAUCUAAAAUUGUUCAUUUGUUCCAAAUUGCACAUCUUUAGUCCAAGUUUUCUGAAAAGUCUUUUGAAACUCUAAAAUAUUAAAAACAUUUUAAAACUAUGGAAAACAGAGUCAAAACAUACAGUAUGUAUAAGACAUCAAAACCAUCCAUAAAAAUGGUCAAAAUCUAGUGUUAUCAGUAAACGAUAAGAACAGCCACAACAUGCAAGGAGAGUGGUAUGAGCUUCUGAGUGCACGAAGUCGCUGCGAUUAGUGGCAGCAUGCUGCGACAAGUAAACAGAUGUUUCUUGUGACAAAUAUAACUAAAGAGGCCUGCUAGAGCGAUUGAGAAUGUAACGGGCCGAAGGCUCUAGCUGGGCCUAGUGGGCUUCAUUGGAUCAAAGGCAGACCCGGAUUCACUUGGGGGGUGUGGGGGGCUUCUUUUAUCGAGUGGGUUUAUCGAGUCGGGUUUUUGAGGGUAUAAAUACAGGCUUUAGGGAUUUUAAUUGAUUAUUCACACAUUCAGUUAAGAAACCCAAACGGGUGUUUACCUCAAUCGCAAUUUUCUUUCUCUUGUUUAUUGCUUUCUUCGGUUUGAUUCACGAAAAGUGGUAUCAUAGCUCAAGGUUUUUCCGCGAAACAUUGUCAUGACAAAGGGAAGUUCUCUUAUGUUUGAUGUUCCUAGGUUAGAUGGAAAAGGGAAUUUUGGUCUGUGGCAAAGUCGAGUCAAGGAUCUGCUGACGCAGCAAGGUGUGAAAUAGGCGCUAUUAGAGAAAAAGCCGAACAAGAUCAAGAAGGAUGAUUGGGACGAUAUGCAGGAUCAAGCUGUUUCGACGAUUCGACUUUGUCUCUCUGACGAUAUUACCAAUCAGGUGAUGAACAUCAUGACUUGCAAGGAGAUAUGGGAUAAGUUAGAGAAGGUCUACAUGUCGAAGUCGUUGUCCAGCAAGCUGUAUCUGAAACAGAUGUUGUAUGGGUUGAAGAUGGCAGAGAGUGGCGAUCUUAUUGCUCAUGUCAACAACUUCAACCAAAUCAUUGGAGAUCUGGAGCGUGUGGAUGUUAAAAUUGAGGACGAGGAUAAAGCCAUGAUCUUGUUGUGUUUUCUUCCUCUUCAGUUCGAGACUUUGGUGACAGCUAUUACAGUCGAAAAUGACUAUAUCGCUGGAAACGGUUUGUACUUCACUGCAAUCCCAUUGGGAAAGGCAACAGAACAUUACCAUGGUGGACAAGUCUUAAGGUGAUGAUUUAUACGUGAGUAUCAACCAGCAACGAGGAAGGCAAGAAAAGAAGCAGGAUGGAAGUAAAAGGGACAAGUCGAAGUCUAAGCCAGGGAAGAAUUCGAUAUGCUUUGGUUGUGGUUAGAAAGACAAUUAUCGAAGGGAUUAUUCUAACAGAAAGCAGAAUAGUGGAUCUGGUUCUGCAAACGUGGUCUAGAAGGAGGAUUCAGAUGACAGUGUAGGCGAUUUGUUGGCUGUGACAUCUGGUGAUCACACAGACUCUUGGAUACUGGAUACGGGUGCAUCAUUCCAGAUGACUCCUCACAGAGAAUGGUUUGAGACGUAUAGGGCUGGGAACAUGGGCUCUAUUCAGUUAGCAAACGACAUGUCAUGUGGUGUUGUUGGUACUGGAGAGGUCAAGUUUUGGAUGCAUGAUGGCAUCAUCAGAACAUUGACUAAUGUUAGGCAUGUUCCAGGGGUGAAGAAGAAUUUGGUCUCUUUGGGUACUCUUCACAAAAACGGAUUCAGACUCAGAGGUGAUGAAGAUGAAGACGUUUUGAAGGUUUGUAAGGGAUUUAUGGUGGUGAUUAAAGGGAAGAUGACAGCUGGGAACGUCUACAGGAUGUUAGUGAGUGUGGUUGUAGGUGGAGCUGCAGCUGCUGUGUCUGAAUCUGAUAGCACAACUCUUUGGCAUAUGCACAUACGACAUAUAGGAGAGCAUGGGUUUCUUGAACUCCAUAAAAUGGGUCUUCUGGAUGGGUUAAAGAACUGUAAAAUGGAUUUAUGCAAAUUCUGUGUGAUGGAAAAGCAGUCCAAAGUUUCGUUCAAGACAAGACAGCACACGAAAAAAGGUCUUUUAGACUAUGUUCAUUUCUGAUGUGUGGGGUCCGACUCGGGAACUGUCAUUGGGAGGGUCUAGGUACUUCAUCAUCUGACUUCUCCAGAAAAGUUUGGGUUUACUUCUUAAAGCAGAAAUCUGAAGUUUUUGUCAACUUCAAGGUUUGGAAGGCUGAAGUCAAAAAUCAGGUGGAGAAGAAGGUUAAGUAUCUAAGAUCAGAUACUGGCAUGGAGUAUACUGACGGGGAGUUUCAGAAGUUCUGUGAGGAACAUGGCAUUGAAAGACACUUCACUGUCAGGAAAACAACACAGCAAAAUGGUGUCAGUGAGAGGAUGAACUGAACUAUUGCAGAAAAGACAAGGUGUUUGACAUUGAAUGCAUGACUUCCUAAACAGUUCUGGGCAGAGGCAGUAAACAUGGCGGUGUAUCUUAUCAAUAGGUCGCCUAGGAGUUCUCUACAAGGGAAGGUGGCUGAAGAGAUUUGGAUUGAAAGAUAUUGAUCUGUCAAACUUGAAAAUAUUUGGAUGCCCAGCUUACAUGCUGGUUCCAAGUGACGAAAGAUCUAAACUGGAUUUGAAUUCCAAGAAGUGCAUAUUUCUGGGUUUUGUCAAAGGUGUGAAAGGCUUUAAGUUAUAUGAUCCUGUUGAUAAGAAGAGGGUAUUCAGUCGAGAUGUGGUCUUUGAUGAGCAGUAUAUGGUGCAGCAGGCGAGAACAGAUCGAGUUCUUGUGAUCAUUUAGACUGAAACAGAUUCCGGCACAUCACAGGAAGAGUCUAGUGAGACUAGACUAGCAACAGGACGUGAUAAGCAACCUGUUGAGGUGAAUCAGGACGUUCAGCAUAGUAAGGCAGAGGAGAGUUUGGCACUUGAAAGACCAAGACGCAUCAUAAAACCGCCUGAAAGAUUCGGGUUUGAAGACAUGGCUAGUUAUUGUCCGAUGGUUGGUUCAGGUGAUCCAGCAAAUUUUCGAGAGGUUAUCUCAAGUUUUGAGAAAGAUUUCUGUUAUUGGAGCUAUGACAGAAGAGAAUGAGAGCCUGGACAUAAAUCAAACAUGGGAUCUAACGCCUUUACCAAAAGGCAAGAGGGCGAUAGGAUGCAAGUGGGUUUUCAAGGUAAAACCUAAGAUAUCUGAGAAGGAACCAGUUAAGUACAAGGAAAAAUUGGUGGCAAAGGGUUACUCACAGAGGAAAGGGGUUGAUUAUGACAAAAUCUUCUCCCUUGUAGUUAGGCACACUUCUAUUAGAGCUGUGCUGGGUUUGGUAGCAAGCUGAGAUUUCUAUCUUGAACAGAUGGAUGUAAGGACAACAUUUCUUCAUGGAGAUCUGGACGAAGAGAUCUAUAUGGAGCAACCAGAGGGAUUUGUGAAACCAGGAGAGGAGAAGCUUGUGUGCAGACUUAAGAAGUUUCUGUAUGGAUUGAAGCAGGCUCCUAGGCAAUGGUACAAACGUUUUGACUCCUACAUGUUGAAGAUUGGCUACACAAGCUGUGAGUAUGACUGCUACAUCUAUGUAAGGUUUCUGGAUGGUCAUUCUCCCUUAUUCCUACUGAUCUAUGUUGAUGAUAUGCUCAUUGCUGCGAGAGAUAUGGAGGAUACUGAUAAGCUGAAAGAGUUAAUGUAGAAAGAGUUUGAUAUGAAGGAUCUUGGUGCUGCAAAGAAGAUCCUUGGGAUGGAAAUUCACAGAGAAAGAAGCUCAAGGAGAUUAUGGCUUUCUCAAAAGAGCUAUAUUCAGAAAAUUGUAGACAGGUUUGACAUGAGAGAUGCAAAAGCAGUGUCUACACCUUUGGCGAUGCACGUCUCAUUUUCAGCGAUGCAGUGUCCUAAGUCUAAUCAAGAGAUCAUAGCUAUGUCGAAAGUUCCUUAUGCAAGUACAGUUGGCUAUUUGAUGUAUACUAUGGUGUGCACUAGACCUGAUUUAGCACAAGCAGUUAGUCAAGUGAGCAAGUACAUGUCCAAUACUGGAAGAGAACACUGGAAAGCCGUCAAAUAGAUUUUCAGAUACUUAAAGGGUACAAGCGAUCUUGGACUUAUGUUUGGUGAUCAAGACUGUGGCUCAGUUGUGGGAUAUAUGGAUUCAGAUUAUGCUGCUGAUCUUGACAACAAAAGGUCUACUAUAGGGUAUAUCUUUACUCUUGCUGGAGGUCCUAUUUGUUGGAGAUCUGUGCUACAGUUUGUUUUGGCAAUGUCUACCACAGAACUGAGUAUAUGGGAAUGGGAGAAGCAGCUAAGGAAUCAAUUUGGGUCAAGGGACUUGUGACAGAACUGAGUGUUGAACAAGGUGGAGUUCAGCUAUACAGCAACAGUCAGAGUGCGUUGUUUCUAGCCAAGAACCCGGUUUAUCAUGCAAGGACGAAGCACAUUCAUGUCAGAUUUCAUAAGAUCAGAGAGUUGUCUGCAUCUGGAGAAGUCUUGUUGGAGAAGGUUCACACGUCAGAGAAUGCAGCUGAUAUGUUGACCAAACUCGUUACUGUGGAGAAGUUCAAGCAUUGCUUGGAUUUGCUCCAUGUCUUCAAGUGCUGAAGAAGGUGAAAUCCCCACCCCCUCCCCAAAGUGAUUGGAGUUUGAAGGUGAUUUUAUGAAGGUUUUUUGUCAGGGUGGAAAUUGUUGUUUCUAGUGACAAAGAUAACUAAAGAGACCUUGCUAGAGCGAGUUGAGGAAUGUAACAGGCCGAAGGCUAUAGUUGGUCUAGUGGACUUCAUUGAGUCAAAGGCGGAUGCGAAUUCACUUGGGAGGAUGUGGUGGGGCUUCGCCCCUCACGGUACGGUUUUCUUAAUAUGCUCAAUAAAAGAUUCACUACAAAAAAGAGAGGCUUUUCCGUCGAAUUAUUUACGAUGAUUUGUAGUCGUCGUAAAUUUACGACGACAUUACGUCGUAUUUACGACGAUCAAAAAUUUCGUCGUAAAUUCGACGUAAAAAAUAACCCUCGUAAAAUCGUCGUAAUGUUACGACGAUUUUACGACGAAUAAAGAACGAAUUUUAUUUCGUCGUAAUCUUAUCGUAAUAUUUACAUUGAUAAUAUGACGAAUUGUCCUCUAUCUAGUAAUUGACGUAAAAUCGAUGUAAAUGUGAUGUAAAUUUUAUUUCGACGUAUAUUUGAUGUAAAUAUGCAAUGGUAAUAUGUUGGUAACCAAACAAAAAAUUCUAUAUAUACCCUUCCUUCUCUCAUUAUUCCAUCAUCCCAAAAAAACAUAUAAAGACACAAAUUUUUUGAGUCUUUGAAUGUUUAAGUAAAAUUUUUGGUAGUUGAAAUUUCUAUCAAAUUUCAGAAACAAAAAGUCAAAUAUUUGUUUUUGAAAUAUCUAUAUACGAUCUACGAAAGUGGAUGUAUACGCCCAAAAAUGGUGAUGGGUCGUUGACUGAAGACUUCAAAAACGGAUUGGAAAUAUUCAUGUACCAAGCCGGCCUUCUGGAAACUGUAAUUGAAAGCGGCAAAGUGUAUUGUCCUUGUGUGAAAUGCAAAAAUAGGAAACAUAUUCUUAUUGACACUGUCUGGCAGCAUUUAUUGAAUAGAGGGUUCAUGCCCCAAUACUUUAUUUGGUAUCAGCAUGGAGAGGGAUAUGGUCAAAGUAGUGGUCAGAUGGCUGCACGGAGUAGUAGUAAUCAUCAAGAACAUGUGGAUUUUGAAGCGUCCAAUGAUUAUCAAAGUAGUCAAGUUCAGGGUGAAGAUCAUGAUAGGAUGCAUGAAAUGAUUACUGAUGCAUUUCAUGAAACACAUGCUGAUACUGUUGAGGAGCCCAAUGCAGAUGCGAAACGCUUUUAUGAUAUGUUAAACGCAGCAAAACAGCCUCUGUACGAGAGAUGUAGGGAAGGUUUAUCAAAAUUAUCAUUGGCAGCUCGGAUGAUGACAAUAAAAACAGAUCACAAUCUAUCUGAAGUUUGCAUGAACGAUUGGGCAGAUCUUAUUAAAGAGUAUUUGCCAGAUGAUAAUUUGGCUGCUGAAACGUAUUAUGAAAUUCAGAAGCUGGUUUUUAGUCUUGGAUUGCCUUCUGAGAUGAUUGAUGUUUGUGUUGAUAAUUGUAUGCUUUUUUGGAGAGAUGAUGAGAAGCUUGAAGAAUGUCGUUUCUGCCAAAAGCCAAGAUAUAGACCGCAAAUUGCUGGGCGUAAGAAGAUUCCUUACCAACGAAUGUGGUAUCUUCCUAUCACUGAUAGGUUAAAAAGACUAUAUCAAUCCGAACGGACAGCUGCGUCGAUGAGAUGGCAUGCGGAACAUUCACAAACAGAUGGCAAAAUGACUCACCCGUCUGACGGGAAAUCUUGGAAACAUUUUAACACCGUACAUCCAGACUUUACUAGGUCUAAGCGAAAUGUUUAUCUUGGUCUUUGCACUGACGGGUUUAGUCCAUUUGGUAUGUCUGGUAGGCAAUAUUCAUUAUGGCCUGUGAUUCUUACGCCAUAUAACCUUCCUCCAGAUAUGUGCAUGGAAAGAGAGUUUUUGUUUCUAAGUAUAUUAGUCCCUGGUCCAAAUCACCCGAAGCGGGCCCUUGAUGUUUUUUUGCAACCACUCAUACAUGAGUUAAACCAGUUGUGGCAUGUUGGAGUACGAACAUAUGACUGUUCGAGUGGUAAAAAUUUUACGAUGCGAGCGGUGCUUAUGUGGACAAUAAGCGAUUUCCCGGCAUACGGAAUGCUAUCAGGUUGGACAACGCAUGGGAGGUUAUCAUGUCCUUAUUGUCUUCAUAGGACUGAUGCAUUUCAGCUUAAACAUGGUAGGAAAACCUGUUGGUUUGAUUGCCACCGUCGGUUUUUACCACCAAACCAUCAAUAUAGAAGAAAUAGGCGUUUGUUUAUAAAGAACAAAUUGGUUCGUCUCCCUCCACCAGUGUACCUAACUGGAGUAGAGCUUGAAGCGCAAAUAGAUCAUUGUGGUGGACUUGAAACGGUCCCCUUGGAGGAAAUUGGCACACUCCUGCGAAUAUGCCUGACGGAUAUGGGGUUCAUCAUAAUUGGCACAAGAAAAGUAUAUUUUGGGAUCUGCCUUACUGGAAAGAUCAUUUGCUUAGACAUAAUCUUGAUGUUAUGCACAUUGAGAAGAAUUUUUCCGAUAACAUCAUGCAUACUGUUUUGAACGUCCAAGGAAGAACCAAAGACAGCGUUAAAUCACGGAUGGACUUACCCGAUAUAUGUAACAGAAUUGAGUUGCAUAUGGUGAGUAAUGGGAAAGCACCUGUUCCUGUAUUUCGGUUGGGUGCUGAACAAAAAACAGCAUUGUUUAAUUGGGUAUCAUCAGCCGUGAAAUUUCCUGAUGGAUAUGUAUCUAAUCUGGCUAAAUCUGUGGAUAAAGGACAAAAGUUUUCAGGGAUGAAAAGUCAUGAUUGUCAUGUGUUUAUGCAACGGUUACUUCCUUUUGCGUUUGCUGAACUCCUACCGGGACAUGUCCAUGAGGCACUAGGAGGCAUUGGAGCUUUUUUCCGUGAUCUAAGUACAAGGACAUUAUCAGAAGAUGUAGUUGCACAACUGUCUACAAAUAUUCCAAUAUUAUUGUGCAAUUUGGAGAAAAUAUUCCCACCUGCUUUCUUCGAUGUUAUGGAACAUUUACCUAUACACCUCCCUCAUGAAGCAGAGUUGGGAGGACCUGUUCAGUUUAGGUGGAUGUAUCCGUUUGAACGAUUUAUGAAGCAUUUGAAGGGUAAGGCCAAAAACUUAGCAAAAGUUGAAGGGUCUAUCGUGGCGGGAAGUCUGACAGAAGAGACUUCUCAUUUCACGUCUUAUUACUUUGCUCCAAAGGUUCGUACACGCAAACGGGCUCCAAGACGUUACGACGAUGGGGGUGUAGGACAAAGUUAUGCAGUAGAAGGUGUGCCUGAUAUAUUCUCACCAAUUGGACGUCUAAGUGGGAAACUAAAAGAAACUUGUUGGUCAAACGAACAAGACUACCACAGCGCACAUACAUAUAUACUUCUGAAUUGCGAGGAAUUGGCACCUUACGAGAGGUACAUAAUUAUAACCAUGUAUGAUUAAAAUUUGAUUGAACAUACGAAAUGUCCUUAACAAUGUUUCAAAAUUUCAGCACUUUCGUCAGUCAAGUCCGAGAAUGCAUUGACGGUGUUUCAGAAGAUGAAAUUAACAAGCGAAAAGACCAACAUUAUGCAUUGUGGUUAAAAGGUCAAGUCGAGCAUGAUGACAUGACAUAUGCAGUAUGGUUUCAUGAGUUGCUCUUAGGUCCUAUUUCGAAGAUAACUACUGCAGCUAUGUAUUUCACACGUGGCUAUGUUUUUCAUACUUAUAGUCAUGGCACUCAACGGGCAACUACAAACUAUGGAGUUUGUGUACGAGGUGAAGUAGACUUUUAUGGGAUCAUCAAAGAGAUAAUUGAAGUGGAAUACCCCGGAUUAGUCAGAAUGAAAACUGUUCUAUUCAAAUGUGGUUGGUUUGAUCCUACGGUAGGUCGUGGAGUGCGAAUUAACACAUUUGGAGUGGUAGAUGUAAACGCAUCUCGGCGAUACAAUAAGUUCGAGCCAUUUAUACUUGCAUCUCAAGCAGAACAAGUCACCUUUGUUCCAUAUCCUCGAGUUCGGAAUACGGGAAUUUCAUGGCUGGCGGUUGUCAAAGUUGCUCCAAGGGGUAUAAUUGAUGGUGUAGAUCUCCCGCCAAUGCAACAAGAUGAUUGUGUCGACAUUACAGAACCGGAUAUUGAAGAAAAUGUUCUUUUAAUUGAUCCACGUAAUCGACAAGUUGAAGAUCUACAUGGGGACGAAACUGAAGAAGGUGCUGAUUUCAAACAAGCAGUGAUGAUGAUGACAAUGAUGAUGACGACACCGAGGAAAAUGUUGAUGAAGACUAAUUAAAUAUUUUGACAUUUAAUUGCAUGCUUUGAACGUUUCAAUGUAACAUUUGUCAAAUUUAAAUUUUUGAAAAAUUAAAGCCAAUUAAUGAAGACUAAUUAAAUGUUGAUGAAAAUUUGUUUAAGUGUUGACUUGGACAUAUGUUGACUAUUACGACGAAUUUACGACGAUUAUUUAGAAAUCGUCGUAAAUUCGUCGUAAUAUGCAAACCCUAAACCCUAUAGGGUUUAGCUUUUCCAACUUACAGAAUGGUUUUUGGGUUCAUUUUCCUAAGUAAACUGAUGUAUUAUAUAAGAGUAUGUAGUAUAAGGUUCAGGAACUUGUAGAAAUGUGGUUUUUAUUACGACGAAUUUACGACGAAUGGGAGUGAUCGUCGUAAAUUCGUCGUAAUAUACCAUCAAAAAUACGACGAAAUGUAACCCCUAAAUCUUAUAAUCAAUCUUUUAUGGGGUUCAGAGGGGAUUUUGAUGAGGAGAAUGAAAUGGCUUACCAUCUCAUAAGGUAAAACAACUUUCUAAACAAAAAAAAAAAAAUUCAAAAUUUGACAUAUAUGUGUUUAUCAAGUAAUCUUAAGAUGUUAUAUACAUUUACACAAGAUGUAUGGAUUUAUCUUACAUCUUACUAAAUUCUUCAUUAAGUUAUGUAAACAUGCUAGAAAGUUAUACAGACCACAUUUAUCAUGAAUAGACAUGCUUGUAUGUCCUUAUGGAUGUUUCAAUUUUUGAAUUUCAUCAGUUUUCGUAUAGUUCGUCGUAAAUUCGUCGUAAUGUUACGACGAAUUUACGACGAUUAGUGGAUACACAGCCGUCUUAAUUUUUUUGAUUUAUACGAGUCGUCGUAAAAUCGUCGUAACAUUACGACGAUUUUACGCGAAUAGCACGGAUCGUCGUAAACUUGUCGCAAAGCCCAGAUACAGCCACGUGUGUUUGUCUUACUCGCUUUGUUGUACGGUGGGAUCUUUGCGACGAAUAUACGACGGAUUCGUCGUAAAUUCGUCAUAAUAUUUACGUCGAAUUUACGACGAAUAUAAAUUCUAUAUAUAGGACCUCACCUCUUCCUCAUUUCGUCGCUUAUCUCUCCUUCCUCUCUCUCUGCUUCCUCCUUCCCACCUCCUCCUUUUGACGAAAAAAAAAGGUAAAUAAUUUUUUUUAAUUACUUAAAAUUAUAAUAAUUUUAAAUAGUUUAGAAAUUCAAACGGUUUAGGUCGGGAAUUAGUUUAGGCUCAGAAUUUGUUAGAUUUAGGAUCGUAAUUAAAAAUUAAUUGUAAUUAAUUUGAAAAAUAAUUUUUUUUCGGUUUUGCAGACGAUGACUCGACGGAGGACGCAUUACAUCAAUUUCAUGACGGACGGACAUUCUUCCCGGGCGUCUGCCUCGGGAAACACCGAGACCGAUGUCCCUUCAUCUUCCGGAGCCUCCCAGGUUCCGAAUACCGCGGAGCCGUCUCCACCACCGCCUCCACCACCACCUCCACCGCCGGCUGUCGAACCGGUACCCGCCCCGGCUGCCGAACCGGUACCCGUCCCUCCUCAUCCGUAUGCCCAGUUUACGGUUGAGGAUUUACUAGCCUUACCGGGACGGGGGGCUUUACGACGUCUGGUUCCCGGAAAAGCGGAACCAGGCUUUUAUUGGUAAGUAAAUUUUUUGUUUUUUAUAGUUUUUAAAUUAACGCUUUAAUUUACUUAAAUAUUAAUGUAAUAAUUUUUUUUUUGGUUUCAUAGGUUUACUUUGGAUAAUUGUGUCGGACGGAGCGUUUCCGACACAAUUAAGAGUCAUUUCGUGGAGCCGCACGUCAAUUGGAGCAAGGUGUCGCAAGAGACGUGCGACACCUGGUACAAGUGCUUCGCGGUACGUAAUAUUUUUAAAAUCUUAUUUAUAUCAUUUUAAAUUGUUUUAAAUUUAAUUAAUCUUACUUUUAUAUUGUCAAUCUAAUUUUUUGUUUUCUUUUGCAGCAACGGUGGAACUGGGACAUCGGGAUCAAUGAGACGGUCCGCGAAGCUUUCGAGGAAAAGGCGAAGAAACGCCUAGUCAACACCGUUUCCGAUUGGAAGCGGAAAUGGGAGACCAACGGCGACGACGCAAAGCCGAGCUCCAUGUCCACUUGGUGUUGGAACGGGUUGAAGGCGUAUUGGGUGGACCCGCAUGCUCAAACCACCGCUGCUAAGUGUUCGGCCGUCCGAAACCGGGUCGAUCCGGUGACUGGUGAGAAGUUAGUGACCCCGCACACUUCUGGCCAAAUAUCUUUUGCAGGAAGACGUCUCAUGAUGGUAAGUAAUUAACUAUAAAUUAUUUCAUUAUUAUUUUAAUUUUAUUUAUUGCUAGAAUUAAUUAAAUAUUUUUGACUAAUAAUGUUUAUUAAUUGGUAGGCCGAGGAGAACGGAAGAGAACUACCUCCAAUGACGAAGCUCUUCGAGACCACUCACCGGAAGAAGGACGGGAGCUUUGUCGACGCUCGAGGAGAUCUACAAUGCCGCUAUGCAGCGGAUCGCCGAGCGGGAGACCCAGGCCACACCUGACGGUACUAUCCAAGUACCGUUGACCGUCGCUGAGCAAGACCAGAUUUUCGAAGAGGUAUGAUAUCUAUUUCAAUUUUUUAAAAAUUUAUUAUAUUUAUAAUUACUUAAUAAAUAAUUAACGUUUUUAUUUUCCAUUUGUAAGUUGCUCCGAAGAAGAAGGGUCGAACCUUAGGGAUGGGCUCUAUUAGAGACUGUCCUGCCGCCACGGCUUCCGGAUUCCGCUCGCAGGAUCCGCAGCUUCGUCAGGAGCUUGCUACGGCCAAUGCUGAGAUCACCAGUCUCAGGCAUGAGCAAGUGGCCCAGAAGCAGGAGCUCACCGAGAUACAUGAUCUCUUCGACAUCAUUGCGGAAGCGGUUCCGCAGUUGACCACUGCAAUCCGAGCGAGGCAACAGCGAGCACGGAGGGUUUUUGAGACCGGUGGUAGUUCCGGUACUGGACCAUCGGACCACCAGACGCAGGGCGGUCAGUCUUCGGCUCCGGUCUCAGCAGCGACAGGCGGUCAGACUUCGGCUCCGGUAGUGCAGACGGGAAAAGUCGGCCUAGCAGCGACGGGCGGCCAAGACGGAGAGCCUCCUCGUGACGUCGAUCUCAACCUCGACGAUUACAACAUCAUUGUAUAGAUUAGGUUUUUUUGUAAAAAACAAUUUGUAUAAUUUUUUUUUUAUUUAUAAAUUAUUUUUGAAUUUAAAUUGAAAUUUAAAUUCAAAUUUUUUCUAUUUUUAAUUUUUUGAUUAUUUUAAAAAUUCAUUAAUUAAAUUAAAAUCGAAUUAAAUAAUUAAUUUAUAAAUCGACGUAAAUUCGUCGUAAAUUUAUGUCGAUUUAACGUCGAAUAUUUAACGACGAAUUUACGACGAAUAAGUUUACGUCGAUUUAACAUCGACAAUUAAAAAUUUAGUUUCCCUUAAUUGAAAUUGUUCGUCUCCUAAACGUUGUAAAAUCGAUGUAAUUUUACAUCGAUUUUACGUCGUUUUUAUGAUGGAAUUUUUUCGUUGUACAUCCGUUGGAAAAUUUACGACGCAUUUUCGACGAAUAGUUCCCGACGAUUUUACGACGAUUUUCCGGAGUUGGUAAUUUUACGACAAUUUUACGACAAUUUCGGUUUUACGACGAUCGUUUUACGACGAUUUUUAAUUCGUCGUUAAUUCGACGUAAAUGCUCUUUUACGUCGAUUUUACGUCGAUAUCUGCCGACGUAAAAGCCAAUCUUUCUUGUAGUGAUUUUCUUUAUGGAGUGAAUUUGAAAGUCGUGUUUUUAGGAUAUAAAUACAAGCUUUAAGGAUUGUAAUUGAUUAUUCACAUAUUUAAUAAAAAAAAACCCUAAACGGAUAUUUAUACCUUAAUUGCAAUUUUCUUUCUUUUAUUAUUGCUUUAUUCGGUUUGAUUCACAACAUAAACAAGUAACAUUUGGUCGCAGCUUCGGUCGCAUUCACUAGCAAUUAUCAAAUGAAGAUGGCCUUUCUCUUAUAUAUUGAUAUAAUAAUGAAUCUGUUACAUAUUCUUCUUACUCAAGAUCACUAGUUAGUGAAGUGUUACGUGUCUGUUUAUAUUUUCUUUCCACAAAUAUAAAUUCCUUGGCAGCCUAUUUAUAACUAGUUUUUUAUUUUCUCCAACCUUAAGAGUGGAAUAAUGAAAUAACACUGUUAAGCAAAUGUCGCAAAACCGAAAGAGAAUAACAUAAUAAACUAAAGACGAUCUUAUUAUGGAAACAACGAAGCGAUUACAACACAGGCCAUUACGAUAUGAAACUUUAUUCCCAUACUUUUCAUUUCUUAAUCCAUCAUGCCCCUUAAGAACACUUGGGGCACUUACACAUACACAUAUAAGUGUAUAUAUAGAUCCAACCAUGCAUUAUAUAGUUUUAGUGACCGGGUUGAGUCUGAACAGCUUCUCCGGCAUAAGAACAACACCUUGAGCAGCCACGGUAACCUCUGUAGCAGCAACCGUGACGGCAAUAACCUCCUCCACGGCCUCCUCCGUUGUAUCCUCCUCCGCGGUGUCCUCCUCCGUUGUAACCUCCUCCUCCGUUGUAUCCUCCUCCGUUGUGUCCUCCUCCAUUGUAUCCUCCUCCUCCGUGGUGUCCUCCUCCGUUGUAACCUCCUCCUCCGUUGUAGCCACCACCAUAUCCAUCGGGUUUCACAUUUUCCUCACUUUCUGACUUCGCUGUAGCUGUCAAAAAUAAUACAUUUCAAAGAUAUUAUUAGCACGUUCAAAUUUGCAUUCCUCACCCAGAAUUUAGAACUAUUUUUCUAUUUGCAAAAAAUAUUAAGAGAUAUAAGUUUGCAUCUCUAGCUAGUUUGUUUCAAAACAUUUACAACAUAAGAUAUACGUUCUAAACAUUUUUGCUCUAAAUGUUUGAGAUGAUCCCGAUACAUAUAAUAAGAAUUCAACAUCAUACUUAAGUGUAUUUUGAUUUUCGUAAGUCUCCAGCCUUAUAACAAACUAAAUAGUUGAAUGAAUCUAUCACCCAAUGGAAGAAGUAGACAGAAACAUAAAAAAUAAUGUUACAUACCCGACUGCCUUUCGGAUGCCGCUGCCCUUUCUGAGACGACGAAAAGAAGUGCAAAGAGACCCAACAGAAUUAAAGCCCUCGAAGCCAUUUUCUUCAACUGUUCAACUCUUUGUUUUAGAACGUGUGAUGAAUAAAAAUGUCACCAUGUAUGCCUCUAUUUAAAGAAAACGAGGAGGAGGGAAUGAGAAGAGUAAAAAAAAACCUAAUCCCUAGUCCAAUAAAAAUAACUCAAAAGAAAAGUUAAGAAAUUUAAUAAUUUAUGACAAUAAAAAUAGUAAGAAGAAGAUAAGUAUCGAUUGCAUAGGGCCCAUUUAUGGUUGGUUGUUGGAAUCAUUGUAAAUAAUUUUGAAACUCCUUAAAUGGCAACUCUCCACUAGUCUUUUAGAUGUUUCUAUAAAACGUCUCAAACACAGCGCAUUCACACGUAUAUAGUCAUAGACAUAUUAAAAAAUAUUAUUGGAUUAUUUCGAGAAUAAUAUUCAUUAUUGGAGAGUUGGAGACUUGGACUAUUGUUUAUGAAUCGUCCUUUACAAUCUCAACCGACAGAUUUUACGCAGAAGGAUAUAGACAAAUCAUAUGGACUUAAAAUCAGUAAGUCAUAUAGGAGCGAUACGUAGUAGUUAAUAAGGACAGACGCAAAAUAUUAAGUCAUAUAGGAGCGUACGUAGUAGUUAAUAAGGGCAGACGCAAAAUAUUGCACGGCUAUAUUGUUGGGAUAUCAAUCCAAGUUUCACAUCUAAAAUUUAAACUAAUGUACUCAAAUAUAUAAGUAAAAUGUUUAAUAGUUUAGUAUAAAAUUUUUUGGAAGAAAUUUAAAAACAAAUCCGUGCAUGCUUUGUCAUUUGAAUCCAAAGUGGACAAUAUCAUACUAAUAGAGAAUUGGACAUGGAUUUGAAAAGUUCAACAAUUGGUAUCAGAACCAGGUUCUGGAAAAAAUGGAUCUGGACAAAUGGGUGUGGACUGUGUGUUCGGUGUGGGAGGGAGAGCCCUCAAAGUAACCUUGCGAUUAGGGUGCUGGUGCUUUGUAUCAAAAGUCUUCCGAUUGGGCUUUUCAAGCUCAUGUCCAACUCCCUAUUAGUAUGAUAUUGUCUGCUUUGGGCCCAAAUGACAAAGCCCGCACAGAUUUAUUUUUGGAUUCGGGUUUGAGUGGUCCUUAGCUAGAGGAGAGGAUUGUUGGGAUAUCAAUCCAAGUCCCACAUCCAAAGUUUAGACCAAUAUGGUCUAGUAUAUAAGCAAGAUGUCCAAUAGUUUAGUAUGAGACCUUUUGAGAAGGAAUCCAAAAACAAAUUCGUGCGGGCUUUGCCAUUUAGGCCAAAACGGACAAUAUCAUACUAAUAAGGAGUUGGACUGGGCUUGAAAAACCCAAUAUGAAGACUUUCGAUACAAGGCACCAGCACCCCAAUCGCAAGGUUACCUUGAGGGCUCUCCCUCCCACACCGAACACACAGUCCACACCCACUUCUCUAGUCUACCUUUUCCAGAACCUGACUCUGAUACCAAUUGUUAGAUUUUCAAGUCCUUGUCCAACUCUCUAUUAGUAUGAUAUUGUCUGCUUUGAGUCCAAGUAGAAAAGCCCGCACGUAUUUGUUUUUGAAUUCCUUUCCAAAAGGCCUCAUACUAAACUAUUGGAUAUCUUUAUGUACUAGACCAUGUUGGUCUUUACUUCGGAUGUGAGACUUGGAUUGAUAUCCCAACACUUUUUAACAGUUGCGAAAAGGUUAGGAGAAGAGUUUCGUUGGUGCGUACGGUGAUACAAGAUGGGUGCCAAGUUUCGCAGGAGGUUGGGAGGCCACGGGUUUGUGUGAUCCUUGGCUUAAGGGGAGAAUUAUUGGGAUAUCAAUCCAAACCUCAUAUCUGAAAUUUAGAGCAAUAUGGUCUAGAAUAUAAGCAAGAUGUCCAAUAGUUUAGUAUAGGGCAUUGUGGAUAAGAAUCCAAAACAAAUCCAUGCGGGGUUAGCCAUUUAGACUCAAAGCAGAUAAUAUCAUACUAAUAGAAAGUUAGACAUGGGCUUGAAAAGCCCAACAUAUAUUAAUCACAGCUAUUCUAAUGGAAAAUUUUUUUAAUGAAAUUAUCUAUUCAAGUCAUUUAAGCGUAAGGCUUGAUAUUCAGUAAAUGAGUUGAGAAUUAGUUAAUAAUAUUAAUAAAGGUCAUUGAGUGUGGACAUGUUAGUUACUUUCCUGCUACUUGCAUUUGACUUAAGAGUGAAAUUCAUAAGAUUGUACAAACAAAUUGUCUAACACAUGAGACUUGUGAUACCAAGAACAAUACAUGCACACAAUAAGCCAUGGUAGCUCAAUUAUUCGUUUGGAAUGUAAAACAUCACAUACAUGUCUAAUUCAAGUUUUACUUGAUAUAAAAAUUAAACGGAUGAUAUAAAGGAUCUAAGAACACCUCCAUUAGUGAGAUACAUCAAUAUAAUAUUAAUACUGCAUUUAAAAUAUACUUUAACUUUGCAAUUUUAAGUUUUCUAAAAAACAUUCAUGAAAAGAUAUAUGUUACAUUAGUCUCUCAUAUGGUUUACAAAUGAUAAUCCAUUCUCAUUCCCCAUUCUUUCUUUAAUAUGAGAAAUCCAGUGAAAUAUUCUCAAUAGAGAUGUUUUAAAGCCUCUAAUUAAUUAGCAUGAAUAUUUUACUUAUUAAAAAUGUAUAAUUUCAAGCUUGUGACUCAUCAAGGAGAACAUCCAAAACGACUUAAUCAUAAGUACGAGUUGGGAUUAAGCAAGAAUUGGGAACUGGACAGAGAGCAAAAAAUUAGAAAAUACGGAACACAAAUAGUAAUAGUUAAUGGUAAUAGUUAAAGGUAUCAACUUAAUCAUAAGGACGAGGGUGAUCUUUGUCUUACACAUAAUUCUUUUCCCCCUUAUUUCCUCUUAGUUUGGUUGUAAGGAUUAUCUAGAGGGUUGUAGCCUGUAGGAUAUAUGAUCUAGAGAUUGUGAAAGAUCUCUCGAAAAUUCUCAAGAAUUAGUCUACAAAAUAAAUUCCUAAGAAUCCUUCCCCAAUCCAAAGGAUCACGCUAGCAAUCCCCAAACCUCCGCUUUUGUCACUUAUCUUACCCUAGAUGGAUCUUCAAUACAGAUCGUUUUAUCCAUUUGAUCAAUACCAUACAAUUUAGGUGUCUUUGUAUAACAAGGCGUAGUAUAUCCCUUAUUUGGUAUUCACGCAACACAAUGAAACACAUGACUAUAUCUUUGUGUUUUUCCACUCAUUUUCGAAUUCUUUCUCUUUGUGUUAGAUUUAUUUUUGAGAGGCUGUCUCUUUUUUUUGGACAAAAGAAUAGAUACCUACAACUGUUUUAUAACAUAAACAAUAUCUUGCAGUCCGCCGCGUUGAAUGUAUGAAAUAGAGAAAGCUAAAACCUUCCUUACACAUGUUGAAUUCCUCCAUGCGGUAUAAACAUCAUCGUCACCAACUCGAAAUAGUCUGUAACAAAAGAUGUUGUCUUCUGAUAUUCGAUUAUACAGUGCAUGAUCCAAAUGAAUGCUUCUACUUCAACGUGCAAAGGAAAGAUUUUCUUGUAGACUUUUGCUCCCAUUAAUAUCAUUCAAUAUAUUCUUGGAAGCAAUGCCAUCCUAGUCUGGAAAAAUUGUCGGUUUAGUUUUCUUGUAAGAGCAGUCUAUGUAGCAUCAAAUAAUUUAACCAAAUUUCCUUGGGUCAACGAUCUAUUUUUUUAUGGGAAUUAUCUAUAGCAUGAGAUGUCUCCCGACCUAUAUAUGCCUUCUUUCUAUAUCUCCACGAAAUCGGGUUAAGACCUAUUUGAGAGAUUAAUAUUUUUAAGUUUGUUUUUGUGGGGAUAUACACAGAGAAAAUAAUUUAAUGUACGUUAACAUCUGAUGAUGGCUGAUGCUACAGUAAAAAUUCUAUAUAUUAAUAAUGUUGGAACUUUAAAAUUUUAUUAAUUUAGCAAAUUAUUAAUUUAUAAAGAAAUUAAUUUAACCAAAAUUUAAAUUUAAAACCAAAUAAUUAAUUGAGUUUAUUAAUUUAUCAAAUAUUAAUUUAUAGAAUUUCUGUUGUAUAUAUAUGAUAGUUCUCGUGAUUCUUUCUAUCCUUUCUAAGAAAGAGAAGUUAUCAAAUACAUUUAAUGGUGGAUACGUGGAGUCUCGGUCAGGAUUGUUGAUCACCACACGUGAUAGUGAAAUUGUAAUUUGGUAAUAAUAAGGGGAAAUGUUCAGCUAAAAAAAUUAAAUGAAACUCAGACCAUGCAAGUGUUGGAACCUUACUCAAUGAAUUGAUUGCUUGUUUCGAUCCAAAAUUCAAAAAGCAAUAACUAUAGCUGAUGCUGACUAUUGAGAAGAAAGUUCUAAAUUGGCAACUCAAACUAACCACAUGAUAGUAUGAUACAUAAUGACAUUCUUUCAAUUUUAUAGCCUUUUCUAUCAAAUUGAAAAUAUGGAAAACCAAAUUAUAUUUUUAAUAUUUAAAACAAGAUACUAGCUAUUCUAUAACUUUAGUAUACCCAGGUAAAGAAAAUAAGAUUUAGAUUCUAUAUUGAAUAAGAAUCAGUCUAAUUAUGACUCAUAUAGUUAGAUUUCAAUUAAAACUCUUAUUAGUUAUUCAGAAAUUAUGUUUUAUAAUUUGUAAGUAAGAAAAUUUAAAAUUAAUCUAUAUUAAUCAUAAAUAACCCUCUUAAAUAAAUAAGAGGUUAUAAGACAAUAAUUUACAUUUUUCAAUUUGUAGUUUCUAUUUAUUUCUGUAUUUUACUUUUUAUUUUAUUUUAUUAGUUUCUUUUUUUGAACCAAAAAUUAUUUUGUUUUAUAUUUAAUUUUUUAAUAUUUAAAUAUAAAUAACUAAAAUUUAAAAACUUAAAUUAUUAUAUUAACAUAUGUUACAAUCUAAACUAAUAAUGACACAUAUAAUAUCUGUAAAAAGUUAUAAUUAUUCUAUGUGUCAUGCUAACGUAGAUCUUACCAAGUAGGAUUGUAACACUAGAUAGAUUCAACUCUGCAUAAUACGUAAAAAAUAAUAAAAUAUUUAGAUGAUCUGGUCAUCGAUCUAGCAAACCACCACAAGGUGAUCUCAAUGCCCAUAGACGAUCCAACCGAGCCAUCCGAAGCUGAUUGGAGCCUUGUUGAAGCUGUAUCGGUGAAACCAAAUACCAAAUCAACUGAGGGAAGGCAUUUUUACCAACCAACCAACCCCAGUGAAGACUGAUCAAGCAAAAACACUUUUGACUCAAACCAGAACUGAAGAUAACCGAGACAUUCCACCUAAUAGCCAAGGAGCGGUUAUACCAUCACCAUCUUUGACCAAACCGGUGAUUCAUGAUCCAAGAACCAAUAUUCAUCGACCAACCGACCAUAAGGAGUAUUCUGUACGAGAUAUUUCAUGUCUUAACCAAGCUAGAAGUAAAGAUAACCGGAGCCUCACCAACCGGCUUGAUUACAAACCAGAUUUUACCCGAGAAGAGACUUGGGCUGAUUUCUUAGAGAUCAAACUCAAUCACCAAGAACUAAUAUCAAACCUGAUUUGCUCUGUGUUCUUGACCCAUUAAGGAAUCACGGUGAAUUGGAAUCAGUCCAACUUACCCGAUUGGAAAUAUGCACCUUAAUUGAAGCAUUCCGACCAAGCCGGGAGGAAUUAAGCUGCGAAAUGACUUGUUCUGGAAUCUGGGUUCAUCAAGGAAUCCGGGAUAGUUGGAAUCACACCAAGUCCGGUUUUCAUUUGGGAGAUACUCCAUUUCUAAACCGACCGAUGGUUUCCCAGCUUGCCUUAUUUGAAACCCUAUGGGUUUAGGAGACACUAGACGUAUCAGUGGCAUCCAGGAGACUGUGCUAUUUCCAGAAGUUCCCUAAAAUACUCUAGAGUGCACCCGUACGCCUUGGAUCAGGCGGAUCCAUCUGUACCUUCAAUUGAACUAACUAGGGCCGAUUAUAGAAACUACGAAGACCGACCAGUUCAAUUAUGAGCAAACCAAGAUAUCACGACCAGAAGAGAUUCUUAGACAAUUAAGGAGCUUAAAAACACCUUCCCAUGCACCAGAAACCACAGGAUCAGACGGAUCUUCUUGCAAGUCCACUUUCCUUAUGUAGCUGCGUUCACAUUAGGAGCCAUAACUUUCCAACGGCUCUUUGUCUUUAAGUGCUACGAUAUGGACAACUUUUUUGGAGAUAAGAAUGUUCCAGAAAUUCUCACUAAUCCUCUUAAACCUUACGGAUACAAAGGCGUCAUCACAAUUGCCUUAGUUGCCGAGACCCUCCAUUAAGAGCCAACAGCUAGUUUUUGAUAUAUUUUUGAUUUGUUCCUUUACUCUAGAUUUUUAGACCGUUUGUAAUUAAGCUUGUAGGAGCUCUAUACAAGCUCAGCUCAGGUAAUUUUUACAAUUCACCUUUAAAUCCAGAUUAAUACAAAGUAUUCCUUUUUCUUUCAAAGUUGUGUCUUUGCAAAGACUUGUUCUUUUCUUUAGAAUUAAGUGUGAGAUUCACUUAGCUCUAUAGAAGCUGCGAAAUUAGUUUGUUUAUGAGAUUCAAACAAACUAUUUCGUCGACAUAUUGAGAGAGUCAAUCAACCCCCAUCGAUUGAGAGUCAAUCACCCUAUCAUCAUCUUUAUCUCGACUUCAUUCCACCUUCCGCAGAAUAAGUUUGGAAUAUCUUCAUCAUUAAGUGAUCAUAAGUUGGAGUGAUUUCAAUCUUGUAUCAAUUAAUAAUGACACAUGUAAUGAUAUAGAAAGUUAUAAUUAUCCUACGUGUCAUGCUAGCGUAGAUCUUACCAAGUAGGGUUGUAACACUAGAUAGAUUCGGCUCUGCAUAAUAUGCAGAAAAAUAAUAAAAUAUUUAGGUUUUCAAUUUUUAUAAUCUGCAUAAUUAUGACUUGUACAGUUUGAUAUAUACUAUUAUUUGCGAGGUCAAAAAUCUGAUGUGUCAUCAUCACAGUGAUUGUCUUAUGUGUCAUUAAUAAAAAACAAUUAUGUGUUGUUUUAAUUUGUUUUGAUAGGUCAAUCAUUAGUCCUACGUGUACAUAUCCAUGACAUGGUUUUUUUUCUUAAUUAUGGGCCAAAGAUUUUGCUAAUGGGCCACCGAUCUUAAAGUUUGUCCUAGCCACCGAUGUAAAAGUCGGUACUAACCUAAACCCUAGCGUAUCCAUCGUGCUAGAUAUACCCAUUUCGGUUUUCAUAUUUUCUUACAUAUAAUAUCUGUCUACUAAAAAAAAAAUUGUUCACCUCUUUUUUUAAAAAAAAACUAUCAUAGCAUUUAAAAAAAACGUCCACCUCUUUUUUAAAAAAAGGAUCAUAUCAUUUUUUAUAUACUCCAUCUCUUUUUUUUAAACAAUCUCUAUGAUUAUUUAUGCGUAUUUCUAAUGAAAAUAACCUACUAUUUUUUGUAUAAUUGAUAUUUUGAUGGUUCUAUAGUUCAUCUCUCGCCUUACAAUGGAAUCGUCAGGUAAAUAUACAUUUUUGAUUUUAUCUUAGUUCGUGCUUUUAAUGUUUUUUCAGAUUCUAGAAGUUUUUCUUUUGUAAAUCCACGGCGUAAUAGUUAUUUGCUUCAAAACUUUUAUGAAUUUUCUGUAGCGAUUAGCAAUCGUCCCUUUCAUGAUCCUCAGAUUUUCUAUAUCAUCUGCCGCCAUCUCAAAUCGUUUUUCCACGAGAUGAAGAUUCUUCUGCCAGUGUUAACAAUGAUAAAUUUAUCGGUUGGUCGAAGUGUAAUCAGGACUAUCCAGAAUCCAGAUCGUUAUGUAUUCUGAAUUUCUGACACGUUGGAUUUGAGAUUGUUAAAAACAUCAUGGCAUCCCCGUCUCUGCGGAAUCUCCACACCGAGUAUUAUAUCCAAUUGUAACCCCAACACUGGUACUGCUUAAGGGUUUUAUUGCAUGUCGUUUGCAGUCCAUGUUCUUAUAUUGAUAUAAGAACAAAUAAAUGGUGUUGUCCACCCUACUUUCAAAGAUGCAUGUUAUGUUUUAGGUUAAAUUCACGAUGAUACUGAGAAUGUUUAAGCUUUCUAUAAGGCAAGUCAAUGAGGUUCCCGCUUCUCUCUCUUCAAAUGAGGUUCACUACUUUGUUACAUCCAGGUUCUAUGAUGAAUCACUUUUGUGUAUGGAGAUCCAUUCAAUGUUUUUUAGUAUAAGUUUUGUCAAUUUUUUGCAUUGUCUUUGAUUUUCUUUUCUUUCAUUAUAUUAUUUUAACAAUUUCUUAGAUUUUUUAUUCUGUUCUGCCCGGUUUCGGUUGAGAGGUUUACUAUUUGAGAUUUUUGUUGGACGUUGUUAGGUAUUUUUAUUGGACGUUGUUAGGUAUUUUUAUUGGAAGUUGUUAGUCUUGGUGCUCAUGCUUUAUAUAUAGAUGAUAUCCAGUAGCUAAAGAUUUGUGUACUUAGUGGUUCGUUUGUUCGGUUGGUAAUUUUUUGUUUGGGUUUUUGAAUUUGGUUUUGUAUUAUUUUUUCAGUCGGUUAGAUUGAUAUUUGGUGCGUGUUGGUUAUAUAUUUUGUGGUUUAAUGAUUACACUAUUAUAUAUAUAUAUACAUAUAUAUAUAGUUGUAGUGUGGUUUUUAGACAAAAUUCUCUUUUUUCAAUUUUUGCGAUAGUUUAUUUUUCAAGAAUGUCACAUAUUUAUUCAUUGAGCUUUUGUGGUGUUUAUGAUUUCUAAUAUGUCUACGGUUUUGUCAGAUAUGAUUGUAAUUAUUUACCUAAGCUCUUAAAAUUAUUAUUUAUUAUAUAAUCUAUACAUAUAUUGUGAUCAAAGUAAAGAAUGUAUAUCCUAGGGUUAUUUAACUAUGAUCUGAAAUUUAGUAUUUAUUAUAUAUAAUCUAAUAAGGAGAUGAAGACGACCAAUGAAGUCGGAAGGUGAAGAUGAUAAAAAUAUAGAAGACAAAGUAAAAUAAAAAAAUGAAAAAAAAGAAGUAGAAGAAGAGGAGAAAAAAAGAUAAAUCAAAAUAUAAAGAAGAAGCUGUAGUUGAUGAUAAAAACUAAAGAAAAAUAUGAACAUAAAUUUGAAUAAAACCAUAGAGAAAAAGAAGAAGAUGAGAACACAGAAUAGUGAAGAAGAAUAUUGAUAAGAAAAAAGAAAUUUGGCUUUGAAUAAGAAAACCAGAAGAAAUAAAUGAAAGAUGUAGAAACAAAGUAAAGACGAGGAAAUGGGAAAAUGAGUAGGUGUAGAUGAAAAAAAAAAGAUGAAAACACUAGAAGAAGAUAAAUUUGACAAAGACCAAAGAGGAAUAAGAAGUAAAGAAUAAAGAAGGCUAAUAAAAAUCAAAAAAGAAAGAAGAACAAGAAGAAAAAGAAGAAAAAGAAGAGCUGAGAAAUAUAACGAUGAUGAAGAAGAAGUCAAAACGAUGAUGAAGAUGAAAGAAAAUUAUGAAAAAUAAGAAAAUCGAAAGAUAUAUAAGACGAAGAAGAAAGUACAAGUCAAAGAUGAUGAAUAAGAAGGAAAAUAUGAAGAAGAAGAAGACUUUGGGACAGAAAAAAAAAACAAUGUCUUUAAAUUAUAUAUUAGAGAAUGAAGAAGAAAGACAUAUAAAAACCAAAAAAAUAAAAGAAUAAGGAAAAUACAAAGAAAAAAAAAACCAAAAGAUAAAAAGUAGAAAAAAGAGUAGAACAAAAUAGAAGAGCAAGAAGAAGGAGACAAGUCUGAAGUGGGAAUUGAAAUAGAAGUUGAAGACGAUGAAGAAGAGGAAAGAAAACAUAAGAAAUAAGAAAAUUGAAGUCAAUGAUAAAGAAGAAGUAAAAGACGAAGAAGAAGACUGAAAAAAAGAAAAAUAAAAAUCAUAAUAAGAAAAAUUAUGACAAGACGAAAUGUUGACAACUAAAAAUGGGAAGAGGAUGACGAAUUUAGAGAGAGAGAGAGAGAGAGAGAGAGAGAGAGAGAGAGAGAGAGAGAGAGAAAUUGUGGUAAUGCUUUCAGGGACAUGUAGAUGGAGAGAGAGAGACAGUGAGUGAGAGAAAUAGAGAGAGAGAGAGAGUAAGAGAAAUGAGAAAGAGAGAGUUAAACAUUUCAAGUACAUGACAUUAAAUCUAUGUUAGUUCGUCUUUUCUGUGUUUCUAUUUUUUUUUAUAUCUGAGACACUUCUUACUUUAAAUGUAGUUGUCUAAAUCGUAGAUAUAUACAACUUAAGACGAGGGAAGAAGAGAGAGAGAGUGAGAGAGAAAUACUGAAACAGAGGGAGGGUAAGAGAGAGAAUGAUAGGGAGGGACGCAUGGAGGGGGAGAGAAAGUUAAAGUUUUCAGGUAUAUGUAUUUGAUUAAUAUAAAAGACGAAGAAAAACAAGAAGAAUAUGAAGUCAGAGAGAUCAAAGAAGACGAAGGUGAUGAUGAAGAAGAAGAAUUCGAAGUAGAAGAGGAAGAAGUUGCGAAUAAGAUGUGGAAAACAUGAAGAAGAAGAAGACGUGAUUAAAAAAAAAAAACUAAAGAAUAAGAAGUAAGAAAAGACAUAUAGAAUGAAGAAGAAAUAAAAGAAAAUGAAAAGAAAGUAAGAAUAUGCGAGAGUAGAAUGAGAGAUAAAGGUGGAAAACUAUGAAUAAAGAUAAGGAAAAGACAAUAAAGAAGAAAAAUCAAAAGAUAAAUAAGAGGAAAAAAAUGAUGAAAAGCGAUUAUGUGGAGUGAUAACUAUGAGUUUUCAAGACUCUUUGUAGAGGUUAUCAAUCCCUUGUCUUGUAGUACAAGGGGUUUAUCAAUCCAAGAAUGUGGUGAUAGACACUAAGCUAUGUAAUCAGGUUCUUAAUUCAAGCAAACAAGAGUGGUUUGGUUAACUAGAGACAACUACAAACUUAAACAGGAUUAAAGACUAAUGAAAUGAUUAAACAAGAACUAAACAAUGAGAAAUGAUGAGAAUGUAUGAAUGAUGAUGAGAAAAGUCUUAGACAUGAUAGUGGAUUAGGGUGCCUUCAGUGAUAAACUAAUGAGCUAAUGAAUCAUAUGAUCAAGCAAACCAUUCAACAUAAACAUCUUUAAUUAAGUUAAUCCUCUCAUGAAGGUAUUAACUCCUAUGCUAAAACAGUUUCUAACCCAAUCAUCAUCAGUGAAACAUGAGUUAACAAGCAUUAAGAAUCAGUUUAAUCUGUCAUUUAAGCAUAUAGACAAUCAUUCCCAUGAUGAAUAACACUUAAACCUAUAACAACCUUGGUUCAAACAUUUCAUCAAACACUUUUGAUGCAUGAAAUGCCCAGAAUCUAGACCACAUAUGAUUUGUAUGGAUCUAGCAUAGAGAACAAGUUGUAGAGAAUGGAAUAUGCAUGAUCUAACCCCUAAGCUCACUAAUCUACCACUUAAACACCCUAAUCUACAUAUCUAAGACCUUAAUAUGGAGAUUACUCACUAAUCAUGAUCAACACACUAGAUCCUUUGCAAGAUGUGUUGUUAAUCAUGAUUAGAAGUGUAUAGAUGGAGAGAUAGAUGAUAGAUUUUAGAAGAAAGCAGCUUUAAACACAAAGAUCUCUUAAACUCUCUUGAUUAAACACUCAAUAAUCAAUAUUUCUCUUCUUAAUGGAGUCUUUUCACAAAAGAGGCAAGAGACAAAAGGAAUAAAGCUUAGUCUUCUAAAAACCCUACAAAGUAUUUAUAUCUCUCUAAAAAACGAACCGGGUCAGCCCGGAACAAACCGGAUCCUGACCCGGCUUUAAUGGAUAAAGUGGAAAUUCUGCGGGUUGGUCCAGUGUCUCCCAGGUAGCAUGCCCAAGUCGCAGUAGAUGAAGAACUUGUCUUGUGAGACUUAAAUCGCCUUGUCUUAGUCGCACGCCCAAGUAGGAGUGUUUUGCGAGUCUUGCUGCGGCUUAAUCUUCUUCUUCUUCAACUCGCAGGACCAAGGCGGUUUCUGGGGAAUGUACAAACCGUGCGGGUUGGUCUCCAUUACACUCAGGUCGCAGGCUCAAGUCGGAGUAGAUUGAGAGUGAUCGUGCGGCUUGGUUCCAGGCGCGGCCAACUCGCAUGCCUAAGUCGCACGAUUGUGGACUUAGCAAUUUUCUUGCUCGGGAGCCUCAGACCUCAUCCAUUGAUAGCUUACCCGCACUUCUCAACUCGCAGCAUCAAUUUCCAGGCAUUCGUCUUCAGGCCUGCGAGUUAACCAAGUCGCAAGGCUUUCUCGCAGCAUUCAGAGCAGCUUGGACCACUUCGCAUUCCGGAGAGUUUAACUUCUAAGAUACUUGUCCGAAUUGAGUGAUUCCGGUUGAAGAGGACAGAGGACUCAUAUAUCUCCAACUUUGGUGAAGGAAGCUUCGGUGCUUGGGAAGUGGAAGGCUUCCUGGAGAGCUCAUCUUUGCAGUGCAUUUACACGAUCAGAGAGAGGCGUCUAGACAUGUGUCAAUUCCGGAGACCGUAUCUUCCUGCUCAUAGCUCCGAAUUGAAUGAUCUUGGACGUUAUGGAUAGAGGACUCAAAUGUCUCUGAUUCGCAUGAAGGCUCAGGAAACUGAAUCGGCCUGAAAGUGCACUGUCCGUCGCAUUCUUCAGAGCUCAUCGGCUUGGUCCAGAACAGCAGCGAGACAGGGGUUCCUUCCGACGAGCUUAACUUUCUGCUCACGCGUCCGAAUUCCAUGAUUUCACUUGCUAUGGAACCAUGAUCCAAUCGUCUCCAACUUCGAUGAAGCACCCGACAACUGAAUCGGACCGGAAGGUUCCCCGGACAGGCGAUUUCGGAAACGUGUCUGCACCCGGAGAUUUUGGCCGAAAGAUUCAAUAGCCGGUACGCGUUUUGGCCGAUAAAGUCUACCCGCGGUACGCGUUUUGGCCGAGAAAAACCUUUCUGGUGCGCGAGAAUGGCCGAUAACCUCCAAAGACCCAAUUUCACCAUUUUUCAAGCCUUGAUCAUCAUUCCACCUCCUGGAUUCAUCUUUUCAGCUCCAAAUACACCUGAUAAGCACUCAAAACAUGCAAAGACUCAUUGGGACCUAAUGCAUCUCCUAAGUUCUAAAACAAACCCUAAGGACCUAAAAUGCAUGGAAUAAAACAUGAUUUGAAAUGAAUUAUGCAACCUAAAUGAUGCAAAUUAUGAACAUAUCAACUCCCCACACUUGUCCUUUGCUUGUCCUCAAGCAAACAAGAACAAAUGAGAGAGAGAGGUUGAAUGCAUGGGAGUUCACAUUUUCUUUUUGAGAGAAGUGAUCACAAUGAGAAUUCAAAUUCAUGCUCAAUUAUGCAAUGCAAAGCCAUACUCAGAUAUAUAUCAACUCAGCAAGGAAUUUCCACAAGUUCUUCUCUCUCUCAACUCUUACAUUCAUUAAGCUUUUAUCAGGUGAAUCUCAUGAUGCAAUGUUUAAACAAGCUGGCUUGGCUAGGGAGAGGCUAUGAGAUUAAAAUGAUCUCAUUAGUGUUCAAGUGGGUUUAAUGCAGCAAAGGGAUCUCUCUAUGAAUGAUCAAACUUUGGCAGAAUACUAAAGGUAAAAAGCAACCUAUGCAUACAAGGGCAAAGACUCAUCACACCCCACCCUCUACUCAAAGCUUUCUCACUUGCUCACUCUCUCAAGGACCUCACUUUUCACACUUAUUUUCCUCUCACUAGGGGACUUACUUUUCACUUUCACUCUCAAGUCUUGGAGUUCAAACUUUACACAGCUCUUUUUCUUUUGCAACCUCUAGCCUCCUUUUCUUCUUUCUUUUCAAAACAUUUGAGCUCUUUGGCUUCUUUUCUUUUCCUUUUACUUAGAGGCUAGACUCUUUCUUUUCAACACACCAGAGCUCACUUUCUUUAACUCAAAACUCCAAGACUGAUUUCUUUUUCUUUCAUUCCCCUAGCUAUUUCCACUUCCUCUUUUCCACUCAUCUCACCUUUUUCCACUCACCAACAAGUCUUUUCCCCCACACUUAUUCCUCGCCAAAACUCUCAGUUCCUUGAUGUUGGAACACAGCACUCAAUGAGACCUGCCCUUGUCGCUCUAAACCUAACACUUUCUGCUAAGUUUGAUCCAAGGUGGCCUUUCAAUUCACACACAAACAUUGGCUUGAAAGAAAGAUGGGUUCAAGGUGAGGGAACUGAUCCAUGAUGCGGAUUCAGCUACUUGAGCUAAGCAAAAAAGGGGGGGGGGUAAAAACAAUGGUUCUAGCUCAAGUAUGUAUAUCGGUAUCCACAAGCUUUUUCAAACAAUGCAUCACAAGAUAUUUUCAAGUCAAGUUCAAGGUUCCCACUUAAUUAGAGUUGAGUUCAAUUCAAACUUGCUUCUCAGAUUCAGAUCAUUUCAGACUUUGCAAGCACAGAAAAAGAUUCACAAGCAUAUUCAGUUCAAGUUCUCAAAGUGAUGUACUCUCUAGAAAAUCUAUCAUUACUCCCUGCAAGAUGCAACCUACAUGAACAUGCAAUCUAGACUCAAUCCUAAAAAUGAGAAUGCAACUACAUGAUCAUUUUUUUUGUGAAAAUUUUUCAGAUUUUUCAUUUUUUUUGGGUUUUUAUAUGCACUUAGAUGAGACUACAUGAAUAUGCAACUAGAAUGUGACUCAAGACUCAAAGUAUAAAAUAAGAACAGAGAAAACAUGGUUAGUAAAAGAUGAAACUCCUCCCCCACACUUAAAUAACACAGUCCCUUGUGUUAUAAAAGCAUGAGAAAGGAGUGAAAGCAAAGCAAACAAGUAAAAAUGCAAAGAAAAAGAAAAUCUACAUGCAUAUUUACAAGGUUUAGAGUGUUACCUAAGAGCUGUUGAAGUCAGACCCCAAUGAGUAAGAGGGGUUUGAAGUGUGACCGGAUGGUGUCUCCCAAGAAUGAUGGCUUGCUUCAUCAGACCCGUCGUCGAGAUCCACCCAAGUUGUGCCAUAUGUGACCAGGGCUAUGCAGUUCAUGGAACUCUCUCCAACUUCCUCUCUGUUCCUUGGUGAAACUGGUGCUGGAGACCCACCUUUGCAAGGGUUUUCAAGCUUAUUAAUCCUCUUCUUCAUCUCCUUGAUGCACUUGGCCAUCUUGUGGAUGGUUUUGUCUUGGUACUUGCACCAUUGUUGGAGAAUACCAAUCUUUUGUUGAGCUAUGAACCCUGAAGUGCCUGGUUCCUCCCAGUUGUAAUCAUCAAAAUGGUAUCUAUUUCCAACAAAACGUUUUUGAGGUGGAGGCAGAUCAGCAUCUUGAGCACCAGUAGCACUUGUGGUAGCAUCUUCAGCGGUUGCUCUCUUUCCCUUGGAGGCUUCUUCUCUGCAAGCUUGCUUGUAUGUGAGGAUUGGUGGAUCAGUUUGGACAUUGUACAGCUCUUCCUUCAGCAAGAAGAAGUGAAUGUUCCUCUUAACUUGGACUGUGGUGAUGGAGGGAUUGGGCAGGAGAGUUUGUGCUGGCUCACUGAUGAGAGUCUUGAAGUUGUAUACUACCUUGGUACCCACUCUUCCUUGGAGGAAGCCAAUCUUACACAAAUGUGCUUCAUUAAUUAGAUCAAACUUUGCCUUGUUCUCCUUGAAUCUGUACCCCUUGGCUUUCAAAAUCUUUGUUACCACCCAUCCAUGGGCCAGCUUUGCAUCUUGCUUUGUAGAACCCCAAAUGCACUUUUUUUAGAACAUCAAAGACCUUGCUAAUUGAGAGGCAAGGCAAAGUGGGUAUUCAUACUGUUCAUAGGGUUCCCCAUCUUCAUGAGUUGGCAUCAGCUGUUUCAGCCCCACACCAAGAAGCAUCAGAUCGCCUUUGUGAACUCUUCCAUCAUCGAUUUUGAAGUAGAAGCUGUGAGAGAGAAUCUUGUGAACAUAUCUCAGCACUGGAUUCCUUAUCCAAGAGGACUUAGCUGUUCCAGCUAUGUACUUCCCAGAAGCAAUUGAUCUCCAUAGAAGUUGGACCUCAUCUUUUCUGAGAUUGACCUGGUUGGAGAGAAGUUCAUUUCUAGGUGUUAACAACCCAAAAAUCUCAUUCAAUUCUCUGAAUGACACUGAAUAAUCCUUCCCUUUCAUAGUAAACUCCAAAUGUCCAAGCCCAUCUCCUUGAAUAAUUCUUGAAUCCCUUGGGUAGUAAAUGAAAGCUUCAAAAGAAGCCAAGAACUCCUGAGAUUCCUCUUCAUAAGCGAUCUCUCUCAUCUCCAAAAGUGACUCAACACCCAUGUUCCCAAGCAAGGUUUUGACAUCUUCAUAGAUGCCAAUAUUCUUCAAAAAGUCCACAUCAGGGAACCUCCCUUGCUGGAUCUCUAUCUGUUGAAACUUCGCCAGAUAAUCAAGUGUUUCUGGUUCAGUUUUCUUGAACCUUUUUGAUCCCUCUUCAAUGGUGCCUUGUGAACCACCAGCUGAGCUGCUUGAGUCACUUUCAGUCUGUUCACUCUCAGAUACGACAGCCAACUGUUUCCCCUUCUUCUUGGAACCAGAAGCAACCACCAAAGAUUUUCCUUCAUGCCUUGUCCUUUUUGGCGCUGGAUCACACUUCCCUUGCUUUGUGGUAUUCUUUGCUCCUUGACCUUUUUCUCUUGGCUGUGAAGACCCUGAGACCAAACCUUUGCCCUUUGAUGCAGUGCUCUUCUUCUUGGCCAGAGAGUUGGUUCUUUCAGUCAUCUGCCAAGACAUUCUCAAAAACAAUGUUAGUACAAGAACAAGCUUCACAAAAUUCUCCAAAAUUUUGAAAAAAAAAAAUUGUUGCAAGAAUCGAUUUUAAAACCACAUGAACAGGUUUCUCAAGCCAAGCAUCAAUCCAAUAAGUUCAUAGCAAUGCAAAAACAAGAGUGCAAAGCAAGGACUCAGCAAUGAAAAUAGAUCUUUUUAAAAAAAAAAAAAAAAUCGAUUUUUCUCAUGAAUUUCUUACAACAAUUUUCAAAACUCAAGAACAAGGAAUCACCAACAGCUGUUUUCUAAGACUAUCUAGCACCCUAGCAUUUAUAAAAAUAAUCCCAAGGUCUAAAACAAUCUAUCAAAAUCGAUUCCACACCUUGAAGUUCAAAAAUCACCAUUGAAGAACAUGGAAAAAGGUGAAUUUUAACUGAAUGAAAUACCUUGGGAUUAAGAUGCAACGAGCUCGAAAUGCAAUCAAGAUGAUGUUAAAAACUCAAAAACGAGUUCAGAGCACUUUGAAUCAACAAAUUUGGUGGAGAAAUGAGAGAGAUAUGAUGAAAACAAUGGAGAGAAAUGAGAGAAAGAGUUGCAAACUCGGGUUUUUGGUGAGGAAGAGAGAGUGUGGGACAGGUUAAAGACUUUGGACUGGUGGUCAAUAGAUCUAUUUUGACCAGUCAAGGCUUUGACCUGUCCUUUUCUCGUUGACCAGCCUCCUUUCUCUCCUUUGUGCGACCGGGAACCGUCGGGAUCGGGCCGCAUGACGGUCUCGGUGUAGAACCGGAAAUGUUUUUGUGCUACCUGGGAUCUUCUGUGCCUCCCCCGCAUGACCAAGUCGCAGUAAAAGUCCUUCAGCUCGGUUUUAUCUUUCCUCAUUGCUGCUGCCUGGAACCCUUGCUUUCCAGCUAGCACGCCCAACUCGGAGUAAUUUGCGAACAUGUGUGCGGGUUAGACUCCUUUGUUCCCAGGUAGCAUGACUAUCUCGCAGGGUUUGGGACUUAAAAACCUCGGGGUUCCUCUUCUGGUGCGGCCUGGCCUCCAUACUUCCCAGGUAGCACGCCCAACUCGGAGUAAUUUGCGAGUCUUCAUGCGGGUUAGCUUCUUUGUUCCCAGGUAGCAUGACUAGGUCACAGGUUUUUGGACUUAAACAAUUUGGCCUUUCUUUUCCUGCUGCGACCUGGUCUUCAUGCUUCCCAGCUAGCACGCCCAACUUGGAGUAAAAUGCGAUCAUACGUGCGGCCUAGCUUCUUUGUUCCCAGGUAGCAUGACUAGGUCGCAGGUAUUUGGACUUAAGAUGUCUCGGCCAUUCCUCUUUUGCUGCGACCUAGUCUCCUUGCUCCCAGCCAGCACGCCCACCUCGCACACCUUCACACUUAGGCGUUUGGCUCUUCUUGAUUUCGUGCAGCCUGGUCUCUAUGAUUCCCAGCUAGCACGCCCAACCCGGAGUGAUUUGCGAAUGGAUGUGCGGUUUAACUUCUCUUGUUUCCAGGCCGCAGCAACUACUCGCAGGUUUUUGCACUUAAACACCUCGGCCAUCCUUCUUUUGCUGCAACUUGGUCUUCAUUCUUCCCAGGUAGCACACCCAAUUCGGAGUAAAUUGCGAUCAUGUGUGCUACCUAACUCCUUUGUUCCCAGGCCACAGCUCCUACAUCGCAGAUCUUUGGACUAAAGAUACCUUGGACCUUUUCUUUUUGGUGCGGCCUGGUUUCUCUUUUCCCAGCCAGCACGCCUAACCCGGAGUGAUUUGCGAAUGGAUGUGCGGCCUAGCUUCCUCUCUUCUUACCCGCAGCACCAGCUAGCACAACCUCGGACUUAGACGUUUUGGACUUCUUCUUUUUGGUGCGGCCUGGUUUCUCUUUUCCCAGGUAGCACGCCCAGGCCGGAGUAAAUUGCGAGUCCUGCUGCGACCUGGGCUCUUCUUGCACCAAGCCGCACACCUAGGUAGCACUGAGGCGUUCUCCAAGUUUUUCAGGCCCUAAAUACUUCUCUCAGCCCUCUCACAUGCUCCAUUCCAUUCAUCACUGAGCUAUGUUCUCCAAAAAUCACCUAGAACCUGAGACCAACUCACAAAACCCAUCAAAAAGUUCUAAAACAUAAAAGAAAAGAGAAGAAAUCAAAAGAACUAUGUACAAAGAUAAGCUUGGGGUGUCUCCCAAGAGCACUUUGUUUAAAGUCUCUAAGUUUGACUAUGGAAACCUGUUUAGCAGGCUGGAGGUGGGUCAAGAAGGGGAACUGAUGUAGCUUCCUCCUUCCCUUGUGAAACUAAGUAAUGCUUGAUUCUUUGUCCGUUUACCACAAAUUCUUGACCAUUCUUCCCUUCUAAGACAAUAGCACCAUAUGGUCUCACUUCAAGAACUUUAAAAGGUCCAGACCAUCUAGACUUAAGUUUUCCUAGAAACAACUUAAGUCUAGAGUUGAACAGCAACACCAAAUCACCAUCCUUGAACUCCCUUUUCAGAAUCUUUUGGUCAUGCAGAACCUUGGUCUUCUCCUUAUAGAUCUUUGAGCUCUCAAAAGCCCCAAGCCUUAUCUCUUCAAGUUCAUGGAGUUGAAUGACCCUUUUCUCUUGAGCUGUCUUGAUAUCAAAGAUCAGCAACUUCACAGCCCACAAAGCCUUGUACUCUAACUCAACAGGAAGGUGGCAGCUCUUCCCAUAUAGCAGAUUGAAAGGUGAUGUCCCAAUAGGAGUUUUAAAGGCAGUCCUAUAAGCCCACAAUGCAUCAUCUAGCCUUUUGCUCCAAUCUUUUCUGCUUGAGCUCACAGUCCUCUCAAGAAUGGCCUUGAUCUGUCUAUUAGAUACUUCAACCUGGCCACUAGUUUGAGGAUGAUAAGGAGUAGCUACCUUGUGUUUCACUCCAUGCUUUCUCAGUAAACCCUCCAAAGUCUUGUUCACAAAAUGAGAUCCUCCAUCAGAGAUAACAACCCUUGGAACUCCAAAUCUUGGGAAGAUAAUGCUCUUGAACAGCUUCACUACAACCUUGGAAUCAUUGGUAGGGGAAGCAAUGGCCUCAACCCAUUUGGACACAUAGUCCACAUCAACAAGUAUAUACUGAUUCCCAUAGGAUGAAAUGAAAGGCCCCAUAAAGUCAAUCCCCCAGCAAUCAAAGAUCUCAACUUCUAGAAUUGGGUUUUAAGGCAUCUCACUCCUCUUUGAUAUGCUCCCAUGCCUCUGACAAGCAUCACAUGCUGAACCACUAACUGAGCAUCUUUGAACAUUGUGGGCCACCAAAACCCACUCUGAAGAACCUUUGCCACAGUCUUGAAUGCUCCCAUGUGACCCCCAAAAGCUGAACUAUGACACUCUUGCAACACAGGCUGCAUCUCCUCCUCAGCAAGACACCUUCUAUACAGCUGAUCUUUGUUCAGGACAUAGAGGUAGGGCUCAUCCCAAUGGUAUCUUUGAACUUCUCUGAAGAAUUUCUUCCUGUGGUAAGCAUCUAAUUCAGGUGGUUCCACUCCACAAGCAAGAUAGUUCACAAUGUCUGCAAACCAAGGCAUCCUCCUCUCUUGAAUGCUGUCCACUUCUUCAAACUCCAAAUAAGAAUGGAGCACCAUCAGUGAUUCCUCAGGAAGACUGUCAUUAAGAGGCAAUUCAGAGUCUAUUCUCAACCUAGAGAGAUGGUCUGCAGCUCCAUUCUCUAUACCCUUUUUGUCAUGUACUUCCAUAUCAAAAUCCUGAAGUAGAAGAACCCAUCUCAAUAGUCUUGGCUUAGCAUCUUUCUUGGUCAUCAGAUACCUGAGGGCUGCAUGAUCAGUAUAUACAAUUACUUUUGAUCCCACCAGGUAACUUCUGAAUUUAUCGAAGGCAAAGACUAUUGCCAACAUUUCCUUCUCAGUAGUAGCAUACUUCUCUUGUGCAGGGCCAAGUGUUCUACUAGCAUAGUAAAUGACAUGAAGCUUCUUAUCUUUCUUCUGGCCAAAUACAGCUCCAACUGCAAAAUCAGAUGCAUCAGUCAUAACCUCAAAAGGUAGGGACCAGUCUGGGGCUUGGACAAUUGGUGCACUGACUAAUGCAUCCUUGAUCAUCUUGAAGGCCUCUUCACAUUCAGCAUCAAAGAUGAAAUCCACUUCUUUACAAAACAGCCUUGUCAAGGGCCUGGCAAUUCUUGAGAAGUCUUUGAUAAAUCUUCUGUAAAACCCUGCAUGCCCAAGGAAACUCCUUAUCCCUUUAACUGAAGUGGGAGUUUGCAGAUUCACCAUCACUUCCACCUUUGCUCUGUCAACCUCAAUACCCUUCUCAGAUAUCUUGUGCCCAAGAACUAUUCCUUCCCGCACCAUGAAGUAGUAUUUCUCCCAGUUUAACACCAAGUUAUCCUGCUCAAAUCUCUCCAAGACCUGUUACAAAUUAGAGAGAAAAUCCGAGAAGGAGGAGCCAUAGACACUAAAGUCAUCCAUGCACACCUCCACCUUCUCUUCAAUAAUGUCAGAGAAUAUAUGCAUCAUGCAACGUUGAAAUGUGGCAGGGGCAUUACAGAGACCAAAAGGCAUUCGCCUGUAUGCAAAGGUGCCAUAAGGGCAUGUGAAUGUUGUUUUCUCUUGAUCUCGGGGAUCUAUGGGAAUUUGGAAGAACCCCGAGUACCCAUCGAGAAAACAAAAGAAGGGGUGUUUUGCAACGCCUCUCUAACAUCUGAUCAAUGAAAUGUAAGAAACUAUCCUUCCUNNNNNNNNNNNNNNNNNNNNNNNNNNNNNNNNNNNNNNNNNNNNNNNNNNNNNNNNNNNNNNNNNNNNNNNNNNNNNNNNNNNNNNNNNNNNNNNNNNNNNNNNNNNNNNNNNNNNNNNNNNNNNNNNNNNNNNNNNNNNNNNNNNNNNNNNNNNNNNNNNNNNNNNNNNNNNNNNNNNNNNNNNNNNNNNNNNNNNNNNNNNNNNNNNNNNNNUCGUAGUAGUUAAGUGUAUCCUAUGGCUCUCCUGAACUUUCUUAUCUCACUAAGCAAUGCACUCUCUUGAUCCUCUAAUAGGCUAUCAUUGAUGAUUACUGGAUAUGUUGAGUUUAAGCCCAAGAAGGCAUACAUGAGCCCUGUUGGUAGAGGCUUGAGCUCAACAGGGGGUGCAUCAGCCUCAUUCCAAUCCUGGUCCAAGCUGCUUUGGCUGGUGUCUGAUCCUUUGAUAGCAAAAACCUCAGAGCCACUUUGUUCCAGCUCCAAAAACCUUGUCUCAGGACCCAGCUCUCUAGCAUUGUCCAAAUACAACUUGUACCCUUCACUUGCUUCAGCUAAGAGCCCAUUGUCUCCUUGUUCUUGAGUUAGAGCAGCUUGAAGAGGAUCCUCAGUGUUCAGCUCCUCUAGCAACUCAUCAGCCAACUGAUCCAUUGUCUCCACAUAGAAACAUUGACCUUCAAUGGUGGGUUUCUUCAUCAUCUCAUUCACGUCAAACUUGAGCUUUUCAGACCCAAGUUGAAGCUCUAUUAUCCCACCUCUCACAUCAAUUUUGGCUCCUGCAGUUGCUAAGAAUGGCCUGCCCAAGAUAAGAGGAUCUACUGGUUCUUCAUCCAUCUCCAGCACAACAAAAUCAGUUGGAACCUCAAAACCACCUAUCUUGACAGGUAGAUCUUCCAACAUACCAACAGGCAAUCUAACUGAUCUAUCUGCAAGGAUAAGAGAAAUCCUUGCAGGCUUGAAGACUCUAAAGCCCAGCUUCUUUGCUAUGGAGAAUGGCAUCAAGCUGACUGAUGCUCCUAGAUCACAAAGACAUCCAGAGAAUAGAAGAGGUCCAAUGGCACAAGGGAGUGUGAAACUCCCUGGAUCAGUUAACUUUCUUGGUAUGGACUUCUUCUGAAUGAUAGCACUGCAUUCAUGACUUAGUACCACCAUGCCUUGAAGUUUUUUUGUCUUGUUCAGAAUGGCAUCCUUCAGGAACUUGCCCAUCUAUGGCAUCAUUAAGAAUGCAUCAAUAAGAGGCAUAGUGAGUGGUGUCUCAUUGAGUGCCUUCUCAAAUACAGCUUUUGCCUUGUCCACAAGCUGCUUCUUAAAUCUCCCUGGAAAUGGGAGCUUGGGUUGGUAUGGAGGUGGUGGCACAUAUACCUUUUCUGGUUCAGGUUCCUUUGCUACCUUUUUACUCUUUUGGACAGGUUUCUCAGCAACCUGAUCAUCUUUUAAGGCUGCCUCCCCCUCAGUUUGAUCAUUGUCCUCAAUGAUCACAUUGUUGUUCUCAAUACCAGGUAACUCCUUUCCACUCCUCAGUGUAAUGGCCUUAGCAUAUUCCUUGGGGUUGGGUUCUCCGGUCUGAUUCAGUUGUCGGGUGCUUCAUCGCAGUUGGAGAAGAUUGGAUCACGGUUCCAUAGCAAGUUGAAUCAUGGAAUUCCGACGCAUGAGCAGAAAGUUAAGCUCGUCGGAAGGAACCCCUGUCUCGCUGCUGUUCUGGACCAAGCCGAUGAGCUCUGAAGAAUGCGAAGUACGGUGCACUUUCAGGCCGAUUCAGUUUCCGGGGCCUUCAUGAGAAUCAGAGACAUUUGAGUCCGCUUUCCAGAACGUCCAAGAUCAUUCAAUUCGGAGCUAUGAGCAGGAAGAUACGGUCUCCGGAAUGGACACAUGUCUAGACGCCUCUCUCUGAUCGUGUAAAUGCACUGCAAAGAUGAGCCCUCCAGGAAGCCUUCCACUUCCCAAGCACCAAAGCUUCCUUCACCAAAGUUGGAGAUAUAUGAGUCCUCUGUCCUCUGCCCUCUGCUACCGGAAUCACUCAAUUCAGACAAGUAUCUUAGAAGUUACACUCUCCGGAAUGCGAAGUGGUCCAAGCUGCUCUGAAUGCUGCGAGAAAGCCUUGCGACUUGGUUAACUCGCAGGCCUGAAGACGAAUGCCUGGAAAUUGAUGCUCCAAGUUGAGAAGAGCGGGUAAGCUAUCAAUGGAUGAGGUCUGAGGCUCCCGAGAAAGAAAAUUGCUAAGUCCACAAUCGUGCGACUUAGGCAUGCUAGUUGGCCGCGCCUGGAACCAAGCCGCACGAUCACUCGCAAUCUACUCCGACUUGAGCCUGCGACCUGAGUGUAGUGGAGACCAACCCGCACGGUUUGUACAUUCCCCAGAAACCGCCUUGGUCCUGCGAGUUGAAGAAGAAGAAGAUUAAGCCGCAGCAAGACUCGCAAAUGGUGGUUGAAACUGUUGUUGAACAGGCGCUUGCUGUUGGAACUGUGGAGGACCAAACCCUGGUGGUGCCUUUUGCUGCUGUGUACUGAAACUAGGACCUUGAAAAGGUUGUUGUUGCUGACCAAAACCUUGAUUCUGAGCAAACUGAUUCUUUGGUUGAAAAGAUCCUUGAAAGUUGUUCUUGGGAACAAAGUUCUGUGGAGCUUGAGAAUUGGGAUACACCUGGUCUUGUGGGUUAGCUACAUUGGUGUUCCUGUAAGAAAGGUUUGGAUUGGCAUUACCAUACUGAUAUCUCUGGAACCUCUGAUUCCCAAUGUAGUUUAGCUCCUCCUGGGUAAGACCUUCUUCACUUAUGUUCUCAAAGAUUUGAGAAGGUUCCUCAUACUCUCCAACAAAAUGCAUUGGCUUCUGAGUGGUGGAAAGGGUGGGGUUGGUGGUGCACCUGUUGUCUUUGCUGUACAUUGGCCUGAUGCCUCUGUUGAUGAGCUUGAGCUUGUCCCUGGUGGACAUAAGCUUGUUGGUGCACCUGUUCCUGAUGAACAUUACCCUGAUUUAACCCUUGACCAGCUCCAUUACCAGCUCCAUUACCCUGAGCCUGUUGCUCCUGAACCGGUUGUUCUAUAUCCACUACGUGCUCUCUUUGUUCUUCCAUAUCAGCCUGAUCAAUCUGUCUUCCACGUCUGUCCCUUCUCCUCCUUGGUACCAAAAGAUUGAUGUUGUCGUUGAGAGGGAAAGGUGGACCACAGCUUCUUGAUCUAGACCUGGUGUUCAUACCCGGACAGGCGAUUUCAGAAACGUGUCUGCACCCGGAGAUUUUGGCUGAGGGAUUCAAUAGCCGGUACGCGUUUUGGCCGAUAAAGUCUACCCGCGGUACGCGUUUUGGCCGAGAAAAACCUUCCUGGUGCGCGAGAAUGGCCGAUAACCUCCAAAGAACCAAUUUCACCAUUUUUCAAGCCUUGAUCAUCAUUCCACCUCCUGGAUUCAUCUUUUCAGCUCCAAAUACACCUGAUAAGUACUCAAAACAUGCAAAGACUCAUUGGGACCUAAUGAAUCUUCUAAAUUCUAAAACAAACCCUAAGGACCUAAAAUGCAUGGAAUAAAACAUGAUUUGGAAUGAAUUAUGCAACCUAAAUGAUGCAAAUUAUGAACAUGGAGACGAAGAACUCGCUUUUUUCUUAGUUCAAUUGGUUUUGUGAAUUUCAUAAACUUAUUUGGUAAGCAUAUACGUCUUUAAUUUUGGAUAGUAUUUAUUUUUUCGAUUUUAUUUUAUUUUAUUAUGUAUGUCUUAAAUAGUUGUUUUAAGUAAAAAUUACUCAAACUAACCUUUAAGGUGACCUAAAUGACAAACCUAACCUAACAUAUUUUGAGUCUUACUAGAUUAACCUUACAAAGUUGGUCUAAUACCAUUUUAUCCAGAUGUUGAAUAUUAUUACGAAAAUGCCAUAUUGAUUUUUUUUUUUUUAAAAAAUUCGAUUUGUUUUUUAUUUUAUUUUUCUGAAAAAAAUAUUAAAAAAGUAGAUACAAAAAACAAAAAAACAAACCUAAUAUUAAAAAAAAUUAUCUCUCUCAUCUUCUCUCUCAUCUUCUCUCUCGCUUCUCUCUCGUUUCUCUCUAACCUAGAUCUUUUUUUUUCUGCUGCAUUUCUUGAUUCCGGCAGUUAGCGGCGGUGGACCACUCCUUUCUUGCCUCCGUCGAUCACAAGAAUCGUCCGAUGGCACCAGUGCACCUCUCACUUCCCUUUAGAUGGCAAUUUUGUCCUUAUCUUUGAGCAUUGUGCUUCCCUUGAGUCUCUAGAUCCUUCCGCCUUCUACCACUAGACCGAAGACCUUCCUCUAGUUCUCCUCCAUUACUAUGAAGUCGCAGCAAGGCUCAAUCGCUUGGAUCCCUUGACAGUGUCCUUCACCAAGGGUUACAAAUCGAGUGACGACACAGCUGUGAGACCACAACUCUUAAGCGGCAUUCUCGCCGCAUCGCACACAACCGCAGUGGAUAGACGUUGUUUCAGUGGAAUGGUGGUUUUGAGGAGGUUGUCGGCGGCGUAAUUUUUUUUGUAAAACCCGUAACCCUAAUUUUUGUUUUGUUUCAGGUAAGUUUGAUAAAUAUAUUUGAAAAAACGAUAUUGUAUUUUUUAGUUGUAAAGUUCAUAACGUGUGAUGGUAGAUUUAUUUGAAAAACGGUAUGUAGUUUGGUAGAUUAUUAGUUAUUUGAUGGUAGAUAUAUUUACAAAACGAUAUGUAGUUUGGUAUAUCUAUUAGUUAUUUGAUGGUAAAUUUAUUUAAAAAACAAUGUGGUUUGGUAUAUUUAUUAGUCAUCUGACGGUAGACUUAUUUGAAAAACAAUGUGAUUUGGUAGAUUUAUUAGUCAUUUGAUGGUAACUUAUUUGAAAAACGAUAUGUGGUUUGGUAGUUUUAUCAGUUAUUUGAUGGUAGAUUUAUCAGUUAUAUAUAUUUGAAUUUUAUAUUUGAAUGAUGGCAUUUGUUUGUUCUUCUCUGACAGGUUAUGGGAUUUGUGAUGGCGAACGAGUCUCUGAUGGGUUAUGUUCUACUAUGAAUAUUAGAUUUGCAUUUGGUAGAUUUGUUUUGAAAUGAUGGUAGAUUUAUUAUUGAAUUGAUGGUAUAUCUAUAUUUGAAUUUGUACAAAUGAUAAUUAGAUUUUAGAUGAUGAUAUCUUUGUUUUCAAAUUAUAUUUGGCGCAAAAGAUUGACUCAAACAUUUCAUCUUUUUACCACUUUUCUUUACUUUCACUAUGGUUUAUAUCCUAAGUUAAUGAAAUUUUAAACAAAACACAUGAUUAAAGUCAUUUCACAUUGUGAUGUUCAAAAGUUUAUGUAAAUAUAAUUAAAUAUAACAAAAUAUUCACAAAUAAAAAUUAAAAGAUCAUAAGUUAAGAGAUAGUCAUUACAGACAAAAACGAUAAGGACAUAAGAUAAAUGUUUAAGUGAACUAGUAGGACAUAUAUGUUCAAGGUUAAUAUGUGAUAACACCGUAUUUUGACCACUUUUAUGGAUCGUUUUGAAAUACUUUUUCUAUGUUUUUAAUUGCUUUUAAGUACUUUUAUCACGUUUUUCUAGUAUUUUUAGUUCCAAGACUCUUUUCAGGUAACUUAGGGAAAAACUUAACAAAAUGGAUAGAAAACCAGAUUUCAGCUCAAAGUCAAACCGUCAGAAGUUCACCCCUGAUUGAAGGCCUUCUCACCGUCUGUUCCAGCUCAAAUUUGGAGACCUUAAAGAUGGAAGUAUCAACUUUCCAGCACACUUUACAGCUUGACAAUCCAACGGUUCAAUCAAAAGAUACGCGAAGAGCAAGAUGUCCCGUAAACCAGCCAGCAAGCAACUCCACCCGUGGCCAAUAAGCCAUUUCCCGCGGUCAGAAGCAUCCCGACCGCGGCAAACCACUCAUUCCCCGCGGUCACAGCACUCCCAACCGCAGCAAGCCAACUCCGAGCCCAAAAGCCCAUUUUUGAAGCCCACAAUGAUUCCCUCAUUUGGAGAAACCCUAAGUGACGUCCAGAGCACUAUAAAUACAUGUUUUAGGAACCCUAAUCGAAAAAAAAAGAGACCACCGAAUUUUUACUUCAUAGUUUUAUUGUUUUUGCUUUAGCUUUUAGGGAGAGAGAGAUUUGUUCUCUUGAACCCUUGUUCUUUCUUUUUUAAUUUCGGUUUCUAUUCUACUUAUUAAUACUAUGUUUUUGAUUUCGUUCAUUAUGUCUGAGUAGUUUUAUUGUUGGGAUUAAGGGAUUUUAGAUGGGGAUUUAUAUGUUCGAUGAGGAUUCCAUGAGCUUUUGAGCCGAAUCUUAGAACUUAUUCUUCUGAAUUCGUUUUUACUGCAUGAGAGUAGCGUCAUGAACUACAAUCUGAUCCAGAUGCUUUGUGACACGAAAGUGUUCAUCAGGUAUCAGAUCUAGUUUGGGAGAGCAAAACAAACAUAGGAGUGGAAACCUACCUAUGGGCGAUUUGUCAAUGCUGACGAGUCUUAAACAUAAUGCAUCUCUUCUUUUCCAGGGCCAUAGUGGAAACCUACUGGUCAGGGUUGAGAGAGAUAGUUGUCUAUGAUCACGACAGUGGCGUAUUCAUAUGUCCGUGACUCCAGUUCGAAAAGUUUAAGCUAAGAUCUUAGCAAUUUUACUCUCUAGCAAUGUUUUGAAUCGUUCGUACCCCUGAGAAAACUUCCCUGAACCCCAACGCCUUCUUUCCUAUUGAUUUACACCGUUUUUAUUUCAAGCUUUAGUUCAAUAUUGUCUUUCCUUUUUAGUAGAUUUUCAUUUAAGCAAUUAGAAUAUCCGUUUUUCUCAUUUUUAUUCAUUUUCGUUAAGUUUAGUUAUUAGGUCAUUUAAUUCCCGUAUUUUCUUUUAAGAUUUCGUUUUUACAUUUUAAACACACCACCAAACCCCCACAAAACCGUUUUGGUUCUAGACUUCCUUACUUUAUACUUAUUUCAAAGGCUUUUUGCAGGAAAAGAUCCUCUUUCCCCGUGGAUUCGAUCCCAAAGUACUACAAUCGAUCAGCUGUGCACUUGCGGCUAUUGAUUUCAUUUAGGUUAAAACUUGACAACCCUCACGACAACACCACAUCAAGUUUUUGGCGCUGUUGCCGGGGAAAGCACGCGUUUUCUUUUCUGCAACCCCGAGAAAGGUUGGUAAAUCGACUCUAAAACCCCUUUUUCUGCAAUUUUCCAUUUUUCGGUUUUUUUGUUUCCAUUUCAGAAGAUAUGGAUCCUAUAAAUCGAAAUAUACACUAUGAGGAAGGUUUAUAUAACACUCCUCAAGCCACCAGACACAGAACGUUCCAGAAGGAGCCCUGCGCAUCUCCAAUGGCCAACCCUGAACAACCCGCUCGUCGUUUGCCUCACCAAGAUGAAAACGUCCAACUCAUUCACUGAUUGAAAACACUAGAAGUGGCGGUCUUGCACCUACUCGACGUUCAAGCGAGAUCUAGAUCCACAAUCCACGAGAAAAUUGACGACUUGUCAAUGCGCUUUAACAGAAAGCUUGAAGAUCUUUCAGCUCAAGUCAAGACCAUCGAAACUCAACUAAACAAGGGUGCUGAAACCAUUAAGGAGAGGAUAGAAGCAAUCGAAGGACGAGUUGGAGAAAACGAAGUUCGCAUUCGCAAAGCCAGUGGGAACAUCCGCACCUUAGAGAUCAAACUUGAUGAAGCAGAAGAGACUAUUAACGACCAUAACAACCAAACCUAUUCCUACAUGGAAGAGAUUUAGGAUGGAGUACACAAGGUUCAAGACAAAACAGAGGAAAUAGACUCAACCGUGGACAAAGUAGUCUAUGCCCUCGAUGAAAUCGAAGAGAAGGUUGAAAAGCUUAUGCAAGGAUGUGAAACAAACGGUUCGACGCUUCUCAUCGAAGAUCUUACCUUAAAAAAGGAGGAAACGGAGCUAGAAUGUGCAGAAAUCAGUUUAGAUGGCAAAAGAGCAGACGAAACAAAGGAAACAACUCGGAGCCUUCUUCUCGCGGUCAGAACUCUCGUGACCGCGGCCAACAAGCCUCCAGCCGCGGUCGUGAGCCUCCUGACCGCGGCAAAACCCUCCCCACCCGCGGUCGUGAAACCUCUACCCGCUGCAAAUGCUCCGUCAGAUACCUUUCAGCCCUUUUCCACUCCUACAGGUCAAUGCUUAUUUGAUACAUCUGCUAGGAUGGUCAAAGCCCCUCUACAUGAGCAAACGGUGUAUGCUAUCAGCUCCAAAACAUCUCAAGAAGAAAAUGAGGUACUCCCUUGCAACAUAGUUUUAGCAUAUGAGGAUGAAUAUGAAGGGCACUACCUCGAAGAUGAAGACUAUCGUCUGUUCAUAGAAGGAGGGAAUCCAGACAAAAUGGUGGAAUUAGGAGCACCAAUCUCCAGAGAAAGGCUCAUUGAAUUCAACAAGUUUGUGAAAUCGAUCCCUCUUUACACAGGUUUCGAUGAUAUAUGGCAUCUUGGUUGUUUGCAAGUUUUCUUUAGGUACAGCAAGGAGACAAAGGAGGAUAUCAGAACCUAUUUUGGGAGGGCUAGACGUCUGACUUUUCCCAGAACAUCACCUGAUGCUGCAAUCUAUUCAAUUCACCUCAAAAAGCCGGAAGACUGCAGCCACUACACCAACAAAAUCAGCAAGGAAAAGCUCGAUGAAUUCAAUGAUGUGGUUCGAAAUUUGCCUGAAGAAAUCACGUUUGCCAGAGCUUGCAAGGACUUUAUGAUAGGCCACUACUUCUGUGAGAGCAAAGAAUCAAUCCCUGAGAUAGAAGACUUGUUCAAUCAUGCCAGAAGAGGUAAACCUGUUCGAACACUUCAUAAAAUAGAAGGUGUAGGUCAGUUUCUUAUCUCUUGUUCUAUUAGAGGAGAAAUGUUUAAAAACGUGCUAUGUGAUUCUGGAGCUUGUGUUAACAUGAUGUCCAAGGCAAUUGAUUUGAGACUUGGUAUUAAACACCUGCGCAGGACUAGAGCAAAGAUUAGUCUAGCUGAUGAUUCCAAUGCAACACCUCAAGGAAUAGCUCAUGAAAUUCCUUUGAGAAUAGGAGAUUACAUAGUGCCUGUCGACUUCUACAUUGUCGAAACGAGAGAUGCAACAUAUCCAGUGAUUCUCGGAUGGUCUUUUCUAGCAACUUUCGGAGCUAUAAUGGACUGGCCAAACCGGAGGAUUUCAUUUGCUAAUAUCGACAAAGAUGUCUUCACAGAAGCUGUUCCAUACAACAGCAAAGCAGGAAAACGUUCUGCAACAGAAGAGUUUGAAGAAGAACUUUGGAGUGACGAAGAACCUGCUAGGCAAAGCAAGGAGAUGUCGAAAAAGACUUGUCUCAGGACAAGGUCUUCUUCAUUGGAAUAAGUCACGUCCAACACCAAAAGUCGAGCUAAACGACUUAAAACAGAAGCGCUUAAUGGGAGGCAACCCAUUUAGGUAUUGUUUUCUUUAGGAUUUUUCUUUCUUUUUCUUUUGAUCUUUUUCUUUUUCUUAAUUUCAGGUGUUUCUUAUAAAACAAAAAAACCAAAAAAUCAAAAAACCCGAAAAAAACCAAAAAGAAGGAUGGUACCUGACUGCUCGGCCCAGCAGGAACCAAGGAGAAGCAGGAAGAGGCCGCGAAAUAAGCCUCCGCGGUCGCAGACGUUCUGACCGCGGGAAACUACUCAUCGACCGCGGUCGCGUGAUCCUGACCGCGGCCAAACACUUGGUUGCCGCGGUCGCGCGACCCCUGUCCGCGGCACUUGGUCGUUGACAUCAAACCCAACCCCAAACCACCCACUUCACCCCAUUCCACCUCACCAAUCACCCUCCACCUCAUUCAUCACCCUCCACCACCUUCAUCACCCCCUAAUCACCUUCCCAAACCUCUUCGAAUGAAUCCGGUUCAUCUCCACCAGCAUCCCGGAUCCAGGUAAGUUCUCUUUGUCCUUACCAAUUCGAUUAUCUAUGCAUUUUUCUCAUCCAAUCUCGACUUGUUUCACACUGAGGACAGUGUGAUUUAAGUCUGGGGGAGGAUUUCAUCCUUUUCUAACCACUUUUCUUUCAUGAGUCUUGCAUUAUCUACACUUUUUGCAUUUUCCUUAAAGUUUUUCAAAAUCGGUUUUCAAAACAAAAUACGUUUUAAAGGGAAUGGUGAACAUAAAUCAAUGAUAGUUGACUGUGUGCUUUAGACUAUUCCUAGUGACAUGCUCAUUCAUGAUUUAGGACUAGACUAGGCGGUAGCUAAGCACAUUUGAAACGAAGUACCCCAGAGGAAUUUGAAUGAUUUCGAUUUAGAUGAAGGGAUACACUAGCUCUGUUUUAUUUGGACUUAAUUUGGACUCAAUUUUCUCAUUGAAGCUUUAGACCAGGGAAACGAAUCAUACAUUCAGGACUCCUUUAUCCUUUUACCACUCUCAGUUGAUCCUGAAUGGCUAGUUCAUCUUUAGCUAGUUCCCCACCUUAACCAAUCCUCUUUCAAACCACAUGCACUCUUGUUUUCUAUUGUCUUACAUGCAGAUAAGUGCAAAAACGUUGGAGAGAAAGAGGAACGACGCAGUUUUCAGUCACCAAGGAUAGAGACCUGCGAUUUGCCGGAAAAGUUUCCGGAAGGAUCCAACACAAGAGGAAGCUCAGUUUGCCUUAGAAAAAUCUCAAAUUUUGGUACAAUCUCGUCCUCUAGUCUCUCUCUCUUUAAAAGGCAUUUCCUAUUCUAAAAAAAAAAAAAAAAAAAAUCCAAAAAUAAGAAAAGAAAGGAAAUAAAAGCCUUAGAGAGUCUAGAGAGCUCGAAUUUUAAGUCCCAAGGCAACUGGAGUUUGAUUUUAUGGAGUUUUGGAGAUCGUUUUCUGAUUCCUGGAAAGAAUCUAAGUCUGGGGGAACAGCUGUUUACAACAAAGGAGGAAGGAUUAUGCAACAACAUUUGGCAAGAAGAAGUGACUGAAAAACUGUGGUCAUCAACAGGUCCUUAUCUCUCUUGCGGUUUUGCAUAUUAUCUUGCAUCCUCCAGAUCUUCAGGUAACCCGAAACACUUUAACUCCACCACUUAAACAGUCCUUUAAUGCCAAACGCCGUCUACCCUGGAUAAUGUCUUUAAUGAGAAAUCACUAUUGAACUUAAUGAAUGUAGAGAGCUAGUUGACUGGAAUCAAGAUUUAGAUUUUUUAAGUUUUGCAUGACGGAAAAAGUGGACUAGUAUCUUUUGUGUCUUGGUGAGAAUUUUCUAGACUAAGUUGUGGAUUGAUGCACUAUCUUUGGUUCUAGUUUAGGAGUUAAUGUCUCUGAGAAUUGUGAAUUUCCUAUUUUUGUUUUCACCUAACCAGUUUAGACUUUUGCUUUGCUUGAGGACAAACAAAGGUUUAAGUCUGGGGGAGUUGAUAACACCGUAUUUUGACCACUUUUAUGGAUCGUUUUGAAAUACUUUUUCUAUGUUUUUAAUUGCUUUUAAGUACUUUUAUCACGUUUUUCUAGUAUUUUUAGUUCCAAGACUCUUUUCAGGUAACUUAGGGAAAAACUUAACAAAAUGGAAAGAAAACCAGAUUUCAGCUCAGAGUCAAACCGUCAGAAGUUCACCCCUAAUUGAAGGCCUUCUCACCGUCUGAUCCAGCUCAAAUUUGGAGACCUUAAAGAUGGAAGUAUCAGCUUUCCAGCACACUUUACAGCUUAGCAAUCUAACCGUUCAAUCAAAAGAUACGCGAAGAGCAAAAUGUCCUGUAAACCAGCCGGCAAGCAACUCCACCUGCGGCCAACAGGCCAUUUCCCGCGGUCAGAAGCAUCCCGACUGCGGCAAACCACUCAUUCCCCGCGGUCACAGCACUCCCGACCGCGGCAAGCCAACUCCGAGCCCAAAAGCCCAUUUCUGAAGCCCACAAUGAUUUCCUCAUUUGGAGAAACCCUAAGUGACGUCCAGAGCACUAUAAAUACAUGUUUUAGGAACCCUACUCGAAAAAAUAGAGACUACCGAAUUUUUACUUCAUACUUUUAUUGUUUUUGCUUUAGCUUUUGGGAGAGAGAGAUUUGUUCUCUUACCCUUGUUCUUUCUUUUUCAAUUUCGGUUUCUAUUCUACUUAUUAAUACUAUGUUUUUGAUUUCGUUCAUUAUGUAUGAGUAGUUCAAUUGUUAGGAUUAAGGGAUUUUCGAUGGGGAUUUAUAUGUUCGAUGAGGAUUCCAUGAGCUUUUGAGCCGAAUCUUAGAACUUUUUCUUCUGAAUUCGUUUUUACUGCAUGAGAGUAGCGUCAUGAACUACAAUCUGAUCCAGAUGCUUGGUGACACAAAAGUGUUCAUCAGGUAUCAGAUCUAGUUUGGGAGAGCAAAACAAACAUAGGAGUGGAAACCUACCUAUGGGCGAUUUGUCAAUGCUGACGAGUCUUAAACAUAAUGCAUCUCUUCUUUUCCAGGGCCAGAGUGGAAACCUACUGGUCAGGGUUGAGAUAGUUGUCUAUGAUCACGACAGUGGCGUAUUCAUACGUCCGUGACUCCAGUUCGAAAAGUUUAAGCUAAGAUCUUAUCAAUUUUACUCUCUAGCAAUGUUUUGAAUCGUUCGUACCCCUGAGAAAACUUCCCUGAACCCCAACGCCUUCUUUCCUAUUGAUUUACACCGUUUUUAUUUCAAGCUUUAGUUCAAUAUUGUCUUUCCUUUUUAGUAGAUUUUCAUUUAAGCAUUUAGAAUAUCCGUUUUUCUCAUUUUUAUUCAUUUUCGUUAAGUUUAGUUAUUAAUUCAUUUAAUUCCCAUAUUUUCUUUUAAGAUUUCAUUUUUACAUUUUAAACACACCACCAAACCCCCACAAAACCGUUUUGGUUCUAGAUUUCCUUACUUUAUACUUAUUUCAAAGGCUUUUUGCAGGAAAAUAUCCUCCUUCCCUGUGGAUUCGAUCCCUAAGUACUACAAUCGAUCAGCUGUGCACUUGCGGCUAUUGAUUUCAUUUAGGGUAAAACUUGACAACCCUCAAGACAACACCACAUCAAGUUGUGAGAUAACACCGGAUUCUGACCAUUUUUAUGGAUCACUUUUAUAUCUUUUACAGGUGUUUUUACUCCAUUUUCAAAGGUUUUCAAAGGAUUUCUAUGUUUCCGGAUUUUAAAAGACUUUUCAGGUAAUUUGGGAUAAAGAGGCACAAAAUGGAACAAAAAGACUCUUUUGAAUAAAUGCAGAUCGUCAGAACUCUCAUGGAGAGACGAAGACCUUUUCACCGUCUGAUCACCCUCAAAAUUGGACAACUUAUAGGAGAAUCAACCAGCUUUCAAAUGUACUUGGUUUGGAGACAUUCCAACGGUUGGAUCUCAAGAUAUUCUAUUAGCCCCGGAGCCACUUGAAGUCGGCCAGCAAGUCACGCGACCGCGGUGAUCAACCUAUAUCCCGCGGUCAGAAGCUUCCCGACCGCGGCCAACCAGCCAAUCCCCGCGGUCACAACACUCCCGACCGCGGCAAUCAAUCUCCGAAUUAAAGCCCAUGUAUCUGAAGCCCAAAGUCAUUCUCAGCCUCAAUUCCGGAACCCUAGAGACCAUGGAGUAUUGGAGACUAUAAAUACAUGUCAUUUAGGUCGUUUUUAGGGAGAGCCAUUCAUACUUUACAGAAACCCUUUUUCUUUAGCCGUUUAUAUGAGAUUUUUGUAGAAGAUUGUUCAAGUCCGAGUUCUUCAAUAGAGAAGCUUUCUUUAUCUCUUUUCUUUACUGUUUUUCAUUACUUUUAUUAAAACCAAUGAUGAUGUCGACCUCAGCCAUGUCUGAGUAGAUCCCGAGUUGGGCUUAGGGUUCCCGGAAGGGGCUCUCAUAAUCGAUUAAGACAUCUAGGUUUAUAGAUCUGGGAUUUCGACCUGUUCUCUUUUUAUUCUUGUUCUUAUUGCAUGUAUGCUUGAUUGAUCACCUAGUAUCUGAUCUAGAUAGUUAGUGUUGCAAAAGUUUUCAUUAAGUAUCAGCCCUAAAAUGAAACAGGCGAUUUUUCCGUAGGACUGGAAACCUACCUGCGGCGAGAUCGUGAGUAUUGACGAGUCUUGUGCAGCUCUUGCGUUCUCUCCCUUCUAGGGCCAGAGUGGAAACCUACUGGUCAGGGUUGCGAGAAACAGUUGGUUAUGAUCACGACAGUGACGUAGUCAUACUGCCGUACUCUAGCUCUAGAACCCAUAUAUCGAUAUCCGUCAAUCCCAAUCUAUUUACCCUAGUGUUAAAACCGAUUAUGAUCCCUUAGAGUCCCUAAAAGCUCAGCGUUUUUAGCCAUAGUUUACAAUUCCAUCGAUUUUUAUUUGCUUAUUUAGGCCUGCAUUUCAAUUUCCUUAGUUUGUUAUUUACUUACUUUACUAGUAUUUCAUUCGAUAUUUUACUUGCCUUAUUAGUCUUUCAUUCGAUAUUUUACUUGUUCUAUUUGCCUUUCAUUCGAUUUUUUUACUUGCUUUUUAGGAUAGAUUUAUUUGCUUUCUUUUGUUUUAGUUUAAUACAUCAAACCAACCAACCUUUAAAAACCAAUCUAGUCUAGACAUAAAGUUAAAAACCGUAGAAGAAUACCAGGCACACAAAUCUCUGUGGAUUUGAUCCCUAAAUACUAUAACUGAUUAGCUGUGCACUUGCGGCUUUCAUUUGUUUUGUUAAGGGUAAAACUUGUUCCCUCACGCAGUUGACACGACAUCAAGUUUUUGGCGCCGUUGCCGGGGAUUUGUUUCGCUGCCUUUUGCUAUUUUUCUUGUUUUAACUUCUGUUAUAGACACUUGAUCUCUAGUUCUUUCUUAAAGUUUUGCUGAAUUAUCUUUCCCUUCUUUUGUUUUUCUCUGAAUUGCAUGAAUACCAGGCGCAUACCUGUAGAAAACAUUCCAAUUCUAGACGAGAUAGACAGACACGAAAGACAACUUCGAAGACUUAGACGAACACAAAGAAUGGCCAACGACAACCAGCCUGGAGAUCCUAUUAAUCGAACUUUAAAUAUGGACCAAGACGGGUCCGAACAUGGGGAAAAUGAAGAGAAUGAUCACAGUGGAGGUGAUCAUGCUCGACAAGAUGGAGAGGAAGAUGAGUUUCCUCCAAGAAACCACCAGAACCGAGAGAGAGAAGGACGUGAAGACCUUGAUCCACCCAUCAAUGCAGCCGAUGGUGACCACCCAGCAAUGCAGCCAAAUGAACGCAUUCACCGCCCCAUUCCGCCAGCAAAUCAACACCGAAGACAAGCCAGGAACCAUCGCAUAGCUGAUUUUGAUGGACCUACUCAAAAUUUUCAGAAUCGAUCUGCAAUUCAAGUACCAUUUCCAAACCGGAAUGAGUUUGAAGUCAAGCCUCAAAUCAUCUCAUUGGUGAAGCAAAACCAGUUCCAUGGAGUUCCUUCUGAACACCCAAUGGACCAUAUCGAGCUCUUUGAAGAAAUUUGCAGCAUGAUGAGAACAAAUCAAAUUCCACCAGACUAUUUAAAGUGUAAGUUGUUCCUUUUUUCAUUAGCAGAUAAAGCUCACCGUUGGUUGAAAUCUUUGCCUGCAGGAUCGAUUACCAAUUGGGAAGAAUGCAGAAAUGCUUUCCUAAACCACUUCUACACUAAGUCAAGGUCGAAUCAGUUGAGAACAAAGAUCUCAAACUUUCAACAAGGGCCAACUGAAUCUUUCUAUGAAGCCUGGGAGCGUUUUAAGGAGUAUGAACGUGAUUGCCCUCACCAUGGAUUUCAUGGAUCAAGCCUGCUGAGCACAUUUUACCGAGGUUUGCAACCAAAAUAUAAACUUUCACUUGAUACAGCUAGCAAUGGAGAUUUUGGACAAAAGAUGAUAACCCAAGGAAGAGCUCUCAUCGAAAAUUUGGCUCAAGCCAAUAGCAAUGACUGUCCUGAAUAUGAUCGAUCAAUGAAGCAAGCCGGAACAGACAACAAGGAGAUAACCGAGUUGAAGAACAUGGUGAGCCAGCUUCUGAAGAGUAACAAUCGCCCAAUCCAUGCUUGUGAGACCAACAAUGGCGCAGAAGAUGAAGGACCUAGUGAUAUCGAUCACAUUAAUCAAGCCUUUCAAGAGGAAGAUGUGAACUAUGUAGGAGCACUGGUGCCAUAUCAAAAUCGCUCCAAUAAUAGCUUCAACAACAACUUCCGGAAUGCAAAUUACAACAAUCUCUCUUACCGCAAUCCAAAUGUGGAGAAUCCUCAAGACCAGUACUACCCACCUCAGCAAAAAUCCUUUCAAAACAAGUUUCAAGGUGGAAACGUUGGAGGAAUAGUACCAUAUCAACCACGACAGCCAUUUAACUACCAAGGUACGGGUUUUAACAAUCAAUUUGUACGACAGCAGGGAGUCACGACGAACCAGCUAGCUUCACAAAUCGGUAGACUUGAACAGUCAAUCCAACAGCUCGUUAUGACGAACGAAAAAGCAUCUAAAGACGUGAACGUGAAAGUGUACUGCAUGUACAAUGAUCUGAAUGGUAAGUUUGAAUCUUUAUCUUCGCACGUAAAAAAGUUAGAUGUGCAAGUCGCCCAAACAGCCGACUCUAUGAAGAGGCAAAGUGGAGUACUUCCAGGAAGAGUUGAAGAUAACCCUAAGAAGUUUUGCAACGCCAUAACCACAUUGCCCGAAGAAGAGGCCGGAACCAAUGGAAAGAAAGAAGAAACCCCAAUCUUUGUACCACUGUACAAGGAUAUCAAUCCCAAGAAGCCACCGUUUAAGGUACCUGAACGAUCACCGUUUUAAAGGCUUACCAAAGCCGAUGAUCCAGGACGUUUUGUUUUCCAGUGUUUCAUUUCAGGAAUCAAGUUUACAGACUGCUUGUGUGAUUCCGGAGCCAAUGUCAACAUCAUGUCUAAGACGUUUGCCGAAAAAUUGGGCACUAAAACCUUAAAGACAUCGACGGUUAAGGUUAUUUUUGGAGAUUCAUCUCAAAAAGAUACCAAAGGGGCAAUUCAUGAUCUACAAGUUCUAGUGGGAGACAAAAUCGUUCCAGCAGAUUUCCAAGUCCUGGAAAUGGAUAAAGACAAGGAGAGGCCACUCAUUUUCGGGAGACCAUUCCUAGCUACAGUAGGAGCAGUAAUCGAUCACGCAAAACGACAUGUUGUUUUCCUCAAUGUGGAUCGAAAAAAGUACUAUCCGACUAUCUUAGACGAUUUUCCAAGCAAAGGAAACAUACCAAAAGAGAAAGAGAAGGAGAAGCCGAAAGCUUUUGCAAAGAUCAAGAUCAUCAUUCCACCAGAUGCAACAGAAACUAGUGAGGACUAAAUCCAGGAGCUGAUCGAAAACACAAAAAGGGUUUUAAACAAUAUUAAAGUUCGAAAGAAGAGUAAAGGAAAGAAGACGGCUCCUCAAGGAGAAGAAGUAAAACCUCCAGCGACCGGAAGUGAUAAAGGCACAUCAAGUGGAGUGCCAUUCAAAUCAGCCUGAUUCCUCAUGCUUACGUCGAGCUAAACGACUUAAAACAAAAGCGCUUAAUGGGAGGCAACCCAUUUAGGUACUCUUUCUUUUAGUUUUCUUUUCCUUUUUUUUUACAAUUUAUACUUUCUUUUUCUUUUUAAGUUUUAGGUAUUUUAUAAAACAAAAACACAAAAAAAAUCAGAAAAUUAAGAAAACCAAGAAGAAAAAGGUAGGUUUUUAGCUGCUCGGCCCGGCAAAGACGAGAAGGUUGGACAAAGGCCGCAUGAGGAAGAGCCGCGGUCGCGACUGACUGACCUGCGGCCAAGGGAGCAUCGACCGCGGCACCGUGAAUGUGACCGCGGCCGAGCACUCGACCACCGCGGUCGCGCGUCUCCUGACCGCGGCCGUUGGUCGUUGAGGUGAUUCCGCGGAUUUCUGCCGCUUUUCGGUGUUGCCUGGUGUUUGCCUGGUGAUUCCUGGUGUUGCCUGGUGUAUUCUCGGUGUUGCCUGGUGUUUGCCUGGUAAUUCCCGGUGUUGCCUGGUGUUUUCCUGGUGUUGCCUGGUGUUUACCUGGUGUUUACCUGGUGUUACCUGGUGAUUCCCGGUGAUUCCCGGUGAUUCCCGAAAUGUUCCCGGUAAAAUCCGAAAAGCUCCUCCGUAAGUUUUAAACUUUCCUAAUGUGCAAACAAGAAAGGUAAGUUCCCGUAAACUUAAAAAUUUCUAGAAAUUUUCCGUUUUUGCUACAAAAACGCUUUUUAAAGAAAAGAAACAAACUUUUUGGAUCAAAACUCCUUCUUCUCUUCUCUUCCAAAAGAUUUGGAGAUUUAGGAGAUAGAAUACAUUUUUCAAUUCUUAAGCUUUUUAAAAGAUUUUUGGCUCAAACCUCACUCUUUUUCAAAGCUGAUUCCAAUUCUGCAAUCAAAUCUCUCUUUCCAGCAAGGUAUGAACCUCAAACUCGCCAUUUUUAAUUGAUUUCAUAACUUAGGGUUUUUUUAAAAAUCCCAAAUCUCUGUUUAUUGAUGGUAGAAAUAGAUUAAGAAUGAUAGAUUAUCCAUUUAGGUUAUCUAAAAAUUGAUUUUAGCACCUAGCUUAAGAGGAAUUGAGAUUUUUGAAAUUUGGAUUCUACAUGCUUCAUAAAAAUCGAAUUUGGAACAGCAAAAUUGAUGAGUUUGAUUAAGUCUUGUGUGAUUAAUGAUUAGUAUUGUGUGAGCCAAAACUCAAACAACCAGAAAUUUGUUUAAGGAAAACUAAGGGAUCGGAAACUUCUAGGGUUUAUCGCCAAAAACAGUAAGAUCGAAAGAAAGUUUUUCUUGCUGUAAAAGUGUUUAGCUCUUAUUGCUUAGGGUUGCAAAAGUUACAGAAUGAAUUGUAUACAUCGUCUAUUUAUACUAACUCUCUGAACCGCCUAGCCGAGAAUCUCGGGAGAGAUUUUCGGAAUAUUUCCUUAUCGCCUCGUGCGGCUCACCGCCUUUGUAUUUCGCCUAGGAUUUUUAUGGGCUUCGUCUCCCAAGGCCACGGUUUGGCCCAUCAUUCUCCUUUGCCACGGCUCGGCCAUCUAAUUUCUUCACGGCUCGGCCCACUUGCCAUUUCGGUCGAGACAUGAUCUGGUCCACCUCACCGAGGCGCGGCUCGGCCCAAGCAUGUUGGAAUGGGGCUCGGCCCAUUUCUUACGAUACGGCUCUCCCUACUGGUCUAUCGUCACGGCUCUCCCACUUGGUGAUCGCGGCUCUCCCGCUUGUCUUGGUGAGAACGGCUCUCCCACUUGUCUUGGUGAGAACGGCUCUCCCACUUGUCUUGGUGAGAACGGCUCUCCCAUUUGGUGACCACGGCUCUCCCACUUAUCUUUCUUCCAUACUUAGUCAUUUUGAGAUGGUUUUAUCUGCGUGGGGUGAAAACCGACCCCAACAGUUAGCCCCACUGCUCGUCAGUUUCGGAGGCGAGAGUAACGAGGUCCAUUACUCCUGACCGUAGGAUAAACCAUCGAGUCAAGCUGUUAUGACAUAGGCCCAGAUGAGGUGUUUUGGGAAUGAAGACGCCGAGGUGUUUCCAAGGAGUGCCGAGGGUGCCGAGGUGUUUCGAAAGGGUACCGAAGAUGCCGAGGCAAGUUAAGGACGAGGCGACCUCGUUUGGUAAUAAUGGGCCGAUGCGAUUUCGUUUAGUAAUGAUGAGCCGUGACGAGGCGAUUUGAGAAGGUUAUACCGAGCCGAAUAAAUGGCGAGGCGUUUCGAGAGAAAGUUUGUGCCGAGCCGUUUCGUUAAUGACAAGGCGUUUCGAGAGAAAAUUCGUGCCGAGCCGUUUCGUUAACGACGAGGCGUUUUGAGAGAAAGUAAAUGCUGAGCCGUUUCGUUAACGACGAGGCAUUUCGAGAGAAAAUUCGUGCCGAGCCGUUUCGUUAACGACUAGGCGUUUCGAGAGAGAGUAAAUGCCGAGCCGUUUCGUUAACGACGAGGCGUUUCAAGAGAGAGUAAAUGCCGAGCCGUUUCGUUAACGACGAGGCGUUUCGAGAGAGAGUAAAUGCCGAGCCGUUUCGUUAACGACGAGGCGUUUCAAGAGAGAGUAAAUGCCGAGCUGUUUCGUUAACGACGAGGCGUUUACUUUGGUAAGAUAUCGGCUGAAAAAUUGGGCAUCACAACUGUUGGUCUUCCGAGAGAAAAUUCAUGAUCUGUUGGCGCGUGUGACCGACGCAGUUCGGUCUAGCCGUUCCACUGCGGAUCCCACGCGCUGUUUGGACGGUUUCCCGAGGUUUACGCGGAAUUCACGCGCUUCGGUUUUCCUAUAAAUGGGUGAGCUCCUUCAUUCUUCCUCAUUAUCUUCAGACUCACUUUUUUUACUAAAGGUAGCUCUCCCUUCUCUCUUCUUUCUCUCUCUAGUUUAUUUAUUUUCCCGCUAGGGUUUCCGAGGUCUCCGCCGUUCCAGAUCUUUUUCCGGCAGAGGCUCGCCGAGUCGUGCUGUAAUUCUUGUACAAGUCGUAAGUUAUGUCGAGCCACUCCGACGAUUCGUUGGAUUCACUCUUUCACUACGAGCCGAGCCGUGUAGAUGCCGAGGCGAGAGGUACAACAGAAUCCUCCGAGGCAUCCGUUUCGCCGAGCCCUUCCAAUCGUUCAUCUGACGAGGCGUCAAAUCAUGCAAAACCGUCAGAUGUCGACUCUACAGAUGAUGAGCCAUCGGUUUCGACGAGCCGUCCCCAGGAUCCCAUUCCUGAUGAAGGUAUCAACUGCGCCGCAGUCUAACCCGAGGAGGAGGCAUUUCCCUUUGACCUAUUCGAGGCGAAGCGUGAGUUGGAACGUCUCAUAGCGUCUCGAGGCGCUUCCACAUCUGGGCGAGGGCCACGAGUUAAAAGACAAAAGCCUGACCCGCCUGGCUCUACGCUUUGCUCCCUUGAGUCGCUCUAGGCGUUGAGGCAUCGCUUCAGGAUAUCCGAGGCGGUGGAGUUCAUCGUUCCAGAGAAGAGCGACCGAGCCGACAAGCCUCCAGAGAAUCACUUCACUCUGUACGAGGCGUUCUUCGAGCUUUGCUUUCUCUGGUUCCCAAUCCCCGGAGUGAUCCUUGAAUAUCUCUGGAAACACGGGAUCUCGAUUGGGCAAAUCAUGCCGAGGGGAUUACGGCGUAUGAUUGGCAUCUUAGUUCGUAGCUCCGAAUGCGGACUCGAUAUCGAGCUGAAUCACCUGCUGGACUUGCUGGAAAUCAGGAAAGCCCCGAAGGGAAAUAGAUUCUAUAUUUCCAACAAGGCGAAACGACGGAUCAUAGGCGGUUUUCCCAGCAAGGAUCAGUUUUGGACUGAACGCUUUUUCUACGUCUUGGUGAACGAGGCGUCGGUCGGCGAGGAUUACGUUCAAAGAACCAAGACCGCUUGGGGAUCACUUGGUAGCCGACCCGAAGCUCUGCCUCGGCUCGGAACUGCUUUUGGUAUCCUCUUCCUUUUCUGAAUUUUUUUCUUUUUUGCUUUGUUUUGCAGUUCGGUGCUUUCUUCCCCCGAUUCCCGACGACCUUUUUACUGUUCAAGACUCUCUUUCGGCGCGGAAGGUUAAUUGGAGAAAGAACUUCACCCUCGAAAGAGUAGAAAGAGCGCGAGCCAUCCUUGCCGGAGUCCCCGUCAGCUCUUCGUCCUCAAGUUCUUCAAGACAUACCCGGGAGAAGAUAGUAAUAAUCGCUCUCAGAGAAAGGAAGAGGCGCGAGGAAGAGGAGGCCGCUAGAUGAGCUGCCGAGGCGGCUCGCGCGCAUACCGAGGCAGUUCCAGCGCAAGCCGAGGCGGUUUCAGCGCAAGCCGAGACCAUCCCUCAACCCGACCCGCCGAGCCAGGAAGGGGAUGUAAUGGUCCAAGCCGCAGAAGGAGACACUGCCGAGGCGGCUGAUAAAGAUGCAGCGCCCGAGGUGGAACCGGGCGAAAUUAUCCCCGAGGUGUCCGGGGACGGCUCGGCGGCGCGGAGUAAGACUCCUUCGCACACCGCCAUCCUGGCCCUCCCGAAGUCGACGAGGCCACCGACUUCGGUUGUUCAGAAGCAUGACUCUAGCCGAAAACGUUCGGCUACUGACAAGGGGAAGGGCGUCGCCGUUCAGAAGGACGAGCCGUCCAAGAAGAGGCGGAAACCGACGCCCGGGGACCCGCCGCGCAUAAGUUGGUCGUUGACGACCCCAACGCCUCUGCCGUCAUGUUCUCGCGUGUAAAUAACGCGAACACGAGUCUUCCUCCUCUGGAGAAGCUGAGGAGGCCGAGGUCAUACGGCACGAUGGAACAGCACGGUACCAAGGUACGUUCUAUUUUCUUUCCUUUAUUUUUGCAAAUUUUACGAGGUGUUUAACGCACGUCUGUUCUCUGCAGUUUGUCGCGGCCAUUAACGACCUGAUGGCCGAGUAUGAGGCGGACCUGUCUAAGGUCGAAUGUCGUUUGGACGAGGCCCGAAAUGAAACCGUGGCGUCAAAGGUGAAGCUGGAAGAGGCGCAAAACGAAGCCGCGGCCGCGAAGGGGAAACUCACCGAGGCGAUGACCCGAGUGUCGAGGUUGGAAGAGGAGAAGAUAGUUCUCCGCGCUGACGUCGACAAAGUUUCCGCCUUGGUGAUUCGCCUGGAGGAAGCAAGGAGAGCUAAAAGCGCCGAGGUGGCGAUGCAAGAGGCGUAUCGAAGCCAAGGACGCUCUGUUUGAUGCCAAGGUCAAGCGGGCAAAAAAGGAGGCGAGGCGAGAGCUUACGGCUAAGUUUCAGGAACGCCUCGCCAAGGUAGAGGAAGAUUUGGUCAAGCUCGAGAAGGCCAAAAAUGAUGAGAACGAUCUGGGGCAGAUCAAGGGCAAUCUUGCGAUGAUUGCCGACCUGAAGAAGCCGGACACCCCGACGCUUGAUGACGAGGAGGCGAAGCUGAAAAGUUGGGAGAGUGAGUAUGCCAACGACGAGGCGUACGAGCGUAUUGCUUCCGAGAUUCAAGGCGAGCUGUUUUACUCUCCCGUAUCGCUGGACUCGGUAGACACCAGCAUUGGCAACGAGCCGCUUGAAGAGACAGCGGCCAACCUGGGUGUCGUUGAUCCGACCAGAUCGAACGCGGGGACACCAGCCCUCUCGAACCUCCUUGCCGAGCGCGAGACGCAAUCCGUGGCUUGAUACUCUCUGCUUUCCCUCACCCUUUAUUGCACAUGUUCUUCUUUUUGUUUUUGUACUUAAGUUUUUUCAUGAUUCACUUUUCGAACUCGUUAUGUAAUUGGUGCCUGGAUGGCUUUAUCCACUUGACUUUUAUUUUUGCUUUAUGGAUAUAUUUUAUUUUCCUUAGCCAUUUUCGGAUUUACUUGUCUAACAAUCCAUGAAAAUGUUUACGAAAACUGUUGGCUUAGAAAAAUUGUCAAGGAUGAAAACUGUGUGUCGAGAAUGAUUUGAUUGCUUCCUUAGCCGGGCUUUUCGAAAUUGAUAGAAAUACGGGCUAAGGGGUGAAUUGUGUUAAGGAUCUCGUUUGGAUUCUUAAUCCCGAGCUGGGAGUUUAGGUGAUAAUGUCGAGGCAAAUUUCCACUGGCAAUGCCGAGCCGUAUUUAACGACGAGGCGUUUUCGCUGUGUAAGGUGCCGAGCCGUGUAAACGGCGAGGCGUUUUCUCUAAGCGUGGUACCGAGCCGUGUACACGACGAGGCAUUUUUUCUGUGCAUGGUGCCGAGCCAUAAGAACGACGAGGCGUUUUCUCUUUGCGUGGUGCCGAACCGUAAGAACGACGAGGCGUUUCGUUUUUUGUUCAGCCAAGAAUGAUUUGGUAGUCUCAUUGAAUCUUACUAUGGACCGGCGUUUCCGAGAGGAUGAAUAUGUUUGUCCGGGUUUUAAGAGUUUACUUCGGUUUUAGAGAAAGCGAUGUAGUCUCGACUUACAUUCUCGUGUGCGAUAGUAAACCGUGGCGACCUGAUACGUUUUUGGUCUGAUAUUUGUAUAGCGCUUAAUUUUUAUCCGUAGAGGAUGUAACUUGCACCCUCGUCCUAGGAAAGGUGGUAAAGUUCGUUUAGAGAACUUUGUAUUUGUUGCCCCGUUAUGGCCAGCAACGAGACGAGGCGUUCGGAGGCUUAGUUUGCCGAUCUGAAACUGAGGACCGAUUAAGGUCUGAGGUAAUCAAGUCAUGAUAUCGUGCCGAAGUGGUAUGAUUACUCUCCGAAGUGAUGAGUGAUAAAAUUUUAAAAAUCCGAGCUUGUUAAAAUAAGUUGCUGAUUUAGAAAAAAUGAGAAACUAGCCGAAGCGAUAAUGAACGAACUAGAAAUCCAAGGUAAACGUGCAAUAAGUAGAUGAUUAAAAACGAACUGAGAAUGUGCCGAAGUGGCGAUGUUCCUAAGUGAGCAAGUUAAAAUUGUAGAGUUAAAGAAGGUAUGUGUAUAAGUACCCACUCCCCCCCCCUUUUUAGGAAGGGGGACAGCUGAACCCGUCCGAGGACGGGCUGCCUACGUACCCUUUGAAGGGAUCAAGCCGUCCCGUAGUUCAUGCUUGCCAUGCUGUACCUUUAAUGAUAAUACUUUUUUAGAUGCAUUGCGUUCCAUGAUCUUGGAAUCGCUUCGUCAGCUAGUGUCGCGAGUUCGUAGACUCCUGGACGAACCACUUUUGUGACCUUGUAAGGACCUUCCCAAUUUGCUCCGAGCUUUCCUGCGUUCUUCUCGGCAGUGUUUUGGAAGACCUUUCGGAGGACGAGCUCCCCUGCUUUGAAUCUUCGACUACGAACGUUUUUGUUGUAGUAUCGCGCCGUUGCUUGUUGAUAGUUCUGGAUCCGAAUUAAGGCUUGGUCGCGCUUUUCGUUGAUUAGGUCGAGCUCAUCUAGCAUCAUUAAGUGGUUCAAGCCCUCCUGUCCUGGUAGAAGUCUUCGUCGAAUACCUGGGAAAUCCACCUCGGGGGGAAUUACGCACUCCGAUCCGUAGACCAAAGCGAAUGGAGUUUCCCCGGUGGCUCGGCGCGGAGUUGUCCGAUGAGACCAAAGGACUCCUUCGAGUUCGUCUGCCCACCGUCCCUUCUUGGCGUCGAGCCUCUUUUUCAGACAGUCGAGGAUCAUCUUGUUGGCUGCUUCGGCUUGUCCAAUCCCUUGAGGGUAUCUUGGCGUAGAUUUGCUGAGGCGGAUUUUCCACUUCUCGCAGAAGGCUUCGAAGCGUGUUGAGAUGAACUGGGAUCCGUUGUCGGUGACUAUCUCGUAGGGGACCCCGUGUCGGCAGAUGAUAUUUUUCCAGACAAAGUGUUCGACUUGAACAUCCUUUAUGCUUGCGUAGGAAUCGGCUUCGACCCACUUGGAGAAGUAAUCCGUGAGGACGAGCAGAAAACGAUUCUGCUUUGAGCAAUGUAGAGGUCCGACGAUGUCCAUCCACCAUCUCAUGAACGGAUAGGGUGAUGAAAUUGACGCAACUCGGUAGGUUGAUGAAUUGUUGGAGCGUGCCGCUGACACUUCUCGCACUUCGCCUUAAAUUUCUCGUAGUCCUUGACCAUCGUGGGGCAGAAGUAGCCGUGCCGUUUUAUCUUGAUAGCGAGCGACCUUCUGCUGGAAUGGUUCCCGCACGCGCCGCUGUGCACCUUGUGCAUGAUCUUUCUUGCCUCCGGUCCUUCGACGCAUGUCAUGAAAGGCCCUGAAAAUCUCCAUUUAAACACCUCGCCACGACGAGGACAUACCGUGCGACCUGAGCUUUUAGUUUGCGGGCUUCCCAUUUGUCGGUUGGCACCUCUCCAUCGGCGAUAUACACUCGGAUAGCUCCGAGCUAUUCUUUGUCGCAGCCGUACUCCGGCUCGGUCGGUGAGGCGUCUUCAUCCAUAGGAAUGGCUUCGUCGUCCUCUGGUUCUUGUUCAGGAGGAUUUAUCAGCCGAACUCCUUCCACCUCUUUGAUGCUAGGACGUUCGAUGAAUUCGACUGGGAUCGUCCGUCGGAGGUCUGGGUCUGAGGUCGAAGCGAGUGCUGCCAAGGCGUCGGCCGAGGUGUUUUCCCCUCGGGGAAUGCGCGUGAGUUCGUACUCGUCAAACUUUUGCACCAACUCUCGGACCACCUUGAGGUAAGCUCCCAUUCGUCCAUCCUUCGCCUCGUAUUCUCCGUUGAACUGACAUGCUACGAGCUGUGAAUCGCAAAAGGUUCUUAUCUUUCGAACUCCGAUUCCCUACGCUAGUCGUAUGCCGGCGAUCAGUGCUUCGUAUUCCGCUUCGUUGUUCGAGGCGUGGAAGUUUAGGUGAAAAGACUGCUCCAAUAUCUCUCCGGUGGGAGAGGUGAGGCGAAUUCCUAUACCCGAGCCGUGUUUAGACGACGAGCCAUCGACGUGCAGCGUCCACACUUCGUCUAGAGUCGGCUCGUUUGUUUCUUCGGCGGGAAGUUCAAUGAGGAAAUCUGCGAGCACCUGUGACUUUGCAGACGACCUGUUCCGAUACUCGAUGUCGUAUUCGCUUAGCUCUAUGGCCCACUUGGCGAGCCGACCGGAUUGGCUAGGGCUGUGAAGGAUCGAGCGCAGCGGAAGCGUAGCGAGCACAACAAUCGAAUGUUAUUGAAAGUACGGGCGCAGUUUGCGAGCCGAGACUACGAUGGCUAGGGCGACCUUCUCGAUCUGGGGGUAGCGGGUCUCGGCGUCGGUUAGUGUCUAGCUGAUGUAGAAAAUGGGUUUUUGCUCGGAUCGUUCUUCUCUGAUAAGCACUCCGCUUACGGCUGUAGCAGACACUGCGACGUAGAGGAAGAGCGGCUCUCCUUCGACUGGUUUUGCUAAGAUUGGUGGGCUCGCCAGAUAAUUCUUCAGUUCCUGGAAAGCCGUCUCGCAUCGUUCGUCCCACUCAAAUUUCUUGUUUCCUCGGAGGGUGUCGUAGAAGGGCAGGCAUUUGUCUGUAGAACGGGAAAUAAACCUGUUUAGCGCGGCGACUCUACCUGUGAGCCUUUGCACUUCGCGCUUCGUUCUUGGAGAGGGCAUCUCAAUUAACGUCUUGAUCUGCUUGGGGGUUGCUUCUAUGCCUCGGUGAGUUACCAGAUAGCCGAGGAAUUCUCCCGAGGUGACCACAAACCUGCACUUUGCCGGGUUUAGUUUCAUGUUGUGCUUGUUCAAUUGUUCGAAGCAUUCCCAUAGAUGCGCGACGUGGUCUUCCUCCUUGAGUGAUUUGACUAACAUGUCGUCGAUGUAUACUUCCAUGGUUUUUCCGAGCUGAGCCGCGAACAUUUUAUUGACGAGCCGUUGAUACGUUACUCCUGCGUUCUUGAGCCCGAACGGCAUGACUUUGUAGCAGUAUAUCCCUCGAUCAGUUAUGAAUGCCUUUUUUUCUCGAUCAUCAGGAUGCAUCAGGAUCUGAUUGUAGCCGGAGAACGCGUCCAUAAAUGUUAACAGUCUAUUCCCUGCAGUGGCUUCGACGAGCCGGUCGAUGUGUGGCAAGGGAAAGCUGUCUUUUGGGCACGCCUUGUUGAGGUCGGUGAAAUCCACACAUACUCGCCACUUGCCGUUCUUCUUCUUCACGACCACCGGAUUUGCGAGCCAAUCCGGAUAUUUGGCCUCGGCGAUUGAUCCUACUUUGAGUAACCUUUCAACUUCGUCGUUAACUGCUUUAGCUCGUUCGGGGCCGAGCUUCCUUCUUUUCUGCUUGACUGGCUUAAAGGUCGGAUCCACAUUCAGCUCGUGACAGGUUACGUCAAUGCUUAUGCCUGGCAUAUCUUCUGCUGUCCAGGCAAAAGUGUUGAUGUUCUCCUUGAGGAGGGAAAGGAGUUCGCUUCUCAGAGGCUCUUCUAGUUUUAUUCCAAUUUCGAUGCAUCGCUCCGGACGCGCCUCGUCUAUGCACACCGAGUCCACUGCAUCGCAUACCGGCUCGGCGCGUGUUUCGCGGUUCUCCGUGAUCUGUAAUUGCUAUAAGAGUUUCGAGAGCUCGUUUGCGGGCUCUCGGUCUGUCUUCAUCUUUUUGCGGUCUAUAUCUGCUCGUGCGUCAGUGACGGGGUUCCUCAGCUUGUGCUCGGCUAAGCAGCACAUUCUUGACUCCUUCUGAUUCCCCCAUAUCGUUUUGACACCCGAUGGAGUUGGGAAUUUGAGACAGAGAUGAUAGGUGGAUGGUACCGCCCUCAUCCCGUUGAUCCAUGGAGUUCCCAUGAUCACAUUGUAGAUUGCUGGGUGAUCAGUGACGCAGAAUUCGACGAUCUUAGUGACUCCGCCAGCUACCACAGGAAGCCUGAUCGUUCCCAUAGUCAUCGUCGUUUCUCCUGAAAAUCUGGUUAGAGGUUGGGGAUUGCUUCCACCUCGGAGAGGUCGAUUCCCAUUUUUCUGAGUGUUUCUCUGAAGAUGACGUUCACUGAGCUUCUAGUAUCGAUGAGCACCCUUGCCACAUCAUGAUCCAUGAUCGUUAACUCGAUCACCAACGGAUCGUUGUGAGGUCGAUCAAUUCCUGCCGCUUCCUCCUCGGCGAAGGAGAUCACUGUGUUUGGGAUGUCGGUUGGUUUUAUCCAAUUCUCCUUUGCUUCGGCUCGGCGCUGAUAGGCUUUGAUGGAGGACACGGUAUCAUGGUAGUAUUGAGAUCCACCCAUGAUCAUAUUGAUCCUUUGCCUCGGCACGGGUCGCUCUUCGGGUUCACCUCUCCUGUCGCGCUUGGAGUUAUCGCCUCUUCGCGCUGCUCGGCUCGGCUCUCUCUUGUUGUUCGUUAGGGACGAGGUCUUUGAGGUUGACCGCGUUUUGGAGCUCUCCCGCUGCCAUCUUAGGCACGAGUUUUGCUCCUAGAGUUCGGCACUGUGCCGUUGAGUGCCCGUAGGUCUGGUGAUACUCACAGAAAGCCUUCUCGUCGUAGUUGGCGGAUUUCCUCACCCAAGUGUUGUUGCGCGGCUCUCCUCUUCCGCGUCCGGUGCCUACCUGGUAGUUAUGGGCACCUCCGCUUCUAGGUUCAUCCGAGCUCUGCGUUGUUGCGUUGUUUGAUGGGUUGCCCUUCCUCGCGGGGCGCGGCAAAAUUGAGCUUCGGAUUGCUGCUUUCGUCGCUUCGUACCGCUCGUCCAAGUUUUUCAUUUCCUCCUCGUUUACGACGAAGUCUGAUGAUCGGUGCAGAGCGUCUUGAAUUGUUUGCGGCGUGUUGAGAGCCAUCUCCCGUUGGAACUCGGAUUUGUACCACAAAGAUUGUUUCAGAGCCUCGAGCGCAGCCUUGUCGCUUAUCCCUUCUAUUUUGGAUACGAGUGCCUUGAAUCUUGCCAUGUAAUCCCGAAGCGGCUCGUUCAGUCCUUGGGAUAGUGUCCACAGAUCGGCAUCAGAUGUUCCUCUGUCCAUAAACAUCGAGUAUUGUUUCUGGAACAAGGCGGAGAGCUGUUGAAAAUUGCCGAUUGAAUUUCGUUCCUGCCUCGAAAACCACUCGAGUGCGGCUCCCUUGAGAUGCUCCACGAAGAGCAGGCAGUAUCCGGCAUCUACUUUGCGCUCGGUGAGUUUAGCGGCGUUCUUUGUGAAGGCUCGUCCCAUUGCUAUCCGAAACGCUGUGAUGUGUGCUUUCGGGUCGGUUGUUCCUUCGUAGAACGGGAUUCUCACCUUCCCCGGCUCGGGAAUCCUGGCCUCCGUGAUUCUUGCAGUGAAUGGAGUUCUCUGAGUUUCUUCAAGCAUUCGGUCGAUUUCGGGCGCUGCGCUUGUCACGUUGUGCACUUGGGAUUUCAUGGCGCGUAUUUCAGCUACUGUCCGAGCUAUCGAGGCUCGCAGCUCUUUGAGUUCGAGAGUUUGUGUGUGAAUCAUUCCCUUUGAUUGGGGGAGUCGCUCCCGCUCCUCUCUCCUCGGCUCGUCUUCGCGCUCUGCCUGUUCGAUCCAUUGGCGAUUUUCUUCCUCCUCGGUUGGAUUGUCGCUGCGGGUCGGGUCGGAAACUUCGUCAGUUCGGAUGCCGUUUAGUGCCGAGGCGAGGUCUUCUUGACUUAUUCGCCGAGCCGAGCCGGUUUGUUGCGGAUUCGUGGUUCAGUCGUUAUGCUGGGCGUCUACGUCGAUCGCAUGGUUUUCUUCUUCGCCGGCUCGCCGCCUUGAGUUUCGGCGGAGAGGGGGCGGCUCGGUCAUGUUGACUCUGGUUGCUGCGGGGGGUCUUUUCGUCGAGGAGACGAAACAUUGGAGGAGCCGAGGGGUUUCUUGCGCCACUCCCUGAGGCUUCUGCAGGUGUCGAGAAAUCGAAGCGUCUCCGGAUUCCAUCCAUCGGGUCGGGAAUUCCGGCUCUCCAAGUUUGGUGCAGUCGCUCAGCCGCCAUCGCGUCGAGCCUUUCCGUAAUCGCCUCGUUUCUUUUAUCCUGUUCGUCGAUUUUCUUCAUCAACGCAGCCAUCAUGUUUGCAUCUCCUCCUGGGUUUUGAUCGUUGCUGUCGUUGUGCCCGAUGCCGGAGCGUCCUUCUCCGUGCCGUUACCGGUGUUGUUGUUGUUGUUGUCGUCGGGGGUGUUGCUCGCCAUGUUCUUCGGAUCUUAAAGUCUUGUCGAUUUAGAGUAAGAAAGUUUCGAUUCCCCACAGACGGCGCCAAAUUGUGUGAGCCAAAACUCGCACAACCAGAAAUUUGUUUAAGGAAAACUAAGGGAUCGGAAACUUCUAGGGUUUCGCCAAAAACAGUAAGAUCGAAAGAAAGUUUUUCUUGCUGUAAAAGUGUUUAGCUCAUAUUGCUUAGGGUUGCAAAAGUUACAGAAUGAAUUGUAUACAUCGUCUAUUUUUACUAACUCUCUGAACCGCCUAGCCGAGAAUCUCGGGAGAGAUUUUCGGAAUAUUUCCUUAUCGCCUCGUGCGGCUCACCGCCUUUGUAUUUCGCCUAGGGUUUUUAUGGGCUUCGUCUCCCAAGGCCACGGUUCGGCCCAUCAUUCUCCUUUGCCACGGCUCGGCCCAUCUAACUUCUUCACGGCUCGGCCCACUUGCCAUUUCGGUCGAGACAUGAUCUGGUCCACCUCACCGAGGCGCGGCUCGACCCAAGCAUGUUGGAAUGGGGCUCGGCCCAAAUCUUACGAUACGGCUCUCCCUACUGGUCUAUCUUCACGGCUCUCCCACUUGGUGAUCGCGGCUCUCCCGCUUGUCUUGGUGAGAACGGCUCUCCCACUUGUCUUGGUGAGAACGGCUCUCCCACUUGUCUUGGUGAGAACGGCUCUCCCAUUUGGUGACCACGGCUCUCCCACUUAUCUUUCUUCCAUACUUAGUCAUUUUGAGAUGGUUUUAUCUGCAUGGGGUGAAAACCGACCCCAACAAGUAUUGGGUAAUCUUUAGAAUUUACAUGGAAAUUGCUUAUAAAAACCAAUUUUUAGAAGAUUUCUAUGUUGAGAACAUCAAAAAUCCGAAUCUGGUCAUGAACUACUUGAUUUCUCUGAUUUAUUAUCGAUUUUGUUUGCUCAUGGUUUUAAUUAAUCUCUUUAUGCUAGUAUUAGUAUAACAGAUCUUAAUGUGUUAAAAUCAGCAUCCAAAUUCACUCUUUUUCCAAGAACUAUUUCGUUUUGCAGAAAAAUGGACCAAAACAGAUCCCGAAGGAGCCGUCGCACUGGUGGCAGCUCCGAGGACAUUCCCGAUGAUGCUACUCUAGGAGAGUACAUGCUGAACCAAACCAGACCGAGAAGGAGAAACUAUGUGAUGAGAUUGCUCCAUCACUCAAGAGAAACACAAGCAGCUCCCGAGCCACCACAGAUUCUAUACAUUGGGAGGGAGACAAACCCGAGAGUGGACUAUGCAAGACGUUUCAAGAAGCUGAACAUCAAACCCACGCCUUGCAUAGAUUAUCAUACACUCGAGAUGCUUGGAAUCAGAGAAGAUGUGAUCUGGUACAUCAAUGCACUUAAGCUGAGACCCUACAUGGAGCUGAACCUUCCGACUUAUCCUGAGCUAGUCCGUGAAUUCUUAGCGACUAUUACACUACACCACACGAAGAGGAGGAACCCCAGAGCAUCAGAUGGCAUCUUGUCAUUCUCUAUCCGCGGACAGCCUUACUCUCUCACCAUUUCUGAGGUUUGUGAAGCUCUUAAGCUUCCAUACACUGAUGGCAUUUACCUUGAAGAUGAACCUGAUCUUAACCUGUGGAGAGAGAUGGGUCAUGGAGUCUAUGAUAGUGGGAGAUCGAAGUCAGCCCUUCUUACUCAUCCAGCAGUGAGAGUUGUGCACAAGCUAUUAGCACACACGAUCUUCUCUAGAGCAAACAUGGGAGGUGUUUUAAAGACUGAGCUCAUUACACAUCAGAUUCCGUUUAUGGACGACCCACGACUUGCUUGCUUUGCCUGGAUCAUAGCGCAGAAUACGGUAAACGUGAAGCAUGACUUACAUGGUUGCGAGGACGCUACUCCAGCUUUCAGGAGUGCUAUUACAGCGAUACUACAGGCUGUAGGAUUCGAUUUCUCAUCUGAUGAGCCACUUCCCGAUGUCUGGUAUGAUCUACUUUAUCUCUCUCGCGAUCACACUAUCUCUCGUGCCGCUUUCGAUCCAGACAGGUUUGGUUACAAGUAUUGCACUGGCACUGAGGAGCACCGAGUCAGUUUGCCUUCGGUAUCUAUCCCGAGAUUGUGUAACGGAGGACGUCCGCGAUGGACUCCGGAACCUGAUGAUUUUCUGCCUUCUGUACCUCGUCUACCAUUCACCAUUGGCCAAUACAUAGUGGCCAAGGUGAAGCGUGAUGCAGCUGCGGCCCGUGCCCAUUUUCAGCCAUCUGUUUUGACCGGCCACACCUCAUCAUCUACAUCAUCUCACACUCAUUCCGAUCUGGAGCGCAGAGUUGAGAGACAGGGACGACGCUUUGAGCGCGUUGUCACCUUCUUACAGGAGCAGCACCAGUUUGCAGACGACACAUCGGAGGAUGAGUGAUUGAUCAGCACUUCACUACCAUCACGGUUCUAUCAUCAAUUUCUUUUCUUUUAUCUUAUUUUAUUUCUCUUUUAUUCACCAUCUUCUCACCAACUUUUUCACACUGGGGACAGUGUGAUUUAAGUCUGCGGGAGGAUGUCUAUCCGUACUAAUCAUUUUCUUGCUUUUCUUUUUAAAUUCCAAGUACUUUUUAAAUUUUAAUAUGUAACCUAUUCGACAUUAAGUAUUUUUCAGGAAUGUUUGACGCAAAACUAUGAUGAUUUAGACCUGCACGCUUCUACACUAUGCAUGAUUGCUCAUUUGUGGUUAGCACUAGACUAGGCGGUAGCUAGAGUACUUGCACUACGAACUCCCACCAGAGGACUUCUAUUCAUGGAGAUUCUUUCUGACAGGAUAUACUAGCUCAUUUUAUUUGGACUUAAUAUUGAUAUCUAAUUUUUUCAUCAUUGAUUUUAGGCAGGCAUCGACAUACACAUCUAGGACGUCUUCUACCCUCACUUUUACCACUCUUUGUCGUCCUAGAUGACCUGUUUAUCUUUAUCUGGUACCAUACCCUAAACCCAAAACCCUUGUUUUCAAUCCUCAUGCAUUCUUUCUUUAGUUUAUAUCAGCAGAUAUGUGCAAAAACGUCGGAGAGAAGAGGAGCGACACAGUUUUCAGUCACUCACAAAGGAGACUGAAUGGAAUUGGGAAGGAAGAGUAUCAGAAAAAUCAUGAAGCUUUACAAGACAGAUAUUGACUGGUAAUUUCGUGCUCUCUAAGACUCUAUAUCUAAAGGUGUUCCCUUUCUCCCACAAAAAAAAAAAAAAAAAAAAAAAACGUGAAAAAAGAAAGGGAAACAAAAAGCCUAAUGAGUCUUAGAUUGUCAAAAAUUUGUGGAGCAAUAAGCAACCACUAAUCGUUUAAUUUUGAAAGAUUUACAUAAAUCUAAGUCUGGGGGAGUUAGGAGAGAACCUGAGGAAGAAGACCAGGAAUCUAUGGCACGAAGAAAGUGACUGAAAACUGUGGAUACCAACAGCUUAACUCUCUCUUGCGGUUUUGCAUAAUAUCAUGCAUCCUCCAGAUUUUCAAGUAACCCGUAAACACUUUAAACCUUACCCCUAGAAUAACCUUUUUAACACCUAGCCUAGAUUGCCUUGCCUAGACUUUCUUUGAUGAGAACCACCGAGAUUUUUAAUGAAUGUUAAGAGCUAGUUGACUGGAAGUUAGAUCCUAGUGCAUAGAUUUUCGCAUGAUGGAUUAACGGACUAGUUAUGCCUGUAUUGCUAGUGAGUAUUUUCUAGGCUAUUCCCGAUUGAUGCAUACUGAUUGAUAUUGGUCUAGAAGUUUGGUCUCUGAGAUUUUGUUUAGUUCCUGCGUUUUCAAACCUCUCACCGAGAUUUAGCCUUUGUUUUGUUUGAGGACAAACAAAAGACUAAGUCUGGGGGAGUUGAUAACACCGGAUUUUGACCAUUUUUAUGGAUCACUUUCAUAUCUUUUACCGGUGUUUUUACUCCAUUUUCAAAGAUUUUCAAAGGAUUUCUAUGUUUCCGGAUUUGAAAAGACUUUUCAGGUAAUUUGGGAUAAAGAGGCACAAAAUGAAACAAAAACUCUUUUGAAUAAAUGCAGACCGUCAGAACUCUCAUGGAGAGACGACGACCUUCUCACCGUCUGAUCACCUUCAAAACUGGACAACUUAUAGAAGAAUCAACCAGCUUUCAAAUGCACUUGGUUUGGAGACAUUCUAACGGUUGGAUCUCAAGAUAUUCCAUUAGCCCCGGAGCCACUCGAACUCGGCCAGAAAGUCACGCGACCGCGGUGAUCAACCUAUUUCCCGCGGUCAGAAGCUUCCCGACCGCGGCCAACCAGCCAAUCCCCGCGGUCACAACACUCCCGACCACGGCAAUCAAUCUCCGAAUUAAAGCCCAUGUAUCUGAAGCCCAAAGUCAUUCUCAGCCUCAAUUCCGGAACCCUAGAGACCAUGGAGUAUUGGAGACUAUAAAUACAUGUCAUUUAGGUCGUUUUUAGGGAGAGUCAUUCAUACUUUACAGAAACCCUUUUCCUUUAGCCGUUUUUAUGAGAUUUUUGUAGAAGAUUGUUCAAGUCCGAGUUCUUCAAUAGAGAAGCUUUCUUUAUCUCUUUUUUUUACUGUUUUUCAUUACUUUUAUUAAAACCAAUGAUGAUGUCGACCUCCGCCAUGUCUGAGUAGAUCCCGAGUUGGGCUUAGGGUUCCCGAAAGGGGCUCUCAUAAUCGAUUAAGACAUCUAGGUUUAUAGAUCUGGGAUUUCGACAUGUUCUCUGUUUAUUCUUGUUCUUAUUGCAUGUAUGCUUGAUUGAUCACCUAGUAUCUGAUCUAGAUAGUUAGUGUUGCGAAAGUUUUCAUUAAGUAUCAGCCCUAGAAUGAAACAGGCAAUUUUUUCGUAGGAGUGGAAACCUACCUGCGGCGAGAUCGUGAGUAUUGACGAGUCUUGUGCAGCUCUUGCGUUCUCUCCCUUCCAGGGCUAGAGUGGAAACCUACUGGUCUGGGUUGCGAGAAACAGUUGGUUAUGAUCACGACAAUGACGUAGUCAUACCGCCGUACUCUAGCUCUAGAACCCAUAUAUCGAUAUCCGUCAAUCCCAAUCUAUUUACCCUAGUGUUAAAACCGAUUAUGAUCCCUUAGAGUCCCCAAAAGCUCAGCGUUUUUAGCCAUAGUUUACAAUUCCAUCGAUUUUUAUUUGCUUAUUUAGGCCUGCAUUUCAAUUUCCUUAGUUUGUUAUUUACUUACUUUACUAGUAUUUCAUUCGAUAGUUUACUUGCCUUAUUAGUCUUUCAUUCGAUAUUUUACUUGUUCUAUUUGCCUUUCAUUCGAUUUCUUUACUUGCUUUUUAGGAUAGAUUUAUUUGCUUUCUUUUGUUUUAGUUUAAUACAUCAAACCAACCAACCUUUAAAAACCAAUCUAGUGUAGACAUAAAGUUAAAAACCGUAGAAGAAUACUAGGCACACAAAUCUAUGUGGAUUCGAUCCCUAAAUACUACAACUGAUUAGCUGUGCACUUGCGGCUUUCAUUUGUUUUGUUAAGGGUAAAACUUGAGAGAAAAGGUAUAUCAUCGAAAAAAAAUUCAUGCAAGAAAAUUUUGACCAUUAUUUGUGGUGUCUAUACCAUAAAAACCAAUAAUCAUCUAUGAUCGGAUCAGAAUUUACCGGCGUAAUCUCAGCAAACCCAUGCAAAAAAACGUCAAUAGUAACAAAACCAACUCAAAUAUAACCAUGAAACAAGUCUACCAUACAUAUGGAAUCUGUUUAACAUACAACACCCCAAAACAAGUCUACCACACCUUUGGUUUUUUUGUAGAUUGCUGAAUACCUUUAGGACAAAUAAGUAAUUUCAAUUGAAUAAGUCAAAUGUCUACCGAAAACAAUGUAACUAAGUCUACCACAAGCAAUGUAAAUAACUCUACCAUAAGAAAAACUCUACCUUCAAGCAUCAAAUAUGUCUACCAGAUUGAGGUUAUCUGAGUAAACACCAAAGUUAUUUAAUCUACCACAUGAAGCUCAAUAGAAGUCUACCAUACGUGCAAUAACUUUACCAAUUGAUUGAAAAUCUACUACAAUAACAAAAAAAAUCUACCACCAUUUUAUAAGUCUACCUCAUGUAACAAUAAAUUUACUACUCAACGGAAUGAAAUCACCAAAUUUUUACUUGAUUUAAAUCUUCCACAUUACUUAUAAAUCUACCACAAGAGCGAUAAAUCUACUCACAUGAUAUAACUCUACCAAUUUCAUAACUAAUCUACCUCAAUAGGGAUAAAUCUACCACCACGUUAUCUUAAAUUUUGGUGAAUAAAUCUGCCACCAAAAGAAAUAAGUCUACCAAUUCGAGUAUUAAAUCUACCCCCAUUGUCAACAAAUCUACCAACAAAAUCAACUAUGCGAGAGAGUCAACGAAUUCCUUAACAAGUCUACCAACACUUUAACAAGUGUGGCAUACAUGACAACAAAUCUACCGAAACUUAACAAAUCUAUCGUGUCAUUGUCAAAACUCUACCAAAAAAAGUAUAUCAACAUUUUACAAAUCUACCAAUUCUCGAAUAAAUCUACCAUCGUCCUAACAAAUAUGCCAUCUAAAAAAUUGUGUUGACCAACAUCUGAUAAGUCUACCAUCAAAGACCGGUAGGCUUAUCAUUUUUCAAGCGCAUCUUUUUGCCUACAUGGCACAAAAAAGUAAUGGCAUUUUUUUAAUUAGGUUUUUUUCAUCAAAGGCGAAAAUGAUGUUUUCGGUAUGCUAUGUUAUUUUUGUAAUAAAAAUAAAAGUAUGUCAAGCAAACAAUAAACAUACAUUUAAAGGUUUGUAUAGUAAUCCUUCCUUGUUUUAAUUCUUUUGAAAAACAGUUUAUAACAUCAAAAUAUGUUGUACAUUUUUAAAACCCUUAUGUCCGCGCAAAGCGCGGACCAACACCUAGUUAUAAUUUAAAAUCCAGCUAAGUUAUCUACAUACUAUAAUUCAUAAUUCACUAUUAAAAAAAUCAAAAUUCAUCCAUAUUAACCAUAAAUCUUACAAUUUUUAAACACACGAUAACAAAUUGGUAUUUUAUAAUUCUAUAAAUUAAGAAUCUUGUAUAGAUUUUAUUCAUAAUUCAUUUUUUAUAUACUUUUUUUUUGUCAUCAGCCUAAGUACCUAAAACGGUUCGGCUAUCCAAACCGGUGGUACCGAGUUUACAUAAAUGACGUCUUGAGGGUAGACACGAGCACUUCUUGCUAGGUUGUCCGCCUUCGAGUUUUUUGCGCGUGGGAUAUGUGAUAUAAGGAAGAAACUGAACUUGUCCUUCAUUUUCCUAAUCUCCUCCAAAUGUAGAUCAAAAGCUGGCCAUUCUUUGGGUGUAGACACCAUCUUCACCAACUCCAAACAGUCUGUUGCAAAAGCUACUUCCAUCUUCUGGUUUUCGAGCAUACAGUGCAUAGCCCAUAUGAGGGCUUCUAUUUCUGCAUGCAGAGGUGUAAGACUUUGUCUUACAUUUUGUGCUCCCAUUAUUCUUUCCGUAGCAUCUUCUUUAAAGAAGUACCAUCCUAAUCCCGUUAAAAGAUAUGUAUCUUUCCAAGAGCCAUCAGUAUAACACCACCAGCCUUCGUAGGCCAUAGGUGUUUACAAGUUCAGAGAAGUGCAAAGAUCGGUAGGAAUUGAAUCCUGUUCAGACCUUUGAGCCUCUUCCCACAAUGUUGCUUCUUUUUCCGCUAUUUUCAAUGUAAUCUGUGGAUCUAUAUCAUUAUUCGAAUACACUUUCUCAUUCCGUGCCUUCCAAAUAUACCAUGCGAUCCAUGGGAAUUUUGUGUUAUUCAACUCUUUUGGAAGUCGCCAAAAGAGAUGAUCAAAAUUCGAAUAAACCGAUGGUCCUGGGAAAAUCCCAAGAGGUGUUGGUAUCCGGGAUAAUGCCGAAGUUUGCAAAGCAGGAGGACAUUCAAAGAGCACAUGGUUAAUUGUUUUUUCAUCUGCUCCACACCGUGUACAUUGUGUGUCACAUUGUAUUCCACGGGUGCUUAAUCUAGCCGACACUGGAUGGCACCAAGAUAUUGCUUGCCAGAUAAAAUGUCUUAACUUCGACACACUUUUCAAUUUCCAAGCAUAUGCUUGUAAAGCCUUUAUGUCUGGGCCAAAGAUCUCCUCUGUUAUUUCUUUAGAUAAAUAACGCUCAGUUUUGUACCCUGAUUUUACAGUAUAUCGUCCGGAUUCUGUGAAAUGCCAUCCCAUUGGGUCUGGCCUAUAGGUUCUACUAAUGGGAAGUCCACGAAUAAUUUCCACAUCCGCUGGGUCAAUAAUUGCUGUUAUCAAACCCAUGUUUCACGAGUUUGUCACUGGGUCAAUCAGGUGAUUAACCAUAAGAUUCGGAUAAUAAUUGAAACCCUUACAAGUGGCUGAUCUCGGGCGAGUAGAAGGUAUCCACGGAUCAUUCCAGACAGAAAUGGAGCAUCCUGAACCUACCCUUUUAAUUAGCCCUUUAUUAACCAGAGAUCUAGCCGAUAUUAUACUUCGCCAUCCAUAAGACGGUGAGUAGGAUCUCACUGGGUCCAAAGGACUUGGAUUCCGAAAGUAUCGUCCUUUAAAGACCUGCGCAAAUAAGGAAUUUGGUCUAUCAAUCUGCGAAAGUAUCUUCAUUUUUUAUAUACUUUGUAUUUACUAAUCUUUUCUUUUAAUUUUUUCUAUUUUUUGAAUUUACAUUUAAAAAGGUAUAAUUAUUUUUCUAUUCUUAUUUGAAAUAAAUAAUUAAAAUAAGAAAUUUUAUCUCAUUUCAUUGACACAUGAGUCAAUCAUAAAUAACUGUGAUAUAUGACACAAUAUAGUGAGUUAUAAAAAUAUAAUGUCUUAUACAUAUAGAAUUUUAUUUUUGGUUUACUUUUGUUAUUUCUAUUUUGUAGUUUCUAUUUUCAUCUACUUUAGUUUUUUCUAAUUUAGUAAUUUACAUUUAAAAAUGUAGAAUUCCUUUUGUUUAGAAAAAAAAUAUAAUUUAACAUAUAAGAUUUUAUAUUAUUUUAUUGACAUAUGUUACGAUCAUAGUUAAGCGUGAUACAUGACACAAUAUGGUGAAUUAUAAAAAUCCUAUGUGCCAGUGUCACGUUGAGAGCACUGAACUUUCUUUUUUUUUUUUCACUGAAUAUUACGUAUAUUAAUAAUCGAUGAGCUUACAAGCAGACAAUACAAAACAUGAUCAAAAGCAAUCAAACACUCAUAUAGAACAUGAGUAUUACAACAAGGUAAUACUACUUUCAGAAACAAAAAUCUCUUCUAACCACUGAGGAUAGCCCGAGGCUAUAUAUGAUUGUCGACGAUCAUCUUUAGUCACACUUCUAGCAAUGAGGAAAGCACCUUGAUUUGUAACUCUUUCCUCAAGCGUAAGCUUCCAAUCCAAAAAAAUUUCCAAACCAUUCAAGAUCUCAGACGAAUAGAAUUUGAAAGAAGGCCAGGCUGGUGGCCGAUGAACCGCUCCUAUUAAAUCUGAAUCUUCCGAAGCAAAGACCAUUUUGGUGAUACCUAAGCUAUUCAAACUUUCAAUUGCCCAGAUCCAACUUUUGAAACUAGCAUCAAUGUGGCUGGAUACAGAACAGAAAGAUCUUCUACUGUGUAAAAGGACUGAUCCAAAAGAGUUCCUAAGAACCCAUGCAGCACCACCACAUCCUUUCUUUUUAUCCCAGGAAGAACCGAUAUUACAUUUCAACCAAGGUCUAGAGGGAGGAAGCCAAACCUUCGGGGGUUGAAUCACCUCCAUCUUUUUUUUAAUAGCUUCCUUUUCAUCCAACUCUUGAGCGUGAAACCAUUGGUUCACAUCUUCUUUAAUCUUGCCCAUAGUAUCAGAAACUCGGAAGCUCAUUCCUUCAAAAAUGAAGAUGUUGAGAUUCUUCCAGAGUAUCCAUAAGAUCCACGGGAUUGAUCUUCUGAUUUCCAAAGGCACUGAUAACUUUUUACCCACCAUCAAUAAAUGGAACAUGUUCUGAUAGAUGGAGUUUGAUUCAUAUCCAUUUUCAGGACUGGGUACAUUCGAAGAGGCCCAAACCUGUCUAGCAAUUGUACAUUUGAAUAGCACAUGAUUUAUGGAUUCACCUUCAAGCCCACAGAUUUGACAUCUCGAAUCAAUCUUCAUACCUCUCGAUGCAAUUUUGUCUGCAACAGGAAUGGCACCACUAAUUGCUUUCCAAAGAAAGUUUUUGAUUUUAGUGGUUGUAUUGAGCGCCCAGAUUUGGAGUUUGAUUGCAUUCAAAGACGGUUGCAUCAGAGCUUCCUUGAGGGCUUCAGAUGGAUUACUUUGAGAAGCAAACCAAUACCCUGAUUUAACAGAAUAUUCGCCACUUUUGGUAUGUUCCCAGCAGAAAAAAAUCCAAUGAAGAAACCACCGGGUUAGUUCUUAAGAUUAGACCAACGUCUCUUUGGAAGAAAUGCUCAUCGAGUUUAUCCCUAUCCCAGCUUUUGGAUAUCGGAUCAAUGAGGUCAAUAACUCUCAAAUCCAAAUUAAAGAUGAUGUUCUUUAUGAAGGGAGCUCUCAUAACCCCAUCACAAAGCCAUCGAUUAGUCCAUACACUAAGCGAAGCUCCAUUGCCAACCAUCUGUCUAAGACCUUUUUCUAAAAGAGAUCUUCCAUGAAGAAUGCUUCUCCAAGCAAAAGAGGGUCUAACUCCAGUAUCUGCGAGAAGGAAGGAGGAAGAAACAAAGUAUCGGCUCUUUAAGAACAAAGCAAGGAGACAAUCCUUAUCUUGUAGAAUUCUCCAAGCUUGUUUGGCUAAAAGAGCUUGGUUGAAGAUUUGAAUGUCUUUAAAACCGAUCCCUCCUUGAGCUUUAGGAAUGCACAAUUUAUCCCAUCCAAUCCAAUGCAUUUUCCUUUUGUUCUCGACAGUGUCCCACCAGAAAUCAGCCAUCGCAGAAGAUAACUUAUUACAGAUAGUUACUGGCAAUUUAAAACAGGUCAUGGAGAAAACUGGCAUCGCCAUCGCAACAGAGUUGAGUAACACUUCUUUUCCACCUUGAUAUAGAAGCUUUGAAUACCAUCCAGACAUUCUUCCUUUCAUUUUGUCGUGGAUGUAAGACAACAUAUCCACUUUAGAUCCACUAAAACAUUCUGGAAGACCCAAAUAAGUGCCCGCUCCACCUUCAUUGAUAAUACCCAAUUUGGUUUGAAUGAUUUCCUUCAUAUCCAUAUUCACGUUAGCACCAAAAGUGAUGGAGGAUUUAUCAAGGUUGAUGAUCUGACCAGUAACUCUUCCAUAAAGAGAAGAAUGGAUUGGAGGGUUGUGCACUGUUCUUCAUCCGCUUUAAUCAUAAAAAGACUGUCAUCUGCGAAUAACAAAUGGUGAAUGGCUGGACCAUCGGGAGAGAAUUGAAUCCCAUUAAUCAAGCCAGAUCGUUCAGCACAGUUGAGCAGAUAUGUCAAUCCUUCAGUACACAAAACAAAAAGGAAAGGUGAUAAGGGAUCACCUUGCCUUAUUCCUCUCUCAGGAAUGAUCAAACCAAAAGGCUGUCCAUUAAUCAGAACUGUAUAAGAAACCGAGGAGACACAGAACAUAAUCAUCUGGACCCAUUUUUGAUGAAAACCGAGAGCCAAAAGGAGCGCUUGAAGAUAGGACCACUCAACACGGUCGUAAGCUUUUGACAUGUCGGUCUUCACCGCCAUGAACUCCGUCGAAAUCCUAUCAUGAGUUCUCAAACCAUGGAUAGCUUCAUGAGCUAUUAUAAUGUUAUCUGAGAUAAGUCUUUCUUCAACAAAGGCAGAUUGAUUAGGAGAGACAAUCUCAGACAGAAAGGGUUUCAUUCAGGACACCAUGAUUUUGGAAAUCACUUUGUAGAGAACAGAACAGAGACUAAUUGGCCGUAGGUCACUCAUGUGAGGAGAGUUGACCUUUUUUUGGGAUAAGACAAAGAUUAGUGAAGUUCCAUUCUUUAGGGAAAACACCCGAUUCAAAGAACUUGAGAACUUCCAUCGUGACAAGAUCACCAACAAUAUCCCAAUAGUUCUGAAAGAAAAGACCAGUCAUACCGUCUGGGCCAGGAGCACUAGAGGCUUUGAUCGAGAAAACAGCUCUUUUCACUUCUUCUUUAGAAACCAUACUGAUAAGACUGUCGUUCAUUCUAGAGUUGACUCUCGGCAUGAAAUCGGAGAAGAAUUCUAUCUGAUUUGAAGGAGCAGAUGAUGAGAAAAGAGUCUGGAAAUAGCUAGUCGCCACUUCACCCUUUGAAGCUUCAGAUCGAUGCAUGAUUCCAUUUAUAUCCAUAAGCUUAUCAAUACAAUUCCUUGACCUAUCAGACUUGACAGAAGCAUGGAAAAACUUGGAGUUUUUGUCACCAAGAUUCAGCCAUUUAUCUCUACUUUUCUGUUGCCAAAAACUUUCUUCUUCCUUGUAAGCCUCCACCAGACUUUUUUGAGAUUGAAGAGACGACAUGAAGAAGGAGAUGACGAGGAUUGUUCAAACUCCAGAUCAUCUUCAAUAGUUUUUAUUUUGAUCUGAGAAUUAGCAUCGUUGACUUUCUUCCAUUGACUGAGAGCUUUCCUGCAACUUCUUAAUCUCGAAGAGACACUAAGAUUAUGAGAGGAUGAGGGACCAAACCAAGCCGACUUUAUGGCUUCUUUGACAAAAGGUUUGUGGAGUAAUCUUUUUUCAAAUCUAAACGAACCCCGAUAAGACUCUUGAGAAGAGAAGAGAUGAACCAGGACCGGACGAUGAUCGGAUCCUCUUUUAGCCAAAAAAGCUUGAUUAGAAGCAGGGAAGAAAGAAGACCAGACUUUGUUGCCGAAACAUCUGUCAAGCUUACACUGAAUCCACAAGGUGCGUCUUCUGCCACCCCAGGUAAAGCUAUUCCCUGUACUUGGAAGUUCUCUCAUAUCACAAUCUUUCAACAUGUUGGAAAAAGUAAGGAAAGAAGAAUCACUCCUUCUUGGACCACCAUUUUUUUCCUCAUUGUUGAGAAUUUCAUUAAAGUCUCCAAGCAUACACCAUCCAGUUUUUCUUUGAAUCCCAAUACGAGUCAGCCUUUCCCACACUAGGUGUCUCAAACUCGCAUUUGGGUUUCCAUACACACACGUAACAAAGAAACUGCUUGAACCAAACUGUACAUACAUGUCCAGCACAUUCUUAUCUACAUACUUGAGAUCGAUAUCAACACCUUUUUUCCAGAAAAGAGCCAAACCCACCGGAUCAACCGUAUAUACAUGCUCAUAACCCAACCAAACUUGAAUAUCUACAAUGAUAUUUUUACAGUUUAUCGUUUCCAUAAGGAACAAGAUCUCAGGGAAGUGUUUUUUACGCAUCUCCAUGAGUCUGGGAAUCGUCAGAUCUUGAGGCCGCCCCAAUCCCUGGCAAUUCCAGCUUGAUAUGCUCAUAAAUCAGUGGACAGUUCCUCAUUUGGGACCAUCUCAUGUGUUUUUGACCUUGCGGCUUUGGAAACACUCUCCAGUUCACUAUCAGCUUUCCUUUUCUCCACUGAACCCUCUAAAGAACCCUUCUUUUUCUCCACAUCUUCGGCAAAAGAAUUCUCCAAUUUUCCUUUUAACUUCCUUCGAGAUUUUGGAGGCCUCUUUCUUGGUUUUGGUUUUUUCAUAGCAGUCCCGGAAGGACCAGCAACAGAGUGCCCGAUCCUAUAACCCGUUGAACUGUUGUGAAAAGGGACCGACUCAUCACCAAAAUCUGGGGAAGUAGAAUCGGUUUGAAGAGGAUUGGAGCCAUAAUUUCUCCUAGAGCUAGCAUCCGCUUGAAUUGCAGCAGACAUAAGCUUUUGACCUCGAGGCAUGAUCACUUCAGUUUUUGUAGUCGAGUCCUCAGAAUCAUAGCCAAAGACUGGACCUUUCCCUUUGUUGAGAUCACGAGUGAUAAUUGGAACAGGUUCUAGACGAAGCACCAUUUUCUGCGUGAUUAAAUUCUUUUCUGCCUCACAAACAGAAUUCUUCACACGAUCUUCUCUAACCUUACGAUCAUCACCAUUAGCAAUUAACAAAUAUUGUCUCAUGCCUUCUAGAACCUCAGCUGCAAUUCUUGGACGACCUGUUAAGGGAUUCAAGCCAACCUGGUUCUCACCAAGAACGCCAAAAAGAGGGUCAGAUUCCAACAGGACAGGCUUGGGGAUCUGUUUUUGGGGAGCAUGUCCAAGUCUUCUUUCAGCCGCCAAAGCUUGACGUUUCAUGAUCAAAAUAGGGCACACCUCACGCGCGUGAGUUAACCUUUGACAAGAAUAGCAUCUCUUCUGAAUUCUUUCAUAGAACUAGUGAACUGUGGUUGAGCCUCCCUUAGGCAGAUUGAUCACUUUCGACUGUCUAAGAGGUUUAGACACAUCAAAUUUAACUUUCACUCUCACAAACUCUUUGUUCUGCGCUUUAGUAGGAUCAAAUGCAAUUUCAGUAACAAGACCAACAAGAUCUCCUAAAGCAGUAAUCGCCUCCUCAGUGUAAUGAUUAAUAGGAAUGUUUCUGAUUUGCACCCAGAUCGGAACAAACUGCAGAGAUUCACUUGAAGGCUGCUCUUCCCAACGCUCUGUAGCAAGAGCCCAUUCAUUGAAAGUAUGGACACCUUUGUCCAAGAUUUCAUUUAGGUCAUGUUCAUACUUGAAGAAAAACUGGAAACGCUCUCUUGAUAGAGCCACACCUCUGACUCUAUCAUACUUUUGCCAUUUUCUAGGCAAAUCCAAAAUCAGGUUAGCCAUCUUUUGACAUUCUGGAUUAAGAAGACGACCUAUCAGGCUGAACUCAUUUUUAUCACUUGAACAGUAAGCUGGGGUAUCAGGAAGAUCGAAUGGAACUUCUUCUUCCUCUAGAGACAUGGCCAUCAGCGCCUUAUCCAUAGCAGAAGACAUGGUAACCGAAAAUAACUCUGAACCACAACCACAGGUAGAAAAUCUGAACGGCCCAAAGAAGAUAGACCACCCAAAGCAAGGAAACCACGAGAUGAAAACUUAAGCAGGAGAUGAGACGAAAUUUUUCUAGACCCAGCAAAUGAAGAACACGGAUGAACCCUAUAUUUCUUUAUAGAUCUGAAAAAAAGUGUUUGAAAAGGUGAAAAGCGGGAUGAAUAGUCAAAAGGGAAAGAAGUUUUUCCACACAAAAGCUCUAUUCUCGAAGAGAUGAGAUACUCUUACACAGAAAGAGAGUCCUAAGCCCAAAAAAGGGAAACAGAUAUUUUUUCUACUAUCUUCAUCUUCUAUCUGCACCACUUGAGAGCACUGAACUUUCUAUAAUAAGAUUCUAUUUUAAAAAAACUAUUAAAUGUGUAGAAGAAAACACCACCAAAUGAGAAGUUUUGACGAUGGGACUUGGGAGGUAAGAAAAGCAUAUAAGAGUCUCCAAGUGUCUGGUUAUACUUUUUUUUGCGAUCCAGUUUAUUCUUUUGUCCAACCUCAAGGGUAGAUGUUAAUUUGAUUUAAUUUUGUAUUGGGUCAGUUCAAUUAAUUUGUAUUUAAUAAAAUUCUAACUGAAUUUAAAUGAAGUUAAUUCGUGGUUUUUCUUCAGUUUGAUCUAUUUUUGGUUAAAAAUAAUAAAAAAGUCAAUAUGAAAAUAAGUCAUAACAAAAUAAAAGAGAAAAAAGAAAAAUUUUUUGGCACUUAUUUUAAAUUAUUGCGAUUUAAUAGAUACGACACAUUUAGUUAAGACAUAUAUGUCUAGGACACAAAAGAAAUAUUGAAAUGUUGUAGUGACUUCAUAACACUACUACAAAUAGAUAAAAUACUGGGAUGGUGUAUUGACUUGGCAAUACUGUUACAAAUCUCAGAUAUAUUCUAAAAGAUAUAGUGGAAUGGUGUGGUGACUUCAUAACACUACUACAGAUAAAUAAAAUACUGGGAUGGUGUACUGACUUGAAAACACUGUUACAAAUCUUAGAUAAAUUCUAAAAGAUAUAGUGGGAUGAUAUAUCAAUUUGUGACACUACUGUGUACAUCCUACCCAAGAUCCAGAAAUUCAUUGGGUUGACUCGGUUUAUUCCAGGUUGAUCUAGUUUGCCUCCUUUUCCUAUUUCAGCGUUUUAAACCUAAUUUUUUAAGUUAAGUUUAGUACUAACUUUGUCUCUCUUUCUUUUUUAAGGUUUUACUUAAAAGUUUGAUGCUAUCAUAACUUAAACACAGAGAGAUUAUAUACACACUUUAUUCUCAUAGUUUCACUUCUUUUUAUCAUUCCCCUUUAAUACAGUAAAGGCACUUAAAUCAAUAUAAAUUAAAGACACUAUUGUACUAUGUAAUCACUCAUUUUAUUUCACUCAUAAAAAGAAUUACAAAAUUAAUACAUCUUAGGAACUGAUGAUGAUCGACCUAUCAAAACCCAAUUGUAAAGAAAAUAUCUAUCUAGCAACUAAUGAGCAGACUAUUAAAUUCAUCAACUAAAUAAGAAAAGUAAAAUAACUAUUAAUCUUCUCUCUUCUAACAGCUUUCUCUGAUUAUGCAGUCUACGUCAGCAGUGAUCACUCCCUGGUAGCAGUUAAUUGGUCUUCAUCUUCCAGCUCAUGAUCUUCUUCUUAGGCACAUAGCUCUUGAGGUAUUAUAAAUACCCACAUCGAAAACAAGAAGCUUUUCUUCAAUCUUAAGUGUGAAAAUUGCUUGAUCAUAGGUGCAGCUCUCUCCCAUGUCCUCUCAUUAUCUAGAAGACCUGUCCAACUAAUUGAUGUUUCCAAAUGAUUAGCAAGAUCAGAGUGAGUAACUAAAACUGAUACCGGUUCAAUAAUGAGUUCAUCAUCAACUGAGAAGGACUGUGGAAGUGCAGAAACAUGAUGAUCUGUUCCUAAGACUUUUUCACUAUCAAGUAGACCGCCGAUGCAAAAGUUAAAUACCAUGAUAUAACCUUUAAAAAUUUUAGUACCACAAUAAUCACUUUUUGUUGAAACCUUACAAUGCAAAAUCAUAAAGUGACAAAUAGGUACUUGAACCUUUUUUUUUUCAUCCAAUACCAAACUUGUUUUUUCAUCAUGAUUCACCUUCUCUAACAUGUACAAAUAAGAAUACAACACCUUAAAACUUUAUUUUUUAGUACAACGCACUUCAUUAACAUCUUUUUUUCCUCUCAAUGUGGUAGAUUAAGAAUGCUGAUCUAGUAACUAAAUAAGAAUGCCCUGUCAACUAAAUCUUGCCAUGCCUGCUUAGUUCGAAAUUUUUGACAUAAUUCUCAUGCAUCACGUGGAAGUUCAACAUAUCCAGGCAUACACAAGAUAACCAGACUGUUAUCUACACCAUUAUCCACACUAUUAUCCACAUUGUCACGUGAUAUAUUUGUAACACAUCUAUCAACAACAUUCUUGAUCAAUUCAUGAUGUUGUUCUGUUGUUUUGUCAUCUUCUUAAAGAGUAACAAAACCAUCAUUAACUCUAGAAUUAUUUCUUCCACCUGAAAACAGAUCGCCAAAAUUCACACCAAAUAAAAUUUCUCAUUCUACUCUUAGAAGUUGCUUGCCCAACUUAAUGUUUUCCAAAUCUUUGGUGACCUCUACAUGCAAAACACUUCUACAUAGUUCCUUAUUCAUGGAGAUAAACAUAAACGUCCUCAUUAUUGAAAAUAUAUUAUUGUCUGUGAGGUUUCACUACCAAUGGAAUUAAAGUCACUUUCAGCUUUGUCUAAGAUAUAUAUAUGAUGUCGUAAAUGAUAUACUAUACAUGUGAUCUUCUAUUGAAAUCCAUCAAUUCUAUGAUCUUUGAAUAAUAUCCUUCAUAAUCAAAUAUAUGUUUGUGAAACUAUAGCUUAUUGUCUUAGGAAGAAUAGAAACUACUUUAGCACGUGUUAUCUUGAAUCAAUAAUAUUAUUUGUACCAAUUAUAACACUUCUCUAAGUAAUAUCAACUGUUACAGUUGUUUUUCUGCAAAUUAGGUGACUUCGGGCCACUGAUAUGUUCAUAAUUUGCAUCAUUUAGGUUGCACAAAUCAUUCCAAAUCAUGUUUUAUUUCAUGUAUUUUAGGUCCCUAGGGUUUGUUUUAGAACUUAGGAGAUGCAUUAGGUCCCAAUGAGUCUUUGCAUGUUUUGAGUGUCUAUCAGGUGAUUAUGGAGCUGAAAAGAUGAAUCCAGGAGGUGGAAUGGUGAGCAGAGCUUGAAAAAGUGGAAAACUUGAGUCUAUGGAGGUUAUCGGCCAUUCUCGCUGGCCAGGAAGGUUUUACCGGCCAUUUUCAUGUACUGCGGGAAGCUUUACCGGCCAUUUUCACGUACCGCGAAUUAAGUAUAUCGGCCAAAAUCUCCGGGUGCGAACGAGUCUCAGAAAUCACCUGUCCGGGGAGCCUUCCGGUCCGAUUCAGAUGGCGGGUCCUUCAUAGAAGUUGGAGAGCAUUGAAGCACGGUCUCAUAGCAAUUGGAAUCGUAGAAUUCGGACGCGUGAGCAGAGAGAUAAGCUCGUCGGAAGAAACCCCUGUCUCGCAGGUAUUCCGGACCGAGCAGAUCAGUUCUGAAGGAUGCGAAGGACGGUGCACUUCCAGGCCGAUUCAGCUUCCGGGUCCUUCAUGAGAAUCAGAGACAUUUGAGUUUUCUUUCCAGAACGUCCAAGAGCAUUCAAUUCGGAUCUAUGAGAAGGAAGAUACGGCCUCCGGAAUGGACACAUGUCUAGACGCCUCUCUCUGGUCGUAUACAUGCACUGCAAAGAUGUGCCCUCCAGGAAGCCUUCCACCUCCCAAGCACUGAAACUUCCUUCACAAAAGUUGGAGAUAAAUGAGUCCUCUGUCUUCUGCAACCGAAAUCAUUCAAUUCGGACAAGUAUCACAGGAGUUACACUCUCCGGAAUGCGAAGUGAUCUAAGCUGCUCUGGAUGCUGCGAGAUGGUCUUGCGACUUGGUUAACCCGCAGGCCUGAAGAUGAACACCUGAAUGCUGAUGCUGCGAGUUGAAAUGUGCGGGUAAACUAUCACUGGAAGAGGUCUGGAGCUCCCGAGCAAGAGAAAUGCUAAGUCCACAAUCGUGCGACUUAGGCAUGCGAGUCAUCCGCGCCUGGAUCUAUGCCGCACGAUCACUCGGAAUUCACUCCGACUCGAGCCUGCGACCUAAGUGCAAUAGAGACCAACCCGCACAGUUUCUACAUCCCCCAGAAACCGGCUCAGCCCUGCGAGUUGGAGAGGAAGGAGACCAUGCCGCAGAAACACUCGCAAUUUACUCCUAGAUAGGCGUGCGGCUCCGACAAGGUGAUUCAAGCCUCACAAGACAAGUCUUCAUCUACUGCGACUUAGGUGUGCGGCCUGGGACAUACUGAACCGACCCGCAGCUUUUCCCACUUUAUCCAUUAAAGCCGGGUCAGGACCCGGUUUGUUCCGGGCUGACCCGGUUCGUUUUUAAGAAGGUAUAAAUACUUUUUAGGGUUUUUUGGGGGAGAACUAAGUUUUAUUCCCUUUGUCUCUUGCCUUUUUGGUGAAAAGACUCCAUUAAGAAGAGAAAUAUCUUUAUUUGAGUGUUUAAUCAAGAGAGUUUAAGGAGAUCUGGGUGUUUAAAGCUGUUUUCUUUUGAAUCUAUCAUCUCCAUCUCCAUUUCUCAUCAUUAAUCAUGCUAAUCUACUCAACUUGCAAAAGUUUAAGAGAGAUUAGUAUGAUUAGUGAGUAGUCACCUUAAUGAGGUUCUAGAUGUGUAGGUUAGGGUGCUAAAGUGUUAGAUUAGGAGUGCUUAGGGCUAGAUUCAUUGAUUCAUCUCUCUAAACAGCUGUUCUCUAUGCUAAAUCCUUGAUAAUCACUUGAGAUCUAGAUUCUGGGAAUUUCAUGCACCAAAAGUGUUUGAUGAAAUUCCUGAAAGAGUUGUGUUAGAGGUUUAAGUAAUUUUUCAUCAUGGGAAUGAUUUGUUAAAUGCUUGAAUGAUCAUUAAGAGCUGUUUGUUAAUGCAUAUUGAUUCAUGUUUCACAAAUGGGAAUUUGGUUUGAAAAUGGAUUAGUAUAGGGGUUAAUACCUUCAUGAGAGGAUUAACCUAGAUUAGAGUUCUUAAUCAUUUGAAUCAUGUCUCAUCAUUGUCAUUAGCAUUUCUAGUUUAACACCAAGGCACCCUAACCAACUAUCAUGUCUAGAAUCUCAUGCCUCCAUCAUAUCAUAUUCACAUCAUUUGUCAUUGUCAUUUGUCUUUAAACCUGUUUAUGUUUAUAGUUGUCUCUAGAUUAAUCAAAACCUAUUCUUGUUUGCUUGAAUUAAGAACUUGAUCAUAUAGCUUAGUGUCUAACACCACAUCUGGAUUGAUAAACCUCUUUGUACUACAUUGACAAGGGGAUUGAUAGCCCUGAGACCCUUAAAAGUCAUAUCUAUCAAUUGGCGCCGUUGCCAAAUUGUGGUUUGAUUAGCAUUAAGCUCUGAUCUGUUCUUGAGAUCAAGUGCUUACUUUCUUGUUUUUACUGAUUCCUUUCAAGUUCUGUUUGUGAUUUCAGGUGUAUGAACACCAGGUCCAGAUCAAGAAGCUGCGGUCCUCCUUUUCCUCUAAACGACAACAUCAACCUUCUGGUACCAAGGAGGAGAAGAGACAGACGUGGUAGACAACUUGAUCAGACUGAGAUGGCCGACCAAGGAGAUCACGGGGUAGAUAUAGAACAACCAGUUCAGGAGCAACAGGCUCAAGGUCAGGGAGCUGGUAUUGGAAUUGGUCAGGGGUUUCACCAAGGCAAUGUUCAGCAGGAACAGGUGCACCACCAACAAGCCUAUGUCCACCAGGGACAAGCUCAGGCUCAUCAACAGAGGCAUCAGGCCAAUGUUCAACAAAGACACCAGGUGCACCACCAACCCCACCCUUUCCAACCACAACAAAGAAGAUAUGAGCAACCCCAAAUAUAUGUUGGCGAGAAUGACAGGGCCAAUGCUCAUCAGUAUGGGGCUGGUAUUCAGGCACCACCUGUGCAGAACAACAACUUUGAAGUGAAAGCAUCAUUGCUGAAUAUGGUCCAGAACUCAAAGUUCCAUGGGUUAGCAAUGGAAGAUCCCUUGGAACACUUGGACCAGUUUGAUAAGGUGUGUGAUCUGACCAAGAUUAAUGGAGUUUCAGAAGACAGCUUUAAGCUAAGACUAUUCCCAUUCAGUCUUGGUGACAAAGCUCAUCAAUGGGAGAAGAAUCUUCCAAGAGGCUCCAUUCAAACCUGGGAGCAAUGCAAGCAAGCCUUCUUAUCUAAGUUCUUCUCCACCUCAAGAACUGCAAAACUGAGAAACCAAAUCUCUAGCUUCACUCAGCACAGCAAUGAAAGUUUUGGUGAAGCAUAUGAGAGAUUCAGGAGCUACACAAACCAAUGCCCACACCAUGGGUUUAGUGAGGCUUCUCUUCUCAGCACACUGUAUAGGGGAGCUCUUCCCAAGAUUAGAAACCAGCUGGAUACUGCUUCCAAUGGGAACUUUCUGGGUAAAGAGAUUCAUGCUGCUUUAGAGCUAGUGGAGAACUUAGCAUUGAGCAAUGAUACUUAUGGUGAAGACUAUGACAGAUCAAAUAGGUAUGAAGGUUCAAGCUCAGAACAGAGGCUCACCAGAGAAGUUAAGGAGUUGAGGAGUGAAUUGGACAAGCUGAAAUUCACCACUCAGAAGCCAAUGCAUUUUGUUGGAGAGUAUGAGGAACCUUCUCAAAUUUUUGAGAACAUAAGUGAAGAAGGUCUUACCCAAGAGGAGCUCAACUACAUUGGGAAUCAGAGGUUCCAAAGAUAUCAGUAUGGUAAUGCCAAUCCAAACCUCUCUUACAGGAACACCAAUGUAGCUAACCCACAAGACCAGGUCUAUCCCAAUUCUCAAGCUCCAAAGAACUUUGUUCCCAAGCACAACUUUCAAGGGUCAUUCCAACCCAAGAAUCAAUUUGGUCAGAAUCAGAGUUUUGGUCAGCAACAGCAACCAUUUCAGGGCACUGGUUACACUUCACAGCAGCCAAAGGCACCACCAGGGUUUGGUCCACCACAGUUCCAACAGCAGGCGCCGGUUCAACAACAGUUUCAGCCACCAAUGGUUCAACAGCAGCCACAGAUGGGUACAGAUAUGGUUGGUAUUCUGCAACAACUACUUCAGGGUCAACAGACUAUGCAGCAGGAAAUCAAGGAACUGAAGCAAAACCAGGCAUCAAGCUCAAGGAACCAAGGUCACCUACCUGGAAAACCAGAACCCAACCCCAAGGAAUAUGCCAAGGCCAUAACACUGAGGAGUGGCAAGGAGUUACCUGGUAUUGAGAACAACAAUGUGAUCAUUGAGGACAAUGAUCAACCUGAGGGGGAGGCAGCCUUAAAGGAUGAUCAAGUUGCUGAGAAACCAAGGUCAGAAAAGGGUAAAGAGGUAGCAAAGGAACCAGAACCAGAGAAGAAGUAUGUGCCACCACCUCCAUACCAACCCAAGCUCCCAUUUCCAGGGAGAUUUAAGAAGCAACUAGUGGACAAGGCAAGAGCUGUAUUUGAGAAGGCACUCAAAGAGACACCACUCACAAUGCCUCUCAUUGAUGCAUUCUUAAUGAUGCCAAAGAUGGGGAAGUUUUUGAAGGAUGCUAUUCUGAACAAGACAAAAGAGCUUCAAGGCAUGGUAGUACUAAGUCAUGAAUGCAGUGCUAUCAUUCAAAGGAAGUCCAUUCCAAGGAAGUUAACUGAUCCAGGGAGCUUCACACUCCCCUGUGCCAUUGGACCUCUUCUAUUCUCUGGAUGUCUUUGUGAUUUAGGAGCAUCAGUCAGCUUGAUGCCAUUCUCCAUAGCACAGAAGCUGGGCUUUAGAGUUUUCAAACCUUCAAAGAUUUCUCUUAUCCUUGCAGAUAGAUCAGUUAGAUUGCCUGUUGGUAUGUUGGAAGAUCUACCUGUCAAGAUAGGUGGUUUUGAGGUUCCAACAGAUUUUGUUGUGCUGGAGAUGGAUGAAGAGCCAGUAGAUCCUCUUAUCUUGGGCAGACCAUUCUUAGCCACUGCAGGAGCUAUUAUUGAUGUGAGAGGUGGGAUAAUAGAGCUUCAACUUGGGUCUGAAAAGCUCAAGUUUGAUGUGAAUGAGAUGAUGAAGAAGCCCACCAUUGAAGGUCAAUGUUUCUAUGUAGAGACAAUGGAUCAGUUGGCUGAUGAGUUGCUUGAGGAGCUGAACACAGAGGAUCCUCUUCAAGCUACUCUGACUCAAGAACAAGGAGACAAUGGGCUCUUGGCUGAAGCAAGUGAAGGGUAUAAGCUGUAUCUGGACAAUGCAAGAGAGCUGGGUCCUGAAACAAGGUUUGUGGAGCUGGAACAGAAUGGCACUGAGGUUUUUGCAAUCCAAGAAUCAGUCACCAGCCAAAGCAGCUUGGACCAGGACUGGAAUGAGGCUGAUGCACCCUCUGUUGAGCUCAAACCUCUACCAACAGGGCUCAGGUAUGCUUUCUUAGGACUAAACUCCACAUAUCCUGUCAUCAUCAAUGAUAGCCUAUUAGAGGACCAAGAGAGUGCAUUGCUGAAUGAAAUAAGAAAGUUCAGGAGAGCCAUAGGGUAUUCUUUGGCUGAUAUUAGAGGGAUCUCUCCUGACAUCUGCACCCAUAGGAUCCACCUAGAGGACCAAUCUAUGUCCUCUAUUGAGCACCAACGUAGACUUAACCCCAACCUUAGGGAAGUGGUUAAGAAGGAGAUACUAAAGCUUCUUGAGGCAGGGAUAAUUUACCCAAUCUCUGACUCAAGAUGGGUAUCUCCUGUUCAUGUUGUGCCCAAGAAAGGUGGGAUCACGGUGGUGAAAAACGAUAAGGAUGAACUCAUAGCUCAAAGAACCAUAACUGGCCACCGCAUGUGCAUUGACUAUAGGAAAUUGAAUUCUGCUUCUAGAAAAGAUCAUUUUCCUUUACCAUUCAUUGAUCAAAUGCUUGAGAGGUUAGCUAAUCAUCCUUAUUUUUGUUUUCUCGAUGGGUACUCUGGAUUUUUCCAAAUUCCCAUAGAUCCAAGAGAUCAAGAGAAAACAACAUUCACAUGCCCUUAUGGCACUUAUGCUUAUAGGAGAAUGCCUUUCGGUUUAUGUAAUGCACCGGCUACUUUUCAAAGGUGUAUGAUGCACAUUUUCUCUGACAUUAUUGAAGAGAAAGUUGAGGUGUUCAUGGAUGACUUUAGUGUCUAUGGCUCCUCCUUCUCGGAUUGUCUCUCUAAUUUGACACAGGUGUUGGAGAGAUGUGAGCAACACAGCUUGGUGCUGAACUGGGAGAAGUGUCAUUUCAUGGUGCAAGAAGGGAUAGUUCUUGGGCACAAGAUCUCUGAAAAGGGCAUUGAGGUUGAUAAGGCAAAGGUGGAGGUUAUGGUGAAUCUGCAAACCCCCACUUCAGUUAAAGGGAUAAGGAGCUUCCUGGGUCAUGCAGGGUUUUAUAGAAGAUUCAUAAAGGACUUCUCAAGGAUUGCCAGGCCCUUAACAAGACUGUUGUGCAAGGAGGUGGAUUUCAUCUUUGAUGUUGAAUGUGAAGAAGCCUUUAAGUUGAUCAAGGAGGCAUUGGUUAGUGCACCAAUAGUUCAGGCACCAGACUGGUCCCUACCUUUUGAGGUCAUGACAGAUGCUUCUGACUUUGCUGUUGGAGCAGUACUUGGACAAAAGAAAGACAAGAAGUUGCAUGUGAUCUACUAUGCCAGUAGAACACUUGACUCUGCCCAAGAGAAGUAUGCUACAACUGAAAAGGAAAUGCUGGCAAUAGUUUUUGCCUUUGAUAAGUUCAGAAGCUACCUGGUGGGAUCAAAGGUCAUUGUGUAUACUGAUCAUGCAGCCCUCAGGUACUUGAUGACCAAGAAAGAUGCCAAACCAAGGCUGUUGAGAUGGGUUCUAUUGCUCCAAGAGUUUGAUAUGGAGGUGCUUGAUAAAAAGGGGAUUGAGAAUGGUGCUGCAGACCAUCUCUCAAGGCUGAGGAUUGAAGAAAAAGUCCCCAUAGAUGAUGCUUUGCCUGAAGAGUCUCUGAUGGUGCUCCAUUCAUACUUGGAGUUUGAGGAAGUAGAGAGCAUUCAAGAAAGGAGGAUGCCUUGGUUUGCAGAUAUAGUGAACUAUCUUGCAUGUGGGGUGGAGCCCCCUGAAUUGGAUGCUUACAAGAGAAAAAAAUUCUUCAGAGAUGUCCAGAGAUACUAUUGGGAUGAGCCCUACCUCUAUGUUCUGAACAAGGAUCAGUUAUACAGAAGAUGUCUUGCUGAAGAGGAGAUGCAACCUGUGUUGCAGGAAUGUCAUGGUUCUGCUUUUGGAGGUCACAUGGGGGCAUUCAAAACUGUAGCAAAGGUUCUUCAAAGUGGGUUCUGGUGGCCUACAAUGUUCAAAGAUGCCCAAUUGGUGGUUUCAGCUUGUGAUGCCUGUCAGAGGCAUGGAAAUAUAUCUAAAAGAAGUGAGAUGCCUCAGAACCCCAUUCUAGAAGUGGAGAUCUUUGAUUGUUGGGGGAUUGACUUUAUGGGACCUUUUAUUUCAUCCUUUGGAAAUCAAUACAUACUUGUUGCUGUGGACUAUGUGUCCAAAUGGGUUGAGGCCAUUGCUUCCCCUACCAAUGACUCCAAGGUUGUAGUCAAGCUGUUUAAGAGCAUCAUAUUUCCAAGGUUUGGAGUUCCAAGGGUUGUCAUUUCUGAUGGAGGAUCCCACUUUUUGAACAAGACUCUGGAAGGUUUAUUGAGAAAGCAUGGAGUUAAACACAAGAUAGCUACUCCAUAUCAUCCCCAAACUAGUGGCCAAGUGGAGGUAUCUAAUAGACAAAUCAAGGCCAUUCUGGAAAGGACUGUCAGCUCAACCAGAAAAGAUUGGAGCAAAAGGCUGGAUGAUGCAUUAUGGGCUUACAGGACUGCCUUUAAAACUCCAAUUGGAACAUCACCAUUCAGUCUGCUAUAUGGGAAGAGCUGCCACCUUCCUGUGGAGUUGGAGUACAAAGCUAUGUGGGCUGUGAAGUUUCUAAACUUUGAUAUCAAAACAGCUCAGGAGAAAAGAAUCAUGCAACUCCAUGAGCUUGAGGAGAUUAGGCUUGAGGCUUUUGAAAGCUCAAAGAUCUAUAAGGAGAAGACCAAAGUCCUGCAUGACCAAAAGAUUUUAAAGAGAGAGUUCAAGUGUGGUGAUUUGGUCUUGCUUUUCAACUCCAGACUUAAGUUGUUUCCAGGAAAGCUUAAGUCUAGGUGGUCUGGACCUUUCAAAGUUCUUGAAGUGAGGCCUUAUGGUGCCAUUGUCUUGGAAGGAAAAAAUGGUCAGGAAUUUGUGGUGAAUGGACAGAGAGUCAAGCAUUACUUAGUUUCACAAGGGAAAGAGGAAGCUACAUCAGUUCCUCUCUGAUCACCAGCUGUUAACCAGUUCUCAAAGUCAAACUUAGAGACUUUAAACAAAGUGCUCUUGGGGAGACACCCCAAGCUUAUCUUUNNNNNNNNNNNNNNNNNNNNNNNNNNNNNNNNNNNNNNNNNNNNNNNNNNNNNNNNNNNNNNNNNNNNNNNNNNNNNNNNNNNNNNNNNNNNNNNNNNNNCGAGUUUGCAACUAUCUCUCACUUUUCUCUCCAUGUUUUCACCAUAUCUCUCUCAUUCUCCACCAAAAUUGUUGAUUCAAAGUGCUCUGAGCUCGUUUUGAGUUGCUAACAUCAUCCUGAUUGCAUUUCGAACUUGUUGCAUCUUAAUCCCAAGGUAUUUCGCCCUGUUGAAACUCAUCUCUUUCCAUGUUCUUCAAUGGUGAUUUUUUUUUUUUUUUUGAACUUUAAAGUGUGGAAUCGAUUUUGAUAGGUUGUUUUAGACCUUGGGAUUAUUUUUAUAAAUGCUAGGGUGCUAGAUAGUCUUGGAAAACAGAGCACUUUGUUUGUAAUUACCUGUUCUUGAAUUUUGAAAAUUGUUGCAACAAUUUUUUUCAAAAUUUUGAGACUUUUGUGAGGUUCAUCCUUGUACUAACAAUAUUUUUGAGAAUCUCUUGGCAGAUGACUGAAAGAACCAACUCUUUGGCCAAGAAGAAGGGCCCUGCAUCAAAAGGCAAAGGUUUGGUCUCAGGAACUUCAAAGCCAAGAAACAAAGGUCAGGGUGCAAAGAAUACUACAAAGCAAGGAAAGUGUGAUCCAGCGCCAAAAAGGACAAGGCCUGAAGGAAGAGCUUUGGUGGUUGCUUCUGGUUCCAAGAAAAAGGGGAAACAGUUGGCUGUGGUAUCUGAGAGUGAACAGACUGAAAGUGACUCCGGCAGCUCAGCUGGUGGUUCCCAAGGCACCAAUGAAGAGGGAUCAAAGAAGUUCAAGAAAACUGAACCAGAAACACCUGAUUAUCUGGCUAAGUUUCAGCAGAUAGAGAUCCAGCAAGGGAGAUUCCCUGAUUUGGACUUUCUGAAGAAGAUUGGCCUCUAUGAAGAUGUCAAGACUUUGCUUGGGAACAUGGGUGUUGAGUCACUUUUGGAGAUGAGAGAAAUCGCUUAUGAGCAAGAGUCCCAAGAGUUCUUGGCCUCCUUUGAAGCUUUCAUUUACUACCCAAGGGAUUCAAGAAUCAUUCAAGGAGAUGGGCUUGGACAUGUGGAGUUUACUGUGAAAGGGAAGGAAUAUUCAGUGUCAUUCAGAGAAUUGAGUAAGAUCUUUGAGUUUUCAACACCUAGAAAUGAAUUUCUCUCCAACUCGGUCAAUCUCAGAAAAGAUGAGAUCCAACUUCUAUGGAGAUCAAUUGCUUCUGGGAAGUACACAGCUGGAACAGCUAAGGCCUCUUGGAUAAGGAAUCCAGUUCUGAGAUAUGUACACAAGGUUCUCUCUCACAGCUUCUACUUCAAGAUUGAUGUUGGAAGAGUUCACAAAGGAGAUCUGCUGCUUCUGGGUGUAGGGCUGAGGCCGCUGAUGCCAACACAUGAAGAUGGGGAACCCUAUGUAGGGUAUGAAUACCCACUUUGCCUUGCAUCUCAAUUAGCAAGGUCUUUGAUGUUCUACAAAAAGUGCAUGUGGGAUUCUACAAACAAAGAUGCAAAGCUGACCCAUGGAUGGGUGGUAACAAAGAUCUUGAAAGCCAUGGGGUAUAGAUUCAAGGAGAACAAGGCAAAGUUUGAUCUGAUUAAUGAAGCACAUUUGUGUAGGAUUGGCUUUCUCCAAGGAAGAGUGGGUACCAAGGCAGUCUACAACUUCAAGACACUCAUCAGUGAGCCAGCCCAAGUUCUCCUACCCAAUCCCUCCAUCACCACAGUCCAAGUUAAAAGGAACAUUCACUUCUUCUUGCUGAAGGAAGAGCUGUACAAUGUCCAAACUGAUCCACCAAUCCUCACAUACAGGCAAGCUUGCAGAGAAGAAGCCUCCAAGGGAAAGAAAGCAACCGCUGAAGAUGCUACCACAAGUGCAGCUGGUGCUCACGAUGCUGAUCUGCCUCCACCUCAAAAACGUUUUGGUGGAAACAGAUAUCACUUUGAUGAUUACAACUGGGAGGAACCAGGCACUUCAGGGUUCAGAGCUCAACAGAAGAUUGGUAUUCUCCAACAAUGGUGCAAGUACCAAGACAAAACCAUCCACAAGAUGGCCAAGUGCAUCAAGGAGAUGAAGAAGAGGAUCAAGAAGCUUGAAAACCCUUGCAAAGGUGGGGCUCCAGCACCAGUUUCACCAAGAAACAGAGAGGAAGUUGGGGAGAGUUCCAUGAACUGCACAGCCUUGGUCGCAUAUGGAACCACUUGGGUAGAUCUUGACGACGGGAGUGAUGAAGCCAGCCACCAUUCUUGGGAAACACCGUCAGGCCACACAUCGAACCCCUCCUACUCAUUGGGGUCUGAUUUCAACAGCCACUAGGUAACACUCAAAACCUUGUAAAUAGCAUGUAGACUUUUUUUUUUCCUUUUGCAUUUUGCUUGUUUGCUUUGGUUUCACUUCUUUCUCAUACUUUUAUAACACAAGGGACUGUGUUAUUUAAGUGUGGGGGAGGAGUUUCAUCCUUUACUAACCAUGUUUUCUAUUUUCUCAUUUUACACUUUGAGUCUUGAGUCACAUUCUAGUUGCAUAGUCAUCUAAGUGCAUAUAAAAACCAAAAAAAAAAAAAUGGAAAAAUCUGAAAAAUUUUCACAAAAAAAUGAUCAUGUAGUUGCAUUCUCAUUUUUAAGAUUGAGUCUAGAUUGCAUUUGCAUAUAGGUUGCAUCUUGCAAGGAGUAAUGAUAGGUUUUCUAGAGAGUACAUCACUUUGAGAACUUGAAUUGAAUAUGCUUGUGAAUCUUUUUCUAUGCUUGCAAAGUCUGAAAUGAUUUGAAUCUGAGAAGCAAGUUUGAAUUGAACUCAACUCUAAUUAAGUGGAAACCUUGAACUUGACCUGAAAAUAUCUUGUGAUGCAUUGUUUGAAAAAGCUUGUGGAUACCAAUAUACAUACUUGAGCUAGAACCACUGUUUUUACCACUCUUUUCCUUAGCUCAAGUAGCUGAAUCCACAUCAUGGAUCAGUUCCCACACCUUGAACCCAUCCUUCUUUUAAGCCAAUGUUUGUGUGUGAAUUGAAAGGCCACCUUGGAUCAAACUUAGCAGAAAGUGUUAGGUUUAGAGCGACAAGGGCAGGUCUCAUUGAGUGCUGUGUUCCAACAUCAAGGAACUGAGAGUUUUGGCGAGGAAUAAGUGUGGGGGAAAAGACUUUUUGGUGAGUGGAAAAAGGUGAGAUGAGUGGAAAGAGAGAGUGAAAAUAACUAGGGGAAUGAAAGAAAAAGAAGUCAGUCUUGGUGUUUUGAGAAAGUGAGCUCUGGUUUGUUGAAAAGAAAAAUCUAGCCUCUAAGUGAAAAAGAAAGAAAAGAAGCCAAAAGCUCAAAUGUUUUGAUAAGAAAGAAAGAAGAGGCUAGAAGUUGUAAAAGAAAAAGAGCUGUGUAAAGUUUGAGUUCCAAGACUUGAGAGUGAAAGUGAAGAACAAAUCCCCUAGUGAGAGAAAAAUGAGUGUGAAAAGUGAGGUCUUUGAGCAAGAGAGGAAGCUUUGAGUAGAGGGUGGGGAGUGAUGAGUCUUUGCCCUUGUAUGCAUAGGUUGCUUUUUACCUUUAGCAUUCUGCCAAAGUUUGAUCAUUCAUAGAGAGAUCCCUUUGCUGCAUUUAACCCACUUGAACACUGAUGAGAUCAUUUUAAUCUCAUAGCCUCUCCCUAGCCAAGCCAGCUUGUUUAAACCUUGCAUCAUGAGAUCCACCUGAUAAAAGCUUAAUGAAUGUGAAAGAGUUGAGAGAGAGAAGAACUUGUGGAGAUUCCUUGCUGAGUUGACAUAUAUCUGAGUAUGGCUUUGCAUUGCAUAAUUGAGCAUGAACUUGAAUUCUCAUUGUGAUCACUUCUCUCAAAAAGAAAAUGUGAACUCCCAUUGCAUACAACCUCUUUCUCUCAUUUGCUCUUUUUGCUUGAGGACAAGCAAAGGACAAGUGUGGGGGAGUUGAUAUGUUCAUAAUUUGCAUCAUUUAGGUUGCAUAAAUCAUUCCAAAUCAUGUUUUAUUUCAUGUAUUUUAGGUCCCUAGGGUUUGUUUUAGAACUUAGGAGAUGCAUUAGGUCCCAAUGAGUCUUUGCAUGUUUUGAGUGUCUAUCAGGUGAUUAUGGAGCUGAAAAGAUGAAUCCAGGAGGUGGAAUGGUGAGCAGAGCUUGAAAAAGUGGAAAACUUGAGUCUAUGGAGGUUAUCGGCCAUUCUCGCUGGCCAGGAAGGUUUUACCGGCCAUUUUCAUGUACUGCGGGAAGCUUUACCGGCCAUUUUCACGUACCGCGAAUUAAGUAUAUCGGCCAAAAUCUCCGGGUGCGAACGAGUCUCAGAAAUCACCUGUCCGGGGAGCCUUCCGGUCCGAUUCAGAUGGCGGGUCCUUCAUAGAAGUUGGAGAGCAUUGAAGCACGGUCUCAUAGCAAUUGGAAUCGUAGAAUUCGGACGCGUGAGCAGAGAGAUAAGCUCGUCGGAAGAAACCCCUGUCUCGCAGGUAUUCCGGACCGAGCAGAUCAGUUCUGAAGGAUGCGAAGGACGGUGCACUUCCAGGCCGAUUCAGCUUCCGGGUCCUUCAUGAGAAUCAGAGACAUUUGAGUUUUCUUUCCAGAACGUCCAAGAGCAUUCAAUUCGGAUCUAUGAGCAGGAAGAUACGGCCUCCGGAAUGGACACAUGUCUAGACGCCUCUCUCUGGUCGUAUACAUGCACUGCAAAGAUGUGCCCUCCAGGAAGCCUUCCACCUCCCAAGCACUGAAACUUCCUUCACAAAAGUUGGAGAUAAAUGAGUCCUCUGUCUUCUGCAACCGAAAUCAUUCAAUUCGGACAAGUAUCACAGGAGUUACACUCUCCGGAAUGCGAAGUGAUCUAAGCUGCUCUGGAUGCUGCGAGAUGGUCUUGCGACUUGGUUAACCCGCAGGCCUGAAGAUGAACACCUGAAUGCUGAUGCUGCGAGUUGAAAUGUGCGGGUAAACUAUCACUGGAAGAGGUCUGGAGCUCCCGAGCAAGAGAAAUGCUAAGUCCACAAUCGUGCGACUUAGGCAUGCGAGUCAUCCGCGCCUGGAUCUAUGCCGCACGAUCACUCGGAAUUCACUCCGACUUGAGCCUGCGACCUAAGUGCAAUAGAGACCAACCCGCACAGUUUCUACAUCCCCCAGAAACCGGCUCAGCCCUGCGAGUUGGAGAGGAAGGAGACCAUGCCGCAGAAACACUCGCAAUUUACUCCUAGAUAGGCGUGCGGCUCCGACAAGGUGAUUCAAGCCUCACAAGACAAGUCUUCAUCUACUGCGACUUAGGUGUGCGGCCUGGGACAUACUGAACCGACCCGCAGCUUUUCCCACUUUAUCCAUUAAAGCCGGGUCAGGACCCGGUUUGUUCCGGGCUGACCCGGUUCGUUUUUAAGAAGGUAUAAAUACUUUUUAGGGUUUUUUGGGGGAGAACUAAGUUUUAUUCCCUUUGUCUCUUGCCUUUUUGGUGAAAAGACUCCAUUAAGAAGAGAAAUAUCUUUAUUUGAGUGUUUAAUCAAGAGAGUUUAAGGAGAUCUGGGUGUUUAAAGCUGUUUUCUUUUGAAUCUAUCAUCUCCAUCUCCAUUUCUCAUCAUUAAUCAUGCUAAUCUACUCAACUUGCAAAAGUUUAAGAGAGAUUAGUAUGAUUAGUGAGUAGUCACCUUAAUGAGGUUCUAGAUGUGUAGGUUAGGGUGCUAAAGUGUUAGAUUAGGAGUGCUUAGGGCUAGAUUCAUUGAUUCAUCUCUCUAAACAGCUGUUCUCUAUGCUAAAUCCUUGAUAAUCACUUGAGAUCUAGAUUCUGGGAAUUUCAUGCACCAAAAGUGUUUGAUGAAAUUCCUGAAAGAGUUGUGUUAGAGGUUUAAGUAAUUUUUCAUCAUGGGAAUGAUUUGUUAAAUGCUUGAAUGAUCAUUAAGAGCUGUUUGUUAAUGCAUAUUGAUUCAUGUUUCACAAAUGGGAAUUUGGUUUGAAAAUGGAUUAGUAUAGGGGUUAAUACCUUCAUGAGAGGAUUAACCUAGAUUAGAGUUCUUAAUCAUUUGAAUCAUGUCUCAUCAUUGUCAUUAGCAUUUCUAGUUUAACACCAAGGCACCCUAACCAACUAUCAUGUCUAGAAUCUCAUGCCUCCAUCAUAUCAUAUUCACAUCAUUUGUCAUUGUCAUUUGUCUUUAAACCUGUUUAUGUUUAUAGUUGUCUCUAGAUUAAUCAAAACCUAUUCUUGUUUGCUUGAAUUAAGAACUUGAUCAUAUAGCUUAGUGUCUAACACCACAUCUGGAUUGAUAAACCUCUUUGUACUACAUUGACAAGGGGAUUGAUAGCCCUGAGACCCUUAAAAGUCUUAUCUAUCAUCCAUCUAACAUUUUACUUUCGUUUUAUGAAUAAGUUCUCUUUCCCUUAGCUGUUUUAGGAUUUGAUGUACUUAAUCGAUCAAGAAAACAUGGUCACCAUUCCAAUGUUCAUUAAUUACCAACAUCAAAAGAAUAAUAUUGCAAAUCUAAUUGAAAUCUUCAAAAUGUGAAUACAAAAUGGUUUCUACAUAAAAAUAUAAGGCCGGAAUAAUAUGAUAUACCUUUACAUAAUCAUUAAAUGGUUUUUUUAAAUUACGUGUUUUCUUUCGAGAUUAUUGCUCCCUUGCCAACAUCAAUGAUGACGUUUAUUCCACGUCAAAUAUGACAUGGCAAAGGCGCUAGCUCUGCACAAUUUCAUUGGAUGCUAAUGCUGAUGUGUAAUUUUUGUCCAAGUUUUUCUGAUUUAAAAAAACAAAAAAAAAGUGAAAAUCAUAAACGGAUAAACAUGCGGAUCUUUAUACCCGAUCUAGCCCAAUUAUCUGUAUUUUAAAAACAUCCUUUGGCCCAAUAAUUCAUACAUUCCCAUUUUUAAAAUUUUUGAAAUUAUGGUUUUUAAAAACUUUCCGCGUAAGAAAAUAGAAAUUUUUCCCAAAAUGGAAGAUUACAUUAACUAUUAGCAAGAUUUACCGGAGUUAAUGUAACAAUAUAUACAGAAAUUUUAAUAUUUCAAAAAGAAACACGAAUUUAUCUUACAUUUUAAUACUAUACGUCAAUUUUGGCAAUUAAAUCAAUUUGAAUAUAUUGAUUCUCAAAUAUUUCCGCAACAAUAUCUACUUCUACGCACAUUCCGAAUAUCCAUAUUCUUCAUUUCAUUCUUUUUUUUCAAAAUAAUUUAAAUCCCGCCUAACAUCAAUUUUAAAAAGUUCUCAUUGACUUCCUCUCCCUAUAUACCUAUCCUAAACCCUAAAACUCUACAAUUCUCAUUCACAAAAAUGGCUUUAGUCCGCAAACGUUCGGCUGCUCUAGUUCCAUUUGCCAAAUUAGGUCAAUCAAGUGAAAUUCAGAAAAUUAGAGCUAUUAUAUUUUUACUUUGGAAAGUCAAGAACAGGCAGUCUGGCUUUGUUAUAUAUAGAAAUGAUAUUGGUUGACAAAGAAGUUUGUAUGCGAUCUUAUGCAUUUUGUUUAUUGUUAUUUUAAUCAAUCUAUAGAUUAUAUAGUAAUACUAUUUGUGUGAUUCACAGGGCACUAGGAUUCACGCUACGUUGAUGAAGAAUUGAUCGCAAAAGAUAAAUGCAUCCUUAUAGAAGGAAAAUCACUUUCUAUUAAUUGCUUCAUCAUUAAAGAAUACUAUAGUGAUUUUAGGACUACUCCAUUACCAUACAAGAUUGCUUUGUGCAGAACAACCCGUGCUAAGGAGAUCAAUGAUUUUCCAUCAGACUUGCCAGAGAAAUAUUUUUCUGAUUUCAAGUCAAUCAAGGAAGACAAACUCGACAAAAACGUCCUAAUCGGUAUGUCAUCAUCGCGAUAUUGAAAAUUAUAUUCUAAUGUACAUAUUUAUCAUUGUAUACAAAUAUUUUGUCUUCAAGAUGUCAUUGGACAAAUUGUCACCAUUGGGAGUAUGGAAGUUAUAAAAACUAAAGUAAAAAGUGGGAUCAGCGAGAAAUUGAUGAUAACACUCCGGGACACCAAGUAAGUAGUUAUGAUAUCAUACCAAAAUAAACAUAACAAUAUUUUAACAAUGGAACGCUAAUAUGUUUAUUGCUGAAGUGAUGUCCAACUGAAAUGUACACUAUGGGGACAAUAUGCAAAAGCAACUGUUGAGUACACUGACAAGCAUAUGGCUGUUAUUGUUGUGUGUGUAAUGCGAUUUUUCUGUAUAAAAGAGUACAAAGGUUAGAUCACUAUAUCCCCUAUUCAUAUAUACACAGUUUUGUAGAGAUUGGUAUUGGAUUAGAUUGUUAAUUAUUCUUAUUUUAUGUUUUUCGAGUAUAGGUGACAAUUCAAUAUCAAACGCUUUCAACUCCACCAAAAUUUUGUUUGAUCCUGACGUCAAGAUCGUGAAAGACUUCAGAGAAAAGUAUGUUAUGUGACAAUUUUAAUAUCAUUUUAACAUUGUUUUAUUUAUAUAGUUAUUGUUUACAGUUUUGUAGGUUGCUAAAAAACAAUCAAAUGAUUGUGCAUGCUGAACAGAGUUAUUCGACUUCUUGGGGUGGUGCUAUUGACUACCGUGAAUAAUUUUUAGGUGUGAAAAAUAGGAGGCGGACGAUAGCUGGAAUUCGUGAUAAAAAAGUGGCAUGAGCUAUAUUUUAUUCAUGGUACAAAUAUAUUUAUAUUUCACUAUAUACAUAUUAAUGGUUUUGUUAUAACCUGGCAAGAUUUUAACAUGCGUAAUGGUCAAAGACGUUGACACUUCAAAGCUGUGGUAUUAUUGGGCAUGCAAACCUUGCAUCAUCAAAGUUUUAGAGCAUGACAUUAUGUCUGAUGAUGAAGAUUACGAUAAGAGGAUUCCUCUUUUCAGUUGCAAAAAUUGUGGAUAUAUCUAUUCAUAUGAUACCAUCGUCGCAAGGUAAUACAAUGAUUUGUCCCAUAAAGUCAAGAAAACAUUACUUAUUUCAUUAAGACUUUCUUUGGUAUGAUAUAUAGCAGAUAUAGCAGAAUUAUUUCAUGUAGACUUUCUCUGAUUGACUGGCUAAAUGUUCGCCUUAUUUUAUUACAUUGAUUUGUCCCAUCAUACAUUUAUUCCAACAUUACAUUACAUGUUUAUUCAUGUAACGUUUAAAUAACUCACUCUUCUGUUUCCUUUCAAACUAUGUAGGUACUAUAUUGUAUUAUUUGUAACUGAUGAUUCAGACGUCGAUGUCCGCUUCCUGAUGUUUGAUGACACUGCUCAAAGAUUGUUGGGUCAUUCAGCUGAGUCUAUAAUGGAACAAAAUGAUGAGGUUAUUCGUUAAAUAAUUGUAUACAUUAUGCAUUAUUUACAUUUUCUGAAAUAAUAUUAAUCCAUUAUAUAUAAUGAUGCGCAGGAUUUACCAAGAGGGCUCCCUGAUGGCUUGACAAAGCUCCUAACCAUGAGGAUGCUUUUCAAAAUAACAGUUUCAGAAGAGCAUACAAAAGGAAGCCAGUCUCCGUAUGUAGUAGAAUGGUCUCAAGAUGUCGAAAUUAUGACUGAGUGGGAUUCUCGAUCAGUGGUAAUAUAUAGGAUAAAUUUUACAAACUUCUCAAGCUCGCUUAUCUGAUCGUUUAGUUAAAUUAAGACGUCAACAAUGUUUUAUAUUUUCAGCAACCGUUGAUGCUUACGAGUUCUGACGAACUUGAGAAUCCAUCGUCUGGAUCUUUACUCAUUCCUUCAUCUAAGAAGCUAAUUAAGAGUCCUGACUAUUUUGAUGAAGGUGAAAGAUCUGUUAACAAAAAGCGACCGAAGCAAGAGAUCCCGAUGAAGUUAUGAAGAAGCAAAAAAUCGUAAUGAACUUAUUGCAGAAAUGCAUUGCUGGUGAUUGAUUAUUGAUUUUGAUCUUUAUAACAAAUUUGUCCAAUGGAUGGAUAACGUUUGAACUCUCUUCGUUAUUUUUUGCGGUAUUUGUGGAAUUUUUUUGGCAUUUUUUAUUUAAUUGUGAAACUUGAAUGUUGCCCUAGAAUUUUUUUUCAUAAUUCAUUUUUUGAAACUUUAAUUUGUGAUUUAAAUUUUUUUGGUUCAACCAACUGUCAUAAAUUUACACGAGAGUUUCAAUUAAGACGACAUUAAAACCAUAACCGUUUUACUCCAUCACAUAGAAAACUAUUCAUUUCGUUAUUCUCUUUCAUCUUCAAUCUUAGCAAAAUAUUAAAACAAAGAAUGUCUCCUAGUGAAAGAGUUUCCGAUCUUCAGAAGAAAAACGGCGGAUAUCGUAUUUGUGUACAUAUACUAAGAGAUUAUUAUGAUUAUACUCUCUUCGAUCGACCUAAUUGGAUGUUAGUUCUUGCGGAUGAAUUUGUAAGUUUUGGAGGUUUGAAAAGAUUUACCAUAUAUAUGUUUUAGGAAUGUAUUUGUUAAUUAUUUAUCUUUGUAAACCGUGUAGGGCAAUCGCAUCCUGUCUACUAUUCAAUAUGAUAUAAUAGACAAAUUUGAGUAUGAAUUGGUUGAAGGAGAUUGGGUGGUUCUUGGUAAUUUUGAAGUUGCUGACAGAGUGAUUUGUCCAAGUAUAUCAUCAAACAACUAUCAUAUACAUUUCCUCGAGGAUACCAUUGUUGAGAAAACUGAUCUGAAGUCUUCCAGAGGAAUAUACUCUUUUUGUGCAUUCAUGAAUAUUUUAUAUAGAUUUAUUCAUAUAGAUAGAUAUCUUGCUAUCUUUCUUACAACUUUUUAUUUUAAAUCGUUUAUCUAAGGAACUUCAACAUGUAUUUAAAGGCAGUCCUUUAUUUUUGCAGUUGUUCUUCUCGGUGUUGUCACAUUUGUUCAGAAACUUCAGUUAUGAUCAGACACACCCACGCAACGUCCACUUAUUCGUUUUAAAAUUCAAGAUUUCAGGUCUGUUAUCCUCAAAACAUCUGUUAUGUGUAUAUUGUUUACAAAUUUUAAAGUAUAUUAAUAAUGUUCUAAAUUAUUUAAAUAUACAGUGGAGAAUCUUUGAAAUGUAUUGCUUGGGAUAACUUGGCAAGGAAAUUUGAAGAACUUUGGAGGAAUCGUGAAAGGUCUUCUAGGCAUAUUAUUGUAUUGUGAUUUUUCUCUUUCACUAGACGGAGAAGUAACUAACUACUUCAUUAUUUGAUAUUUUUAAUUAAUUACAAGUUUUACAUAUAUAUUUUUCCGUAUAUUGAGUAUGUCUAUGUAUUUAGAUGAAUGGAUAGUUGAAUUGGAAAGAUUCAUAUCUGAUAUUCUCGAGGAUCCUCCUAUCCCAGAAGUGGAAAGAGCAGGGUUGAGGUAUGUUUAUUCCAUCUUUGAUAUUGUAUUCUAUAUUUUAAUAUUUAUAAAUAUAUAUAUAUAUAUAUAUAUAUAUGUAUAAUGAUAAAAAAAAUCCUAAUAUUAUUUCAGGCUUGCAACUUCAAUUGAUUUUUCUCCGGUCCACGAUGAAUAUGAAGACCAGUCUAAGUAAAAGAGAUUAUUGUUUCCUAUUUCUUAUUUUUAUAGUGUUAAACUUGAAAAUCUAUAUUAUUCUGAUUGAAAAAAACUUAUCCAAUGACAAUAUAUAUAUAUUUUUUAAAAAACAAUUUAAUUGUGUUAGCAUUUUUUCGUGAAGCGUAUUCUAUUUGAUUUCAACAAAAAAAUAAUUAUGAUAUUCAAAAUUAGGAUGCUCCGUGAUAUGUGUCUGUAUUAAAAAAAUAGAGUAGGUAAAUUCUGGUAUUGUACUCUCAUUAAUUAUUUGUAAUUAAUGAAAUGAAGUAAUUAACUUAAUUAAAGAGAAGUAGUCAGUACAAUAUAUGACAUUUUUCUACCAUCUUUACAUAUUUUUCUACAUAUAAUUAAUCAAUAUAAAAGUCAAAUAUACCUAUGAAUUGAAUGUAACAAAUUUGGUUUGUUCGUAAGUCACUUAGUGCAAUAAAUGUCAAAGGUUGCAAUUUAUUCUAAUUUUACAAAACAACACAACUUUUCAGACCCUAUACUUGCUUUGCUAUACAUAUAAAGGACCAAAGUAAAAAAAUGUCUGGCCAUCUUAACUAAAAAAAACCUAAAGUCCCAGAAAACAACCACUUUCCUCAAACAUGCCUCGCUAUUGUACCCUUGAGUAUCUUUCUCCCACAAAAUCUGACUCCAGAAUUCUUAUAAAAGUUCUACGAGUUUGGGAACACUUCAACUACUGUAAUCAACGCCAGGAAUUGCAUCUUAUCCUCGGUGACGAAAAUGUAAGUUCAUCUUUUUGAAGUUUUUUUAUUCUGUUGCAUGUUAUGAACAUUUAAACACAUGAAUUUAGGGUUACAAAAUAGAGGCAUGGAUAGAUCAGGAUCUUAACUUUUCACUUGGUCCAAAGUUUAAAGAAGGAGAAUGGAAUUAUGUCAAAUUCUUCAACGUUGUCAAUGCGUUCGGAUCUUUCAGAAAUACUAUAAACUACCACAUCAUCAACAGGAACGCCGAUACUAUUGUAAACAAGACCUUUCAAGUCAAUCCUAAGCAUAUGAUGGAUUUUAUGCCAUUUGAUGCCAUUAUCUGAGGGAAUUUCUCUACUGAGUACUCUAUCGGUUAGGCUUCUCACUUUUAUUCAAUUUAAGAAUUGUUAUAAAUAUUGUGUAAUGAAAAUUUUUCUUUGUAGACUUGAUCGGCGUAAUCAUCUAUGUUGAUGAUGAACUAAGUACUGAUAUUGAUGACCCAUACGAGAUGAUUUUUGGACCUUCUCACAAAUUGGACAUUCAAAUAAGAGACAUGAAGUAAGAUGUUUUAUAUUAUCAUCUAUAUAUGUAAAUGCCAAUAAUUUGUCUUAUGUUGUACAUAUGUAUUUUUGUUAAUGUUGUUGUAAUAUAAUUUGAUAUGGACAUCAAACUCAUUGGGAAGACUGCUCUGGAUUUCUAGAAGAAGUGAGAAAACAUAUGUACUUAUGAAACAGUCUUGAUUUUGCGCAUGUUUCGUCUGACCUAUGAUUCUGAAGGUUAGUAAUUAAAUAUUAUAAUCGAGUGGAAACAUUCAUUCCCACUUUGUUAAUAUGAUAAUUUGGCUUCUAACAUGUGUGCCCUUUAUAUUUUAAAAUCAUACAGGAAAAUAUCGCAUAAAGAAUGAUGGACACCAUUCUGAAAUACUUUUCAAUCCUCACAUAAAUGAGGUUUCUGAUUUUCUUGACUGGUAAUUUUUCUAAUUGGUAUUAAUAUAUAUAAUAUGUUUUAAGGUUUAUUUUAAUCUUUUUUACAAUAGUUAACUUGAAAUUAUUUAUGGUCAGGCUUCCUUUUAUUGAUAUCCAAGGAGAUCCGAGCUGGCCAUAAGUUUAAUCCCUCUUAUGUACCUAUAUUUUCUCGUAACUGUUAAACAUUCCCAUUAUGUAAUAUUUUCCCAUAAAACUGGGAUGGAGUUGAACAUAUUUUCGUAUAUUUGUAAUGAAAUAUUUAGUAUUUAUUUAUAGUAAUGUUUAAUUGCCAAUUAAUAUCAUUUUAUUUAUUGUUUAUAUAUAUUACAUGUAUAUAUGUAUAGUUUGGAUAUAGCAUAUACAAUCUAUAUAUAGAAUCCAUUUGAUUUUAGAAAGGUUACUUCCUUUAUAGACAUUUUCUUCCAUCGAAUAUUGUACAUUUCCAUAAUAAUAAGACAUUGUCAAAUUAUACUACUACAAUAUAGUAACGACCAUUUUUCAUAUUAUGCCAAUUUUAGUACCAUAACAAUUUAUGUAAGUAGACUUCGACAUUACAUUUAUUGCGAACCUUUAUAAAUUUCUUUAUUUAUAAUUAUGCCAAACGAUGCAACUAUAACGCUUUUUAGGCAAUUUCAUCUAAUGCUCACUAUUGAUCUUUUUUUUUUUGGUCGAUGCUCACUAUUGAUCUAUUAAAAACUUUACGUGUAAGAGUAAAUUGAAAUUAAUUCUGAUUGACGUUUUCAUUUCAGUGUUGAAAACUGACGUCAAGCUUUUCUCAUAACAUUUAGAGUUGAGUGUCAAAUAUUAUAUAAAUUAUCAAUGUUUUAAUGUUUGUGGAUUAUAAUUAAUGUAGCAGAUGAGCUUAUAAUCUUACGAAUCAAUUCACACAUAUGAGAAAGUGAUUUGGGAAAAUAAUUCAUUUUUAUUUGAAUCAAGAUAAUACAACUUAUUGUAGCAAAAAAGAGAGAUAAUUAAGGUACAAAAAAACAAAAACAAAAAAACAGAGAUAAUUUUAGCUAAACUCCAAAGUUUCUCCUUCCACGUUUAUUCUUAUGUGCCUAUAAGAUUCAAAAACAUAUAAUGUUGUUAACUUCAAACAUAUUAGUUAAACAAAUCAAUGUAUUAAUGGAAUAUUAACAGCUUACCCACUCCGAUGUAUCUAGGUAGCGAAUCUCUCUCUUAACGAAGCCGCAUUCUAUACAUUUCAAACCUAUCUCCAGAUCUAGAUGGAGAUCGUGUUUUCCUUUCUUGCAACGUUCAUUUGGAUCAUCAGUCGAUAUUUCUUCAUCAAGCUGCAGAUAUUACAUAGUGAUAUAAACAUACAAUAAUACAGAAAUCAUCAAUAAAACCGAAUAAUUUAAAGUUUAAAUUAUCUCAGAAAGAACCUCGAUGGCAUUCGCAGUUGAUUUGCUCAGAAAAUCAUUCAUCUCUUCCCACUUAUUAGUUUCCUCCAUCUCUGAUUCAGAAAUUGGAGGAGGUGAUGGUGGUUCUUCCACACCAAAUCUCAUGUUCGAUGGUGGUGGAUUAAUUCUCAGUAAUCCGUUUUCAUCAUAACGUUUUUCUUGGUGAUUCUCCAUUUUUGUCUAAUCUCUUAUCAGGCGUUUAGGGUUGCAGAGAAAAUUUAAGAAGUAUGUUUAUAAUCGAAGCAACUCUUAUUUUAUAUAGGAUAAGGUAGUUAAAAAAUAUUCAAUGUCACCAAAUUUCUAUGUUUUCUUAGGAAUACUGUUUCAACCAACCAGUUUAGCUUUUUAACUUUCGUUUUUGAUAUAUAGACAUAAUAUUUACACAAGUCUUCUGCGUCCAACUCACACAACUUAGCUGAAACAAAAAUAUUGAAAAGUUUGGAUUUUCCUCUUUACAGUUUGAUUUAAACCGCAAUAUAUGGUAACAUAAUAUUGUCUCUGAUAAUUUCGAACUAAUAUUCUUAUGAAGCAAUUAUGUAUAAAUUGAAUUAUCUAACCAUAUAUUCGAGAUUUUUAUAAAUAUUGUAUGAAGGAUAUUUAUAUAUUGUUGUUACUUUAUAAAACCAGAUGCAUAUUUCAAUCUUUAAUGUAUUUGUAUAUUCGUGUAUAUCCUAUUUAAUCCAUCUAUAUAUUCACAUCAUACUUUUGUGAACUGCAACUUCAUUUGUUACACUGAAUAAAAAAUCUCAAUAUUCUCCAUUUCUACUGCUAUGAACAGGAUAGGUAAACCUUAUGCGUCCAACUUUAAUCUAUUAAGAAUCCUUUUGAAUAACUAUAGACAUUUACCCUUUAUAUUUUAUUAUCAGACAUUAUUUGUUUCCUUUUAACUGUUUUAACAAAUUCUUUAUGAUUGUUUUCAGAAAUUAUUUAAUUUCAUCUACCAAGAACAAAUUCUUCCAAGCGAAACAAGGUCGACAAAGUAAUGAAAAAUACAAAAUUUAUUGCUUGGAUGGAGUGUAACAAGAUAUACGCAACUGCCAGAUUCCUACUCUACACUGAAUUAUCUCAUCAAUUUGUAUGGAAUGUCACAUUGCAUGAGUGGAGGUCACGGGUGAAGGGUUCAGGAAAUCCAACUAUUCUUCAACAGUAUUCAAUUUAUGAUGAGUAGAAUUUUUAUUUGGGUGUCUGUUGAAUAUCAUUAGAGGUCCUCGCAGUUAUGAAGAUAUCCGAACAUUUAAUGGUGUUGUAUACGACACCUUCAGAAAAGUUUGCUAUGCAAGGGGCUUAUUCCCGAUCAAUUAGAUUUAUAUAUCUUUCUUAAUUUUAGUUUUAAAACUGCAUGUUGAAUCUUUAUUUCAAUAAGUUACUUUCAUUUUGUUGUUUUUAAUCAUCUUCAUUUUUUACAGUACUUUUUAUGUUGAAUAUAUGAUAUACUAAGGUAAAUCAUCUACUAAAUACUACAUUUGCAACCGUGACAUAUUACAUGAUUAAUACAAGAGUCAACCAAUUAACAUUUUAUAAAAUAUAGCAUAACUUAUAAUUUAUAAUUUAUUGAAUAAACUAUUAUCAUUGUAAGUUUAAAGUAUUGUUGAUGCGGAUUAAUCGUAACUUAAUUGUUAAUAUGAUAAAUUAUACCUCAAAUUUUGGAAAUCUCUGAUAAAAUUAAACAACUUUUUAAAUUUCAAUUUAAACUGAACUACAUAAUAUAGACAAAUGCGAUUUUUUGUUAUUUUAGAUAAUUGCAAAAGAGAAAUAAUAAAUCUAACAAUCCUAGAAAUUAGGAAAAUCGUUGUAGUUCAAAUUAAAAAUUCCCAAUUAAAAGUUUUAUAUUUUUUACACAAUAUUGGAUCUCAUUCGAGGUAAAUAACAAUUUUUUACAUAAUUAGAGUUUUUUUCUUAAAAUUCCAUUCAAUAAUAAAAAAUCUACUAUAGCAAAAACUUAUUGAAAACGGUAUACAUUUCUGUUUACCUACUGAACAAAAUUACUUAUAUCUCACUCUACAAAAAGUACAUUGUCAAUACUCUAUCCACAAUUUGAUAUAAAGUAUUAACAGUAUACUUCAUGUUGAAAGUGAGCAUUCACAAGUAAUAUAAUUACAAUAACUCUGUGGCGACACAAUGAAUAAAAUUACUUCUUCUGAUGUGAUUCAUCACAGAUACACAAGAAAUAUUAUGUAGGAAAACAUGUAUUUUUAUUUCAUGUAAACAUAAUUUUUGUACGUCUGUGAGUGGAUCACAUCAGAAGAAUAAUUAUAGUAUGGGUUGUGUUUGAGUGAGUUAUUGUUUGCUUGGUUAAUUGAUCAAAAUUCUAUUCUGAUGUGUAUUUAUAGAAUUCUUAGAGCACGUCCAGUGGGGGUUCGUCCAUGGGUUCAUAACUCAUUUUAGAAUUAAAAAAAAUGUUUAAUGAGCUAUUUAUGAAGACUCGGUUCAUCCCAAAGAGUCUAAUGAACCUCAUUUGCUGACGUGGCAAUUUUUUAGUGGUUGAACCUUCAUUUUUCUUUUUCCACCUCUUCUCUUUCUUAAAAAAAAUCAUUUUUUCUUUUAUUUUGCAACUUCUCUCCUCUCUCUUGUUCAGAAUUUUAUUAAUUUAAUAUUUAGGAUGAACUUUAUGAAAAGUUCACCAAUGGACAUGGUCUUAAAGAGUGACUCCUCAUUUUUCUUCCCUGUGUUUCAUAUUCCCCAAAAGUCAUUGAUAAUUAAAACAUAUUAAACAACAUUUGACUGAUAUAUCACAAAUUCCGAAAGAAGAUAAAUUUCGAAAUAAAUGAAUACAUCUUCGCAUAUAAUCUAUAAAAUAUGUUCAUAAAUGUCACAUUUCGAUGCCUAACUUAAAAACAUAAAAUUAAUGUAUAUAUUCAUAAUUACAAGUAUUUUUUUAUCUACACUUUCUUCAUUAUACAUAACUAAUUAUAAUUACGUAGAAUUUAUAACUGCAAAUAUGAGCCAAUUUUAAGACACAAUCCAAUUCUUAUACUAAUAACAUACCAUUCGACCCAAAAUUAGUAACAUUGUAUCCACACACACUGUAAAUUAUCAAUAUUAUAAAAUUCGACCCAAUAAAUUUAACAAUAUACCUAAUAAAAUUAAAAUUUCAAAAAACGUUCAAGCCCGCACAUGUGUGCGGGCCAGUAUCCUAGUGCCUAGAAAAUACAAACAAGUGUGGGUAUAGAAACGUGAUACAUAGUGAUUAUGUUCCUUUCAUAUGGUGAUGUACUUAUAUUUCCUUUUAGUAUGCUCUAUAUUGCUAAGUGAAAACAGGGAGAUUGUGGAAUUUAGUUGCAUAUUUAUUUCCUUUUUAAGUGUCCAAUUGCCUUUUGAUUUCGUUUAUUUAUUGCGGGUAAAAACAACCAAAACCAUUCAGUUUUAGCUAGAUCUACUCUCGGAAAUAUUACAUGUAACAUUUGGUCCUUGUUGUUCGACCUAUCGUUCUACUACCAUGACAAAAUAAUUGUACACUUGCGGUUUAGUAAAUUGGUAUUUAAAAUUGACCGCACUUUUUCCAGGGACUAGCUGUUUCACCAUUGGGUUAAAGACUACAGUUGAACAUAUGACAAGUUUUUCUUGUUUCCCCUUUGACACAAAAUAUAUAUAUAUAUAUAUAUAUAUUUUGUUAUAUUUUUGUUACUUUGCUUAAUCGCUCCAAGUUUUCCCUAAUUGGCCUUUCAGCUGCAUGACUAUAAAUCCUUAUACCAUGAGGGUCUGACCUUUCACCGUUUGAAAGAUAAUAGAAAGGAGAGCGAUUAGCACGUUUGGAGAGAGAGACAAUAGAUAAUCAGAAACCAAAAUUGGAGAGUUCAAGUUUGAACAGUUUCUAAGUAACUUGGGUGCCAGUGUGAGUUUGAUGUCCCUGGAUGUGUCAAAAGGUCUUGGGAUAAUAGAUUUCAAGUCAUCAAAGAUCACUCUGGUUUUUGUUAAUCGCUCGGUUGGUUACCCAAUGGGUCUACUUGGGGAUCUACUAGUCAGGGUUGGAAACCGCUAUACUCCUAGAGCAUUCAUUUUGUCAUAGUUACAUAAAGAGCUACAUGAACAGAUGAAGGUGUAGCUGUAGUUGAAGCAGUUGCUGUACCAGAUGAAGUGAAGGAUGGAAUUCCACAAACAUGAAGUACGUGACAAGCGAAGCAUUUGGAAUGAGGAGCUGGACGAGUAGCUGAGCUGGACCAGUAGGAAUGGGAGUCUUGGAAAGAAAGCAAAGCUGGAUGGGAAUAAAGGAGCAGAUCAGGAAGAAUGGAAGAUUUUACUUAAACAUGUAAAAGUUUAAGGAAAUAGGAAAUAUGCACCAAGCGACAAAAAUGGAAGCUGUGGUGUAGGGUUUUCGGCGUGUAUAGCCGCUUAGUCUACUAGGUAUAAGUAGACGUGUUGAACCAUUGUAAAAGCUUAACACAACUACUAGAGAGCACUUAGCAUAAGGGUGAGAGAUUCGAGUAUUAGGGUCUGCAUCAAGGGUUAAGGGUUUUUCUAGGGGAGUUCUGAGAUCAAGUACAGCUCGAAGAACAGAGAGAGCUAGAGCGACAGAUCAAGGUGUGUCUUGAGUCUGUUCUAAAUCGUUUUACAAACUUGUAAGGUGUGUUAACAGAUUUACUAGUAAUAAAGUUCAGUUAAAGGAAAAACUUUGUGUUAAGUUGUGUUGUUGUUCUUGAACUAAGACUCUUGCAUUUACAAUUGGUAUCAGAGCGGUCAUCUGUAACUUGCAAACAGGUGAGGUCAUGCGGAGAUGGAGAAUUAUCAAGAACUUGUGAGCAGUUCAAACGUAAUUUUGAAUGCUGGAAACUACGGCUUCUGGAAAGCGAGGAUGCGUUCACUCAUAAUAGGAAUUGAUCCUUUGGUAUGGAAGUCGGUCCUGGUUAAGUGGGAAGAACCAAAGAAGAAGAACGAUGCUGGAUCUGAUGAGCCUAAAUCUGAAGAAGAAUGGACCGAGGAAGAAAGAAAAAGGUUCAAAUACAAUUCAAAGGCGUUGACGGCUAUUCACUGUAGCAUAUCAGCUGAGACCUUUAAACUAAUUCAGGGAUGUGAGACAGCCAAAGAAGCUUGGGACAUACUGCAGAUACAGUUUGAAGGAACGACAAAAGUGCAAAACUCGAAGAAGGACAUGUUGGCUUCACGAUUUGAGAACCUGUAGAUGGAAGAACAUGAAACCAUUGCCGACUUCAGCUCCGAGUUGAGUUCUCUGGCUCAAGAGGCUACAACUCUUGGGAAGCACUACAAAGACAAAAAACUGGUGAAGAAGUUCGUAAGGUGUCUUCCUUCAAGGUUCAUGGGGUACAAGUCAGCUCUGAGUGUGAACCAGGAUACUGAAUAUCUAAGCUUUGUAGAGAUUGUUGGGAUGCUACAGGCUCAUGAGAUGAAACUUGAUGGUGUGAAGAACCAGAAAGGAUUGGCGCUGUCAUCUGUUCUCGAGACCAAGUCAUCAGAGGAAGAAAAGUGUGAGGAUGCAUUAGGGCUACUGGUGAGGAGGUUUGACAAGGCUCUAAGACGAGCUGAGAAGUCAUAUGGUCAGAAAAAAGGUUGUACCUGCCAAACGAACAAAGGAAACCAGUGAAAGAAGGGGUGAUGUUCAAUGCUACGAGUGCAAAGGGGUCGGACACUUCAAGACUGAAUGUCCUACUAUUAAGAGAAGGUAGAUUCAGUGCUUCGGAUGCAAGUGUUUUGGUUAUACACAAUUGGAAUGUGUGAAUGAUCAAAACCGCAGGAAGGAAAGAUCCAUGCUGGCAGAAGAAGAUACUGAAAAUGACAGUGAUGAAGACACUGUGGAGGAAGUAAACAACUUUGUCUCAUUCAUUGGCAUUGCAGAAUUCGAUGAGAGUAUGGUUGCUUCAGAUGCUGAGUCAGAAGUUGGGGCUGAUGAUGAGCUGAGUGAAAGCUACAAAGAGGUUCGUGAGACUCUGAUCAAGAUUGGCAAGGAAAACACUGACUUAAAGAAAGAGAAUCUUUGAGUUGAAGCAAGAGUGGAGGAGCUGCAGAGAGAACUGAAAGCUGCUCAGAAACUGAGUCAAGAAAGUGUUGCGCUGAUAAAAGAGAAGCUGAACUUGGCAAAGAAGGCAGAGCAACUGGAGCAUGAUCUAAGUCAGGAGAAAGGGAUUUCCAACAACCUGAUGGGUGAGCUCAUUGAGCAACGUAAGAAGAUUCAUAUGUUUGCUGGAACUAAACAGCUUGAUCAGAUCUUGAGCCAUGAAAGGAGGUAUGAUGUGCGUAGAGGAUUGGGAUACGAUGCUUGAACCAUGGUAGAAACAGGUACUACAAAGUUUGUCUCAGGAGGUACAACUAAGCCACAAGAUCUGAUCAAGCUGAAAAGCUGUGGAUGAAGUCGGAAAGGUCAUCCUGCGAGGAAUCAGAUCUAGGAACAACUGUUAUAUAUGGGAUUCCUCUUGCAAAGAAGAAAAGUGCUUCACAGCACGUGAUGAUCUACAUCCGUGGCAUCAACGAUUGGGACACAUGAACAUCACGAAUCUUGCCAAUCUUGUCGACAAAGAAAUUGUCAGAGGAGUGCCUAAAGUCAAGGGAGUUGAUAACUCGGUGUGUGGACCUUGCACUCAAGGCAAGCAAGUUAAAGUGCAACACAAGAGAGUACCUGAUGUACAGUCAAAAGCAGUUCUUGAUCUAGUCCAUAUGGAUCUAAUGAGACCAGUACAAACCGAGAGUUUGGGUGGCAAGCGCUAUGUGUUCGUCCUUGUGGAUGACUUCUCUAGGUACACCUGGGUUAGGUUCCUUUGAGAAAAAUCUGAGACAGCUGAGAGCUUCAGAAUAUGGGCGCUGCAACUCUUGAAUCAGCGCGGUAGAAUAAAGAAUAUCCGGAGUAAUCGUGGCGGCGAGUUUCAGAAUGAAUUCAUGAAACUUUUCUGUGAAAGUCAUAGCAUUGCUCAUCAGUUCUCAGCACCUAGGACACCACAGCAGAACGGGGUUGUAGAAUGGAAUAACAGAACACUACAGGAGAUGGCACGAGCAAUGAUGCAUGGGAACCAAGUGUCAAAGAAGUUCUGGGCUGAAGCAGUCAAUACGGCUUGCUACAUCAUAAACCGAGUCUACGUCAGAAAGGGAACCAGUAAGACACCUUAUGACUAUGGAAAGGGAAAACCCCUAACUUGAGUUACUUUCAUGUCUUUGGUUGCAGGUGCUACAUCCUUAAUGACAAAUACUAUCUUGGGAAGUUUGACUCAAGAAGCGAUGAAGGGAUGUUUUUGGGAUACUCGGGAAAUAGCACUGCAUUCAGGGUCUUCAACAUCAGGUCAAAAGUACUGAUCGAGUCAGUGAACAUGGUGUUUGAUGACUAUGCUCGUACCAAGUGGGAAGGAACUGCUACUGGCAGUGACUCGGACGAAGAAGAAGAAAAUCAACCAGCAGCUCCCACUGGAGAAGGUGAUCAAGCAGUUGUGGUUCCAACAUCUGAUGUUCAGCAAGUUCACAGGAAUCACUCACCUUCGAAUCUCAUUGGUGAUGUGAAUGAAGGAAGAAGGACUUGUGGAGUUCAGUUGGACUUCAAAAAGAUGGUUGGGAAAUUCUCGGAGAUGGUUCUAUUUGCAUGCUUUGUCUCUGUCAUUGAACCCCGAGACGUGAGACAGGCACUUGGUGAUGAAUUCUGGAUCAUUGCCAUGGAACAAGAACUAGAGCAGUUCGUGCGUAAUUAUGUGUGGAAACUUGUCCCAAGACCCCUUGAAGGCAAUGUGGUGGGAACAAAGUGGAUCUUCAAGAACAAAAUCGAUGAGAAUGGGGUUGUGGUUCGCAACAAAGCAAGGCUAGUUGCACAAGGGUUUUCACAAGUCGAGGGAGUCAACUUCGAAGAGACGUUUACCCCUGUAGCAAGACUUGAAUCAAUCAGACUGUUCUUGGGGAUGGCCUGUAUCCUAAACUUUAGGGUAUAUCAGAUAGAUGUCAAAAGUGCAUUUCUUAAUGGAGUGCUCCAAGAAGAAGUGUAUGUGGAACAGCCAAAAGGGCUCAAAGAUGCUCAGUAUCCACAACAUGUGUACAAGUUGAAGAAGGCGCUUUAUGGCUUGAAGCAGGCUCCACGAGCGUGGUAUGAGAGACUCACUGGAUUUCUGGUUGAACAAGGAUAUGUUAGAGGAAGUGUUGACACGAUCUUGUUCAUCUAUGAGCAGAAUGGGCAGAUCAUAAUUGUGCAAAUCUACGUGGAUGACAUUAUCUUUGGAGGAACUGCUCAGUCACUUGUGGAUCGAUUUGUCACAAGCAUGACUCAAGAGUUUGAAAUGAGCAUGGUUGGUGAACUGCGGUACUUCCUGGGUUUGCAAAUAACUCAGUCUGAAGAUGGGGUCUUUAUCUCACAAAGCACCUAUGCGAAGAACUUACUUACAUGAUUCAAGCUUGAUCAGUGUAAGGAAGCUAAUACUCCAAUGAGUACUACAGCCAAGCUCACUUGGGAUUAAGAUGGAACAGAUGUUGACCCCACAGUUAUCUAGGGAUGAUUGGAAGCUUGUUGUAUCUCACAGCAAGUAGACCAGACUUUUCCCUAAGUGUGGGCAUCUGUGCUCGAUAUCAGGCGAAACCCAAGCAAUCACAUCUUGAAGCAGUGAAGAGAAUCAUCAAGUAUGUCAAAGGGACAGUCAAGUUGGGAAUCUGGUACUCCAAAAGAUCGAACAAGCACUUGGUGGGAUACUGUGACGCAGGAAGUGCAGAUGAUCGGAAAAGCACAAGUGGAGGUUGUUUCUUUCUUGGGAACUAUCUAAUCUCGUUGUAGAGUAAGAAAUAGAACUCUGUCUCACUGUCUACUGCAAAGGCCGAAUACAUUGCUAUGGGGAGCUGCUGCAGUCAACUGUUGUGGAUGAAGCAGAUGUCCGCAGACUAUGAGAUGGAUUCUGGGCCACUACUGGUUCACUGUGACAACAAAAAUGCUAUCAGUAUUUCAAGGAAUCUGGUGCAGCAUUCUAGGACCAAACACAUCAAUAUAAAGCACCACUUCAUUCGUGAGCUAGUGGAGGAGAUACAGGUAGUGAUAGAACACAUUGUCACUGAUUUGCAACUGGCUGAUUUAUUCACAAAACCCCUGGAUUUUAAUCGUUUUGUCACCUUAAGAAACUCGAUUGGGGUUUGUAGUAUGUGAUUUUUUGUGAAGUGUGCAGGACUGAUGCAAAAACUGACUCGAGGGGACACUCAAGGUUUAGAUUCAGUCUGGAGUCAUGGAUCUAGUGGAAAAGAGCUAUCUCAACAACCGUCGUACCUUAACGACAGUACAGGUUUCAUGGAGUAGAAGGGAAGCUGAGCUAGUUUCGGAGAAGUCAAGUGAUGAAACUAGCUCAUUGCACUCAAACCAGAAAGGGAGGAAUGAAUAAAUAAAAAAAAUUUAAAAAAAGGAGGGGCUGCUUGCAAUUAAAAUUAGUUGAUCCCCUCAAAAGGUAGAUCCUCCCCUGGUACUGAAAGCUUCCUUCACCCGUGAAUAAAGGUUGAAAACUAGAAAAUGGGUCGAUAAAGGUAGUUGGGUGUGAAAGCUAGCCCGUGAAUCAGGAUGGCCAGACUCUUAUGAAUCAUAACAAGCUGAAGGUGUCUCGUGAGUCAGAGGCUGUGUCUAGUUCCGGUGCACUUCAAAGAAAAUGGUAAAAAUAUGUACAAAGCAUUGUUUUCAAAGCCAGCGCAUAGGUGAUAGUUCAAUUGUCACUAUUUGUUCUCUAUCAUCGGCUUAUGUGUGAAAGUGUCCGUGAAUAUUGAUGGUCUAAUGCGUGCGUGUUUGAUUCAGUAUGUGUUCGAGUGCUUUUGUCACGUGUGAAACAGGAAAGUGGGCAGGGAAUUUCGAGGCCUUGAUGAGUUUGUGAAAACAUCUGUGAGAUGGGCUUGUUGCGAGAGAACAGCCCACAAAAGACAAUGGAAAUUGAAAAGACGUGGGAAAAUAGAAAGUGGGGGAGUUAUUUACGGGGAGUGGGGAUCCGAAAAAUCAGCACCACUUCCUGUUUUAAACCCUAAUUAUCUUCCUACAAAAGGCGAAUCACAAAGAGAGACAUCAAUGGUGAGAGGAACUCGAAGGGGGCUAAUUGGUGUCCGAUCUAAAGCACAGAUGACGCAUGCAGAUGGCGAUGCUCAGAGGCCUCAUCUAAUCGAUGAGCACAGUGGCGAGAGUAUGAAUCCAACUGAGGCGGUUCCUGAUCAAAAUCCCGCGGCAUCCAUUGGUCCAGCAGAUAGUGCAGGCUCUUUUGCCACCGCAAAUGAUGGAGAUGCGCAGAGUGGAUCGUCGGCGAACCCUAAAGAGAAGGCGGAUGGCGGAGAAACCAAGGCCAACUCGGAGGUUACCCAGAAAAUCAAGAAUGACGAGGAAGAGGCUGACGGUGGCGAGAGCAAAAAAGCUGUUGAGGUGAAUCUCUCUGUGCCACAAGAAUCGGCGAAUCCGACCGCCGAUCCGGUUCUGAUCACAAUGACUCAAGAGGAGGCGACAGCAUCUCCCGCUGAAGCAUCACCUACCUCGAUCUCCGUGAAAGAGCAAGCUGCAAAAGUCGAACGCAAAAGAAAUACAAUGAAGGCUUUGGGACUUCCAGCUCCGUCAAAGAAACCCAAAAGUGAGCCGUCUCCAGUUCCAAAAGCAGAACCGGAGCCAGUCCCUGACUCGGUGCCAUGAAAGCGGACCAAAAAGGCUCGAUCUCGCAAAGAACAGCCGUCUCCUGAUCAAGCAAGGUAUGAUCACUUUGCUACACGACAACUUUGGUGUGAGAGAACUGUCGAUGUAGGUGAAACAGAUGAAUGGGGAUACAUCAAAGUGAAUAGAGACAGCGGUUUAGAAUCAGCGGUUGUAGGGAUCACUUUGUAUGUACCGCAAGUGAUUCAGGAGUUCUAUGCUGGGCUUCCGGGUGAGCUACCCUCUGAUCCAGAUCAAGAGAUUCGUGUCAAGCUGAGGGGUUUUGAGUAUUGCUUCUCUCCUGCGUGGAUCAAUCGGGUCCUCAAUCUGACUCCACUUAGCGAGGCUGAAGUUCACGAUGAGUCAGUUGCUGAAGCAGUCUCUCUGUCUGAUAUUGCCAAACACUUGUCGAAAGGAGGAAGUGGUUGGAGUGGGCUGAGCACGAGGAAUCUCCCACCGGUUUUUGCUUCAUUGAUUGUUAUUGCGGCGUACAACUGGAUUCACUCAACCAACAAGAAUCACAUUUCUGAGGAGCGUGCUCGCCUGCUGUACAAGCUGAGUCAUGGUGUGAGGGUGGACUUCGGAAGGCUGGCUUUCAAACAUAUUAUUCUAAUGAGCAAGAUCAUCAAAAAAGACACUCACUGGCUGGUAUUCCCGUGUUUGAUACAGAAGAUUAUGAACCUUCAACACGAGCCUUAGCUGGGUCAAGGAGAGACUCACAUUGUCCCAUUUUGAUACAAAAAAGACUCACGCAGUGGUGAGGAGUUCAUCAAGAAAGAGGCCGCAGCUGCAAAGAAGGAUAAGAAGAAAGGGAAGCAAAGGGCUGAUGCACCGAGAUCUCCAACUCCUCCACCUCAGUCGUCUCAACAGCAACCUGAGCCAUCACCGAGUGUGCCACUUCGGUCCUUCCGCUCACCACCUCCUGAUGCAUCCUUCAGGUCAUCCGACUCUGCUCCUGGUCGGACUCAAAGUGCUCCUCUCGGAGUGAUUUGUGUUCCUUUGGCACCAGAAAGUGCUAAUGAAGUCACAUUGGCCUUAUGGGAUGUGAGUCGUGUGCUUAACCAUCUCCACGGAAUAGUCAACAUGGUGAUUGACUCAUUUGCAAGUAAGUUUUCUGACUCUGACUUGUUUCUUAUUUUAGGUAUUGAUCCCUGUUUUUACUUUCGGUGAUCACAAGCAGGAGGAGAAAACAUGUGGGAAGAAAUUCUACGAGAUGAUGCAGGAGAUGAUGCGGGUGCUUAAAUUGUGGGGGAGUUUGUGUAAUAAUCUAGUUUCUUGUUUCUGAAUUAGGCUAAGUUUGUGGGGGAACGUGUAUUUUGCUCUGAAAACUCUUGUUCGCAGCAUUUGAUUCAAGACUCUGUGUUUGACGUUUUCUUUUCAUAUGAAAUGCGUUCUGUUUGUCUUGGUACUUGGUUGGUCUGUGGUUGUUUGUGUGCUAUGUCUGAAAACAGGUGCUUCUGAGUCACACGAAGCUAAAAUGGGGGAGAUUGAAGGUGUAGCUGUACUUGAAGCAGUUGCUGUACCAGAUGAAGUGAAGGAUGGAAUGCCACAAGCAUGAAGUACGUGACAAGCGAAGCAUUUGGAAUGAUGAGCUGGACGAGUAGCUGAGCUGGACCAGUAGGAAUGGGAGUAUUGGAAAGAAAGCAAAGCUGGAUGAGAAUAAAGGAGCAGAUCAGGAAGAAUGGAAGAUUUUCUUAAACAUGCAAAAGUUUAAAGAAAUAGGAAAUAUGCACCAAGCGACAAAAAUGGAAGCUGUGGUGUAGGGUUUUCGGCGUGUAUAGCAGCUUAGUCUACUAGGUAUAAGUAGACUUGAAGCAUUGUAUAAGCUUAACACAACUACUAGAGAGCACUUAGCAUAAGGGUGAGAGAUUCGAGUAUUAGGGUAUGCAUCAAGGGUUAAAGGUUUUUCUAGGGGAGUUCUGAGAUCAAGUACAGAUCGAAGAACAGAGAGAGCUAGAGCGACAGAUCAAGGUGUGUCUUGAGUCUGUUCUAAAUCGUGUUACAAAUUUGUAAGGUGUGUUAACAGAUUUACUAGCAAUAAAGUUCAGUUAAAGGAAAAACUUUAUGUUAAGUUGUGAUGUUGUUUUUGAACUAAAACUCUUGCGUUUACAACAAGUUCCUCUAGGCUCAGCUAAACCAAUUCUCUUUACUUAGUUGUUUUUAGUAGUUGAUCUCGACUGGGUGAAAACCGACCCUAACACUUUCCUUGAGUUUGUCUUGAGGAGAACCAUGUUCUCAGUCCAUCCUCAUAUCUCCUAUCUCCAUUACUUUGAAUCAAACAUAUAGUUGAUUUCUGAUAUUGUUGUCGAUUAGCUUGAUGAGUUGGUACUUUUUCGAAGGUUUCUCCCAAGUCAACAACGUUUCCCCACUCGCAUAAAAACUAAUCUUUCAAUAGUCUCGUUACCAAACCAUCCCAACCUAAUUCAGGUUUGGCUUAUCAUAUAAAUUACAUCCAUUUUUGAACUGUCAAAACCUAAUUUAGGGAAUUUCAGUAAUAAUAUAUAGUUUUUUGGUGUGUCAAAUCAUAUGAGAGAACCUUUACGAUAUAUAUGUUUUAACCAAGAGUGAUCCCGAUAUUUACCACUCAACUAAUCCAACAAUUCCCAAGGGACGAGUGUAGCCGUGAAGUAAUUCAUUCACAAUUUUUUUUUUUUUACAUCUAAUUCACCUUUAUUAGUUAUCAAAAUUACAAUCGUUAAUUACAGUACACUACAAGAAAACAGCAGGUAUUCCUACGAAAGAUAUCAUCAGAAAAUGGUAGGAAACAGGCAUUUUCUACCAAUUUCCGACGAAAAUGUUUUGGUAAGUUCUAUGCCGUCGGAAAUUAUAAAUGGUCAGAAAAUGAUAGGAAAUUUCCUACGAAAUUUUUGGUCGGAAAAUUUCAUCGGAAAAUUUGGUCAGAAUAUCGUAGGGCAUUUGCUACUAUUUUCCUUCCAUUUUCUUUUGAAAAAAUCCAACCCUUUUCCUACGAACAGUUUUCUAUCAUAUUCCUACCAUUUUCUUACUAGCUAUAUAAAAAAAUUUUAAUUCAAUUAAUUACAAAAUUAAAUAAUUUCAAUUAUUAAACAAAUUAUAAAAAUUAAAUCCAAAAUUAAUCAACCUAAUUAAAAACUAAUUAGAAAUUAAUUAUAACUAAAUAUGGAACUUCUAAAGCCCAAAUUAUUUUUAUUGACUCAGUAUUUUUUAUACUUAAAGCAUGUGUCUAUUUAUAGAGUCUUUUCAGCAUCACCUGCUUGGUCGAUGUGGGAUUUUUCCCAUUUUCCUUUUUGACUGAUUUUGGUAGGAAAUUGAUAGGAUAUUUAAAUAAUAAAAUAUUUAUUUUUCGUAGGAAAUUGAUAGGUAAUUUCUUACAUAUUAUAUUCGUAGAUAAGUGGUCAAAAAUUUCUGACAAAUUUCCUACCAUUAUUACAGUAAAUUUUUUCCACCGAUUUCCUUCCAUUUUCUGAUCAGAUUUCCUACGGAUAUUUUUUUGGUUGAAUAUUGGUAGGAAAAUUUUGACCAUUUUCUGACGAUUUUUAUCGUAGAAACUUUUCUUCCAAUUUCCUACCACUUUUAUUUUUUGUCAUAAAUUCGUAGGAAAAUGAUAAAAAAAAAUUUCUACCAAAAUUUACGUAGAAAAAUUUAUAGGAAUUCAACAUGUUUUCUUGUAGUGGUAUGUUGGAGGAAUCGAGGACAAGUGUGGUACAAUGACCAUUGAGUAUUACAUAAUAAUGCUUGUUUAGCCAACAUAUCUGCCCAUUGAUUUGCUUCUCGGUGUCGAAAGGUGAAGCUCACUUCAGCGAACAUUUUUUCCAGCUUUUGAUAGCCUCUAUGUAAUGGUGGAGACGCAAAUUAUUUCCUUGCCCAUUGAUGAGUCGGAUAAUGGUUAGAUUAUCUCCUUCAAAUUCCACUUUUUGAAGGAAUAUUUUCAUAUUUUCAUUCACAAUAUUUUCUAAUGGGUCUAAAAAAUGGCACCAUUUCAAUUCGUCAAAUGAAAAUGGUUAGAUAAUUAUAAGUUUGUUGAGAAUUCUUUCUUUAUGGUACUUUGAUAUAUUUAGUGAACUUUGCAAGUAUUGUGUAUGAAUAACCUCAGUAGAGUUUCUUUAGGUUCUCGUUGUACUAUUAAGAAAACAAAAUUUCUCAUCGUGAACUUUGCAAUUUGUGAAUAUUUAGUUUAAAUAUUUUUUCUUUUUUGUAAGACCCUAGAGUACGAAUAAUUAAAUUGCAGUAAUAUAAAAAAACCAAAGACAAUAACAUAAAGUACAGACGAUUUUAUUAUGCAAAGAGUGAAGAUUACAACUCGAACACAGAGACAUACAUUAUUAAGUUUAUUCUCAUAGUUUCUUUUCUUAAACUUGAGUCACUUCAUUACAAAUGCACCAAUGUUUACUUAGAGUCAUACACACGUAUGUGCAUAUAUGAGACUUAAAAGUAUAUUUCAUAGAUUUUAAUGACCGGGCUGAGUCUGAACAGCUUCUGCUCCGUGUCCCCCGCGUCCACCAUGGCCUCCUCCUCCAUAGUGUCCUCCUCCUCCGUAGUGUCCUCCUCCUCCUCCGUAGUGUCCUCCUCCUCCUCCUCCGUAGUGUCCUCCUCCUCCUCCUCCGUAGUGUCCUCCACCGUGUCCUCCUCCGUGUCCUCCUCCUCCGUUGUAACCUCCAUGGCCACCACCAUAUCCAUCAGGUUUCUCAUUUUCCUCACUCUCUGACUUCACCGUGCCUGUUCCAAACACACACAAAAAAAAAACAAAAUUAUUUCAAAAAUAUUUUUAAGCACGUGCAAAUGUGCAUUCCUUUGCCUAUUUCAUAAUUGAACACUUUUAAAAAAUGUAUAGAAAUUCGGGAUAAUGAUGUAGUUGUAGUGACAGAAUUACUCUGAACAGCUUCUAGUCCAUGUCCCCCGCGGCCUCCAUGUCCCCCGUGGCCUCCUCCUCCGUAGUGUCCUCCUCCGUGGCCACCACCAUAUCCAUCAGGUUUCACAGUUUCCUCACUCUCUGAGUUCACCGUGCCUAUCCCAAAAGCGAAACCACAUUAUUUUAUAAAUAUUGUUAGUACGUACAAAUGUGCAUUCCUCUCCCCAAUUUCAUAAUUAAAUUUCUCUUAAAAACUUUCUAAAAUAUGUAUAUAAUUCCGAUCUCUAGUUAUAAAAAAAAUGAGUUCAACAUUAAAUAUACGUUUUAUAUAAAUUGGCGUCAAGCAUCUAAAUAGUUUGGGAGGGUCUAAUAGGUAUAAGAGCAUGUACAUCAGUGAACCCUUAAAAGAGGGGUUUAACAGAAUAUAAUAACAUUUUUUUUUUGUUUUAGUUUUUUUUUUUUUUAAUUCGAAAAUUAUAAUUUUCGACCAUGUUUUAUUUGGGAUGAUACCGUCUCUUCAGGUUCGUCGGGAUGAUACUGUCUCUUUAAUAUUAAGAUCUUUUGUCUCAAAAACCGUGCCAUGAACCCCUCUUGAUCCUCUGAUGUAGAUGCUCUAAGAAGGACUAAACGUCAUAAGUAAGCGUAAGUGUCUUUUCUUACUAGGACAUCAACAUGAUACUUAAGUGUGUUUAUGACUUAGUGAGUCCAAAUAAUUGACCAUCGUUCACCCCAACUUUUCGCAUUUAAAACGGACGAGAUAGUUGGACAAAAUUAUCAAAUGGUACGUUAGUCCGGUUAGAUUAGCUUCACGAUAAUUUUUUUGUUUUCUAUAAAAUAAUUUUACGUACCCGACUGCCUUGCUGAGACGACGAGAAGAAAUGCAAACACACCCAACAGAAGCAAAGUCUUGGAAGCCAUUUUCUUCAAACUGCUUAUAACACUUUUAAUUUGUAUAUAUGGAGAAAGAAGUGAUGAAUAAAAUGUUAGCCUGCAUGCUCUCUAUUUAAGGAAAACGAGGAGGGCAGAAUGAGGAAAAGUCAAAUAAAUAAUUCGUAGUGCAGUGAAAAGAAGUAUUUUUUUAAUUAAAAGCAAAAGGGAGAUUUAGUGUAUCACAAAAUUUAGAGAAAUUGCAUUGUUUGCAGAUAAAGACACACUUUUUAGUAGCAAAUAAAUAAAACUAUAUUUCUUUGCGCAAGCGAACAAAAGGGAGUUGUAUUAUUCUAGAAGAGUUUAGAUCUAAUUUAUACCCCCCAAAAAAUAUAGUUUAGAUAUCUUUAUCUGUAUCAUGCAAUCUUUCUUUGUAAACAUCUUGAAUAGAGUUAAUAUAUGUUACGUGAUUUAUAUUAGAUUGCAUGAAACAAAAAAUACGUGAAACAAAGUGUUUCGAAAAGGAUAACAAUUUUAAAAAUGAUAGGAAACGUUUGCUUUCGGAAACAUAUAUUAUAUAUAAAACAUCAAAAUCAUAUGAAAAACAAAACGAAACAUUAAAACCAAACGAACUUUAAUACUUAUAUAUCAAACAGAUAAAUAAAGAUACAAAUCCAAACGUGGUAAGAAGAUAACGAAAUUUUCAUAUUUUCGAAUUUACUUCAUCUAUCCUACAAAUAAGAUGGUAAGACGAUCGAUAAGUAUGAUCAAAGUAUAUCUGUAUCCGUUGCGUCGAUUCCCAUAUGGUGGGUUGUUGGAUUGUGAUUUGUGAAAAACUUUAACCUCAAUAGUCUUUUAGAUAUUUCUUAUCAACGUCUUUAAACAUAGGAACCAUCGGACAAGUAUUGAACUAUUGAUAUGUAAGAAUUACAUUAUUGGCCAUAACUGGUAUUAUUGUUACAUUAUUAUUACUAUAAUUUGGACACAAAAUUAGUCCACUAUUUGUACUUUAACUCUUUAAGGAUCUUCUUUGAAAAUCUCAGCCGACAGGUUUUUAAGCAGACGGAUAAAGAAUUAAUACGAAGUAAUUACUAAGAACUUACCUUUAAAGGGUGAAAUUUUGCUUGGCUAUAAUUUAUUCAGGCCUACAUCGAUAAAAAAAAAUAAAAAUCAUUCCAGUGACCUAAGUGUAAAGGAGCUUGAGAUAUACGUGUUGAGAAGAUGAGCAUUAUUAAGUGUACAGAAUGUAGCUGCCGUCCUAAUUAUAAUAAAAUAGAAGUUAAUCCGCACAUUGUAAGGGAUAAUGUUUUUUUAAUUAUUUUUAAAUUUAAUUUAAUUUUUUUUAGUUAAAUUAAAAUUGGUGGCAAAAAUAUUUUAACAAAAAAUAUAAAUAAACAAAAUUAAUAAAAAUUAAAUAAUAUAUAUAUAUAAAUAUCACACAACCGAUAUUUAUUUGUAUAUAUAUAUAUAUUAUAGAGUAUGACUUUGAGCUAAUUUUGUUAUGCAGUUUAAUUAUUCAUAAAAUAAGAAUUUAAUUUUGAAUAUUUUAUUAGAGAUUAAACUAUUAUUUUUAGUUAAUAAAUUAUAAUAUAUGUUAAUAAUAAUUAUAUAUAGGAUUAGACAAAUUCGUCUAUUUAAUUUAUUUUAUAAUUUUUAAAAUAUUAUUUCGACCAAUCCGCAAAAAAUAGAUUUUAAACUUUAAAUUAUAUUUUAUUUUUUAUAAUAAUAAUUGAAUUGAUUUUCAAAAAUGAUGCUAAUUAAUUAUGAAAAUACAAAUGAAAAAUAUUGCAAAAUUUAAAUAGUUUUUCAUAUAUAUGGAUUGAUUAUUAUUUAAAAUAAUAGAAUAUAUUUUAACAUUUUAAUAAGUAAAAAGCAAAAUACAUUUUUUAUUUAUAUCCAUAUAUAUUCAAAACAAAUAUGUGAGCUAUAUAUUUAACUAUCUCUUGUGAAGAAAUAUUUAAUUAAAAAUUUUAUAUUUGUAAAAUUUAUUUAUUUAAUAUCUUUUAAGUAAAGGUUUAUUUAUGUAAUAUUUUAUAAAUAAAUAUUUAUUUAUGUAAAAUAUUCUGUAAUAUCUUACAAAUAAAAGUUUCUUUAUAAAAUGUCUAUUCAAAUAAUAAUGUAGAGAUGUAAUUUAAUUAAAGUCUAAUUGAUAUGAACUUCAUAAUUAUUAUAAAAAUAUGAUCAAUUCCAUGCGAGUGAAAAAGAUUUACAUAGUUAUCGUUUAUUUCUCAUACAAAACUAUUUUAAUUUUAAAGAGUAAAACGUAGCAGAAAAUGAAAACUGGAACUUUUUUAGAAUAUGACAGCUAGUUUUAAAAAUGGGAGAUGGCUACAAUACCGUUUCAAAAUAAUAGAUUAAAACUUAAUCCCAGAUAUCCGACUUGUUGAUGGUUUCUAUUUGCUUACGCACACUAAAUAUAUUAACACUCAAGAGAGGGAAAGUGUAAAUUGUAUUAAUGAAAGUGUUAGUGAACCGUAUUACAUUAAUUCCCUUUUAUAUACCAACUAGGUUAAGAAUAAAUACAUAUAUGUUAAUACAUCCCUCUCAAACCGAAUCAACCUUAGGUAGAAAGAGGUUUGAUAAUAAUACACGACUAAGCAAAAAAUGAAAUGGACCUAGAUGCAAAGGCUUCGUCAACAUAUCAGCAAGCUGAUUCGAAGUAGAGACAUGAAGAACAUUUAGGAAGCCAUUCUUCACCUGAUCUCGGGUUAUGUGGGAAUCAAUUUCCACAUGCUUAGUUCUCUCGUGAAAUACAGGGUUAUUGGCAAGAUUCAUAGCUGAUUUUUUUUAUCACAAAACAGGUUGGCUUCAGAAGUUACCGGGAUAUGAAGAUCAGUCAGUAAUUGGUGCAGCCAAAGUAACUCUCCCGUAGUAACAGCCAUGCUCCGAUAUUUGGCCUCCGUGCUGCUUCUAUUAACCAUUUCCUGUUUCUUGGACUUCUAGGUGAUAAGAGAUGUUCCAAGAAAUACACACAGACUCGUUACAGAACGACUGCAUCUGAAAAUCCAUUCAAGCAUAACUCUGUAGUAGCAUAAUAGAAAAAACCUUAGCCCAGAUUUUCUUCAAAUAUUUAAGGAUCUGGAAAGCAGCUUGAAAAUGAACAUUAGUGGGGAAAGACAGAUACUGACUCCACUGAUGCAGCGCAAAAGUGAUAUCAGGACGAGUAAUGCAGAGAUAUUGCAAUCGACCAAUCAAUUCGCGAUAUGAAGUUGUAUCAGAAAGAGACGUACCCGCGGACUGGAUCCAUCAAAACUGAUUUUGGUUUAUAACCAAGGAGACCAUAAUCUUCAAUAAGAUCCAAGCAGUAUUUCCUCUGUGAAACAGAUAACCCCGAAGCAUUCCUUGCAAUCUCAAGACUCAAGAAGAAAUGAGCUUGGCCAAGAUCUUUGGUCUUGAAUGGGAUUGUGAUAUAUUCAUAUCAUUUCGUGUUUAGGAUGCAUUUUUGGUCCAAGAAUAGAGCCUCAUGCAUACAUUUUAGAUAGAUUCUUCAUGUUUUCUUUGUUUUAGAGGUUUAGGACUUUGCAUUAGGUCCAAGUGAGUCUUGCAUGUUUGGAGUGUCAAUCAGGUGCUUUGGAGGUCAUCUGGAGAUGAAAAUAUGGAACCAGGUGAAGAAAUGGUGAAAGAAGGGCAAGAUAUGGUAAAAAUGAGGUUUUGGAGGUUAUCGGCAAAAUUGCUUACUGCGGGAAGAUUUUUAUCGGCCAAAAAUCAUUCCCGGGAAGCAGUUAUCGGCCAAAACAUGUACCAGACCAAGUCUGUAUCGGCAAAAAUCCUUUGUCGUGGGAAAAAAUGUUUAUCGGCUAAAAUACGUACCGCAGUACGUAACUUAUCGGCCAAAACGUGAAUUAUCGGCCAAAAGUUUCCCGACCCGAUAUGCUUCAAAGAUGCCUUUACCAGAAAGCUUUCUCGUCCGAUUCAGUUUCUAGUGUUUUCACAAACGUUCAAGAGAAUUGAGUCACAAUUCCAGAACAGUUGGAAUCAAUGGAUUUGGAGCAGUGAGCUGAAAGAUACGGCCAACAGAAGAUGAAUCUGCCUCGCAUCCAUUCUGGUCAUAUCCGAUGCGACUCAAAGAUCACUCAGGAUGAAACUCUUCCCUUCCAAUCUAGUUUCCGGGGCUCUAUCAAGAUUUGAGAGAUUCGAGUCAUAUUUCCAUAACGCUUAGAAUCAUUCCAUUUGGAGUGUUGAGUUGGGAGAUAUCGCAUUCGGGAGACAGACAUGCCCUGCAGUAAGAAACUAGAACCUCCCGAGCCAAUGCAAUGAUCCGUUUACCGGAAGGCCUCUCUCACCCGGGAUGCACUUAAGUUCUUCAUCAAAGUUGUAUGGAAUUGAGCUGCCUUUCCUCUGGAGUUUCUCUCGAGUCAUUUAGACUCAUAUCCCACAAGUUAUGCUAGCUCAAGUAAACAUAGAUCCGAGGAAAUGAGAAAUGCUGCGACAUGGCUUUGCGACUCGGUCAACUUGCAGCGAUGAAUGUUUAAAUUCUGGGAGCAAGCUGAGACUUGAAAUGAUGCGGGUGAGGUGACUCGGAGCAGGGUAAGGAUUUCCAAAGCUCAAAUAUUUCUAAGUCCAGAACAGCCUAUGACAUGGCAGUGCGAGAUUGAUGAUGAGAUGAACCAUGUCGCACACACACUCGCUUGGGGCCGCGACAUGACAGUGCGAGAUGGAUGAAGAGAAGUAACAUGUCGCACUCCUACUCUCUUGGGGCUGCGAACGUGAAGCUGUGAGUGGGAAAAGAAGGAUUUAAGCUGCAAGUACAAUUGCUUGAAUGAUACGACAUGAAAGUGCGGCUGAAGAAGCAAGGGAGCUGAGACGUAACAACAUUCACUUGGGGCUGCGAGAUGGCAGUGUAGGUGAACUGAAGCCAGGACCAUCUCGCACCAUGGCCACAUGACCCAACUGAACCAGGUCAGUACACAGUUUGUCUUGAGCUGACCCGCUCCAAAACACUUAGUAUAAAUAGCUUUUAGGGUUUUUUUCCAAAGAACAUCUCAUUUUCCUUUAGGUUUUUAGCCACUUUUGUGUAAGAGACAACUAAAGAGAGAUAUCUCCUUUCUUUUCUUUGAAUCAAAAAUGUUUGAGAGCUUAAUCUAUCUAUCUUAUCAUCAUUACUAUUCAUCAUCUUGUUUUCUCUAUCAACUAAUCAUGUUUAAUUACUUUUCUUGCAAAGGAAUCAGAGAGUUAAUCAUGAUUAGUGAGUAGUCGCGUCAUUAGGGUUCUAGAUAUGUAAGUUAGGGUGUUUAGAGGUUUGAUUAAGGCUGCUUAGGAUUAAAUUUAUACAUCUCUGUCUUGUUUAGCUGAUUUUAAUGCUUGGUUAUAGAUGAUCUCUCUAACCCAGAUUUUGGGCAUUUCAUCUACCCAAAACGUGUUUGAUGAAAUGCCUGAACCAGCUAAGUCAAGAGUCUAUUGUUUGAUUCACAUGAAAAUGUUGUUUUGAGCAUAGAUGGUAUAUUAGGAUUCGUGUUUAAUGCAUUCCUUUCAUUGUGACUCUAAUGAUGAUUAGGUAUGAGCAAUGUUUGGUAUUGUGUUUUGAUGCUUGAGAAAUAUUGAAACUUGAUUUGAAUCCUAAGCUGCUUAGAUCAUUCAUCAUCAUUGUCAUUAGCUCCUUGAUUAAACUAUGAUGCACCCUAGAAACUAUCAUGUCUAGAGCUCUAAGUUUCAUCAUAUUCAUAUCAUCUUAAUCAUUUUCUGUCUUUAUUUAUUGCUUGUUUAAUUCUUUAAUCUUGUUUAAUUGCAAUUCUGUCACUUGUUUGAAACUAAAACAUUUUGUUUGUUUGAAUUAAGAAUAGUUCAUAUAGAUUAGUGAACUAAACACCACACCUUGGAUUGAUAACCUUUGUACUACAACAGACAAAGGGAUUGAUACCCUAAGAGCCUUGAAAAAUCUUGUCUACCAUAUUGAGAGAAUCUUCUAAAUAGACUUGACAGCUUCAUCAUCAUUGCUCGCUAUAAGGAUGUCAUCGACAUAGAUCAGGAGAUAAAUAAAUAAUGUACCUGUUAGCUUCACAAAGAGGGUGUUAUAUGCAUAAGACUGUACAAAUCCGGCAUCAAGUAAGACCUUCGACAAACACUUGUACCAUUAACGAGAUGUCUGCUUCAAGUCAUAGAUGGAUUUAUCAAGUUUGCAAACCUGAUUAGCAGGCAGAUGAACAUCAGCUGGAGUGUAACAUCGUGGCAAGCUCAUGUAUAUCUCCUCAUCGAGCUUACUGUGCAAGAAAGCAUUGGUUACAUCCAUUUGGGUUAAGCUCCAACCCAUUCAUGCGGCUAAACCAAGGAUAAGCUUCACACUGGCAAGCUUGGAAACUGGGAAAAGGUGUCAAAGUAAUCAACACCUUUUUGUUUUGUGUAUCCCUUUGCUACCAGGCAAGCUUUAUAACGCUCCACAUUUCCAUCUGCAUUAUACUUAAUGGUAAACACCCAUUUACAACCAACAACAUUUUCCCUCGGAGGCAAUGACACAACACUCCACGUAUUGGUUGACUCCAUUGCUCCGAAUUCCAAAUUGAAAGCAUCAGUCCAUUCUUUGGAUGAAAUCACCUGCUUAAAGGUGUUAGGCUCAGUCUCCAUUGAAAAAGAGAGAACAAUAGACUGAUAUGGGGUGUUAAGAGUAGAGUAAGAGAGAACAGAAGAAAGAGGAUAUGGAGUAGUAUAAACCUUUAUAGAAAUGGGAGGAGUAGAAAUUUUUGUUAAAGAACAAUGAUAAUUGGACAAAUAACGUGGUACUUUUGUCGAGUGUUUUAGCCUGGCAUUGGGAAGUGAAACCAGAGCAUUCUCUGUGACAACAGGGUGAUGGAUUUUCCUUGGAGCACUAGAGUGAGAUGAUGAUGCAUGUGAUGUAUAAAGCGGAGGAGAAUGGAUGGUCACAGUAGAUGAAGGAUGCAAAUUAUUAGGCAGUGAAAUCACCUAAUCUAAUGCAACAAGAAUUGGCAAUGGUAAUAUAAACUCUAAAAAAAUAUCAGAAGAUGAACUAGAAAGAAGAUGCUCAGUAAAAGGAAAUAUUGUCUCAUGAAAAACAACAUUUCGAGAAACAGAGAUAAUUUUUGAAUCAAGGUUCAAGACAUUAGAAUACCCUAAGAGUACACAUCGAUCCACACGAGGACUAAAAUUAUGUUUAUCCUUCUGUAACGUAGAAACAUAACAUAAGCAGCCAAAAGAUCUUAAGAAUAAGUAAUCGGGCUUCUUAAGCAUAACCAACUCAUAUGGAGAUUUGUGUUUAAGAAUAACAGAAGGUAAUCUGUUUAUCAAAAGACAACUCCAAAUGAAGAUCCGCUUGCGGCUAUAGCUAGAUCUGAGAGUUGCGAAUAUGCUUACAAAUUUUCAGGCUGAUCCAAUCCGAUUUGCCUGUCUGUUUCUCUCUUACACCAUAACAGGUCGGAUCUGCCACCUAGAUGGUUACAAUGGCUUCGCCUUUAAGGUUCUUGGCCACAAGAUAGCUCUCUGAUCUCUUCUAAGACAUGGCUGCUCUAUUUAUAGAGUGGAGAAGAGAUACUUCUAAAUUUAGAGUUUUAGAGAGGAAAAUAAUGAAAAUGGGUUUGAGAGUUUUUCUGAUGGGUUUUGAGUAAUCAGGCUGAAAAAAAAAAAAAAAAUUAGACCAAACCCUAUUCUUGGGAUGUCACAGAUUUAUUAGAGAAUAUAUUUACAUGAGUUUAUAAUUAUUUGUAUGAUAUUUACAUGAGUUUAUAAUUAAAUCGUACAUUAACAUAGCAUCGUUAUUGGAUAGUUAGUCGGAUCGGUUCAACCGGUCAUACGAAAAGUUUGUUUAAUAUAUAUAUAUAUAUAAGAAAAUAAGAAUAGUUAUUUUAAGAAAAAUAAAGAAAAUAAAAUUAAUUUCUUUUAAUUAUUUACAACUGCCAGCCAGCGAUUACAUCCGUCGCUUGAAGAAACUUAUUAUCUAAAUGAAUAAAUAAACUUUUAAUUUAUAGCGGUUCUAAGCGUCACAAAGAGAUAAGAAACAAGUUCAACGGUUUUAGUGAUUGUUAUUAAACGUCACGAAAAUAUAACCGUAUGCAAACAUAGCGUAUGUGGCUGGCAGCGAGAAAACUAUCCAACACUAAAUAUUACAUAUUUACUUUAAAAUUCAUGCCUGCUUAUUACCAAACCAUAUUUUUACCAAUUUUAAUUGUGACAUUUAAUGUCCGCACAUGCGUACAGGCCAGUCAUAAAUCUGAUAUAUUGCAUUCACAUCAAUUUGUGUGUAUUUUUGUUUUGAUAUGUCUUCUGAUUUUUUUCUGUCCUAUGUAACCAUUUUUUGAUAAUUUUAAUUGGUUGAUCAUUAAUCUUUACGUGUCUUUUAAAAGUGAUGUGGUAUAAUCGUUUUAAUUAGAUUAUUAAAGCUCGUUUAAGAUUGUCUUUUUAAAAACGACAAAAAAAAUCGGACAAAGUAAGUAAUAAAAAUAAAUGUAUGACCCAUAUAUUUGAAAGUGUCACUGGCCCAAUGGCAGAAGUCUCCCUUAUGCAUUUGAAGGACAUGUGUUUGAACCAAGGUGGUAACAAUUUUUUAAAAAAUCGUAGAAUUUUAAAACGACAUCGUUUUGAGUUAACCUAACAGUAACAGCAGAGUUAACAGCGUUUAACUUUUCUGUUAACUUUAUAAACGGAGUGCUGAUUUGGCAAGUCAACGAAAAGUUUGUUAUUAUUUAUGGAAGUCAACAAAAAUUAAAUGUUUAUUUGGCUAGCCUGACAGUUCAUGCUUUUUUUUGGCAAAAUGUGGAAAGUUUAAGGUUUUUUUGGCCGAAUUCUCAAAAUAAACUCAUUAAAGUUCGUUUAAAUUGUUUUUUUAACCAAUAAACAUUAAAACCUGUUUAAGAUUGUCUUUCUAAAAACCAAUUAAAGUCUGUUUAUAGUUGUUUUUAUUAAAACCAAUGAACUCAAAAAACCUAAUAUACUUCUUCGAUACACUAAAUAUAUAUAUAUAUAUCCUCUCUAACAUAGUUUGUCUUUUAAUGUUCUCUUUUUCGGUAAACAUUACAUUUGCUUUUUUCUAUUAAUUUUAUUAACGUACGCUUGAGUUUGAGUUUGUUGCUUGUGCUUAUAAAUUUUUUUGUAACAAUUCCUAAUCUUUUUAAGAUUAUGAUUGAAAAUGUUAGUAUAAACAACCAUAGUUUAAAAAAUAGCAUCAAUGUUCACAUACUCGUGAAACAAUGUAUAGCAUCAAGUCUAUCAAUUUUUUUGGUCUCUUAUUUUAGAUUUGAUGCGGCAAAAAGAUUGCUUUGGGAACCAAGUCUUUUUUUUUGUUGGAAUUAUCUUCUAUUCUUGUCAGUUUUUAUUUUUCAUGCAAACGUUGACAUUAAAAUCUCUUUGUUAGAUUUGAUACCAUAUUAAAUUUCAAAUCUGAAUUAAUCAUUAUAUUUAUACAUUAUUAUUAUGGAUGAGUUUAUUUUCGUUAUCUGUAGCCCAAACUCUCUUCCCACGAAAAAAACGAUUAAACCAAUAAUAUUUAUUAUAAACAGGCCGAUAGACUUUAGUAUAAACAAGUUUCAAUAGCCUAAUUAUAACAAAAUUUGUCACAUCGCUUUAAAGCACGUAUAGAAUUAAUGAACGAACAAAAAAUAAAUACAUGACAUGUCAGGACAAAACGACACAUAAGAUUUUGGACUUCACAAAUAAUAGUAACUAGGAAUUAACAUGCACAUUGUGCGGGGUAAUGUUUUUAAGAAUUUUAAAUAUUUUUUAAAAAAAUUUUGGUUAAGUUAAAAAUUGGUAGCAAAAACCUUUUAACAAAAAAUAUAAAUAAAUAAAAUUGGUAGCAAUUAGAUAACUAUAUAUAUAUAUAUAUAUAUAAAUAUCAUACAACCGAUAUUUACGUGUAUAUGUAUCUAUUGAAAGAACUUUGAGCUAGUUUUGUUAUGCGGUGUAAUUAUUAGUAGUUUUUAAAUGUGAAGGUGAUGUGAUGUUAAUAUAUUCAUACUUAUAUACUGCUGGGAUAAAUUCGAUCCUUCCUACAUGGACGAACUGCAUGCUUGCACGUGGCGUCCAUGUUUUUUUUUUCAGGUACGGCCCCCCUGGGCCAAAUUAGGAUCCGUAGUGGGUCGUAAGCAUAUAGCACUGGGCCUCGAAUCCAUAAGGAUUCGGGAGAUCCGGUACGAUAGAUCACUUGUUCCCGGGUUCCUCGUAUCUAAUAGUGCAGGCCACGCUGUCAGAAGUAAGGAGGUCGAAACUGAGUGGUCAAGAGGAGGAGAAGUCCCAUUUUCUAUGUCCUAGGCCUAAACAUGGUAAUCCGGAAAGGUCGAGAUAUAAGGUAGUGUGGCCUACACAGGAUCUGGAGAGCGGAGUCAUCCAUCGAGACAACCCCGACAGCCCGGUCCCAGUAUCGAGGGAUCCAUGUCAGGUAUGAAAUAAUUUUAUGAGCGGAAAACACUAUUCAAAUUUUCCUCCAUUCGAUAAUAGGAAUAUGCCUUAGUAUGAUUUGAUUGCCCAUACUCUUACAAAACCAUGAAAUUGGCAUUUAAUGCACCCUUCUUACAUGUGUCAGGCGACAGCGACCUUUCACAGAAACUAGAGGAAAAGAAGAGGUUCAUCAAGAGUUAUACCGCGUAUGAACCGCCAACCCAAUCCGUACACUGGAGACGAAAGGAACAUGCUAAGGAGCGGUCUCGCAGCAGGCAGAACACGUCAAGGAAAGUUGGUGAGACCGUCAGAGGUAUGACGUGGGAAAAAGAUUUGAACCCAAUAAAAUCGGAUCGAGAACCGACCAACCCACCCGACUCGCUAUGCAAGGACAGACCCGGUAUACUAACCCGGGUCAGGUAAAAUCCUAUAAAUACAUUAUCCUUUCCAACAAGGAAGGAGAUCACUUUUAUUUGCUAUCUUAAGGCUCAUAUUAUCUCUCUAGAUACUUGUGAUCUUUGAGCCCUAACAUAUUAUACUUUCCGGUCAUUACUCAGAACAAUGUUUUAGUUCUUCUCCACGGCGGUUCCUAAAUCGUGGAGUAUUUCCACCCACAAACUCUUUCAUUUCUUCUCUUUUAACUAAUUCUUUAUAAGGAACGCUGGGCCCAUCUUUCUUCUCUCGUUUUCCGAACUCUUUCCUCUCUCCAAUUAGUCACUCUGUGAUCUUUCUUCACUGUUUUCUGACUUGAACGUCGGAGAACCUUCCGAAAACACACCAUCAUCGUGUUUUUUGGGCCUUCACGUGCUUUCUGUUUUUGCAAGAGACUUACCCCCACAAAGGAUCAAAAAUCUCUAAAUAGUUUAGCGCUAGAAAGAGGAGGGCAACACUCUUCUAUAGGAAGAACUGAAACCAUACACGACCUUGAAGGUAUGUCAUGACAAGAGAAGACGGAGGUAGCUCACCAGAGAACGACACCUUGGAGGGGAUGGAAGGAGAGAACAUCUGCUGGGUCGACAGACCGACCAAGCUAUUCUCGGGAUGCCCGAUGAUAAGGGGAACAUCUUUGGUUCCCCACGCCGCCGCCAAACGCACACUCAGAACUCGUCCAGAGUGUAGAAGAAAAUGCCCUGUAAAAUUCCUUACAUCCAAAAACCUUAGUGAAAGUGUUGGCAAACUGGUCAUUAUAUAUAACAAAUGAGUUAAAGACUCGUGGGCAAUGCCCAAUAAAGUCUGCCAUGGAUUGGUCCUGUACAACAGUUUUUAUAUCAAUUAAAAAGUGCAGGCCUCGUAGGUUGAUCGAUUGCAGUUUGCGGAUUAAACAAUUGGGAUCUAUACUAGUUUCGGCAAAGAUAAUUGACAAGAACGUCCAAAACCGGCUAAGUGAAAGACAACGUCUUGGAGACCAAAAGUAUGAAAGAAGCCUCAUGUAUUGGUUUGCCACACACAAAAAAAAAACUAUUUGUUUUUAGUUUCCAUUUUAUAAAAAAAAACUAGGUAUUUAGCCCUUUUUUGCAUGGGCAGAGAAGUUUAUUAAAUAAUACUAGGAGAGAAUCCGCGCGUAUGCGCAGAUCUUGUUUUAAUUUAUAUUUUGAAUAAUUUGUAUUGAAUUUUAUGUUUACUAUUAUUGUAUUUUUGUUUAGAAUAUUUAUAAUAAAUUAUUUGUAAUCUCUUCUACACCAGUUGUGUCAAAUAGUCUAAUUUUUUCUUCGAUCUUCAUAUUCUUUUUAUUCUUGUAAAUCUUACUAAUAUAAUAUUUGUUAAUUUUCUUAAUUUUCUAUUUGAAUUUUUUUGGUUAUAUAUAUUUUAUUGAUACCAUCUUUUUAUUAUUAAAAAAAUUAUAUAUGACAUUUUUAUGUGGAUACUUUUUUUUACUAUUAUUUUUUUAAUAACUUUUAUCUUUUUAAUAGUUUAUUAAAUAUGCUUUGUGUUUUAUACUUUUAUUAGUUGAAUUUUUAUAUAAGAUUAUUUGAAACUUUUUAAUUUAGUCAGUCUCAUAAUUUUUUUCACUUGCAUUAAAAUUUAAUUAUAUUUUUAGUUUGUAAAUGAAUUUUAAAACAUUUGAAAAAAGAAAAUAGAACUAUGCAAUUAAAAAGUCUUAUAUUAUAUAAUAGUUAUAAGUUUUUAUAUAUUAAAAUUAAAUUUUAAUUUUAUUCUAAUAUAAAUAUAUGUUAAUAUUUAUUUAUGUUUUUAAUGUGUUUGCUUUAAAUAUGAUUAAUUAAUUAUUUUGUUAAUAUUUGAAGAGGAUAGGUGGUGCUCUCUCCAGUGCUGACGUGUCGCUCAACUGGAGAGAGUUGGCCAAAUUUUAUAUAUAUGACUAGGAGAAUACAUGCACGUAAUAUGCGGGUUUUUUCUUUAAUUAUUUCAAAUUGAUAUAUUUUUGUAUUUUUCUUAAAGAAAUAUAGUCAUCAUUUCUUCUAUGUUACUAUAUAAUUAUAAAUCAAUCAAUUUAAAAUUUAAUAUUAUUAAAAAAUCAAGAGUUUAUACAAAAAAGCUAUCAAUGUUUUAGCAUAAAUUCUUGUUUAAUAUUUAUAUAACUGUUAUUUAAGAAUCAGUUAAUAAAAAAAAACUAUUUUCUUUGAAUGGUUGAGAAUUUAAUACUAAAAUUUAUUAAUCAAUUUUUUUUUGAUAAUUGUAACUUUAAAUUAAAAAUUGACAAAUGUCAUCUCUAUAUUAACUCUAAAAUGCUGAUGUGUCACUCAUAUAUAGAGAGUUAGCCAUCUUUUAUAUAUAAGAUUAUAAGUAAACAAUAUAUUUGGUAGUUUAAUCUUCAUCUCUAAAGUAAUCAUUAUUUGCAUAGAUUAGUUUUAUGCAUUAUUUUAUUCAUUCAACUUUUAGCCUCAAAUUUCUCCUUUUUUGGCUAAAUUGACUAUCCUUACUGAUUUUUAUCUUCUCGUAAGCGUAGACGUGAAACCAUUUUAUCCAGUUGUAUGUAACAAAUCAAUCUUUUUUGCUAGCUUUGAUACCAUAUUUAGUUUCAUCUCUGAAAAUUUCAUUAUAUAUACAUUAAGUUUAAAGAUGAUUUUAGUUCUUCAUUCUCUUGAAAUUUCUCCCUGUUUAACGAAAAUUGUCUCUCUUUGGUUGAUACUUAUCUUUUAUGCAAGCGUGGAUACAAAACUUUAAUAUCAUGUUGAUACCAUGUUAAACUUUUUUAAAAUUAUAGUCAUUAUUUAUAGACAUUAAAUAUAUAGAUUAUUGUAACUAGGUGAAUCUCCGCACGUUACGUGCAAGUUUUUUUUUCUUCAACUAUUUCAAAUUUCAAAUUCCUAAGAAAAAUGCAAUCCUACUUUAUUAUGUGUUAGAAUAUUAUUAUAAAUCGAUCAUUUAAAAUAUAAUAUUAUUAAAAAAUUAAGAUUAUACAAAAAAAAAUCCAUCAAUAUUUUUAAUUAAUUAUAACAUAAAUUCUUGUUUAAUAUUUACAGAAAUAUUAUUUAAGAAUCAAUUAAUAAAAAACUUUUCAUUUUCUUUUAGUGUUUUAAAACUUCAUAUAAAAUUUAUUAAUUAAUUUUCCUUAAAAACUUUUGUAACUUUAAAUUAAGAAAUAUGACACAUAUCAUCCCUAUAUUAACUCUCAAAUGCUGAUGUGGCAUUCGUAUGAAGAGAGUUGGCCUUCUUUUAUAUAUAAAAUUUUUCAUUCUCUCUAGUCGGAAAUUUCUUCCUCUUUUGUCGGAAUUGUCUUUUGUUCUUCUAUGUUUUUAUAUUUCAUGCAAGCGUGUACAUAAAAUUAUUAUAUCAGAGCGUAGGUAAACAAUUCUUUUGUUAGCUUUGAUACCGUGUUAAGUUUCAAAUCUGAAUUAGUCAUUCUUUUAUACAUUAUUUUUUAUGGACGAAUUUAUUUUCAUUCUCCGUAGUUCGAUCUCUCUUCCCACGGAAAGACGAUUAAACUAAUAAUAAGAAAACCGCAGACUUUACAUUGAAACGAGCUGCAGAUAAAAUUUAGAAUAAAAUGGACUUUAAUGAUCCAGUUAGUAUGAACUAUGACACAUCACUUUCAAAACACACAUAGUAUAAAUGAACAAUUUAUUAAAAAGCUAGCUUUAAUACCAUGUUAGAAAAUAAACUAAUCCUUUUUGCUAGCUUUGAUACCAUGUUUAGUUUCAUCUCUGAAUUUUUCAUUAUAAAUAUACAUUAAGUUUAAAGAUAAUUUUGGUUCUUCAUUCUCUAGAACUUUUUCUCUGUUUAACGGAAAUUAUCUCUAUUUGUCAGUACUUAUCUUUUAUGCAAGUACAGCCACAAAAUUUUGAUAUCAAAGCGUAGGUAAUUAAACAAUUUUUUUGGUAAUUUUGAUAUCAUGUUAAUCUUUAUCUUCAAAAUAGUCAUUGUUCAUAUACAUUAAUUUUAUAGAUUAUUUUAAUUCUUCAUUCUCUCUAGCUGGAAAUUUCUUUCUAUUUUGUCAAAAUUGUCCUUUAUUUUUUUGGUUUUCAUCUUUCAUGCAAACAUGGACAGAAAACUAUUAUAUCAGAGCGUAGUUAAACAAUUCCUUUGUUAGUUUUGAUACUGUGUUAAGUUUUGAAUCUGAAUUAAUCAUUAUUUUAUACAUUAUUUUUAUGGAUGAAUUUAUUUUUGUUCUCCGUAGUCUAAUCUCUCUUCCCACAGAAGGACGAUUAAACCAAUAAUAAGAAAACCAUAGAUUUUUUAAUUAAAUAAGACCGCAGAUAAAAAUUAGAAUAAAAUUGACUUUAAUGAUCCAGUUAAAAUGAAGUAUGAUACAUCACUUUUAAAAUACAUGUAGGAUAAAUGAAUGACCUAUUAAAAACAUUAAAAAAGUCAAUAAGUUAGAAAAUAAACUAACCACACAUCAGAUUUUUUGCUUCAGAAAUAUAUCGAUUGAAAAACAAUGUUGCACUUGAUGUACAAAUGGCUUUUGAUUGAAUAACUAUUACAUUCAAUUAAAAAAACAAUAACGCCUAGAGAGACUAGAAGUGCCUUUAACCAAAGUAAUUAACUAACCGUCAACACCAUAGAUGGCGCGAUGCUCUUCGACAGAGGAUCAAGACACAAGCUGCUGUUUUUGAGACUUCAAAGAUAUAGAACAACCACCAAACUGAAUAAUAGAAUCUGUAUAAUAACGUCUUGUUGUUGGGCAUCAUGCCCGGCCGGAACUGCCCCAUGCAAUAAGAGACAGAUGAGUCUUAGCUUUUAAAAGAAAACCAUGUCACAGAUUGCCUUUGACCUUGAGUAAACAUAUAAACCUUGUUGUUGCAUCCCAAUGAGUCUGUUUUGGUUCUUGCAUGAACUAAGCAACAAUGUGGACCAGUGUUAAUCUGCAGGUUCAGGAAUUGUACCUCUUUUAACUAAAGCAAGACGUACGAUGGUUCUUCUCCAGAGGCACAGGUCUCCGAAAUGAUAUUAUGAUGGUCACAAAAUGUGAAAGCAGUUUUAAAAAUGUUUCCUACCUAAAAUCCCAAGCGCAAGGCUGAAAUCGAAGUAGUACUAGGUACAAAUUCACAGGGAGGAAGCAGAGUCGACCCUUGGCCAAUCCAAGAAAGCCUAUACUUCCGGCUGAUUCUUUUAUAAAAAAAUAUUUGGUCCUCAAUUAUUCAAAACUUGUCUUAGUCUGGUCAGACUGAUCGUAAAGUCUUAUGUGGCGCUUUUAGUCCCCAUUCCGUGUUCGAAUCUGCAAAUUGCCUUAGUUGUUGGGUCUAUAUGAAAAACGUUGAGAGUCUUUAGAUUUCUGGUAGUCUAUACUCUUAAGGGAAAAAUAAACUUCCUUGGCAGCCUGUUAUAAUCUUAUUUCUUGGACCCAACAGUACGAACAAUGAAAUCGCACUACACAAAACCAAAGAGAAUAUAAUACAGAGACAACAUAAACAACAAACGAUAUUAUUAUGCAAAGAGCAGACAUUACAACUCGAACACUGAGACAUUACAUUAUGAAACUUUAUUCCCAUAGAUUCUUUUUCUUGAGUUACUUCAUUACAAACUCACCAUGGUUCACUUAUAGUCAUACACACGUAUAACUGUAUUAUAUAGAUGUAGCCAUGCAUGGUGGUUAAUAUAAUAUGAAGUUUUUAGUUACCAGGCUGAGUCUCAACUGCUUCUACUCCGUGCCCUCCUCUUCCUCCGUGUCCACCGCGUCCUCCUCUUCCUCCUUUGUAUCCUCCCCCUCCUCCUCCGUAGUGUCCCCCUCCUCCUCCGUAGUGUCCUCCUCCUCCUCCUCCUCCGUAGUGUCCUCCUCCUCCGUAGUGUCCUCCUCUUCCUCCUCCGUAGUGUCCGCCGCGGCCACCACCAUAUCCAUCAGGUUUCACAGUUUCCUCACUCUCUGACUUCACCCCUGUCCAAAAAAAUAUAGAAAAAUCACAUUAUUUCAAAGAUAUUGUUUAGCACGUGCAAAUGUUCUUUCCUCUCCCCGAUUUCAAAAACGAAAUUUCUCUUAUAAACAUUUUAAAAUAUGUAUCGAAUCUCUUGUUUAGAAUAAAGAAUUAUGAGUUUCAAAAUUAAAUAUACGUUCUAUAUAAAAUUUUCACCAAUAUACGUAAGUGUCUUUUAUUACUAGGACAUCAACAUCGUACUUAAGUGUGUUUUUUGACUUAUAAGUCCAUAUAGUUGACCUUCGUUCAAAUCAACCUUCCGGACUUAACACGGACGAAAUAGACAAAUAGAGACAAUAUUAUCAAAUAUGGUACGUUUGUUUGGGUUCGAUUAGCUUCACGAACAUUUAUUUUGUUUCUAUAAAAUAAUUUUAUUUACCCGAUGAUUGCCUUUCUGCGGCAACUUCUGAGACGACGAGAAGUAAUGCAAAGAGACCCAAAAGAAUCAAAGCUUUGGAAGCCAUUUUCUUCUACUGCUUUUAAGUUUAUAACACUCUUUUGUUUUGUUGGAGAAAGAAGUGAUGAAUAAAAUGUUCGCCUGCAUGCUCUCUAUUUAAAGAAAGGGUAACGAAGAGGAGAAAAGUCAAAUAACUAAUCCGUGGACCGUAGUGCAUUAAAAAUAACGAGGAAUUUUAUUUAUUAAAGAGAUAAGUAAGGGUAUUUGCAUUAUUUGCAGAUAAUGACAAAAAGAGCAAUUCAGUAAAAUAGGAUUGAGACUGUGCUUCGCGCGGAUUGUAAUUUAUGUUCAUGUUUUUAUAUAUUUUAUAUAUUAUUUCUUAAGAAAUAAUUUGUUGAUAAUUUUUUCUUAGUUUAAUAGUUUUAUUUUUAAGUUUACAUUGUAUUAACAAUAUCUGUGUUCUGUUAGUUAUUCUUACUGGUAGAUUAAAAACUCUAUAAAUUAAUAAUAUUAGGACUUUGAUAUUUUAUUAAUUUUUAGAGUUAUUAAUUUAGAGGUUUCAAAUAAAAAACUAUUUCUUAUUAAUUUUAAAAUUAAAAAAAAAUCGUUGAAAUUUAUAAUAUUUUUAAAAAAUUAAAAAAAAUAAAAAUGAGUUCCAAGAAGACUUCAAUUUAAAUUAAACAAAAACAUAGUAGAUUAUCUCACUUAUAUGUUUAUAUCAAAUUUUAUUUAUGGUAAUUAUUAAUUUAUGAUAAUAAUGGGACCAUAGAUUUACAUAAGAGUUUUGUUAAGUUUAUUAUCUUAUUAUCUUAUCGAAUUGUGUCAUAAUUUGAACUGGCUCAACGUAACUCAGAACUAUGAAAAAUUAUUAAUUUAUGUAUUUAUUAAUUUAUCGAGUAUUAAUUUAUAGAGUUUUUAUUGUAUGUCUAUAUAAAAAUAGUUUUUUUAAUUAUAUUAUUAACUUCUGUAAUUUUUUAUUUUGUGUGUUUUUAUAUUUUAUCUGUACUAUUGUGUGACUCUAAUUAUAAUUAUUUAAAUUAUUUUUUUAUUUUUCUUAAUUUAUACUCUCUAAAUUAUUAUUUUUUAAUUCAUACUCCGUACAAAUUUUUAUUUUUAGUCAUCUAUUAUUUUGAAUUGUUGAAUAACUAAUUUAUCAUAUUUUUCUUUUUUUGAAAAAAAAAUUUAUACUCCUUUUCCAUCUUCAUAUUUUUAUAAUUUAUUAGUUUUAUCUUUUUUUUUUUUUUUAUCUUUAACGUUUCUGUUUUUGUAUUUUAUAAAAUUCAUCUUCAUUAGUUUCAUGUUCUUCAUUUUUUUAUUUAUUUUUUUCAUUUUCCAAUGGUUUUUGACUUCUACUUUUCUUCCUCCUGUUUUUUUUUAUUCUUUUUUCAUUGUCUUUUUUUUUAAUUAUCAUCAUUUUUCUAAUUUUUUUCAGUUUAUAUAAUAUAUUAUUUUUAAUAAUAUAUAUAUAUUUAAUCCAGUUAGUAUUACAGUUUUCUUUAAAUAUUAAUAUCUAAUUGCCACUUAUCUUUUUAUUAUACUAAUAUUUAUUUUAUUUAAUUUAAUUUGUACUAAAUAUACUAAUAACAAAUAUAAAUAUAUAUAUAUAUAUGUAUUAAAUGUUUAUUUUAAAUAUGCUUUAAUGUUAAAAUUUAUGAGUUUGUUGAUGUGGACACCCUAGAUGGAGAUAAAAUUCUCUUAUUAUAUUACAGAUUAUAAAAUAUUUGUUCUUUCUCAAGGGAACAAAAAUACUUUUUUAUUUUUUUGUUGAAUGUUUCAUUUGAUUGUUAAGGGAAAAAACAGUUUUUUUGUCCCAUAUCGUGUUACAUUUUUAUAUGGACAGGUAAUUUUUUUUUUUUAGGGCUAAACAAAUUUUAUAUAUUAAGAAUAAGGAUUACAAUCUGCAAAUACAGCAUUAGACAACCAUAAAGGUGGAUACAAUUUUGAUGAAUAAAAAACAGCAUUACACAACCAUAAAAGUGGAUACAAUUUUUAUAUGGACAGGUAAUUUAUUGAUUGGAUUUUUUUAUACAGUUUAUUAAAAUAAUUCGAAUGUUUCUCCUCCACGUAUCAUGCUACUUUCUAUUGAAUGAAACCUUUGUCUCAACUUUAAUUUUAUAUUUGAAGUAUAUAAAUAAUUUAGUGCGUUAAAUAUCGGUUUAUUUAUAUAUUUUUUUCUUGAUGGUUUAUUUGUGUUUGAGAAUUUUUUUUUUUUAACAUUUUCUUAGAUUAAUUAAAGAAAUCCAGCCGGUUAAAGCAGUACAGUGAAGCUGUAAAGAGCUCGUUCUGCUAUCUCAUCAGUUAAAAGAUUGUCUGAUUGAGGAAUGUGUUCGAAAAAGAUGCAAUUGAAACAGAGUGACAGAGAGACUAUAUCGAAAGUAAUCCCCGCGAUCUCUUUGAUUUUUGUCCCUCGAUUGAUUGCUCUGAUCAGAUCCGAAGAGUCCGAUUGGACAUGAAGCUUUGUGAUCCCGAGAUUUGUGGCGUGAGUCAUGGCAGAUCUCAGGGCUAGAGCUUCAGCGAUGAUCGGGGAGGUCACAAAUUCUUCGAUAUCCAUACCCUGGUUCCAUGGUGGCGAAUUUCCUCAACGGAAAACCCAACCCAAUCUGCCGAUCUGAUUCUCUUCCUUCCAGGCCACAUCGGUUUGCACAAUGGUAUGGUCUGUUGGGAUUUCCUUCGGAUCUCAUGUUUGAAGAGUUGAAAUCUCCCUUUCCUGUAGGUCAUGUGCCUGAAUCCAAUCUCUUGCAUUGCAGAUGGCUUUGUUCACCGUUUCUAAUGGUGUGAAUGUUCUGUUCUCGAACAGUCGGUGGUUCCUGGAUAACCAGAUGGCCCAGCAGAUCCAGGGGAAGAGUAGUCCGGCUUCUAUUCCUGUUGGAGGUAGAGUGACCCAUCCCUUCGAUGCUUUGAGCCCUGUUGCAAAAUCCGGAAUGAAAAAGGGAUCUAUGGUGUAUUUGAAGGGCGCCAGUGACCAAACCGCCUUGGCGAAGUGACAGUAGAGGAAAAGGUGGUCAGCUGUUUCUCUUUCUCUGCAUAGACUGCAGGAAGCGUUGUUGGAGAGUCCCCCGGUAAGUAGAUUUGCUCCAGUUGGUAGUGCUUUCUUGAGUAUCUUCCAUAGAAAGACCUUUAGUUUUAGGGAAGUUUUCUUAUGCCAGAUAUCUGAGUUCCAGUUAAUUGUGGUUGUCUGUGCAUGAGAGAGUGGUUACUUCAUUCGCUGAUGUGUCGCUGUGUGGUAUCCUGACUUGGUCGAAUAAUUUCCAUCUCUGUUUGGGGUCCAAAUGUAAGAGUCUUCUCCGCCUCUUUUGCUUGGUUUUAUGCUUAAGAUCACAGAUGAGAGGUGUGGGACAAUAACUUCAAUCUUUCUUGUGUCCCAGGUGGUUGAGUUCUCUUUUAUUAGGUCUGAGACCAGCAGAUCUUUAUUGGCGUUGGUGGGAAGGCCAACUACUCCUAGCAGUGAUGUCGUCGAUAGCCAGGGAUCGGACCAUAGGUUGGUUUUUCGUCCAUUUCCAAUUAUUUUGCUUAUAUUUGAUUGCAGGAUAUCUUUGCCAAUCAUGAUUCCCCUCCACCCGUGGGAAGAGGAAGAUGUUGAUUCAGCUCUGAGGAAGGUUGUGGACCGGUGGUAUCUUCUUUUGAGAACUCGGGCCAGUAGACACUAUGGGUUUAUCAAGAUUCUCCAACUCAGUUUGGCCAGUAAGGUGUCGUUGAAGCACUCAAUGUCACAGAAACCAAGACCACCCUCUUUCUUUGUUCUUGUUAGCUUUGACCAUGCUAGCCAACACAUUUUUCUUUUUUCAGGGUUGGCGUCCCACCAAAAGCGAGUAAGAGCGGAUUGGAUGCGUUUGCAGAGACUUGCAGGGAGCUUGAAGCACGACAUCGUGUACGCUGGGAUGGCUGAGAGAACUGUCUUCAGCAUCGUGAUUUUACCCGCCGAUGAUAGAAAUUUUGUUGACCAACUCGUUGACGUAUCCUGUCCACAAUCUGAGUAAAGAGGUCUUUUUUCCUUCUCCCAAAAUGUUCGGGUAAGCCAAGGUACUUCCCUUUACCUCCCUCUUGACUGAUUCCCAGAUCCUGUUUAACUCUUUCUCGUACAUCAUCAGGAGUUUUGCAUGAGAAUGUAAAGGAUGAUUUUUGUAGAUUGAUCUUCUGUCCCGAGGCUUCUUCAUAUUUCCUGAGAAUUGCCAUGAGUUCUGCGCAGGCUUGGGGGGAUGUUUUACAAAAGAACAUUGUGUCAUCCGCAAAUAGUAAAUGGUUUAUUCUUGGGCUUUCUUUUGCAACUCUAAUGCCUGACAAGCGGCCAUUCUGUUGAGCUUUUUUGCAGAGACCAGAGAGCACUUCACCACAUAUGAUAAAUAUAUAGGGUGAUAGUGGAUCACCUUGUCUGAUGCCGCGUUGAGGGAGGAUUGGAACGUACGCUGGGUCAUUCACCAGAUACGAAUAGGAGACUGAGGUGAUGCACAUCAUUAUCCAAGUAAUCCACUUCUCAUUGAACCCAAGCCUUUUCAGCACCGUUUCAAUGAAGCCCCAUUCCAGGCGAUCAUAUGCCUUACUCAUGUCAGUUUCAACUGCCAUGAAGCAGUGUUUUUUCUCUUUAGAUCGUUUGAGGAAAUGUAGAGUCUCAUGUGUUAUCAUGACAUUGUCUGAUAUGACCCUUCCAGGGACAAAAGCUGAUUGGGAUUCUGAAAUGUUUUUUUUCCAGGAUAGGUUGGAGCUGCUUGGUGAGAAUCUUCGAGAAGAUUUUGUAAAAGACACUACAGAGUGCGAUUGGCCGGUAGUCGGAGACUGUACGUGGAGCAUUGUGUUUUGGUAUCAGCCGAACCAAAGUAUGGUUGAUGGAGCUGGGGAAAGAUCCGGAACUAAAGAAACUUUUGAUCUCUGAAGUUAUUGCAGGGCCUACUGUUGUCCAGUUUGAUCUGAAGAAAGAUGCAGAAAAGCCAUCAACUCCUGGAGCUUUAUCCAGAUAGAUGGAGAAGAGAACAUCGUUUGAGAAUAUCAAAUAAAUAUAUUUUAAAAGUUUUUAAAAAAUUAACUGCUACAGUUUCUACUUAUAUUUUUAUUAAUGCAUUUUAAAAACUUAAACCAGUUCAAAAAUUGAAACCAAAUAGUAUUAAAUUUGUAUACUAUAUAAAAAAAAAAAAUACACACUACUACCGAUAAAGUAAGCUACUAGUUAAGCUCAUUGCUUAGUCUUGUUGUACUUCUAGUUUGAUUUACAAUGGAAAUAGAAAAGAUGUUUUACGCCAUAUCAUAUAGUAUUAGCAAAGACUAGUCCCAAGAGAAGAGAAGUUGUAAGAAGGAUUAAGAUCAUGAAAAAAUACACACUCUAUAUUAAUCAUAUAUUUACCAUAAUAUUUUUUCAGUUUUCAUCAAUUCUAACAGUUUAUUUACAAAAACUAUGUAUCCGUGUAAUCUCCUUGGUUUAGUGAUUGACCAUAGAUUUAAUUUGAUUCCAAAACGAUGCUAGUUAAUGGAAUGCAAUUUUAUAGAAGGUUUAGCAUGGUGCAAAUAGAGCUGUUCGUCAUAAUUCAUCAGUCAAAGUAAAACUGCCCAUCACAAACAUGGUACAUGUAGAACCAUUUAUCGUGGAUUCUUGUAAAUAGAUAAAGAAAAUCAUUGUAUAGAAGCAUUUGUAUAAUUGUUUUCAUAAUUUAUAAUCCUUUAUACAGUAUUAAUCAAUUAGGGUUGAUAAAAAACAGUAGUUUCACAUUUAAUUUACAAAUAAGUCAUCUGAUGUGUCAUCGCCAUAAAACUUCUCCAAAAAAAAGUUAACUUACUAGAAUAAUUACAUUCAUGUCAUUUAGAUUACAUUCAUGUCAUUCACAUUUAAUUUACAAAUAAGUCAUCUGAUGUGUCAUCACCAUAAAAGUUCUUCAAAAAAAAGUUAACUUAUUAGAAUAAUUACAUUCAUGUCAUUUAGAUUUAAUACAUGCAUAUAUAUAUAUAUAUAUAUAUUAUAAUGAGAUUUAUGUAGAAUAUUAAAUUAAUAUUAUUUUUAAGUUUAUUCAUUUCUAUAAAAAAAAAUUAAUUUUUAUUUUUUGUCUCCAAAUUAUAUUACUUUGAUUCAAAGGGUUAUGAUUUUAUUUUCAAAAUUUCUUUUUUAUUGUGACAAUACAAGUUCAAUAUUUAUUUGCUCAAUAUAAUUUUUUAUUACAAAAUCUCUUAUUUUUCAUAUUUAAAUUCAAAUUUAUAUAAUGGAAGAUCUAACCUUCAUAUUAUUUUUAUGAUUAUUCAAAUGUAAAGCAUGUAAUAUAAUUCGCACACGUUUACUAAUGAUUAUUGAGAUAUAAAAAUAUAAUAGUGUUUAAUGCUAAAGGUCUCAUCAAACUAUAUUCUGAUUUGAUUAUAUCGUUUGAUGCUAAUAUAGUUUUAUGCUAUUGGUCUUAUCCAGGGGUGGAUUCAGAAAAAAAUUUAGUAGAUAGCAUAAUUUUAUAAAUAGGGAAAAACAAUUUUUUAUAUGAAAACAUAGUAUUAACAUAUAAUUUUAAUGAAAUUAAGUUAACAAUUGGAUUGUUUCAGCUUUUACAACUACUUUUAUAUUCAAAUAAGCUUUAAAGAUUGAAUUUUUUUUUCUUUUACUUUUUUUAUUAACAUGAGCAACAUAAUUUUAAACUAUAGGGAUUUUUUCCUUUUUAUCACUAAAUUAAGAACAUUUAAAUUUAAUUUACCAAAACUAUUUAGGAAAAAUAAAAACGGUAAGGGAAACAUGACCCGAUAUGGUCUUUACUAUGUCCGCCUCUGAUCUUAUCAAUCACACACGUACAAAGAGAUAUUCACGUGACGAGUUGCAUAUUUUAAUUUAAAAUUGAAUAAAUUUUUUUACAGAAUACUAUUUAUUUUACAUAUUCGAAUUCAAAUCAGAAUAUUUUUUAUUCAAAUAUAAUUGUAUUAAAUUUUAUAUUUAAAUUCAAAUCAAAUCAAAUAAAGCUUUUAUUUCUAAUCAUAAGAAAGUGUAUAGUUAAAUCAAAUUUUAAUAAAUUUGCAACUAACAUAUAUCUGCAGGGAUUAUUCAAUUAGAACAAGGUUUAUAUAGAAUAAAUAGAUUUUUCAUGGUAAGAGUAAUUUUCACUAUUGGUACUCCUUAUGGAAAGAUAAAUUGUUGCUAUUAAAUAAUUAGAUAUUAAAUACAAAAUUACGUUUUCUGAUUGAAGAGACAUUUGAUUUCGAAUUCACAUUCAAAUCUUCUUAAUAUGUGGGAAACCCUUGAUUUCCAGCACUAUUUAAUCGAUAUCGAUUAGCACCCUUUCUUAUGAUUAAACAAAUACAUACUAAUAUAAUUUUUAAAUAUUUCAUUUGCAAGACCGAGAUUACUACCUACAAGAUAACUACUUAGGCUAUUAAAAAGCUGACAAAAAGGCUAUUAAUAAAAAUAAAACUAUCAUUCUUAGGGAUUUACCAUAUGCUUCAUACAGUGUUUCCUUAAGAGUUACACUUCUAUUUGUCCAUUUACCGGUGAUAUUUUCCUAUUUUUAUUAACUCUAGCAAUUGUCAAUUACUUAAAAUAGGUUAUUACCAGCGCAGAAUAAAUAUUAAUCAUAAUUUUUUAUUUAAAUAUGUAAAUAUAAUGUAUAUAAGUACAACUAUAAAAAUGUUAGCUGAUAUUUUUAAUUACAACUAUAUAUGCUGAUUAUGCAAUCAUAAAUAAUAAUUAAAAUUACAUUUAUUUUGUAAUACAAAUACAUAAAUGCUAAAUAAUUAUUAGUUUUAUAAUUAAUUUUAAUAAUAUUUUUUAUAUGACUGAACUUACACAUUAAAUAUACUAAAUUAGAUUAAUAUGUUCUAUCUAACAGGUCUAACAUCAAACUAAAAUACUUUGCUUUUGAUAUAAAAAAUUGAAUUAUAAUAUGUAUGAAAAUAUUUAGAUUAUUUUAUUAUUAAAUAGAUAAUGUAAUUAUUGUUUUUUAAAGAAAAGUAAGAUCAAAUAAAAGACAAAAUACAAAAUAUAAUGUUUAGAAACAUAAUUAAUGUUAUGUAUUAAAAUUUUAUAAAUGUGAUAAGAAAUAGAAAUAGAAAGAAUAUCUUUACAAAUUAAAUGUUUGAGUAUUAAAUAUAUAAUUGACAUAAAUUAAUUUCUAACCAAAUUAAUGUUAGUGGCAUAUGAUAUACUUAAUCUAGUAAGUUUCUUUUUUUUUGAACAUUUAUUAAUCUAGUAAGUUGACCAUACUUUUUAAAAAUCUAUAAAAAACUCUCUGAAAUUAACACCUCAAUAUGACACUUAUGUAAAUAAUACAUAAGAUAAAUGUUUUUUUUAAAGCAUUUUUAUCAAUUAAUAAUAUAUAACUUUUCAUUUCAUCCCGUGAUUUACCCAGUCCGUCCUAAAAUUAAAGUGGUAAGAUGAUGAUAAGUAUAUGUCUACGUUGCAUCGGUCCCCUUAUGGUGGGUUGUUGGAUCCAUCAGUGAAUAAUUUGAAAGUCUAUAAAUGGCGAACCCCACCAGUGUUUUAGACUGUUUCUUAUUAAUGUCUUUUUUUUUUUGGCAGUCUUAUUAAUGUCUUAAACACAGCACAAUCACACACGUAUAGAACUAUAGAUAUCUAGAAAUUCCAUUAUUGGAUUAUAAUUGAUUUUAUUAUGACGGAUUCUUUUGGACACAAAAGCUAGCCGACGUCUUCUUUGAAAAUUCUCACAACCGACAGAUUUUAAACAGCCGUAUAGAGACAAAGGCAGUGAGAGUAAAGCAUAGAGUGACAACACGUAGUAACUACAAAGAAUUGACUUUUUAAAGGGUGCAAAAUUUUGCCUGGCUAUAUUUAAUCGUUAUACUUCUUUUUAUGGAUAAUUGCUUGGCUAUAGUUAAUUUAUGCCGACUGCUACCAAAAUAUCGAUCAAAGUCACCUAAGCGUAGAGAAAGCUUGAGAUUUACGUAAUUAUAAUUCAUUUUUUUCAAAUCUAAAUAUUCAAAAAAUUGAUUAUAAUAUGUAUGAAAAUAUUUAGUUUUUUUUCAAAUCUAAAUAUUUAGUUUUUUUUCAAAUCUAAAUAUUAAAUAUACUAAAUUAGAUUAAUACGUUAUAUCUAACUAAUCUAACAUCAGAUAAUUUGUUUUUAAUAUAAAAAAUUUGAAUUAUAAUAUGUAUAAAAAUUGUAGUUUUCAAAUGAGCGUAGAUAUAUAGUUUUCAAAUUAAGCAUGUUUAUUUCAUAUAUCAGAUUGGAUAGUAUUUGAUUGAGAUACAGGUUGUCAUGUAGUUUUCAAAUUAAGUAUGUUCAUUCCAUGUAUUGGAUUGGGUAGUAUCGGAUUGGGAUACGGGUUGUCAAGCCCAGACCCGAACCUCAAAACUUUUGGGUUAAGAACGAGAAUAAAAAUUAUGGGUUAUAAAUUUGGGAUACGGAUUGUCAAGCCCAGAUCCGAACCUCAAAACUUUUGGGUUAGGAACGAAAACAAAAAUUAUGGGUUAUAAAUUAGUUAUUCUAAAAAAGAAAAAAAUGUUAAUAAAAAGGUUAGAAUGAUCGAACUUCUCACCUUGAAUAUGUUAUUUUCAAACAAUAACUAGUUCCACUACUGAAGAUUAUAGUAAAAACCGGUCAGAAAAUACAUACUUUAUAUAUGGUUGGCAACACAUGCUUCCUUACCUUCUAUCCAAAAUCCAAUUUUAUACCAGUAUUUGGGGAAGAUCCAAUUAAGCAUGUUCAUUCCAUGUAUCAGACUGGGUAGUGAGAAGAUCAAGAGAUUGUUGAACAGUUCUUAUGUUGUAUAAUUGUAAAAGAACCGAUUACAAUAUAUAUAUAGAAGCUUUAGCUUAAUCCUCAAGUUAAAGAUAAACACAAAUAAGGAAUAUUUAAGAUUUUCUAAAUAUUUUCUCAUACUCUCCCUCAAGAUGGCGAGUGGAGAUCCCGAACUUCCAUCUUGCCAAAAAUAUAAGAAAAUUGAAUUCGUCCAAGUGCUUUAGUAAACAAGCCUGCAAGCUGUUCAUGUGUGCGAAUAUAAGCCGGUGCGAACUCCUGCUUGGAAGGCAUCACAAAUAGUGUGACAGUUGUUCUCUAUGGAUUCUGCAGAAUGUCUAGUGCUGCCUUGUUAUCACAGUAAAAAGAAACUGGUUCUGGAUGCUUGAUAUCGAACACAGAAAGAAGCUGGAGAAACCAUUGUAUCUCAGAGAAUGUGUAAGACAUUGCGCGAUAUUCCGCUUCUGGAGAAGAACGAGAGACAACUCUGUUUUUUUUUUUUUUUGUCUUCCAAGAGACAAGGGAAUCACCAAAUAAGAUGGCAUAACCAGUGAGGGACUGCCAAGUUAUCAGACAAGAAGACCAGUCCAAAUCACAAUAAGCAAACAUGUGAAGAUCGGGUUUGGAGUUAAGGAAUAUACCUUGCCCAUGCGUACCCUUAAGAUAUCGUACUACUCGAGUCUCUGAAUCUCAAUGCUUCUUCCGUGGUUUAGUGAGGAACUGAGCGAGUAAAUGGACCGCAUAGCUGAGAUCAGGCCGAGUUACAGAUAAGUAUACUAAGCGUCCAACAAGCCAACGGUAUCUGGAUGGAUUGUCAAAAUAUUUUCCAUCGUCUCCAGCUAGUGUAUGGUUUAGCGUAACCCUCAAGUUAUCCAAUACAUAUUCUGAUAAGCCGCAUUCAGAAACGAUAUCCAAUGAAAUAUUUCUUUUGGAAAUAUGGAUCCCUUUCUUUUCACAAAAUAUUUCCAAACCGAGGAAGUAUUUUAACACGCCAAGAUCCUUUAUAUGAAAACUCUUACUCAUGUAAGCCUUGCAUUUGGAGAUAAGAGUUGUGUCGUUGCCCCCUCUAACCAAGUCAUAUACAUAAACAAGAACAUAGAUGCAAGAAGAGCCACGAUGAUAUGAGAAGAGAGAGUAAUCCUUCUUGUUUUGUACAAAACUAAACCGCAACAACGACGCUAAAAGCUUAGCAAACCAACAACAUGGAGCUUAUUUGAGACCGCAGAGAGACUUUUGUAGUCUACACACUUUGUUUUAAUCGGAUGAAGAGAAACCCGGCGGAAGCUGAUGUGGUGUAUGCGGGGGUAUCAAAUUUUACCCUAAAAGAAAUAAAAGAAAGCCGCAAGUGCACAGCUAAUCAGUUGUAAUACUUAGAGAUCGAAUCCAUAGAGAUUUGCCAAAUAUUUUUCUACGGUCUCGUAGCUUGUUGGCCGUCUUCAAAUGUCUUCGGGGAAAAUGGAAUAUCUUGAGAUCCAACCGUUGGAAUGUCUCCAAAGUAAGUGCAUUUGAAAGCUGGUUGAGUCUUCUAUUAAGUAUCCAAUUUUGGGGAUGAUCAGACGGUGAAAAGCUCUUCAUCUCUCCUUGAGAGUUCUGACGGUCUGAAUUUAUCCAAAAUAGUCUUUUUGUUCCAAUUUUCACCUCUUUCUUCCAAAUUACCUGAAAAGUCUUUAAAAAUCCGAAAACAUAAAAAUCAUUUGAAAACCUUUGAAAAUGGAGUAAAAACACCUGCAAAAUAUAUUACACUGAUCCAUAAAAAUGGUCAAGGUGUUAUAAACUCCCCCAGGCUUAGACUUUUAUUUGUCCUCAAACAAAACAAAGAUCAAAUCUCGGUGAGAGGUUUGAAAACGCAGGAACUAACAAAAUCUCAGAGACCAUACUUCUAGACUAAAAUCAAUCAUUAUGCAUUAACCGGGGAUAACCUAGAAAAUUCUCACUAAAAUACAUGCAUAACUAAUCCGUUGAUCUGUCAUGCGAAAGUAUAUACACUUAGAUCUAACUUCCACUCAACUAGCUCUUAACAUUUAUUAAAAAUCUAUGUGGUUCUCAUCAAAAUAAGUAUAAGCAAGGCGAUUUGGGCUAGGUGUCAAAAAGGCUCUUUUCGGGGUGAGGUUUUAAAGUGUUUUGGGUUACCUUGAUUUUUAGAGAAGUAGGGUAUUAUGCAAAACAGCAAGAGAUAAUGGAGCUGUUGAUAUCUACAGUUUCCAGUCACAUUCUUCUUGCUUUAGAAUCUUUUAUAUUUCUCAGGUUCUCCUUUUAGUUCCCCCAGACUUAGAUUCUUGUCUGGGUUGUAACCGUAACUCCAACAGAUGCAUACUAAUCGCCUUUUGCCUCAAAUAAUUUUGGCCAUCUAAGACUCUUUAGGCUUUUGUUUCUUUUCUUUUCAUUCUUUUUCUUCUCUCUUUUUUCUCUUUUUUUUAGAAGAGGGAAAACACCUUUAGAUAUAGAGUCUUAGAGGACACAAAAAUUUAGCAUUAAGAGCAACCUUUUCGAAGUGUCUUAACAUUGCCGAUGUACCUCCCUUCCAACUCCCAUUUAGUUCUUCUCUUUGGAUGACUGAAAACUGUGCCGUUCCUCCCUCUCCAGCGUUUUUGCUCAUAUCUGCUGAUAUAAGCUAAAGAGAGGAUAUGUGAGGUAUGAAAAAAAAAGGAUUGGGUAAAGGUAUGGUACCAGCUAAAGAUGAACUAGCCAUCUAAGACAACAAAGAGUGGUAAAAAUGAGGGAAAAGGUGUUCUAGAUGUAUAUCUUGAUGCUUGCCUAAAAUCAAUGAUGAGAAACUUAGAUAUCAAUAUUAAGGUGAUGUGGCCAUCAACCCAGCUCAACAUCACAAAGAGACCCCAAUGAUCUUAGACAAACCAGACGGCCCAUCCGAAGCCGAGAGAUGCCUUAUAGAAGCUGAACCGGAGAAAAUGAGCAUAAAGGCGAGCCCAACAGAAACAGAAGUGAAAACUUGGAGUUUCACCAACCAAAUGUCAUCAAUGGAGUCUGUGAUCGAGCCAAAACACUUUUCAGUUGAUCCAGAAAUGAAGUUACCCAAGAAUCAACUCAAACUCUUGGCCAAAGCAUGUUCAAGCAACACAAGAAGACCCAUGCACCUUAUUCAGCACUGAUGAAGUCAGAGAUCAGCUGGUACAGCUCGGCCAACACUUUUAUUACAUUUCUAUCUCAUCCAGUGAACGCCUAGAAGUGGAAUCAGCCCAAUUAGAUCUCAGAGAAAUGAGUUAUUCAGCUUACAAAUCAGGUGAUGCACAACUUCUACGAUUUGAACAUACGUGCCUUAUUUGGAGGUUUCCGACCGAACCAGAAGGAUAUAAGCUGUGAACCGACUUGUUCCCAAUUCUUGAUUCAUCAUAGAAUCGGAGACAGUUGGAAUCAAACCAAUACCGGUUAUGGUUAGAAAUUUAUUCACUUUACAAGUUGGAAGAUCUGUUUCAGACCCAAUUGCGCAGUUAGGCUGAAGAUCUUACUCUACAGCCCAACUCAUCCACGUUCUCAGCCCAAAAUUACUUGGAGAAUAUUUUUUGGUCUUUCUUGGAUCCAACAAGCUCAAGAUCCGAAGAAUUUCUCAUUGGAACUUCAAGUUACACCCAAUAUCCCAAAACGGGUUGACUUGGUUCCAUUUAUGGCAGGUCUGAGCUCUGACUGGUAUAGAUCGCUAUCUACAAGAGUUUGGCGCCCAGGAGAGACUCUAAGGCAACUAAGGAAGCUUAGAAACACCUUACCAUGCACCAGCACCCACAGGAUCAGGCGGAUCGUUUUGCAAGCUUACUUUCCUUAUGUGGCCGCAUUCACACUCGGUGCUAUUAAUCACCAAUAGCUCUUUUCCUUUGAAUGCUACGACUUGGACCCUAAAAACGUCUAGAUACAAAGGCAUCAUCACAUUUUCAUAUUUGGUCGAGAUCCUCUUAUUUAGAGCCUAUCGGCUAGUUUUUGAUUAGCUUUGAUUUGUUUCUUUGUUUUUAGCAUUUUAGAACGUGUAAGAGCAUUAUAUAAGCUCAUAUUAGUCCAUUUGUAAAAACUCAUCUUUCAAUCAAAUUAAUACAGAAGUUUCUUAUUUUCUUUCAAAGUGUGUUCUUUGGAAAAUUGUCUUUUCUUUUGAAUAAAUGUGUGAGAUUCACUUCUAUUCUCUAGAAGCCACGAAUUUAGUUGUUUGUGUUACUCAAAUAACUUGUUCGUUCAUCGAUUGAGAGAGUCAAUCAAACCACCACCUUCCAUCUCAAUAUCACGUACGCCCACUUUCGCAAACAAACUUGUAAACUCUUGAUUAUCUUGUGAACAUAAGAUUUGGUGGAUUCCAAUCUUAUAUCAUUUGGUAUCAGAGCACAAGUUCCUAUCAAAGUGCUUAUGUUCUUUAUCUUUCCCUUUUGUUAUUUUAAUUCAGUCUUUUUUCAUUUUAAAUCAUAAAAAGAAAAAAAAAUUAUUGUUUUGAAAUAUUCUAUGUUUUCUUUAAUUCUAAAAAAUCAGAAAAUAGAAAUAAGAAUUUUCCCUUUUGUUAAUUGCAUUUUCGAAUUUUGUAUCCAAAAAUAUAUAAAUAUAUUUAUCGGUUUUUCUUUUAUUUUUGGUUUUGCUUUAAUUCCAUUUAAAAAUCAGAAAACCAAAUAAAAAUAUCUUCUAUUGUUUUCUUAAAUUUUAUAACUCAGAAAAACAGAAUUUUCUUUUAUUAUUUAAGAUUGUCGAAUUUGUUUAGUUUUUUAAAAAAUCCCUUAUUUUUGAAAUAUUUUGUUGUUUGCUUUAAUUUCAUUAACCAGAAAAAAAAAGAAUUUUUAUUAUUAUUAGAAUUUUGAAUUUGUUAAACAAAAAAAAAAAGAAGAAGAAGAAACCAUUGUUUUAUUUACAUUCUCUUUCUUUCCUUUCUUGCUUAAGCCAAACUUUGAUACGCUUCUUCUUUAUCUCUGCGAGGUACAACCCUAAGGAGCAGCCACCAUGACUGAAUCAGAAGAAGAUCAGUACCAAUUUGAUGGAGACCAAUGGUGUCAAGGAGAAGAGAGUUUAGCUUUUUCCGAUGAGGAGGCUGACUAUGAGUCUCCACCGUGACUAGGAGAUGGCUACACCAGCUCUGGAAUUGGAGAUGAAUCAGACUGUGAAGAGUACGAUCCAGAGCCACCAUAUUACAGCAGAGUCAACACUAAUCAAUCAGCUUAGUCUAGAGAUAAAGAGACAGGCCGAGAAAAAGGUGUAGAAGGUGACCAUGAAGGAGAUCCUUGGCAGGACGAAACUGAGUCUUAAUAUCACGAAGGAAACUACAACACUGAACCAGAAGACAGAGAUGACUCAGAGCAUUGAGAUUUUGACCAUGGAGAACAAGGCCGAUCUUUAGAACCUUACCAAAGGCCAAGGUGCGAAGUAACUGAUUCUGAAAUCAGUUCAAUAGAUGCUGACAAUACUGAUGGUGAGUCUUGGAGCCACGAGACAGAGCUAAAAAAAAGCAUGGUUGAUGGACCAGAGCUUGACGAGGAGGAACAAGAGCCAAAUGGAGACAACAUCAACUACACUGAACAAGACUAGCCAGAUGGUGCAACAACAGAUGAUGAGGUAGAUGAUGAGCCACACCACAUCUAUUUUUCAGGUCAUGAACAAGGACCAGAAGCUUACCUAUAGUGGGAGAGCGAAAUAGAGUACAUGAUGAAGUCACAAAACAUUCCUAAGGAUCAGAGACUUUCAUAUGCACUUGACUCGUUUGUUGGAGAAGCUACUACAUGGUGGGAACAAGAGGAAGUUGUGGCCAACUAUAAUAAUUCUGCCAUCACUUGGGGUAAUCUCAUGCAGCGUAUGUACAAAGAGUUUGUACAGAAGUCCCAAAACCGCAGCUACAUUCCCAAGAGGCUAAUGUUCAAAACAGCUACAAAGAGGUGGAUGUCUACGCCAAAAUCGCAGCCUGUUUCUAAGUCAAAGAAAGCUUGCUAUUCUGAGCUAAAGAAAGUGUCUCAAAGCACUUUGGAAAAGAAGAUAGAGGUUAAGAAUCCAGUGGGAGCAACAGGAGUUAAACCAGCCUCCAAACAGCCUGAUCACUACAAGAAAAACACCGUUUUACAACGGCCAAAACCUUCGUAAGUUCAUUGUAAAAGUCUUAUUACGACGAACAAGCGACGGUUUGGAAAUUUUCGUAAACUUAUCGUCGUAAAUGACAUUUCGUCGUAAAAGCGUCGUACAAUCUAGGACGGUUAUAAAUCGUCGUAACAUCGACGUAAACUAAACGUCGUAAAAGCGUCGUAAUGGUUACGAUGACUUUACAUCGAUUUGUCUCAAUUUGGUUUUCAGCGUAACCGUCGUAAAGUCGUCGUUACCGACGUAGGUUCGUCGUAUAAUAUACGAUGUAUAUAUCAUCGUAAUUCGAUCAUAUUAAUUUUUUUCUUUUCGACAUAAAACCGUCGUAAAACACUGACGUAUAUGUGUCGUACAAUACGUCGUAUAUUAUACGACGAAUAUUUGGUUGUAAUUGGAUCGUAUGGUUAUAUAUAAUCUUACGACGAUUUUACGACGAUUUAUUAAAUAAAUAAUAAAUAUAUUACGACGAUUAUACGAUAUUUUUUAUAAAUAAAAUUAAAAAAACAUUUAAUUCGAAUUAAAAUUUUAAUUAAAAAAGAAAUAAAUUUAAAUUUAAAUUUAAUUAAAAUUUAAAAUAAAAAAAUUUAUAUUAAUUAUAAAAUAACUUAUCAAAGAUCUAACUCUAAAAUAAUGUCGUCUAUCACCGCAUCGAUCCGCUCCGGAUCCCCAUCUUGCUCCACAGGUUUCUUGCCGGCUCUUCGGUUGGAGGUAUCCGGCACCUGAUCCCCGGCUCUAGGAGGAUCAACCCCGAGAGACCGGAACAUCUCCUCGUCUGUCUGCACUGGUGGUUGCCUCCUAGAGGAUGAAGACGAUGUCCCGACGACUCUAGCUGCCCGCAACCUAUCCAACUGCGUCUGGGGCAACGGGUUGUCGGCCCCCAUAAUCUCGAAGAGACCGUACAACUGGUCGAUCUUCGUCUCGUACAGCGUCCGCAUCUGAUGGAUCUCCUGGCGGAUAACGACUGGAUCCCAUGCCUGGACAUGUCCAGUCGCUGUAGCGAUUGGGGUAUCACGGAUGGAUCCCAUCCCUAAAACCUGGCCCUUCUUCCGAGGGGCAACCUUAAAAAAUGUAGAAAACUUAUGUAAAACAGUACAAUAUAUAGUUAAAUUUAAACUAAAUAGAAAAAAUAAAGUAAAUUAAACUUACCUCUUCGAAGAUCUGGUCCAUCUCCGCCACCGUCAAUAUCGGGGUGGACUGGACCGAGCUACUUCCGGGAGAUGUCGGAGGUGCCUGCUGGGUGAGCUGUGUAUGCUGCUCCUCAAUCCUCGCACAUGCGGCGUUGUAGAUCUCUUCCGCUCGAGGAUCCGUGAAUUCGCCGUUCUUCUUCUUAUGGGUCUCGGCGAAAACCUUCGUCAUCGGAGGAAGUUCUCCCCCGUUUUCUUCGACCUACAAAAUCAAUUUGAAAUUAUUAAUAAGAUAAAUAAGGUUUAUUAAAAAAAAACUUAUUAAUAAAAACUUACCAUCAUAAGUCGUCUCUCGGCGAAAGGAACCUGGCCGGAAGUGUGUGGGACGUUCUUUAGAUUUCCCACAACGUCAGCAACGUUCCUGAAAAUGAAAUAUUUAGUAAUUAGAUUUGUAAUUAAAAAUAUAAUAUUAUAAAUUAAACACAUUUUAAUUUAAUUUACAAAUAUACCUGGAUGUGGAACACUUGGCGGCAAUAGUCUGGUUGUUCGGGGUCAACCAAUGAUGCACCUCCCAGACGGUAUCGGCCAUUGGCGUGGCUUCUCCUUGUUGCCGUCGACCUCCCACUUCCGCUUCCAGUCAGAAACGGUGUUGUUGAGCCGGAACUUGACCUUUUCAUUGAAGGCCGUCUUCACACGUUCGUGUGCGGAAGUUUUCCAAGGCCAGUUUUGCUACAAAAAAAAAAGAGUUAGUAAUUAUUGUAAAAAAAAAAUAAAAAAUAAUAUAAACCAUAAUUUUAAAUAACUUACCGCGAAACACUUGAACCAAGUGUCAAUAGUUUCCUGAUCCAGCUUCUUCCAGCUGGUAUGGGGUUGUACGAAUAACCCCUUGAUGAUGUCGGAAACGUUACGACCGACUGCGUUAUCGGUCGUAAACCUAGUCAUUAAAAAAAAUUUGGUUAGAUAUUUAAAUUAAUUAUAAAUAUAAAUCUUUUAAUGAAAAAUUUGUAAAAAAAAAACCAAAAAUCGUACCAAAACAUCCCCGGAGCUCGAUCCGGAUAGAGUUUCUUCAUACUCCCACGACCCGGUUGCCGUAGAAGAUCCUCAACCGUAUAUUGGACAUACGGUUCAGGCGGUAUCGGGGCUGCGGCUGGUGCAGGUGCUGCUGGUUCGGCUUGUAGUGGUGGAGGCGGUGCAGGCUGUGGUACAACAAUUGGUUGUGAAACUGUACGUUGAGGAUGGCGGACCCCGUAGCUAAGGUGGACGGAGCGGUAGCGUCUGGAUCAACCAUCUCCCGAUAGUGGAACCUCUUGGUCCGGAGAGCUAUCUAAAUAAUCUACAAAAUUAAAUUAAAUAUAAUUACUAAUUAAUCUAUUUAUUUCUAAAUUCCAGAAAUUCCGAAUCUUACUAAUUCCCCUAAUUAUAUCUAUAUAAGGAUUAAAAUUUGAACAGGAAUAUAAAUUAUAAUGAAAAAACUAAAAAAAACUUACAAAUUAAGACUGGAGAGGAGGGAGAGCAAGAGAGAGAGAGUCUUUGUAGAGAGAGAGAGGGAAGUGAGGAAUGAGAGAUGAUGGAGGAAAACUCACGUCCCUUAUAUAGAUUUUGUGAUCGUUGUAAAAUCGUCGUAACGUUACGACGGUUUUACGACGAUUUGGUUGUAUAAUCAUCGUACCAGUGCAUGACACGACACGUGUCAUGCUCACAUCGUUUGAGUAUUACGACAAUUUUACGAUGAUUGUUCAUCAAACUAUCGUAAAACCGUUGUAAUAGGCCAACAUAUAUACCCUCGUACCUCGGAUCUGGAGCCAAUCCGGCGGCUGUCAGAUGUAUGAUCGUCAUUAAUGUUACGACGGUUUAAUGAACAUUCGUCGUAAAAACAUUGUAAUUUUACGACGUUUGUACGAUGGUUUUAUGAUGGUGUUUAAAAAAGUUAUCAAACCCUAAAUCUCUCAAAAGACUUAUUGCAUUAAGGACAACCCAAAGCUGAUUUUAAACUAACAUAUUACAAUAGGUUCAUCACUUUACAUGUAUGACUGAUUUAGUACAUGAGAUAACAAAUAUAUCAACCAUCUUAUCUAAUAUAUAACUUUUUACUUAACAUUUACAAAAACAUGCAUGAACUAGUAAAUAUGUAUGAUUUUUUUUUCAAAUUUCUGAUUUUGAUCAGAUUGAAUACUUUUCAUAUCAAAUAAGAUAACCUAUCAAAAACAUUUGUGAAACAUGUUGGAAAUUCAUCCGGAUCAUUCGGGUCCACCUAAUCAGAAAAAAUCUUGCUUUAAUUUCUUAAUUUUGCAAAUAUGCAUGCAACCAUAUAUGUUGGAUAUCAAAGUCUUUUAAUUUAUAUUUUAUACGUAAUUGCGUUUUUAACCACUAGGCAUAAUGUUUUUGAUCUUUACGAUCAUUGAUUUCAAUUUCAGAAACCCCAUAGAUGCAUUCUUUAACCUCAUCAACGAAUGUCCUGAAAAAAUAACUAAUAAUUAAUUAAGACUGACAGUAGGAUAUACGUAUGUGCACUGAGAUAAUCUUUUUCAUUGGACCCCCAAACUUCCUUCAGUUUUCCACUAAGACGUCCGAUCGGCGAGAAUAUGUCAAGUACACCCUUAACUGUAUAUGUAUGGCCUCUUCAAUCAUCAUAUCGACGAGUAGCUCUUUUUCGUGUUCGUACUUUUGGUGCAAAAUAGUACGGAUACAUUCACCUGUAUUGAACCGGUCCACCGAGCUCUGCUUCGUGAGGGAGAUGAACAGGAAGAUGUUCCAUAACAUCAAAAAAUGAUGGCGGGAAGAUCUUUUCCAAAUCGCACAAUAAUAUUGGAAUAUUCGAUGCCAGUUGUGCUAUUACAUCAGCUGAUAAUGUUCGUGUACUAAGAUCCUGGAAAAGUUCACCAAUGCCUCCAACAGCUUCAUAGACAUUUUUGGGCAAGAGUUCAGCAAAUGCAAAUGGAAAUAAUCGUUGCAUAAACACGUGGCAGUCAUGACUUUUUAUCCCUGCAAAUUUACCCUUUUAUCAACAGAUUUAAAAGAUUAGAAACAUACCCAUCAGGAAACUUAACGUAAGAUAAAACCCAUUUGAACAAUGCUGACUUUUGAUCUGCACUCAACCGAAAUACAGAAACUGGUGCUUUCCCGUUUCUCAGUAUAUGAAACUCACUUCUGUUGCAUAAAUCAGGCAAGUCCAUUCUUCACUUACCAUUGUCUUUUGUUCUUCCCGUUACGUUCAUAACUGUAUGCACGAUGUUAAAAAAUUUUCUCAAUGUGCAUGACAUCGAGAUUGUGUCUGAGCAGAUGAUCUUUCCAAUAGGGCAGUUGCCAAAAGAUACUUUUCUUGUGCCAAUUAUGAUGAAAUCCAUAACCUUCAGACAUAUUUGCACGAGUGUGCCAGUUUCCCCCACGCGUUACUGUUUCCUCUGCCCCCCAAUGCUCGAUUUGCGCAAUCAGCUCCUGUUAAAUUUACAGGUGGAGAGAUAUGUACACUUUUGUUCUUCCUAAAUAACCUCUUGUUCCUCCGAUAUGGAUGGUUAUCCGGUAAAAUCCUCCGAUGACAAUCAAACCAACAGGUUUUUCUACCAUGUUUUAGCUGUAACGCAUCAUUUCGAUGAAGACAAUAACAACAAGAUAACCUCCCAUGUGUAUUCCAUCCUGAUAGCAUACCAUAAGCAGGGAAAUCGCUUAUUGUCCAAAUAAGCAUAGCCCGCAUAGUAAAAUUUUUCCCUGUUGAACAAUCAUAUGUGUGAACGCCGGUAUACCAUAACUGAUUCAACUCAUGUAUGAGUGGCUGCAGAAAUACAUCGAGAGCUCGCUUCAGAUGAUUGGGACCUGGAACCAAAAUACUAAGGAAAAGAAAUUCCCUUUGCAUGCACAUAUCUGGAGGAAGGUUAUAAGAGGUUAGGAUUACUAGCCAUAAUCAAUAUUGUCUACCAGACAUACCAAAUGGAGUAAAACCAUCAAUGCACAGACCAAGAUAGACAUUCCGUUUGAACUUAGCAAAAUCUGGGUAUACCGUAUUGAAGUGUUUCCCUUUGCUUCUGAUGGAUGCACAACUUCUUCAUCUACUUGUGUAUGUUCUGCAUGUCAUCUCAUUGAUGCAGCUGUCCUUUCAGAUUGAUAAAGCCGCUUCAACCUAUCAGUUAUAGGGAGAUACCACAUACGUUGGUACGGUAUCCUUUUAUGCCCACCAGUUUGCGGCCUGUAUCUUGGUUUUUGGCAAAAUCGACAUUCCUCCGGCUGAUCAUCAUCUUUCCAAAAAAUCAUACAAUUGUCAACACAUACAUCUAUCAUCUCAGAAGGUAGACCAAGACUAAAAAUCAACUUAUAUAUUUCAUAGUAUGUUGCCGCUGCCAAGUUAUCCUCCGGUAGAUACUCUUUCAGAAGAUCAGCCCAAUCAUCCAUGCAAACCUCAACCAGGUUAUGAUCUGUUUUAAUUGACAUCAUCCUAGCUGCCAAAGAUAAUUUAGACAGAUCUUCUCUACAUCCUUCGUAGAUUGGCUGAUUAGCAUUGUCUAACAAAUCAUAAAAUUGUUUGGCAUCUACAUUAGGUUCCUCAACAUCAUUACCAGUAUGCGUUUCAUGAAAUGCAUCAGUCACCAUCUCAUGCAUCCUAUCAUGAUCUAGACCUUGAUCAGAUUGAUACUGAUUAGGCUGAUGACCAUAAUUUGAUUCAUCAAAAUCAACAUGACUUUGAUAAUUACUACUACUACCAGCAUUCCCAUGAGUAUUACUAUCAUAUCCUUCUCCAUGUAGAUACCAAACAAAAUAUUGCAGCAUAAACCCUCUAUUUAAUAAAUGCGUCCACACGGUUUUGGUUAGUGUAUACCUUGUAUUCUUGUAUUUCAAACAAGGACAAAACAUCUUUGUGGCCUGAUACAUGAAUAUUUCUAACCCGUUCUUGAACUCUUCUGUCAACGCCCCAUCUGAAUCUUUACGCAUAUACAUCCAGCUUCUUAGCUCGUAUAUAGACAUCUUGAAAAUAACUCAAAAAAACUAUCUCUCUCUAUUGUUUAGACAAUAUAAGAGACGGUCUCUUGUGUCACGUGUAGCCGCGUGAAUGGAGAAACCUUUCAAUAUUGUUACUUCUUUUUUCAAAGAAAUUACUACUAAUUCGGGUUUCCAGCAAUGGACAACCCAAUAUAUCAGGUUUUACAACAAUAUAAUAAGGUUUAAGAGACCAAAAAUGGGUCUCCAGGAUGCUGAUGCUCUUUUGUUUGAAUGAUGAUGUGUUGUGAAUGAAAGAAGAAAUGAAGAUGUAUUUAUAACCAAAUUUUGGACUUUACGACGCUUUUACGACAAUUUUUUACAUCCAACCUUCAUAUUACGAUGAUUUUACGUCGAUUGUGCGAUAAAAUAUUUCAUCGACAUUAGUUAGGUAAACAUGUUUUAAAUGUUCUUCACCUACCUUCUUUGCCGACGUAAAAUCGUCGUAACUGUACAUCGGAUUAGGAUCGUCGUAUAUUCAUCGUAAUGUUACAUCCAAAUUACGACGAUUUUGCAAUAAAUAUCAAAUCUCUCUUUAUCGAUGUAUAAUCGUCAUAAAGUAUCAUAAAUUGUACGUCGAAGUUACGACGAUUUUUUUUACGACGUUUUAUUUUUCCAUCGUAAAAUCAUUGUAACAUCGUUGUAUAUUUGUGACGACUUAUAAACUGUCGUAACAGACCGUUGGAAAACGAUUGUUUACUUGUAGUGGAUGCAGCUCAUACGCAGAGCACAAAACCAAAGUAUGGGCCACAUGUCAACACAGAGCAAGGUAAGCCAUCUAAACUCUCUAAAACAAUCUGUUAUAGGUGUCAUCAGAGAAGUCAUUUUGCUAAGACUUACCCAAAUACAAAAUCAGAGGAUACUUCAUCAAUUGAACCAGAAAAAUAUGAAGCUAGAGAAGUAGAAAAAGAUGAGUUAUAUUGUGAAAUUUCCAAUUCAGAUCUAAUGUGCUUGUCUUUGCCAAAGGUUAUUGAUGCAUGUUUAAAUCAUGGAGAGCAUCACUAUUAAGAGAUCAAGACGUGCCAACCUGCCACUGAAAAAUAUGAAGUUGUCACUAUCUUCACUCCAAUCCAAGAGGAGCCACCAGAUCUUACACUGAAUCCAAAUGUCGUGGCAACAAAGAAAACAGAACUAAUCAACAGUUCUGAUCAGGUAAGUAUUUCUUUAGCACCAUUGAAUUCCAACACUUCAAAUUCUGUGCUGUUACACUCAUUAAAUCCAGAAGAAGUUGAAUUAAAAGAAGUCUUGGUAGAAUGCAUAUCAUAUAUCGAACCAGACAUGAAAAAGAGAUAAGAACAAGUGUUCCAAACAAAAAUCAUGUUCCAUUGCUCGUAAAAAUAUUUUGACCGCGAUAACACACUUGUUUCUUGUCCAAAAAGAAAUGGUAAUUGCAGGAACUGACGAGGAUCCACAAGAAAUCCAACAGAAAGAAAUCAGUAUAGAUGCCAUUUGUAAAAUGGAGGAUUUUACAACGACAAAAAACUUGCUGCCCAAAGAAUUUAUCAACAGACAUGAGAGAGAGGUCACUGCUUCCUUAGUGAUAAAAGAAGAACCACCAGAUGCCCAAAAUAAACCAAACCCAAGCCACAAGCAAACCAUGACCCAAGGUAACUCUCUAAACCCUCAGGAAAAGCAUGAUCCUAACUUGCUCUAUCUUUGUGCAGGUCAAAGAGUUUCGAGGACGAAACUUUUCCAAGGAGGAGGGUAUGAUGUGGUCAUCGACCCAGCUCACCAUCACAAAGAGACCCCAAUUAUCUGUAGCCGAGAGAUGCCUUAUAGGAGCUGAAACGGAGAAAACAAUGGAACAUAAAGGCGAGCCCAACAGAAGCAGAAGUGAAAAUUUGGAGUUCACCAACCAAAUUUCAUCUGGAGGAUAUGAUCGAGCCAAAACACUUUUGGGUCGAUCCAGAAAUGAAGUUACCCAAGAAUCAACUCAAACUCUUGGCCAAAGCAUGUUCAAGCCACACAAGGAGACCCAUGCACCAUAUUCAGCACUGAUGAAGUCCGAGAUCAACUAGUACAGCUCGACCAACACUUGUAUUACAUUUCUAUCUCAUCCAGUGAACGCCUCGAAGUGGAAUCAGCCCAAUUGGAUCCCAGAGAAAGGAGUUAUUCAGCUUAUAAAUUAGGUGAUGCACAACUUCUACGAUUUGAACAUACGUUCCUUAUUUGGAGGUUUCCGACAGAACCAGAAGGAUUUAAGCUGUGAGCCAACUUGUUCCCGAUUUGUGAUUCAUCAUAGAAUCGGAGGCAAUUGGAAUCAAACCAAUACCGGUUAUGGUUAGAAAUUUAUUCACUUUUUAAGUUGGAAGAUCUGUUUCAGACCCAAUUGCACAGCGAGGUUGAAGAUCGUACUCUACAGCCCAACUCAUCCACGUUCUCAGCCCAAAAUUACUUGGAGAAUAUUUUUUGGUCUUUCCUGGAUCCAACAAGCUCAAGAUCCGAAGAAUUUCCCAUUGAAACUUCAAGUUACACCCAAAUUCUCAAAACGGAUUGACUUGGUUCUAUUUAUGGCAGGUCCGAGCUCUGACUGGUUUAGAUCGCUAUCUACAAGAGUUUGGCGCCCAGGAGAGACUCUAAGGCAACUAAAGAAGCUUAGAAACACCUUACCAUGCACUAGCAUCUACAGGAUCAGGCGGAUCGUCUUGCAAGCUUACUUUUCUUAUGUGGCCGCAUUCACACUCGGUGCCAUUAAUCACCAACGGCUCUUUUCCUUUGAAUGCUACGACUUGGACGUGUUAUAAUCGUCAUAAAGCAUCGUAAAAUACACUAUUUACAAGUUAUUUUGUGUACACAUUUAUUUCAUUCCCCCAAAAAUACAUCAUUUAUAAGUAACUUUUUUACGUAUAUCCUUUUUCUCUUUAAAAGAAAAUUUUCAUUAAAAAAACUUCAAAAUUUCAGUAGUUCCCAACUUAAAUCUCCGACUUUUUGGGUUCCAGCUUUAAAAUUUCAAGUUAAUUAUUUUUCCAAAACAAACCUUCAAGUUGCAUAAAAGUGUGCACAAUCGAGAGUUUACUAAGAGUCAAUGCUGUUGUUUAACGGUCAAUGUUAGAAAAUAAUAGUUUUAAAUAAUAAAUUUAUUUAUUUUUUAUGAAAAAAAAUCAAAAUAAAAAAAUAACAAAAGUAUUUUUUCAUUAUUUUUUUUUCAACACUUAACGGUUAAUAUAUUAUAUUGUUAAACUAAUAACUUUAAUUGUAUUAAUUUAUUUAUUAAAAAAUUAAAAAUCUUCUCAGUUGCAAAUCUUUUCAAGUGUGACCAAAUAAUCCAUUGGUCGAUCUUAUGUAUUCACCAUUAGGGUUGAGAAAGGAUCAAAGUUUUCUUAAUGAGAACGAGAAGUAAAAGGUAAACUCAUUAGAAGUUGUGUCUCUAGGUACCGGAGUUGAACCGGUUUUUUAUAGAAAGAUUUCUCAAGCGUGAAAAUCAUAACGGAGAGGUCAUAGGCGAGAGAAUUGUUUUUUUGUAUUUUUUGUUUUUAUUUUGAUUUUUUGGUUUUUGGUUUUUAUGUAAAAAAAUAAAUAAUUUAUUAUAUAAAAAUUAUUAUUUUAACGUUGAGCGUUAGACAACAAUGUAAAUUGUUAGUCAACCCUUGAUUGUGCACACUUUAAUGCAACUUGAAGGUUUAUUUUGGAAAAAUAACUAACUUGAAGGUUUAUAGUAAAAAACCCAAAAAAGUAGAGGUUUAAGUUGGGAACCGCUGAACAUUUGAGAGUUUUUCUGGUAAUUUCUGUUUUUUUUUAAAGAACAAUAGAACAAAAAUAUUCUUUACUAAAUUCAAAGAAACCCAAUAAGAAAAAAAUAUUCUUAUCAUUUAUUCCUUUAGUGGUCACACUAGUUUGAGCCUUAAGAAAAUCUGUUUCUUUAGUUUUUUGGAAAUCAUAAAAUAAUUGAACAAAAAUAGCUUUUGGGUGAGUUCUAGCUAAUGGUCUUUGUACGCUUAGUUGGCCCAGCUCCUAUCAGCUCACUAAAGCCCAUACGUAGAUUUACCUAAGAGACUUUGAGUUACUUUAGUCAGAAUGUCAGAUCUUCUAUCACCUUCCGGCCAAAUCAAUUUUGUAAAGACUAGUUUCGUACCAUUUCAUUGAAGCUAUUUCCAAUAAGUACAAAAAAAGGCGACAGAAGCUUGUAUAGAAACAACAAUACUUCUAGUAAUACAAACAAGAUACAACAAUCAAAAUACAACAAGAAACCCACAGCCAAUCGAGUCACAAAACACGUAAAAAGAAAGCAAUCCCUCUGAAAAGUUACUUACUAUAUUACCAAAUUUACUUGGAAGUAUCUAAAACUUUCAUGGAGAUGCACCACUGCUUCUGGAACGAUACAUAGUGGCAAAAUCCAAACUUAAACGCCGGUCCCUUUCGUCUCCCCAGCCUCCCCAACCUUUGAAACCAGCUUUAUAACCAGGUUGAUGUUUAAACACCUAAACUCCCCAUCCUUUAUUUAUGUUCACAACUUUAUCUGUUUAUUUAACCACAAUGUUUACAACCCCAUUAUCAAUACAGUCACCUUCCUCUCCUCUACCUUGAUGCAACCCACAUUUACCAAAGUGUACCGCACUGGUCCUAGGCCCUCUCAAUGUGUAAACAGGUGAACCAAACGAAGGGAAAACCGUUGCCCACAUUACAUCCCAAUUGUAAUCAUCAAAGUAACAAAACUCUCUUGCCUUCUGGUGUAUAUUCUCCCACAAACUUCUAUUAAAGGAAUACCCGAUAUUGUUAAUUGGUAAGAAGCACAAACCGUGCCCUUCUCUGUGUCUUUCAUUAUCAAUAUAUAGUGUUACAAAUGAAUCAAUCAAGAUCAAUCAGAGUAAAUACAUAAUAUACGGUAUAAUAAUUCUAUUAUUGAGUUUCCUAUUCUAUCACUCCCCCGCAGUCGUAGCGUUGGAUGGUUGAACGUUUAGACUAGAUCGAAAACUGGUAAAAAGGGAUGAUGGAAGUCCCUUAGUGAAAAUAUCUGCAUACUGAUGAGCGGAAGGGACAUGAAGAACACGAACACUGCCAAGAGCAACACGCUCUCGUACAAAAUGAAUAUCGAUCUCCACGUGUUUGGUGCGUUGGUGUUGAACUGGGUUUGUGGAAAGGUAGACCGCGCUGACGUUGUCACAGUAAACAAUCGUUGUAGUGGUAAUAGGGCAACGAAGUUCAAGGAGAAGGUUUCGGAGCCAAGUUGUCUCAGCUACCGCAUUCGCAACACCACGAUACUCGGCUUCAGCGCUAGAACGAGAGACAGUGGGCUGUCGUUUCGACGACCAAGAUACAAGGUUGUCACCGAGAAAUACACAAUACCCAGAAGUAGAUCGACGAGUGGUGGUACAGCCUGCCCAAUCAGCAUCGGUAUAAGCUGUGAUCUUAGAGAUAGUGGUUGGUUUCAACUGAAGACCGUGUGUGAUGGUGCCUUUGAUGUAGCGUAUUAUCCGUUUGAGAGCAUUGAGAUGUGGCUCUCGUGGGUCAUGCAUAUGAAGGCAAACUUGUUGGACGGCAUAUGCUAUGUCCGGACGCGUGAACGUAAGGUAUUGGAGGGCACCAGCAAGGCUGCGAUAGAGAGUUGGGUCGGCGACUGGUGGUCCAGCAUCAGCAGCAAGUUUGGAGGAUGUAUCAACUGGGGUGGAGCAAGUGUUGCAGUUCGUCAUUCCUGCACGAUGUAUGAUGUCUGCAGCAUAAUUUUGUUGACUUAAGAACAUCCCAUUUUUGUCCCUGUUAAUAGCAAUGCCCAAAAAAUAGUGAAGUUCGCCUAAAUCAGUCAUAGAAAAUUCAGAGUUAAGGGAUGUUAUGAUCGACCGUAAUAGUGAAGUGGAGGAUGCCGUGAGUCCAAUAUCAUCUACGUAGAGAAGAAGAUAUGCCAAAUCUUUCCCGCGACAUAAAACAAACAGUGAUGCAUCGCAUUUGCUUUGUUUGAAGCCGAUUUUGGUGGCGAAGGUGGCGAAACGUUGAUACCAAGCGCGAGGCGCUUGUUUAAGUCCGUAGAGAGAUUUUUUGAGAAGACAUACAUGCGUAGGCCGAGUGGGAUCAACAAAUCCUGGGGGUUGAUGCAUAUACACUGUUUCGUCAAGGUCUCCGUAUAAGAAUGCGUUUUUAACGUCGAGUUGACGCAAAGGCCAAUUAAGAGAAACAGCGAGAUGGAGAACGGUGCGUAUUGUCGGGGGGUUUGACGACAGGGCUGAAAGUUUCAUCGCAAUCGAUGCCAAUUUGUUGAGAUUUUCCAUUUGCGACAAGGCGAGCUUUGUAUCGAGAAAGUCGUCCACCUGCAUCAAAUUUAUGUCUAAAGAGCCACAUAGAACGCACAACGUUAGUGUUUAAGGGCCGUGGGACAAUUAUAAACGUGCCACUCUUUUUAAGAGCAUCAUAUUCAACAUGCAUUGCAUCGUUUCCAAUACUUGUCUUUUAAAGCUUGGAUAUGAGAUAUAGGGAGAGGAGAAAUUGUAUCUGUAUGAAGGGAGAAAAUCUGCUUCUUUUUAGUAAUUCCACUACGGCUCCGUGUUUGCAUCCCGUGAGAAGGAGGAAGAGAAGGUGGAGCUUGCGUUAUUACAUCACUCGCAGGAUCCGUCGACGGUGCCAGCGGAGCUGGCGGUGGUGCUUGUGGAGCUUGUGGUGAUGGCAAAACAGAGGGUGGAGCACGUGGUGUAGAAAAAUUCGUAGCAGGAAGAGAUUGGAGAAGGGGAUGAUAAGAGUGUGGGGAAGUUGGUGUCGAUGGAUUAGUUUCAGAAGCAGAGUUUUGAAAGGGGAAUGAGUUUUCAUCAAAAAUGACAUGACGAGACAAUAUUAUUCGUUUUGUGGCAAUAUCUAAGCAUCGAUAGCCCCGAUGAUUAGAGGGAUAACCCAGAAAAACACAUUUAGAAGAGCGAGGAGCAAGUUUAUGGAUAGAAGUUGGGAGAAGAUUUGGAUAACAAAGGCAUCCAAAAAUUCGAAGGUGAUCAUAGGAGACGGCUUUUUGAAAGAGACGAGUAAAGGGGAUUUCAUUGUUUAUUGAGGAAGAAGGAAGAAUGUUGAAAAGGUGAGCUGCCAUAUGGAGAGCUUCGACCCAUUAAGAAGGAGGCAUAUGGGCUUGAAGAAGAAGAACACGAAUAAGAUUGUUGAGAGUUCGAAGAGUACGUUCGGCACGACCAUUUUGCUGGGAGGUAUGAGGGCAAGAGAAUCGAGAUUGGAUGCCACUGGAGGAGAUAAAAUUUUGAAAUUCACGACUGGUGUAUUCACCACCAUUAUCACAAUGAAAAGCUUUAAUUGUUUUGUGAAAUUGUGUUUGAACAUAGCGAAAAAAAUGUAGAAAUUUAUUGAAAACUUCACUCUUUUGACGUAAAGGAUAAACCCAAAGAAAGUGGCUGUAUUGAUCUAAGAAAAUAACGUAAUAUCGUAUUCCACUGACACUUGGAAUUGGAGAUGUCCAAAUAUCAGAGUGUACAAUAUCGAAAGCAGAAAAAACUUGCGAUGAAGAAGAUAAAAACGGUUGCCGAAUAUGCUUCCCUAGCUGACACGGGUGGCACAAGGGAGACGUAUCCAGUUUUGAACAUUUAAGAAAUCCAGAAGACACUAAAAAACAAAGCGUCGAGUUCCCGGGAUGACUGAGUCGUCGAUGCCAAACUGAAGCGGAAGGAGAUGUUGAAACAAAAGCUUGAGGGAAAGGAGAUGUGGUUUGAGUGACGGAGUAGAGAGGGCCAUCACUAUCACAUCGGAGUAGAGGAGCUCGAGUUUGAAGGUCCUUAAUAAGAAAACCGAAAGGGUCAAAUUCAACAGAGCAAAAAUUAUCUUUAGUAAACUGACGGACAGAAACAAGAUUUUUUAAAAUUUCAGGGCAAAGAAGGACGUUUUGAAGAUGUAAAGGCCGAGAAGAUGUUGAAAUUGUAGAUUUUCCCAUUGCUGUGGCAGGUAAAUUGGACCCAUUACCCACCGUGACUAAGGGAAGAGAAGAGACGGAGGAUGAAGGGGAAGAUAGAGAAAUCAUACCUGGGUGUGACGUGAGGUGUGCAGUGGCACCAGUAUCCAUGUACCAUCCAGAAUCAGCGGGGUCCUGCAAUGUCAUUGUGUUGAAUGCACUUGCGAGGGCAGUUGGUAUGAACUCUUGAUUCAUUGCUCCUUGCAUUUGUGGCUGAGUAGUCUGAGUGAGAUAGACAGCACCACGUUGUUGCUGAGGCAUAGAUCCAAGAAUACCAGGUUGAGCAGAAGAGUAUUGAGGAUGAAAUUGUUGCGGUGAAGAAUUUUGUUGUUGCCAGAUGGGCUGUUGUUGUUGCUGCCAAUACCAUGGAGGCUGAGAAGGUUGGCGAGGAUUCCAAGUUGGAUUGUAAUUGUUGCGUCCUCGACCCUGACGACCUCGAUUUCCUUUGUUGUUGCGAUUGCCUCCUUUGUAGUUAUUGUUGUUGUUGUUGUUGUAACCACGGGAAUUGGAGAAAUCAGGUGGGUUUGACUGUUGAUGAGGAGUUGCGGCAAUGAGAAGUUGAUGGGAGGAGGCGCUAUCGUCAUUGUUGGGAGUAGAUUGUCGUUUGGUUUUAAGCCUGGAUUCUUCAUCGAUAAGCAUCGAUCUGGCGGUUCCAAAAGUGCAGGGGGGUGAUCGAUGUUUGAUAACAUUGAUAAUGUUAUCAAAUUUAGAGCUGAGACCGUUGAGAAGGUGCAUGACUAAGGCCCGAUCUGAAAUUGGAGAAUCAACAUUGGCUAGCGUGUCUGAAAUUGAUUUCAGCUUUUGACAAUAGUCGUGAACCGAAAGAUCACCAAUUGUGAGAGUGCGGAGUUCAUUUUCCAGGGUGAUUGCACGAGCCUCUUUGUUGUCGCGAAAUAAAUUCUCCAGCAUCAGCCAGAGUUCAUGGGCAGAGCACUGUGUUUUCAAAACAGAGGUGAGAAGCGAUUCAGAGAUGGUACCAUAUAUCCACAUCUUAACUGUGUUAUCGAGUUGCUUCCAUGUGGUGUCGGUCGGUCCGGUGGGAACAGCAGAUCCAUCGAUAUGGCCUGUGAGAGAGAAACUCAAACAGUGAGUUUCAAAAAGGAUGCGCCAUGAAUCGUAGUUCAUCUUGUUCAUGUCAAGAAUGAUUGGUAUGUGAGCACGGAUCUGAGUGAGACUUGCAGCGGUUGGUGUUGCAACGGUUGGUGUUGCAGUGGUGGGUGUUGCAGCGGCCGCCAUUGAUGGUUCGUCUAAUGUCGAUGAAGAAUUGCAGAGAAGUUGCAGAGAAAUUGCAGAAAGGUUGCAGAGAGAAUGUAGAGAAAGAGGAGAAUAGAGGUAGAUCAGAGAUAGAGAAGAGCAACAAGUAGAGAAAGAUUAAGGAGAAACAAUGGAAGAAGAUCGAGAAAAUAGAGAGCGGCGGCUAUAGGAGAAAGAUUUAGGUUAGAGGCAAAGCUCUGAUACCAUGUUAAUUGGUAAGAAGCACAAACCGUGCCCUUCUCUGUGUCUUUCAUUAUCAAUAUAUAGUGUUACAAAUGAAUCAAUCAAGAUCAAUCAGAGUAAAUACAUAAUAUACGGUAUAAUAAUUCUAUUAUUGAGUUUCCUAUUCUAUCAGAUAUUUCCCGUUCUCUCUGCAACCAAACUAUCAAGCCCUUCUCCUCUUGACUUGACAUCAGACGGUGCAAGAUUAGCAGCAAAGCAGUCAGGGUAUUUCGUGGAUUUCCGCUUCGUGAGAGUCUUUAUAUUCCGGUAGGCAUUAGGAAAAAGAAAGUGAUCUUCUUCGAUGAAAAUAAUAUGACCCUUGUGACCUUUAGUCUCCUCCAAUCCAUCCCAAACCGUGUUCAUCAUCCACCACCAAUGGUGCUUCAAAGACACAAUCUUUGGAGACCUGUGGUUUCCAUACUGAUCCGGAUUGCCUUCACAAUGUUUCUUAGCCUCAUUCACCUUUGUUCUUACAAUCACUCGGGGUCACUCGUCGUCUCUCCGUCGCUUACCGACAUCUCGUUCUAAAAUACUAAGAAAUUUAAUUAAUACUAUUUUCAUUGCUUUUUAUUUAUUUUUUAUUAAAUAAUUAGGGAUAUCUACAAAUUGUAGAGAGAUAUUAUAUAUAAUAUUUCUAUAAAUUUUAAAUCGACACCAAUUUUAUAAGAAUGGAAAAUAUACAUUAAAAUUUUAAAAUAUGACAUAUUAGAUUUAUAAAUAUUAUAAAUGAAUUUUAGGAAACUUAAAUUGUUGUUGAGUUCUGUGUGAGUCAAAGCCCGCACAAUCAAAACUUGUUGAAAAACUAAAGAGGUAACUGAAUUUUCUAGGAUUUUAUCGCAAGAACUCAAGAACGUAAUGAAUUUCUAUUGCUGGAAAAGCUAUAAGUCUUUGUGUUUAGAGUUGCAAAAGAUACAAAAUGAAUAACAUUUAUCGACAAUUUAUACAAGUUCUAUAAACCGCCAAUCCGAGAAUCUCGAGAAAGAUUCUCAUAAAAUUUCUUUAUCUUUUUGCACGGCCACUACCUCAGCCCUUCACCUAGGGUAAAAUGUUGUGCUCGCUUCAAUGGGCAAGACACCUGCUCGGCUAGGCCUGUUAACACUGCUUGUCUUCCGGCUCGGCCUAUUGACCUCAUAUUGGGCUCGAACCAAUUGUUUUUCCUUGAUCAGCUCCACCCAUUAUCGCAGCAAGGAACAUCCUGGUUCGGCCAAACGCCGUUGCAUGACUCGGCCCAAUUGGGCCCGUUGUUGCGGUGUUGCUCGGUCUGACCGGGUCCAUUGUCGCGGUGUUGCUCAAUCCGACCGAGCCUGUUGUCGCGGCGCGGCUCGCUCUAGCUCGUGUCACGGCUCAGGUCAGUUUGGUGGAUAUGGGCCUAAUAUCUCCCAUUUUAUACAUAGUCGUUUUUAGGACAGCUAAACUUGUCGGGGUGAAAUCCAACCUCAAUAGUUAGCCCCCCAGCUCGUCGGCUUUGGAGGUGAAGGUGAGAAGGUCAAAAUUGCCGGACCUAGAUUAGCUGUAAGAUUUUUUUUAUCCCUCCAAGCCAAGGAUGAUCAACCCACUUUUCUUCGUUCAUGCCGAGCUGAGCACGGCAUACUUCUUCCUUCUUGUGACCGAGCUGACUGCGAAAGUAAUACCGAGCUGUGGGUGAGGUCGCUUCGGUGGUCUAUUAAAGCAAAGCCUAUGACGAGAGGUUUGUUGAAAGUUAACGCUGGGGCAUUCAUUUGAAUGUGAAAAGCGAGGCGUUUUUUUCUUUAGGAAGUUAACGCCGAGGCGUAUGUGAGAAAAUUAACACCGAGGUGUUUUUUUAGAAAGUUAACACCAAGGCGCUUUUGAGAAAGUUAACACCGAGGCGUUUUUGAGAAAGUUAACACCGAGGCGUUUUUGAGAAAGUUAACGCCGAGGCGUUUUCUGAGAAAGUUAACACCGAUGUGUUUUUUUUAAAAGUUAACGCCGAGACGUUUGUUUGAAUGUUAACGCUGAUGCGUGUUUGAGAAAAUAAACGCCGAGGUAUUUACAGUGAGGCUUUUACCCCGAGGCGUGCUAUUUAGGUGUGAUGUGUUGUUGGGCUUAGUAAGGAUAGGUGACUGUUACGGAUUUCACACGCCGCUAUUCGGAGGUUUUGGGGAACUCACGCGCCGUAAAUCCCUAUAUAUACGAUGCUCACCCCUCACUUCUCCUCAUAACUCCAAAUCUCCAAAAUUUCACAAAGGUAUCUCUCCCUUCUUACUUUCUCUGUUUUUUCUUUUUGUUUUUUCGACUAAGGUUUGGACUUUGUCGCCGUCACAUCUCUGCUGUGCUGCCGUUUCAUAGCUGCAUUCCUGUACCACCGUCGACAUUUUUUCCGGUGAGCUAGUUCGUAAACCUGGUAGCGCUAUCUCCAAGCUGUAUUAUCUGUACCAGACGUAAAAAGUUAUGAGGACCCGAUCCAACAGCUUGUUAGAUACAUUAUUUAACCACGAAUAUCUCUUUCAUAUUGGCGAGGCGUCAAUUUCGGUGAGCCUCCCUCAUGAAUCUCCUUCUAAAGAUGGCGAGGUGUAUGCUUCGACAAGUUCUUCUCGAGGUCCUGCGCUACAUCUUAUCGAUAUCGCUGAAGUGAAAGCUGAGGAGGAAGAAUUUUCCUUUGAUCCGGUCGAGGCUAGGCUUGAACUGGAGCGUUCCAUGGCGAGCCAAGGCGCUUCUACCUCAGCACAGCCUAGAGCUCGGCGAAAGAAGAGGCGAAAGCCUAACCCUCCAGGAUCAACUCUGUCGACCGAAGAAUCUUUGAAAGCGUAUCCUCCACUUUGGGAUUUCUGAGGUGGUUAAAUUUAUCCUGCCGAGCCAAACUGAUCGCGCUCAUAAUCCUCCUCCGAACCACUUUACUCUAUACAAAAGCUUUUUUGAGUUGUGCUUUCUUUGGUUCCCCAUCACCAAGGUGAUCCUUUUAUAUCUUUGGAAGCACAUGAUCUCCAUAGGGAAAAUUAUGCCGAGAGGGUGGUGACAUAUGUUAGAAAUUUUGGUUUGGUGUUUUGAAUGCCGAGUCGACUUUGACCUCAAUCAUUUGCUUAACUUUCUGGAGAUUCGCAAAGCCCUAAGAGGAAGGUGAUUAUAUAUCUUCAAAAAGGUGAACUGAAAUAUCAUCUCAGGCUUCCUGAGCAAAGAUAAAUUCUGGGACGAGCGCUUCUUUUAUGCUCUGGUCAAUGAGGGGUCGCGACGACUUUGUUAAUCUGACCAAGACAGCUUGAAGACCACUUGAUAGCCGAUCUGAUGCCCUCACUUUGGCUCGGCUUUUUUUGUUUAUUUAUUCUGGUUCUUAAUGUGUUCUGUUUGUUUUGAAGUUCGAAACAUCCUUCCUCCGUGCCCUGACAACCUAUUCGUCAUUCGUGACUUUAGCCGACAAGAAAACCAACUGGAAACGUCACUUUUUUCUCGAGAGAUUUGAGAGAGCACGAGCCAUUCUCGCCGGCGUUCCCAUAAGUUCAGACUCGUCAAUGGAGACACCAGAGAAAAGAUGGUCAAGCUAACUCCCAAGGAAAAGAAGAAGAGAGGGGGCAAAGAGGCUGCAAGGCGGGCCGAGGAGAGAGCAGCUCGGGAGGCUCAUGUAAAUGCUGAAAAAGGUAAAAAUGAGGUGCCUAACUCUGACCUGGACGCAGCAAAGCUGACUGUACCUGAGGCGAAUCCCGCCGAUGCCUCUCCUAAGACAAUCCACAUUGGGGGGUCUCUAACAAGAGUCUCUCAAAAAAGUUGAGAGACUCUCUCAUUUGAGAGACUUUCAUUGAGUGUUCUAAGAUUUUUAAGAGACCCAUAUAACUGAAUAAUAUUAUUUAUUAUUAUUUUUAUAGAUGAGAGACUCUCCAAUGUAGAUGCUCUAAGGACCCUGAGAUGGUUCUUCUCGAGGUGUCUUCGAAAACUCUUACCAAGCCCCGGAAAACAUCUACUCUGACCGGAUCGGCAAUACUUGCUCUUCCUCAAACAGCGAGGCCUCCUUCCUCUACUCUUGUGAAGCAUCAGGACUUGCUGAGCUGCAAGCGCCCUGCCUUGAGAAAAGGCAAAGGAAUCGUCACCGAGCAAGACAAGCCGGCUCCAAGAAAGCUCGUUGUUGACGAUGCGACCUCGGCGGCUUUGUUUUCGAUGGUGAACAACGCCAACAAUCGAGUCCCACCUCCCAAAAAAGGUCAGGAUGGCGAAUUCCUAUGCCGCGAUGACAAAGCACGGAACAAAGGUAAUAUCUAACUCUUCUUUGUUUUUGGUUAUGCUGUUAAGUAUUGACUUGGAUUUCUUAUUCCACUUUUUAUAGUUUUACAUGACCAUUAACAAGCUGAUGGCUGACUACGAGGCGGAUGCUUGCAAGGAUGAAUGUCGUCUGGAUGAAGCAAGGAAAGAUGUAGUGGCGGUCAAGGCUAAGCUUGACGAGGUCCCGACGAAGAAUGUCAAGGCGCUGGCUCUGAUCAAGGCGUUAGAGGAGGAGAAAAUAGUCUUGAGGGCCGACUACGAUAGAGCUGCUAAUAUGGCUGCUCAUCUCGAGGAAGCUCAGACCAGAAAGAAAGCCGAGAUCGCUUCUCUGAAGAGGCAGAUCGAGGCGAAAGAUGCUCAGCUCGAGCCUCGGGUUAAACGAGCCUAGAAGAAAGCAAGGCGUGAGGCGGAGACUAAGUAUCAAAAGCGUCUCUCCAAGAUAGAGAAGAGCAUUGACGUGCUCAAGAAGGCCAAGGAUGAUGAAAAUGACGUAGGCCAGGUUAAGAGCAAUCUCAUGUUGAUCAAUGAUCUUGGGAAACCUGAUGUCCCAACUUUCGAGGCCAAAGAGGAGAAACUGAAAGACUAGGAGGCCAAUCUGGCAGGAGCGGACAAAGUGUUGAACGCAUCACGACUGAUAUUAGUGGUGAUGUGUUCCUUACCCCGGUCUCGCCAGACUCCGCGGAUUCUCGCCUUGAGAACGAGUGGUUAGAGGUUAUCGCACUACUGUUGGAGUGUUCGACCCCACUGGUUCCAAUGUUGGCACUCCAAAAGUUUCCAAUCUUACCAACAAGCCUAUCGUCGAGUCGUACCCCAAGAAUAGUGCACUUUUUAUAUAUUUCUUUUGUUCAAACAUUGCUUUUGUUUUUGGUGCCUGGAUGGCUUUAUUCAUACUUUGUUGUUGUCACUUUCUUUGUUUAGAACCUUUUAUGUUUGGAUAAUUUUAUCCGCUCUAGAAUUCCUUUUUUUGAAUGAUGAAUGUAGGCAUAUGAUUUUCUCGUCUUUCUGUUCUGAAAAUUCUUGAAAGAGAAUCAUUGUUAGAAGUAAACUGGUUAUGGUGUUUAAGUACUUUAUCUUAUGGAAAAAUAUUUUCUACGGAGUUGACGUGGUGAGAAUAAUACUUAGAGAAACUUAGUCGCCAAAGCUUCAGUGUUUUAGGUGAGACGUUUUUAUUGUUUUUUUUAAAGAUCAGCAUUUCCGAGGCGUUUUACAUGUAGAAAGGUGUAUUGCUGAUUUUAGGAAUUCACUUCGGCUUUUAGGGACUGCGAUGUAGUCUCGACUUAUAUUCUCGUCUAUGAUAAUGAUUGUAGCGACUGGUGUACUCAGUCUGAGAUAUAUAUAACGCCUUUUUUAUCCAUAUAGAAUAUUUCUUGCACCCUCGUCCUAGGAAAGAUAGUGUUAAAAUCCGUUUGGAAGAUUUGUGUACAUUAUCUUGUUGUGGCCAGCAACGAGACGAGUCAAAAUUUGUAGAGAAAAAAAUUGACUAAGUAAAAUACGUGUGCCGAGAGAAUGCUUUUGUAAUAUGACUAAAACGAGACGAAAAAAAACUAAAUAAAAAUGACUAAGUUAUGAAAUACGUCUGUCAAGGCAAAACUUUUGUAAGGUAAUUCAGACGAAAAAGGAAAAUAACUAAGUGAUAAUAUACUUUUGCCAAGGUAAUGUUUUUGUAAGAUGACUUAUGACAAGAUAAACGAAGAGAAAAAUGAUGAGCCAAAGAUUAUUGUCAAGAAUGCAAUUGAAAUUCCUGAAAAGAAGAGUGUGAGUGUGUAUACGUACCCACUUCUCCCCUGUUUUAGAAGGGAUAACAGCUGAACCUAUUCAAGGAUGGACUGCUUACGUACCAUUUGGAGGGAUCAAGCCGACUUGUAGUUCAUGAUUAUCAUGAUGCGCCUUAAUGGUAGUAUUUCUUCAAAUGCAUGGUGUUCCACGAUCUUGGGAUUGCUUUGUCUGUCAUGGUUUCUAGGUCGUAGACUCCUACCACUUUAGUGACUGUAAUGUCAUUACCAAUUUGCGUCGAGCUUUCUUGUGGUCUUCUCGGCUGUGUUCUACAAAACCUUGAUUAAAACCAGCUUUCCUUCCCAAUCUUCAACUUCGAACAUUUUUGUUGUAAAAUCUUGCCGUUGCUUGCUGAUAAUUCUGAAUUUGUAUUAAGGCUUGAUCUCGUUUCUCGUUAAUUAGGUCGAGCUCGUCUAGGAUCAUCAGGUGGUUUAAGACUUUGUGGCCAGGCAUGAGUCUUCAUCUUAUUUCACGAAAAUCCACUUCGGGAAGAAAUAUACAUUCAGUCCCGUAGACAAAAGGGAACGACAUUUCUCCCAUAGGACACCUUCUAGUUUGUCAACCCAUCAUUUUUUUUUAGCGUCGAGCCGUUUCUUAGGCCAGUAUAGAAUUGUCUUGUUACCCUGCUUUGGCCUGUCCGUUGCCAUGUGGGUAUCUUGGAGUCGAUUUACUCAGACGAAUUUUCCAGUUCUCCCAGAAGACUUCGAAGCACACAAGAUUCAUAAACACAUUAAAUGAUAUAGUAACACGAGUACUCAUAAUAUAGACAUUAACGCCGGAAACAUUUAACCUAGCAUAACUAGCAUUAUUAUAUAACAUAGUUCUAAUAUUUUAUAAUCCUAGAUAAUCAUUCACAUCAAUCAACCUAGAAAUUCUAUAACACAUUCCCAAAGAACUUCCAUGUAAGGUACUCAUUCUAUGCCACAGCCCAUAAAUGGGUAACGAUUAAUUCCUCCGCCCAAUCACAUGACUCGACAGUUAAUCCCGGUGUCAUAGCCCUCUACAGGGUUUGACAAUGGCUCGUCAGCCAUUUCUCGAUCACUAUAGCUUGACAAUCUCAAUCCCUCACUGUAGGCCGUCAAACAAAACUGUUAAGCUACAAGUAUUAACAACCUAUCAACCAGGCAACUCACGAUCAUAUAAUCAUGUUCCUAUAAUCUAAUAUCAAUUUACAAUCAACAAUUAACAAUCUUAUCAUAUUCAAUAUUUAUACCAAGUAUACAUCUUAUCACUAGAUCAACUAAUGCAUCAAAUGAAUCUACACACUGGUCCUCACCUUAAAAAUACUACAGAUUUGAGUCUGAAGAAUAGAAUUAUGUAUCCAACUCCUGGGAUACGGGACUAAACCUAGCUGGACUAAAUUUCGUGGGCCAAAAAAAAUCCAGACUAAAAUACGGUGUCUAAAACUGUCUAAACGUUUUAAAUAAUUGAAUUACCUAUCUGAACUUAUAACAUUGUGCUAAAACUUACUUUAACCAUUGAACCGUUAGUCAACAUUAACAGAAUGCUGAUGUGGCUGACAUGUCACUAUUUCGAUGUGGCAACAUACAAAACGACGACGUUUCCCGUAACAAAAAUUGGUAAUCGAAAUCUAAAAUAAUUCCUUUCCUAGGCUUCAAACCCGUGACAAUAAACACUAAAACUCAGCGUGUUAUCCACUGGAACCAUGGAAAAUUAUUGUUAAUUCUCACAAACAUAUCUAUAUAUUAUUAAUAUGUUCUUUCAUACGGAGAAUGCUUCGUUUCCGUCUAAGUUUUGAUGAAAAAGGUGGAGUUGCUAUUCUUUCUGGGGACUGUAACCUCCGAAACCUACAUACCAUUCUACAACCACACUCGAAUAACUGAAUAUAAAUAUUUAUUGAGUUUAUUACAUGAAAUUCUAAUGGGAGAGAGAAGAGAGAUGUCUACAUAAGAAACGAUAUUUGUAGGCGAGACGAAGUGUAUCGCAGUGGUGAUGCCACCUGUCUUCUUCUUCUUCAAAUGGUUUUUUUUUCUCUUCUCCCUGGAGCGAAAUUGAGAUGGGCCCAACUUCGUUUUGCUAUACAAUCAAUCCAUCUCCAUCAAAACUUGAUUUCACGAAGACACAUGUGGUUAGUCUUGUCGCGAAACAGUUUUACUUAGAUUUAUCAUCGUUUGCUGGAAAAUUGGGAGGAGGACUAUCCGGGUUUAGGAGCCGUCGAACUCUGGUCUGGUCGGAGUAAAGGCAACGACGGCUUUAGUGGAGGAAGAGAAGCAAGAUAUAGCAAAAGAGAAAAAGAAACAGAGGGUUUUAAUGGCCAGAGGUGGAAUUGGAAAAUCUCAGCGCUAAUAUAUAAUAAUGUUUGUACUAAAAAUAAACAAUGUUUCACUGCUCAAUUGGUUACUCGCUGGUACACGGUUUUUGAUGUCGUGGGUUCGAAGCCAUGGAGAAGCAAUUUUUUUUUAUUUUUGAAACAAUAAAAACGACAGCGUUUUAGCAAAGUGACAACAUGGCGUGCCAAGUCAUACUCUGUAAUGCCUCGUCAGCGUUUUAUUAACGGUUGACUAACGCUAAAAUUAGUCAAGUUAGAUUUUGACAUAUAUAUUAGAGUUCAGGUUGCAAAUUUGAAUUUUUAUGUAUAACAGAUAGUAAUUGGCACCGUAUUUUAGUCCGGAUUUUUUUUGGCCCAUGAAAUUUAAUUCAGUUAGGUUUUGGUUAUUUUCCCCCUGUGAUACACAUAACAUAAAAACUAGGGUUUCAGAUUUGCAAGUCCAGGCUGUUUCUAGGCCGAGAAGGUACAGCUAUAACUUUCGCAAUUUACUUCGUAAACUGGAUCUGAAAGUUGAUCUGGAAAAAAGGAUCCGAGAUCUACAGAUCGAUAUGUGGAAUCCUAUCUGGGUCCUUCUGGAUCGACGGCAAAACCUCUCUCAAGUUGGCUCUGCGAAACUGGAAAAAAAAUCAGAUCUGCAGAACUUUCUGGGUUUGCAAAAAUAAUAAUUUUUUACCAACUUUGAGCUCGCUUAAAAAAUGAAGCUUAACUCGGACUUAUGAUCUACAGACUGUUACGGAUUCCUUGCAGCGAGAUCUUUCCAGAGGUAUAAAUAUCGAUACCUAGCUCGAACAGAGUUAUUGGCAAACGACUCAGGAAAACUAUUACUCGGACAAAUUUUAAACUGAUGCUGCAGAGGUUUUUAUCGAAUUUCACUGCAUUAACUCUGUGUGGCUCUAAAAAAAAAAUGGCUGGCCUUUAUAUAGGGAAGGGAUCGAGCUCUUUGGGUCUAGGAUGGAGAAUAAAUGAUUAAAUUACUCUUACUUACAUUUGGGGCUUUCUUUCUUCUCCUCGACUUUAAGGAUUUCUGCUUUUCUUAUUUUUAGGAUAUCACAUCGCGUAUCUAUAUAAAACCGCUUUCCUAAUUAGUGGCCACUGGAGCUGGUCGUCUCCAACCACCGUGAUUGGUGACUACCAAUCAGAACUUAUAAAACUUUAAAUUGAACAACAUUGAUGCGAAUUUAAAAUUUAGAUUUUAAGAUACUCUACUUGAAGUGCAAGGCAAGUCAUGAACAAACUAGGAUCAAAUCUUCAAAGAGAGGUUAAGCACAUCAAAAAUGCAAGAAACUAUAUAGUCUAAAUCAAUCAAGUGAUGAAGAUUAUAAUAUUAAAACCUAAUUGGAAAGAGAAUGUAAAAUAGCAAAAAUAUACAAGAUGCAUAAAGACAAAUCAAUAAACAAAAAAAAAAAAUAUGAGCAUUGGAUCAAGGUCAAUUAUUAAGUGUGACUAAUGGUUGGUUAAUGAUGCUAGCAUAAUAAAUCAUUUCUUUUCAAUAUCUCCAAGGUGAAUUAGAGGGAUUUACUUAAAAUUUAUUUAAAAUAUAUCAAAACUGCAUGUAGAUAUGUGUGAAAUAUACGAUUUUUAGAACUUUUAAAGGCGCUUUUUUCUAUGUAACUUUUUUUUAUGACUAACCAUCUAUCUAUAUACUUAUUUGUGUAGUGAUUUGCUUAGGUGUCGGCUCCACAGCGAAUUUCAAAAUGUUUGCUUAUGUGUCAACUCCAGAAUGAGUUUCGGCUGCAAAAAGAUCUUUUAACUUUUUUUUAAUUAUGUUUUAUUUUUUGAUUGGUUCUUAUCUGAUGAUGUGUUUAAAUAACUUAAAAUAAACCGUUCUAAAUUAUUGUGGUUUAAUACAAUGUUUUCAAACCUGGACCGGAUCGAGCGGUCCGAACGGUUGAACCGCGACUCGAAAAAAUUUCAUGUUGGUUUUUGUUGAAAAAUCGAGAUGCUAUUAAACCGUUCAAACCUAGAAAAAUUUGUUCAAACCCGGUGAACCGGCAAAAACCCAACUGAGACGGUUUAGUAGUAAUAACAGUUUGUUUUCUUUUAUAUUUUAUUGAAUGGUUUGUUACCUUCACCAUUACACAUUAGUAAAUUUUAUAAUAAAUUGAAUAAAGAAAAUAUAGAAUGAAAAAUCCUUAGCAAAUCAAAUGUUAGAUUUGUGUAGUGAUUUGCUUAGGUGUCGGCUCCACAGCGGGUUUCAUAAUAUUUUGCUUAUGUGUUAGCUCUAGAAUGAGUUUUCGCUGAAAAAAGAUCUUUUGAUCCUAUUUUAUUAUUACAUGUCAUUUUUUAAUUGGUUCUUAUCUGAUGAUAUGUUAAAAUAACAUAAAACAAACCACUAUAAAUUAUUGUGAUUUAAUGUUUCAUUCUGUUGUCAAUCAAACCGUUUCUAAAAUUUUAUAAAACUGAUAUUUAGUAAAAAUCUAUAAAUGGAAUGUCUAAUGGAAUGAAAUUUGUGAUAUCUAGAUUAGGGUUUUCGACUUCAAAUGUUUUAGUUCAAAUAUGUACACGACUUCUUUCUAAUUCUCUCACAUCCUUCAAAAUUGUUUAACUUUUUUCUUCUUCUAUGAAUAAGUUAGUUGGAUACUUUAAAUCAUUAUGUUUUUUGUUUUAUGAUUAUUGUGAAUAUAUAUAUAUAUAUAUAUAUUGUAUCUUCAUUCAAAAACAUAUCAGCCCAAUGGACAAAAAAAAAAGACAACAAUGGUAUUUAUAGUCCGCAUGAUGUCUUCAAACAUUAAAUGCAAAGAAAUCUAACAAAUAAAUAUACUCAACAAUAUAGAAUAGAAAAUAAAUAAAUUCAAAUUACUAUUAUUAAAUUUUCAAAUAAUCAAAUAAAAAAUUAUAUUAGUUCGUGCAAGGCGUGGAAAAAUUCACUAGUUUUUAUAUUAAUCUUUUUCUGUGUUCUUUAAAAAGUGUGAAUAAGGAAAAAAAAAGCAGAUGGUCCUAUAUGUAAAAUAAAUGCAGAAUAAGUGUGUUAUUUCUAGUUUCUAUUCAAAAACCAAUAUUUCUAUGAAAUUUACGAACAUCCUUCUAAAAUACUCUUAAAUACUUAAAUGUUAAACUAUGAACUGGGUUGAUGUCUAUGCAAAUAAUGAAGUUUGAUGCUUUUUUAAAAGCAUACUGAACAUUUUUGUCAAGACUUGAAAAAAUCCGUUUCUCUACUAUUCUUUUAUUAAAAAAACAAAUAUUGAAAAAUAGAACCAACUUCUAAAACUAUUUGCACUUUACUCUAAAUCUCACUCUAAAAUAGAAUUUAAAGCAAAACUAGAUUUUACUUGUGCACCCGCACAUGAACUAUUUUUAAUUUAUUAAAUUUUGUAAUAUAAUUUGUGUUUUUGUUUUAUUUAUAAAUAAUUUUCUAAUAAGUGAUUAAAAAAUUCUGUUUAUAUAUAAUUUGUUUCUAUCGAUUUAUUUUUUCUAGUAUUACUAGGUGGCUGGUCCGCGCCCUGCGCGGCUGAUGUUUUUCAAAAGUUUUUUUGUUUUGAAUAUAAUACUUAAACCACAUUUUGAACAGUUUUUUGUGUGUUUAAAAUUAAUAUUCUAACCAUAUUUUGAAAGUUUGUUGAGUUUAAAAUGUAAUAUUCAAACCAUAAUUGGAAGCUUAUAAAUUGAUUUGUAUAAUGUUAAAUAUAUAUACUUAAAAAAGCAUAUUAUAACAACUGAUCAUGUACUAAUUUUUUAGUUCAAACAAACAGAGCUAUGCAAAACGUUAUCAUAGUCAACACUAAUUCAUAAUAUAAGAAGAUCCAAAAGAUAAAUCAGUUUAAUAUAACAAAAUUUAAAAGAUAAAACAGUUUAAAAAUACCAAUGACCACCAAAAUAUCAUAACUAAUAUCCAAUGUAAUCUAAACAUACUUUUAGUAGCAAACAAAACAAACUAUUCAAACCAACCGCGAAUUUCGAUAAAUGUUUUCAAACACGUCUUUGUAAACAACAUUCAUUGUCUUCUUUUGUGUUUUGCCAUUCUUAUCUGUAAUAAGAAUCUUCAACCCUUGGCUGAUGUAACUCUAGACAAGGCGACAUAAAGUUGACCAUGCGAGAACACUGGUUUUGGCAAAUAUAAUCCCACCUUUUGUAGAGUCUGACCCUGACUUUUGUUUAUAGUCAUAGCAAAAGCUAUGGUAAUUGGAAACUGCCUCCAGCGCAUUCUAAAAGGAAACCUUGCUUCUGGUGGUGAUACAAACAUUCUAAGUAUGAUAACCUUUUUUCCUAUUUUCUUCCCGGCUAUAUGGCUUGCCUCGAUUACAUGCCUAGCUAACCGAGUAAUAAGCAACCUCGUACCAUUACACAAACCACCCUUUGGAUCAAUAUUUCUAAGCAACAUUAUUGGAGCUCCUAUCUUUAACUUGAGAGAAUGAUUUGGCAGUCCUGAUACCUUUAUACUAUUAAGAUACUCCUGUGUAUAGACGACUUCGUCUAUUUUGCUUGUGUCUGAAGUAUCAAUGCUAUCGGCACUAAGGUAUUCAUGUUCCUCACCUAAUAAAAACAAUUCAAACUAUGUUAGUACUGAUAUAUUUUAUAACAUAAAUACGUAUUAAACGGAAUUGUGAGAAAUCAUAUAACGAAGACCUUUGAGUUCUGAUAGCAUGAAUUCAUUGAUAACGUCGACAUCCUGAUUCCGUGGACUGAGUAUUGCCCUUUCCUGAAAAAAACUGGACUAUAUAGUAAACAAACCAGGUCAUCACAUAGCACAGCCUCGAGACGCUUUUCAGAUGGGUGCAAACUAUGAGUCCAAACUCUCAAAACUUUAACAUUAAUCUCAAACUCACACGGACCAUCGGUUAGAUGUAUGACUUUUAUUGGAAACGCUUGAAUCUCUUGAGACAUCAUAGCUGUAUUUGAAGAGGAGUCGUUGGAACAUUCAUCACCAUUAUCAAUUUCAGAAUCUGAAGUAAAGAGCCUACGUUUUAUGCAAAUCCCUUUAGGGGGAGCUUUAACAAAGAUACCAUCCACAAUAUUUUGUGAUGUUCCAUGGAAAUCAUAGUUGAGAUAUAGUCUUUUUCCCAAUGGACGUUUGGGCUGAUGAUCAGCAGAACAUUCGGUUUUCACUGCCGAUGCAUCAUUCCGAAUAUCAUCAACAUCAUCACUCAUGUAUUCUUCAUUUUUCUCAUCAACAUCAUCAUGACUCUCGUCCUUGUCUCCUUCUUCAUCACAACCAUCAGACAAUUCGUUCGUCUCAUCAUAGUCAUCGUCUUCAUUUUCUUCAUCGGUUUCCUCACAAUCAUCACUUUCUUCGUCCUCGUCUUCUUCGUCAAUUCCAUCACUAUCAUCACUAUCAGUACUAUCUUCGUCAUCUUCCUCGUCAUCAUAUUCGUCGCCAUCGUUAUCAUCACUGUCUUCGUCUUCUUCUUCGUCAUCGCAACCAUCAUACCAGUCGUCAUCAUCAUCAUUGUUAUCAGUAUCCGGUUGGUCACUACCACUAUCAUCACCAUCAUUGCCAUCACGGACAAUGUUUAUUUUACGACUGAGACACCUACAUUUAUAGUACAAAGUGUUUCACCCAUUUCUCUCACCCUCUCUCUCUCUCCCUCCCUCUUUUUCCAUUUCCUUUAUCAUUGUCCCUCCUUCCCUUUCUCCCUCUCUUCCCAUCCAUCCUUCUCAUUCUCCCUCCCUCUCUCUCCAUCCCUCCUUUAUCUCUCCUUGUAUCUCCCUCUCGCUAUUUAUCUCCCUCCCUCUCAGUCCCGCCCUAUCUCUCUCAUUCUUUCCCUCUCCCUCUCUUUCCCUCCCUUUCUUUCUCCAACCUGGCCNNNNNNNNNNNNNNNNNNNNNNNNNNNNNNNNNNNNNNNNNNNNNNNNNNNNNNNNNNNNNNNNNNNNNNNNNNNNNNNNNNNNNNNNNNNNNNNNNNNNNNNNNNNNNNNNNNNNNNNNNNNNNNNNNNNNNNNNNNNNNNNNNNNNNNNNNNNNNNNNNNNNNNNNNNNNNNNNNNNNNNNNNNNNNNNNNNNNNNNNNNNNNNNNNNNNNNNNNNNNNNNNNNNNNNNNNNNNNNNNNNNNNNNNNNNNNNNNNNNNNNNNNNNNNNNNNNNNNNNNNNNNNNNNNNNNNNNNNNNNNNNNNNNNNNNNNNNNNNNNNNNNNNNNNNNNNNNNNNNNNNNNNNNNNNNNNNNNNNNNNNNNNNNNNNNNNNNNNNNNNNNNNNNNNNNNNNNNNNNNNNNNNNNNNNNNNNNNNNNNNNNNNNNNNNNNNNNNNNNNNNNNNNNNNNNNNNNNNNNNNNNNNNNNNNNNNNNNNNNNNNNNNNNNNNNNNNNNNNNNNNNNNNNNNNNNNNNNNNNNNNNNNNNNNNNNNNNNNNNNNNNNNNNNNNNNNNNNNNNNNNNNNNNNNNNNNNNNNNNNNNNNNNNNNNNNNNNNNNNNNNNNNNNNNNNNNNNNNNNNNNNNNNNNNNNNNNNNNNNNNNNNNNNNNNNNNNNNNNNNNNNNNNNNNNNNNNNNNNNNNNNNNNNNNNNNNNNNNNNNNNNNNNNNNNNNNNNNNNNNNNNNNNNNNNNNNNNNNNNNNNNNNNNNNNNNNNNNNNNNNNNNNNNNNNNNNNNNNNNNNNNNNNNNNNNNNNNNNNNNNNNNNNNNNNNNNNNNNNNNNNNNNNNNNNNNNNNNNNNNNNNNNNNNNNNNNNNNNNNNNNNNNNNNNNNNNNNNNNNNNNNNNNNNNNNNNNNNNNNNNNNNNNNNNNNNNNNNNNNNNNNNNNNNNNNNNNNNNNNNNNNNNNNNNNNNNNNNNNNNNNNNNNNNNNNNNNNNNNNNNNNNNNNNNNNNNNNNNNNNNNNNNNNNNNNNNNNNNNNNNNNNNNNNNNNNNNNNNNNNNNNNNNNNNNNNNNNNNNNNNNNNNNNNNNNNNNNNNNNNNNNNNNNNNNNNNNNNNNNNNNNNNNNNNNNNNNNNNNNNNNNNNNNNNNNNNNNNNNNNNNNNNNNNNNNNNNNNNNNNNNNNNNNNNNNNNNNNNNNNNNNNNNNNNNNNNNNNNNNNNNNNNNNNNNNNNNNNNNNNNNNNNNNNNNNNNNNNNNNNNNNNNNNNNNNNNNNNNNNNNNNNNNNNNNNNNNNNNNNNNNNNNNNNNNNNNNNNNNNNNNNNNNNNNNNNNNNNNNNNNNNNNNNNNNNNNNNNNNNNNNNNNNNNNNNNNNNNNNNNNNNNNNNNNNNNNNNNNNNNNNNNNNNNNNNNNNNNNNNNNNNNNNNNNNNNNNNNNNNNNNNNNNNNNNNNNNNNNNNNNNNNNNNNNNNNNNNNNNNNNNNNNNNNNNNNNNNNNNNNNNNNNNNNNNNNNNNNNNNNNNNNNNNNNNNNNNNNNNNNNNNNNNNNNNNNNNNNNNNNNNNNNNNNNNNNNNNNNNNNNNNNNNNNNNNNNNNNNNNNNNNNNNNNNNNNNNNNNNNNNNNNNNNNNNNNNNNNNNNNNNNNNNNNNNNNNNNNNNNNNNNNNNNNNNNNNNNNNNNNNNNNNNNNNNNNNNNNNNNNNNNNNNNNNNNNNNNNNNNNNNNNNNNNNNNNNNNNNNNNNNNNNNNNNNNNNNNNNNNNNNNNNNNNNNNNNNNNNNNNNNNNNNNNNNNNNNNNNNNNNNNNNNNNNNNNNNNNNNNNNNNNNNNNNNNNNNNNNNNNNNNNNNNNNNNNNNNNNNNNNNNNNNNNNNNNNNNNNNNNNNNNNNNNNNNNNNNNNNNNNNNNNNNNNNNNNNNNNNNNNNNNNNNNNNNNNNNNNNNNNNNNNNNNNNNNNNNNNNNNNNNNNNNNNNNNNNNNNNNNNNNNNNNNNNNNNNNNNNNNNNNNNNNNNNNNNNNNNNNNNNNNNNNNNNNNNNNNNNNNNNNNNNNNNNNNNNNNNNNNNNNNNNNNNNNNNNNNNNNNNNNNNNNNNNNNNNNNNNNNNNNNNNNNNNNNNNNNNNNNNNNNNNNNNNNNNNNNNNNNNNNNNNNNNNNNNNNNNNNNNNNNNNNNNNNNNNNNNNNNNNNNNNNNNNNNNNNNNNNNNNNNNNNNNNNNNNNNNNNNNNNNNNNNNNNNNNNNNNNNNNNNNNNNNNNNNNNNNNNNNNNNNNNNNNNNNNNNNNNNNNNNNNNNNNNNNNNNNNNNNNNNNNNNNNNNNNNNNNNNNNNNNNNNNNNNNNNNNNNNNNNNNNNNNNNNNNNNNNNNNNNNNNNNNNNNNNNNNNNNNNNNNNNNNNNNNNNNNNNNNNNNNNNNNNNNNNNNNNNNNNNNNNNNNNNNNNNNNNNNNNNNNNNNNNNNNNNNNNNNNNNNNNNNNNNNNNNNNNNNNNNNNNNNNNNNNNNNNNNNNNNNNNNNNNNNNNNNNNNNNNNNNNNNNNNNNNNNNNNNNNNNNNNNNNNNNNNNNNNNNNNNNNNNNNNNNNNNNNNNNNNNNNNNNNNNNNNNNNNNNNNNNNNNNNNNNNNNNNNNNNNNNNNNNNNNNNNNNNNNNNNNNNNNNNNNNNNNNNNNNNNNNNNNNNNNNNNNNNNNNNNNNNNNNNNNNNNNNNNNNNNNNNNNNNNNNNNNNNNNNNNNNNNNNNNNNNNNNNNNNNNNNNNNNNNNNNNNNNNNNNNNNNNNNNNNNNNNNNNNNNNNNNNNNNNNNNNNNNNNNNNNNNNNNNNNNNNNNNNNNNNNNNNNNNNNNNNNNNNNNNNNNNNNNNNNNNNNNNNNNNNNNNNNNNNNNNNNNNNNNNNNNNNNNNNNNNNNNNNNNNNNNNNNNNNNNNNNNNNNNNNNNNNNNNNNNNNNNNNNNNNNNNNNNNNNNNNNNNNNNNNNNNNNNNNNNNNNNNNNNNNNNNNNNNNNNNNNNNNNNNNNNNNNNNNNNNNNNNNNNNNNNNNNNNNNNNNNNNNNNNNNNNNNNNNNNNNNNNNNNNNNNNNNNNNNNNNNNNNNNNNNNNNNNNNNNNNNNNNNNNNNNNNNNNNNNNNNNNNNNNNNNNNNNNNNNNNNNNNNNNNNNNNNNNNNNNNNNNNNNNNNNNNNNNNNNNNNNNNNNNNNNNNNNNNNNNNNNNNNNNNNNNNNNNNNNNNNNNNNNNNNNNNNNNNNNNNNNNNNNNNNNNNNNNNNNNNNNNNNNNNNNNNNNNNNNNNNNNNNNNNNNNNNNNNNNNNNNNNNNNNNNNNNNNNNNNNNNNNNNNNNNNNNNNNNNNNNNNNNNNNNNNNNNNNNNNNNNNNNNNNNNNNNNNNNNNNNNNNNNNNNNNNNNNNNNNNNNNNNNNNNNNNNNNNNNNNNNNNNNNNNNNNNNNNNNNNNNNNNNNNNNNNNNNNNNNNNNNNNNNNNNNNNNNNNNNNNNNNNNNNNNNNNNNNNNNNNNNNNNNNNNNNNNNNNNNNNNNNNNNNNNNNNNNNNNNNNNNNNNNNNNNNNNNNNNNNNNNNNNNNNNNNNNNNNNNNNNNNNNNNNNNNNNNNNNNNNNNNNNNNNNNNNNNNNNNNNNNNNNNNNNNNNNNNNNNNNNNNNNNNNNNNNNNNNNNNNNNNNNNNNNNNNNNNNNNNNNNNNNNNNNNNNNNNNNNNNNNNNNNNNNNNNNNNNNNNNNNNNNNNNNNNNNNNNNNNNNNNNNNNNNNNNNNNNNNNNNNNNNNNNNNNNNNNNNNNNNNNNNNNNNNNNNNNNNNNNNNNNNNNNNNNNNNNNNNNNNNNNNNNNNNNNNNNNNNNNNNNNNNNNNNNNNNNNNNNNNNNNNNNNNNNNNNNNNNNNNNNNNNNNNNNNNNNNNNNNNNNNNNNNNNNNNNNNNNNNNNNNNNNNGAUCUGCAUCAUGAGCAGCUUCAUUAUCUGAUUGUAAUCAUGACCUAUCUCCUCUCUCCUUCCGAUUAAAAAGAUUGAUCUGCAUCAUGAGCAACCAACACUCCUGAAUUGUAACAAAAAAGUAGUAAAAACAAAUAUACUAACAUGUAAGCACAUAUAUCUUCAAUUAUCAUGCAAAUAUUCAUCUUUUUUUUUGUUCAAAUCUGUGAUUCAUAUCACAAUUCACUUUUUUUUUUCCUUUCUUUUUCGGUUUAAUUUGAGCUCUUCAACUAUGGCUUUGGUAUACUUGUAACCCUGGAUAGAUUACGCUAUAUAAAUUCAUUAUACUUUGUGUUUGCUUUACAGUUUACUUCUUUCGCAAUUCAGUUCUUUCUCUCUUUUGCUCUGGCCACCAUUGUUUAUAUAUUGUGAUCUAUUUGAACUUCAAAGGCCGAGUCUUUCGUCAUCAUCUCCUCUGUUUCUCCCUCUUUCUUUUUCUCUCCCUCGUCACAUCCACGACCACAAAAUCCUAUCAUGUGUGAAAUUUUCUUCUUCGUAUUCCUCUAUAUUAUUGGGGUUUUUUUGUUUAUCUUCUCCAUGUAAUUUUGAUUGUAACCUUAACUUUCAUACCUUAAAUUAUCAACGAAAACAAAUCGUAGCAUCAGACAGCUUCGUUAACAACUGGUGAGAAAAGUUGGAAAGCUGCCUGAUGUAUUGUUUCACAUCGUUAACUCUAUAAACCCCAAAUCAGAUUUUGUUGAUAUACUUUGUAACUGCAAGAUUUAGCCUCAAACUCUUCCUUUAAGAUACCUCAUCAGAUUUCAGAUGUAUAGAUUCUAAAGGAUCAAAACAUCAUAUUUUAUUUGUGUCAAUAGAUCUGCUGUACCUCUCUAAUUGAGAGAUCAACGUCGCUUCCACUGCCCAUCUCAUCAAUAUCUUUGAUCAACGUUCCGUAAGCCCAUACAACCAUGUUCAUCCCCCAUCAAAUUUUGAUAAAAACAAUGAAAGAUUGUUUGCUAGUACCUAUAAAACUUUAACCGUGUGAUCAGCAGGUUGUCACGGACUCACAAAUAUCCAGAAUCUGCAUUCUCUACAUAAUUGUUAAGUUCCUUAAUUCUUCAUAGAAAUUAACAAUUACAUAUUUCAUAUAAAAAAAAGAGAAUAAAUAGAUAAUUUUUGGAUGUGAGGUAUGAGAUUGAUGAGAAAGAAACAAACAUAGAUAAUAGGCAAAGGAUCACAAUCGAAAUCAUUAUCAUCAUCUUCUUUCUCUUGCUCUUCUCCUCCUGGUGAUCCAAGAUUAGAACAAAAAGUUUGAAAAACAAAACAUAUUAUCAGUUAACAAUGAGGAAUUAUCUACCUAAAGGAAAACACAAAGAAAUUAUCAAUCCGGUCAUUUGCAUAUAAUUGUAUCAAACAAUUAUGAACUGUAAACCAUCAUUCGACAUCUUCUUAAUCUUGUUACCUUUUUUAAAAAUAAUCAACUGAAAAUCACUUAAAAAUUUUUUCUGGUGGUAAAAAUCCCACUUAAAUUUAAAUUAAGUCUAACAUAAUCUUAUGUAAAAUCUAUUUGGUGGAUCCAAAGGUGUUAAUGGGUAGGAUGAGAGCCAAUUUCUAAGAAAAAUCAAUGUUGCUCGAUUGUAAAAAAGUUAUAAAAAAAAACAAAUACCAUCAAACUUCAACGAAAACAAUACACAAAGAAGACAACACAAACUAAUCCAGAUCAGAAGCAUUCAAGAAACUUGUGGAAAACGUAACAAAUCUUGUUUUAUUUUUUUGGUGUAAACGUAACAAAUCUUAAUUAGUGUUGUUCCCGUCUUUUAAAAAACACAGACAUGGUAGCAAAUAGACAUUAGACAGUGAAUGUUCUGACCAGAAGAACUCGUUCAGGUCACCAUAGUUUCUCCACAUAGAUUGAUUUGCAUUUUCAUUCUUGUUCUUCUCAAUUUCAUGCAGGCAUAAAUUUUACAAUCAAUUACGCAUUUUAAUUCCAUAAAAGCGUUGUCAAAACAAAAAAAAAAAAUCCAUAAAAGCAUUGUAUCAAAUAGAAGAUCACCUUUUCAAUGACUCUGUAUCAUGGUAACUACACUCUCAAGGAAUUUUUCGUUUCCCCACCAUAUGCUGGACCUUCUCCCUAGUUAUCAGACUAACGUCACUGAUGAGAAUAUUUUCAGAUGGACUGAUAAACUUUUGAAAAAGAUGCAAUAAUAACAUUCGAAGCUUUUCCCCAUAUGAUCAGGUAGAUACGCACUAUGCAUAGUGUUUUAAAUCGAAGGGCUUCUUGUUCACACGGGGCAACCUGCAGGUGGAUUGUGAGGUAAGACAGUUAGAAAUAAACACGUCCCAAAGAGAUAAAAUAAUACAGAUUGUCCACAGAUGAAAGAUAUUCUAAAAAUACCUGAUGUUUUCUUUUCUCCCAAGAAACUUGCACCAGUUUGUGCAGUUCUUACGAAAAUUCUUCACCAAUGCAGUUCUUAAAAACUUUCCCUGACUUUAAAUACUGAAGAAACUUCACCGACUCCGACACUGGAGAUUCCCACCGACACUGACGGUCGAGCAUCAUAGGCUUCUCUAACUUUCCCAUUGCUUUUCCAACAUAUUCGGGAAUAACAGAUAUCGUUAAUCCCUCUGCCUUCAACUGAGUCACCUGACAAAAAAAAAAUCAUAAUCAGAAUAUGCACACAAGAAAAUCUAAGAUCUAAAUUUCAAACUUGAAUUCUGACAUCUUAUUGGUAUGAUUGAAAUCACAACACAAAAUUUGGACUGUAUUCCAUUACUCAAAACAAUCGGUCCCAAGAUUUUAUUUUACAAAUCAAAUUCAAUCAAACUGGUAAAAAAAAGGAACGACAAAGAUCCUUCGGAAGAUGUCCAGUUACAUCGUGAUUGGAUAUCUGUGCUGUCCACCAAGCAUGUUGCUUUACCAAUCACUGGCUAUCACAACAGCUUCUAUUUCACCUUGCUUACAAGUAGUACAAAAAAGGACUUGCUCACCCUUCUACUUGGUUACAAGUAGUGAUUCUCUAAUAAGCACUGACUGCAGGAAUAAAAGUAUAGAUAUUCUGUCAGAGACAGUCUUAAAUAGUGCACUAAAAGAAAAGAGAUGCAACAAAAUAACUAAGUGCCAAAUGUUAUGUACGUGUCUGGUCUAUUUUCAGGGGGUCUCCUUCAAGAAGGCGAGCAUCUGUAAGAAAGAUAUCAGAAUAUAACAACGUGCUCGCCUUCGGAUAGAUACGACUACAUUCCAUCCAAGCUAACAAUCUGCUUUUAUUCUUCGGAUCAGACAUGUUCACGUCAUCAGAGAAGGAAAUUUGCGGCAAUGGAAGAUGCACAGGCAAAUAAAACACCUAAAGUUAUUAAAGAACAAACUCAUCAAUUCAAAAUAAUGUACGACAGUCAUACAAUUAACUAAAACAGGAAAAUAAUAAACACCUAAUAAGUGAAUGUGGUAUAGAUAUAGGUUUGAUAUGUAUAGUUCGUAGACAGAUUAGAGUUUUCGUUUUAGGUUUAGAUAAGACGAUUAGAAAUACUUGAGCUUGGUAAGCUAUUCUAGUACGAAAACUAAAAGCCACUACAAAGAUGAAAACAAAUCUGUUAAAAAUUGAUAAGCAACAACAAAGAUGAAAACAUAUUAAAAAGUUCAGAUCCAUUAACAAAUGAAUAAGACGACAACCAAACCAAAACAUGAACGAAUUCUGAUUGGAUAACAUGAACCAUACCUAGACCAAUAUGGGACGAUGAACACGAACAAAUUAUAUCGCGCUGCCUGUAGUUAAUUACCUACAAACAAUCAAACAACAAAAUAAAUAAAUGAUCAGUUCCAUUGAUAUCCAGAAAGUAAUCACACAUAUAAACAAUUAAUCCAAAGAAAAAAGCAAGCAAUAUAUAAACGCAAAUCAAAACGCCGCAGAACACAAACAAAUCAAAGAAAAUAUUGCAUAUGAGAAAGUUUAACCUAGGGUUUUUCUAAAACGAUUGAAAGAAUGAACGUAUGAGACUUAUGUAUAUAGGUGUUUAAGAUUAGGGUUUAGGUCGGUAGUAUUUCGUUUAUGUCACGUAAAAUAUGGGCCGUGAAUAUUUGUAUGGGCUUACGAUAUUGAUUUGCUCGAGUUUGUUUAAAAAUAUUUGGUUAAUAUAUUCAUAAAUUAAUUAUUCUCAUUAAGGGGCAAACGGUAAUUAACCACGCUGAAACUCAAUGAGAGGCCUCCAUUGCUUAUUCUGAACCCGAUUUUAAUAUAUAUGAUAUAUGAUCGCGAUUAUAAAAAUAUUUUUCUCACCCGUCCGUUCAUAUUAAUCCAAAAAGAACCGUGAUUAUAAAACAUAAUUCUACUUGUCCGUUAAUAUUAUUUGUAUAUUUUAAAUAUUUAUUAAGUUUGAAUAUUUAAAAUUUUAUACUUAUUUAUAAAAAUAUAUAAUAAUAUAUCAUUUUCAUCUUUUCCAUUGAAAAUAUUAUUUAAAUUUGAUUAUUUGAAUGAAAUCUAAAUUAAUAUUCAGUUUAUUAUUUGUAACGAUAUAAUAAUAACUUAUUUUAUAAUUUUUGAUAAUUAUUAUAACCUAUAUUUAAAAAAACUAAAAUAAAUCUAAAUUUAAAUUUAAAAUUUCGGAUUUAUAUUAAAGUAUAAAUUAAAAAUAUAUUAUUUUAUUAAUAUUACACUAAAUUGAUUUGUUUGGUAAUAUAGUUAUCCAAAAAUAUAAUAAUUUUAAAUGAAAGAAAUCAUGUUUGGACACAAAAAUAUUUUCCUUUAAAAGUAUAGAUUCUCUCUAUCCCUACUCUAUAUCCCACUCUAAAAUAGAGUAACUAGUAUUAUUAUUCCAAAUAGGUUUACUCCAUUUUGUUGUUCAUCACUCCAUUUUAAAGUAAAAAAUAGAAAAAAUAGAAUAAAAUUGAAGUAAAACCUAAUUUCAUUUAAUCUAAUAUAGACUAAAAAGAGGAAGUUAUACAUUAGAGAACUCUAACUAAUGUUGACUACCUAUUGAUAUUAAAAGACCCAAAAGAUUCUUUUGUUGUAUUAUUUCUGGGUCGAUUUGUUUUCCGCCCCAAUGAAAUGGGAUAUUACAUUAUUUUUCUUGUGUCUGACCAGAAGUCUUUCAAUAGAGACUAGAAUAUCAUUGGGAGUACACUUAAGCCAAUUGGAGUUCUAGGCUUUCUUUGCCCAGUCUUGGAAGCGUUUGACUUUUGACCAACACGUCUAACGUAUGAGUUUCAUUCAAUUAGAAUAUCGAUUUUUUACCUAGUCAAAGAAGCUCUCUGUUAUCAUUGCUGCUCCUCCAGUAAAUAUUGAUGGUACCCACGAAGCUGUUUCUGGAUCUUUCCAUUCAUCGAAAUGUGUACGAGAUACCAGAAGGGCCCAGUUCGGAGUUGCACAAUCUCAUGAGUUAUGUUGUGUUAAGCAUACUUGGAUCCGAAUGAGGGACCCAACACAUGGGAUCGGACUCAAUCACUUAGUAAUGAGAUGGUAGGACAGACUAUUGGACAAAGGGCAUGUGAAAAGCGAGCGAACCCCAAGGAACGCCUGAAAGCUUAGUGAGGAAAAUUCUUGUGGUGUUAUUUUUGCUUUUCAUGGACACUUUGGUAAAGCAACUAGCUUGAGAGAGAAAGGGCUCCACAAAGAGAGAUAAAUCGCCUUCCGGCAAUAGAUUCCAAUCUCCAGGUUUUAUUUGUAAAGUUUCUAUUCCUUGGUACUCGCUUGCAUCCAUGGCUGAAUGGUUAAAGCACUCAACCUAAAAGGUAAGUUGUAACUUUACUUACUUCAGUCUCGGACUGGUUCCGAGUGGACUCGGGCAGCUGCUGCUUGGAUAUCAAUCACUGAUCCAAUUUGAGUUUGUCUACAAGAUCGAGCCUUACAGCUAGAAAUGAACAUGAAAGAUGGCCAUAUGCUUUGACCCGCAUUAAAUGCUAGGCCAAGAACUUUUUAUACUGGGCAAGUGAGCUCCUCUAAUCUUUGGUAUGUUUGAUCCAUUUAAAACAAAUAAUCCAAAGUUGAUGCCUGGACCAUUAGAUAGGAAUCCAAAUAUGAAGAGAGGAUUAAAUGGUGUAUAUUUUUUAGUUAAUAGCUUAUUAAGGUGCCUAGGACACAAGUAGCAACCAGAGGGAGUGGUAAGGGAUUCAAUUAUCGUAUUGCGAGUGUCACGUCUUGUGUUUAUUCAAAACUUAUUAGUAUUGUUUUGAACAUGUUGCCCUUUUUUUAGCAUUGUACACGAGCUUUGCUGCGGCAAGGAUGUCUGAUAAAUAAAAAAAGAUAGAUGAAUGUGAUAUAUUUUGUUACUUUUUUUAGCAAAUAAGCAAAAGUAUUUUGUCAACAAGUCAACGCGUAAGAUAUCCAUUAUGUGCGUACCUCCUAAUAAACGGGUAGACUUGAACCUUCUUCCUACAUAAAAAAGGCUGGUCCGUAAACAGAGCACACCACAUAAAGAUUCUAAAUUCAGUAAAAUUUUUAUAAAUUAAUAAUGUCAGAAAUUUGAUAUUUUAUUAAUUUAUAGAGUUAUUAAUUUAUAAAUUUCAAAUAAAAAAUAUUUCUUAUUAAUUUAAAAAUAAUUUUUUAUAAUCUUUAAAACAAUCUUUCUGAAAUUAGAGAUGAGUUUCAAAAAGUCUUUAAGUUAAAAUAAAUAGAAAACAUCACUAAAUUAUAUUUUAAUAGAUUAUCUCAUUUAUAUGUUUAUAUUAAUUUAUGUUUAUGGUAAUUAUUAAUUUAUGAUAUUUAUAAAACCAUAUAUCUAUGUAUAAUUUUUGUUAAAAUUAUUAUCUUAUUAUUUUCUCGAAUUAUGUUAUUUUUUUAAUUGCAAUUUAUAUUUUGAACCGAUUUAACUCAGAACUAUAAAAAAUUAUUAAUUUAUAGUGUUUUUAGUAUUAGUUUAUAAAGAUUUUACUGUAUGAGAAGUCUGGACCAACCAUCACUACCAUAGGUAUAUAGUGGUAAAUCCUGCCAUCUUAGACUCAUUUCUAGCACACUGCUUUGGUAUGGUUCUCGGCACAUGUUGGGAACGUGAAGCUAGCUAUUGGGUCUUUGUGGGCUUAGUUUGGCCCAACUACUACCAUCUAUACUACAGUACAGAUUUUGAGUUCCUUCAAUCAGACCUUCUAUCACCCUCCGGCUAAGUCAGUUUUGUCAAUACUAGUGCCAUUCCAUUUCCUUGAAACUAUUUCCAAUAAACACACACAAAAAGCGACAGAACUUUGUAUAGAAAGAACACAAUACGUCUGGUAAUACAAACAAGAUAUAACAAAAGAAUAUAACAAGAAACCCGACGCCAAUCGACUCACAAAACCACGUAAAAAUACAAAGCAAGCCCUCGAAAAGAUACUGACUAUAUUACCAAAUUUACUUGGAAGUAUCUAAAACUUUCAUGGAGAUGCACCACUGCUUCUGGAACGAUACAUAGUGGUAAAAUCCAAACAUAAACGCCGGUCCCUUUCGUCUCCCCAACCUCCCCAACCUUUGAAACCAGCUUUAUAACCAGGUUGAUGCUUAAACACCUGAACUCCCCAUCCUUCCUUUAUGUUCACAACUUUAUCUGUUUCUUUAACCUCAAUGUUUACAACCCCAUUAUCAAUACAAUCACCUUCCUCUCCUCUACCUUGAUGCAACCCACAUUUACCAAAGUGGACCGCACUGGUCCUAGGCCCUCUCAAUGUGUAAACAGGUGAACCAAACGAAGGGAAAACCGUUGCCCACAUCGUUAUAUCCCAAUUGUAAUCAUCAAAGAAACAAAAGUCUCUUGCCUUCUGGUGUAUAUUCUCCCACACACUUCUAUUAAACGAAUACCCAAUAUUUCCCAUUCUCUCUGCAACCAAACUAUCAAGCCCUUCUCCUCUUGACUUCACAUCAGACGGUGCUAGAUUAGCAGCAAAGCAGUCGGGACAUUUCGUAGGUUUCAGCCUCGUGAGAGUCUGUAUAUUCCGGUAUGCAUUAGGAAAAAGAAAGUGAUCUUCUUCGAUGAAAAGAAUAUGACCCUCGUGACCUUUAGUCUCCUCCAAUCCAUCCCAAACCGUGUUCAUCAUCCACCACCAAUGAUGCUUCAAAGACACAAUCUUUGGAGACCUGUGGUUUCCAUACUGAUCCGGAUUGCCUUCACAAUGUUUCCUAGCCUCAUCACCUUUGUUCUUACAAUCACUCGGGGUCACCCCAGGGAAGCUAUCUCGAAAUAUGUGAGGAGAAUAUGGCGAGAAUAUCUGCUUUACCUGGCAAAACUUGAUACUCUCCACAAUCUUGUUCAUCUCUUCAAAGUAACCAUCAUGGCUAACAAUCAACAAAGUCUCACUUAUUCCUUUAACCUUGGACAAGCUUUCCACAGUUACACGAAAAUACUGAGCCCGAUUGUGCACAUACAAGACGAUAACCACACGGUCUUUGGCCAAAUCCGGGUACAGAUCAAGAUUCCUCGGUGGGAAAAGGUUUUUUCUAUGCAACCUAAACGACAUUCUGUUACAUCUAGCUACUCUUAGCAACGAAGCAUUAAGCUUAUAUACCAAAUCUUCGUCUAAAUCAUCCAAAUCUCGGUCGGUGAAAGUCCUAGUUGUUCUGGGUACAGACACCAACAUCAGAACUAUAGAGACUGUAACUGCAAAGAGAAUCCCUAAACGGCAUAAAGCCGUAUCUUUCAAUUUAUGCUUCUUCCAAGGAUUUGCCAUAGGCACAAACUACUAAAGCACCAAACCAAAUAAAUCCACACUACAGAAACCGAACUCUCUAAAGUUUCCAAAUCUCCAGCACGAAGUAAAUCUCUACUUGAGCAAUCGAAACCGCUUAAACCCAAAAAAAAAAAAAACUCUUAACCUCUGCAAAAAAAAGGUGCUUCCUUUUAAGUCUUCAAAUCCAGAGAUGUUUACAAAUUGCUGAAAAAAUCAACAGCAAAGAGAAAGCCUCGAGCUUUGGUCUCCAGCUUCUUAAAUCCACACUAAACAAACCCAACUCUUAAAAUUUCCAAAUCUCUAGCACGAAGUGAAUCUCUACCCACUUGAGGAACCGACACCUUUUAAAACCCAGAAAUUAAAACAAAAACUUUUAAACCUUGCAAAAAGGUGCUUGCUUUAGAAAUUGCUCACAAAAUCAAAGCAACAACAGCAAAGAGAAAGACUCGAGCUCUGACUUCGGAUCGCAAAUGCUAUAUCAGCAGAUAUAUAAAAGCAGAUUCUUUGAAGGAAUUCACGAGAUGGGUAAUUGGUUAAAGAAGAUAUUUCAUUCAGGAAAGGAAAAAGAAAUUUUGGAGUCGUCGAAGAAUCUUUUACGAAAAGUGCCCGAGUCUUCUUACGUGACUUUGGGUUUCGUAUUUCCUUGUCACCUAUCGAAUGUUACUCAUAUUUACCGUUUUGCCAUUCAAUUCUGACUGCUAUUUUAUUCUUUUCUUCAGAAUGCAUUAAACAUGAAUUUCUUUUUCUCAAAUAAGCAUAUGGAACACCAAAUUAAAUGAUUUGCUUAAAUUGCAAUCAAAAUUUGUGCCAAUAGUUCGUUAGGAUGUACCAUUUUCCAUCCAUGGGCUAAAACAAAAUUAUUUGCUUCUCUUUAAAGAUUAUCAUAUGUCACUUCAUUUACACAAAAUUAAAUAUUUCUCUCUCUUUGUAGCUCCAUAUCAACCAUCACUAUGGAUCAUGAAGUUAUGUCACAAAUGGCCUAAGUACAUAUCUGACUAAUGAAUUUAUUUUUCAACUAUCAUGAGCGCAGAUUAAAUCACGAAAUACUGACUUUGCAAAAUUAGGCUUCGAAAAUGUCAACGUUAAACAAUAAACGUAAGUGGCUAAAAUUAAUUCAUGAGAUGUCAUAUAUAAUUUUUUCGCUGGAAUUCUUCAUCAGCUAUCUUGCUGGAACAUGAAAUCCUAACGGAUUAUAAAGAUCUAUUUUCUAAUUUUUGAAAUUUGAAUGUCAUAUAUGAUAUUUAAUUUGAUAGUAUCUUGUUUAAUUUGAUAGUUUCUUCGUCAGUGAAAAUUUCUUAUUGGGACAUUGAAUUCACAUUACAACACAUCUGGAGAACCAAAGACCAUUAAUUAGGAGUUACAACCAAUCAAAUACAGUCCCAUUUUGCACUACCAUUUACACAAAGCUUGAGUGAAAUUUGUUUUCCUUUCAAAAUGGUAGCAUAAAAUAUUGAAAUAGCAAGAUCAUUAAACCAAGACUACUAUAAUUAAAAAAAAAAAACAAUCGUAGAACAUGCUCUAAAUUGUUCCCAUCUUGCAUUUUAACUUUGACAUCAACGAGAGCUCAUUCACAAGCGCCUGCUCAAGCUAUAUGGUAGCUCAAGAACCCAUGGAUACUAUGUUUGACCCAUGUCUCUGGUUUCUCCCUUGAUCUUUUAUCCUCCUUAGAAACCAACCUUGUAGAUAUUUUCUAAACGUGUUAGCCUAUGAGCAAGGGUAACAAAUCUUCGCAAAGCUUCCAGAUAUACAUGAAUAGAAAUCACUGAGACGUCUUACGUAUGUCUUUACCUCAUGUGAUCAUUCAUAUCCACAGGCAAAUUCAAUUAACUAUGAGAGGUUGGAGAAGCCUGAACGGAAAGAUAAGGGAGCUCAACAGCGAUAUUUCAAGAUAAAACAACUUGCCUUCUAGUACAACUUACAAAUGAUCUCAAUAUAGAUUGAAACUGAACACAAGUCAAAGAAGAGCCAAGUAAAUCAGAAUUAAGUUUUGUUGAUUCUCGAAAAAGGUCAUCACUGAAAGUUGUGGAUUCUCUUAGCUUAUGUCAACGUGUUGGAUAUAAGCAUGGAUAUGGUCAUUGGUCCUACACCACCAGGAACAGGCGUGAUGGGUGAUGCAACUUUGGAAGCCUCCUCAUAAGUCAUAACAAACGUCUCCAACCAACCAACCGAUAGCCACGUUGAGCAUUUGGAUCCUGCAAUUUCAAUACGAUGCAGACGUAAAAAUAUUGAGAAAAUUAUUGCAAAUAUAAUAGAGAAAUUUUUGAGAUAAAAACUGAAAAUACAAUUAAAAAAAAUAAUGAUGAAAUGGAGGCGAGUUGAACUCUAUCCUUGAUCCCAAAUAUCUCCCGCAUUGUGGCGGUGUAUGAGAUAACAGAUUUCAGAAUAUAACCACUUGAAGCUAUAAUUGUAGCACCCAAUUAUAAAAUCAACAAACUGAUCGUUCUACGAUAUACUCUAGGACUUACUUUUUAAAGAAGACUAAAGCAAAAGAGAGAUUGAAGGAUGUGUGAGGGAGAUGUGAGAAAGGGAUGAGAGAAAUGAGUGU